UGAUAGGGUUGUGAAACCACUGCAAAACGGGUAGAUUUUUAUGAUUUUCUCAUCUUUUUUUUUCUUAUAAACAAUAAUAAAUAAAUAAAUAAAUAAACUCGAAUAAAUAAUUUUGUUAAGACAUGUAUAAUAUAAAAGUUUCUACUCUAUUUUUCUAUUUCAUUUUAAAAAAUAUCAUAUCUUUAGAAUAACUUCUUAAAUUAUAAAAAAUAUAAGGGCAUGUUUGGCAACUAUUUUUGAAAAUAAUUUUUAUAUAUAAAGUUUUAUUUUUAAUCAUUCUAUAUGUUUGUAUAAUUAUUUCUUAAAACAAUCAUUAGAAAAUAAGUAAAAACAAUAAAAAAAACUGAAAGAUAUUCUCUUAAAACACUUUAUUUUUUUGUUCUUAAAAACAAAACAAAAAACAUAAAACAUUUUUUAGUUACCAAUGUGUUUUUUGUUAUAAAGAACAAAAAAUUAUUCUUAAAAACAAUUCCCAAACAUAUCCUAAAUAUCUAAACAUAUUUUUAGUUUUAAUUUUUAUUUUCUAGAAGAAUGAAAACACCAUACAGAAUCUUAACCUAUCUUUAGUCACACUAAUUUUAGGGUAAUCUCCGCUCAAGAGUUUAUUUUCUUACAUUUUUUCUAUAUGUAACUACUUAUCUUUUUUAUUUAUUUGUUUGUUAUCUAGAAAAAUAGACUAUGUGGGAGGUCACCCCAAGUAUAAUAUACAUCCUUUUUAACGCUUGAAGAGUAGUCAUCAUGAAAAUCAUUUCAUCAUUUCGAGAAUAUUAUAAUUUUGAGAAUAAAACAAGUGCGAGUAAGCCAUUACCAAAGUAAUAAUCAAUUUCCUCGAUCGGAAACAAAUUAAUAAAUAAAUAUGACAAAGGGAAACGAACAAAACACCACCUACUACAUAUUAAACGAGUUACAACUUGCAGCCAUGAAAGCUAUCUUAGACCUGACACUAUUAUUUUAGUCCCUUCCAAACUUAUUUAAGUCAAACCCAUUUAGGUUUUAUUUGCAAACACUUUAUAAAAAAUAAUUUUUAAAAUUCAUUUAUGAUAUUUAGUAUAAUAAAAUUUGUUUAGAAAUUUGAAAUGUAUUUAAUCUAUUUUUUUAUAUUUUAAAAAUAAUUUUUAUAUAAAAUAUUUCUUUUUUAUUAUUUUUAAUAAUUAUAUAAUUUUUUAAAAUAAUUAUCAAAAAGUACUAAAAAAAAAGUGAUAACCACAUAAAAUAAUUAAAAGUUAUCGGUUGAAAACACUUUAUUAUGUUUUUAAGGAUAAAAAAUUGUUUUUCACUUUUUUGUUAUUACACAUGUUUUUCCAUUUUUUUUAAAUUUUUUAUGAAAAAAAAAUAGUUAUGAAAUAAGACUUUAACUUCCACAUCAUGUUCUCCUCAACCGUCAUUAUUAAUCAACUUAUAAAUUAGUUUUGCUUAUUAAUUUCAUAAGAUCAAAAUUUAUUUUAAAAUUUUAAUAUUAAAAUUGAAUGGAAUAUGAUUAUUUAGUAUCUCAAAAAUUUGUCAUUGACAAACUACCGGUAAUUUUUAUCUUAUCAACUUAUGAACUCAGACCAAUAGAGAGUUAGAGCUAUUUUGCAUAUACCAACAAAUAAAAAAAGCUAAAUAGUCAAAUUUGUACAUCUAGUCAAAUUUGAAUAACGCGGUUUUUCCCACUUAUCGACCGCUGGGUAUACUGGAAUACUAAAAUAUUUCAUAUAAUGCAUAUUAACCAUUUCUCAUCGCUUGUAGCCACAACUUACCACAUAAAAAGAAUGUAUAAAAAUUAUGGUAACUAUAAUGAAAAAAAGAACACUACUAUUUAUUAUUUAUUAAUAUUAAAUAACAUUAAUUAUUAUAAAUAUUUUAUUUAGUACUCAUACUUUUAGGUUUAAUUUGAAGAUGAUAAUUAUCAGGUUAGUUUUUCAAUUCUAGGUUUUAUUGAAUUUUCCUAUUAUCCAUAAUAUGUUAUACGAAAUAUAAGUAUUAAUGUAAUUUAUUGUAUUCAUCGAAUGGUAUGUGACCAUGUGACAAUGCCAGAGUAUAUAAUGUUUCUUCUUUGUUUUAGUCCAAGGGUCUCCAAAAAGUCCGCGACCCGCUUUAGGCCCGGCCUGGCCCGACAGGCUAAAGCCUGGACCAAGCUCGCCGGGCCCGAGCCCGUUUCUGGGCGGGCCGAGCCGCGGGCCUAAUUUUAGGCCCGGCCCGUAGGCCAGCCCCUUUAAAAAAAAACUACAAAAAUAAAAAGUAUUAAAAAAAAUAUUCAUUUCAAAAUUUUAUUCAUUAAAUGUAUAAGCCAUACACCAUGUGACGUAGCCUCAAAACAAGAUAUGAACUCAGCUUCCAUAGUAGAAGUAGCAGUCAUGGUUUGCUUAAUGCUCCUCCAAGAUAUAGCUCCACCGGCCAAUAUAAAAAUGUAUCCAAAUGUUGAUUUACGUGAAUCAACACAACUAGCAAAGUCUGAAUCUGAGUAGCCAACAACCUCUAAAUUGUUUGUUCGUCUGUACAUAAGCUUGUAAUCUUUGGUUCCUUGAAGAUAUCUCAUCACUUUCUUUGCAACUUUCCAGUGGUCCUUACCUAGGUUACUCUGAUAUCGUCCUAACAUUCCAACAGCAAAUGCAAUGUCAGGCCUUGUGCAGACCUGAGCAUACAUCAGACUUCCAACCGCAGAAGCAUAUGGAAUGUUCUUCAUUUGUUCCCUCUUAAGAUCGUUUUUCGGGCAUUGGUCCAGAUUGAACCUAUCACCCUUCACUAUAGGAGAAACACUAGGUGAACAAUUCUUCAUCCGAAAUCUCUCUAAAACUUUAUUGAUAUAGGUCUCUUGAGACAAACCUAAGAUACCUUGAAAUCUUUAUGGAUCUUAAUGCCAAUGACAUAAGAUGCCUCACCCAUAUCCUUCAUGAAGUAAACCCUUAUCAUUGGUUGCAAGUAAGAUGUCAUCCAUGUAUAAAAUAAGAAAACAAACUUUACUCCCACUGACCUUAAGGUAUAUGCAUUGAUCCAUAACAUUUUCUUCAAAACCAAAUGAAGAAAUUAUGUUAUAGAAUUUUAAAUACCAUUGGUGGGAUGCUUGUUUUAAACCGUAUAUGGAUUUCUUAAGCUUACAAACCAAUUUCUCACCAUCUCUAGAGGGGAAUCCUUCAGGUUGUUUAAUGUAAACCUCCUCCUCUAGCUCUCCAUUAAGAAAUGUUGUUUUUCACAUCCAUUUGUUGCAAUUCCAAAUCAAAGUGGGCUACUAAUGCCAAUAUAAUGCGUAAGGAAUCUUUCUUAGAUACAGGAGAAAAGGUUUCCGUGUAAUCGAUUCCUUCUUUCUGAGUGAACCCCUUUGCAACAAGUUUGGCCUUGUAUCUCUCAAUGUUGCCUAAUGAGUCUUUCUUUGUCUUAAAAACCCAUUUACAACCAAUGGUUUUUGCACCAUUAGGCAACUCAACAAGGUCCCAAACAUCGUUGCACUUUAUGGAACUCAUCUCAUCCUUCAUGGCAUUGUACCACAAUUCUGAUUCUUUACAACUCAUGGCUUGUGAAAAAGAUUCGGGGUCAUUUUUGGCUCCUAUAUUGUAGUCACAUUCCUGUAGAUACACUACAUAAUCAUUAGGAAUUGUUGGCCUCUUAGUUCGAGUAGACCUUCUUAAGGUUGCACCAAUAUCUUCUAAGAAAGUAUGAGGUUCAACUUGUUGUUCAGAAGUGUCAGGAAACUCCUGAUCAACUUGAUCUACUGGAAUGUUGUCAACAGCUUGUGGAACUUCAACGACUGGUUGAACUUCAGUGAUUGUUCGUUCUACACCCGAUUAUACUUGAGGGGUGUUAUGAAUAAUAAACAAUCUAUCACUUGAAGUGGAAGGUUGAGACUUUGUAGGAUCAAUAUCAGAAACCAUGUUUCUGAAUUGAUCGCUCCCACUGACCAAGUCAUAUUCAAGAAAUUUAGCAUUUCUCGAUUCCACAAUCCUAGUGUUGUGAGAUGGACAGUAAAAUCUGUACCCCUUAGACUUUCCAGCAUAUCCAAUGAAGUACCCACUAAUAGUCCUUGGGUCCAGUUUCUUCUCCUGUGGAUUAUAAAUUCUCAUUUCAGACGAGCAUCCCCAAACGCGCAUAUGUCGCAAACUCGGUUUCCAACCUUUCAAUAACUCAAAUGGCGUCUUUGGGACAACCUUGGUUGGAACUCGGUUUAAUAUAUACACUGCUGUCUUAAGUGCUUCAGUCCACAAGAAUUUAGGAAGUUUUGAGCUGCUAAGCAUACUCCUCACCAUGUCUAAUAAAGUUCGGUUUCUUCUUUCUGCUACACCAUUUUGGUCUGGAGAACCAGGCAUGGUGUAUUGGGCAACAAUCUCAUGUUCUUGAAGAAACUUUGCAAAUGGCCCAGGUGAUUGUCCAUCUUCCAAGUAUCUACCAUAAUAUUCUCCACCUCUAUCUGAUAUCACGAUCUUAAUUUGUUUACCAUUUUGUUUCUCUACUUCUGCCUUGAAAACUUUAAAGGCUUCUAAAGCUUCAUUUUUAUUAUGAAGUAUGUAGAGAUACAUGUAUCGUGAGAGAUCAUCUAUGAAAGAGAUGAAGUAUUUCUGACCAUGAGAGUCCAUGUCAAGACUACAUAUAUCAGUAUGUAUGAUCUCUAAUAUGGUAGAACUCCUAGUAGCACCUCUCUUUGACUUGUUGGUCUGCUUUCCCUUAAUGCAGUCCACACAAGUCUCAAAGUCAGUAAAAUCUAGAGUACUAAGUACCCCAUCAUUCACCAAUCUUUUGAUUCUAUCUAUGGAGAUAUAACCUAAUCUCCGGUGCCACAAUGUAGAGGAAUCCUCAUUAACAACACAUCUUUUAAUGCCAGUUUGGACAUGUAAUGAAUUAUGAGUGGUAUCAUUUUGUAACAAUAUGCAAUAAAGACCAUCAGACAAAAUACCAUUCCCAACACAAUUAGAUUUAUAAAUCAAACUGAAAGAUGUUUCUGAAAAAUGAAAGGAAUAUCCAAACGGUACAAGUCUAGAAACUGAAAUCAAGUUUCGUGAGAAACUUGGUACAUAAAAGGUCUUUUGCAAUUCUAAAACAAAACCACUAUUUAAAGUUAAAUAACAUGUCCCUAUUGCUUCCACAUGCGAGCCCAUCUUGUUUCCGGAUAAGAUGAAUUGUUCACUUGUCACUGGCUUCUUUAGGUUUUGCAUACCCUACAAGAAAUUUGAAAUGUGGAUUGUAGAUCCAGAAUCAAUCCACCAUGUGUUGGUAUUUACAUUAACCAUAUUAGAUUCAUAACAAACAAAUGAGGUAGGGUUACCUUUCUUCUCAAGCCAUUUCUGAAAUUUCAGACAUUUCUUCUUCACGUAUCCUUUCUUUUUACAGAAAAACACUUUUCGUCUUUCUUAAUGUCAGAUUUGGGAGGAAUUUGUUGCUUCCCUUUUUUACUAGCUUGAGAUUUUCCUUUCUUUCUUUUCCUUUGCGUCACUAGCAUGGCACUUUCUCUGUUCCAUCAAUAACCUUCCUUCCUCUUGAACACACAUGGUCAUCAAUUCAUUGAUAAACCACUUAUCCUUAUGUGUGUUGUAAGAGAUUUUGAAAGGUCCAUACUGAGGCAGAAGAGUGUUAAGGAUAAAGUGCACCAAGAAGAAUUCAGACAUUUCUACCUCGAGUUUCUUCAAUUGAGCCACUAUGUCCCUCAUUUCCAUGAUGUGUUCGCAUACACCUCUUAUACAUGUGAGCUUCAGGGAUGUGAACUUCAUAAUCAGGAUGCUUGCCAAGGCUUUGUCUGAAGUGACGAAUUGCUCGUCAAUAGCCUUGAGCAAUUCGCGGACAUUCUCAUGUUGCUCGAUCGAACCACGUAUAUCAGCACUAAUUUUUGUCUUUAUGUACAUCAUGCUGAGCCGAUUAGAUUUCUCCCAGCGUUUGUACAAUAUUAUUUCUUCAGGUAUGCUGGUAUCAGUGAUCUUAUGUGGUUCAUCUUUUCUUAUGGCAUAGUCUUUGUCCAUACACCCUAAUUGAAGAAGAAUCCUCUCCUUCCAUAUCUUAAAGUUAUCUCCUCUAAGUUCGGGAACCUCACAACGAAUAUCAGAUAUGCUAGGUAAAACUGCACAAAAGGAUUACAAGCUUAUUAAAAAAUUUUGAGGCUUUAAUAUAAAUUCAUGCUUUACCAAUGUAGAACAUGCUUAAAAUUUAAUCUAAAUUUUAUUAAAAAUUGUCUGUGGGCUAAAUCUUUAAUUUAGUCAGAUUAAUUAUCUUUAUGAUAGACUUUAUCAAACUAUUUUAUUAAAUUAUGAAAUUUAUUAUGAAUAUAGUUUGAUAUUUUCUGUUUAUAAUCUUUAUGAUAAACCUAUUAAAUUAAUUCUUCCUAACUCUUGUGGGUAAAUUAGGAAAAAUUAAUUUUAAUAUUUUAUCCUAAUUAAUUAUAUAAACAUAAUGAAAACCCUGUGGGGUAAAAUCAUCAUAUUUAUAUAAUUAAUUACAAUUAAUGUCCAUAAUGUGAUCCUUAUUUACUUAAUAUAUAAUUUUUAUAUAAUUAAGGAUGUUGUGACUAUUCCUUAAUUAUUUAAAAAAUCAUAUGGUUUCACUAGACAUUAAAACUAUAUGAUAUAAUUUUAAUAUAUCUAACUCAAAUUCAGGCAAUAAUUGCAUGCAUUAAGAGCUACAACUUUAAUUUAAGUUACAAACAUAUAAAAAAAUAUAUAAUUAUUUAUUUUACAUGUAUAAAAUUUACAUGAUAAUUUUAAAAAUAAUUUAAAGGUUUCAGAUUAUGAAUGAAUGCCUAAAUCCAAAUAAAACACAAUCAAUUCCAUGCUUAAUAAAAUUAAAAUAAAAAAUUCAACCACAUGCCCACAUUGAGCCCCAUGGCCCAACAAAUUUUAUUUCUAGGCCAUUACCGAUCAAUCCAUAUUUAAACCCAAACUUUAGCGAGCUUCAUAAGAAACCCAACCCUUAGUAUUCAUAAUGGGCCAUUGUUUAUGCAUUAAGCCCAAAGGGCCCAAUAGCCUCUUAUACCAAGGCCCAAUUUCUUAGUAGAACCCAAUCUCUUAGUAGAACCCAAUCUCUCUCUAGGUUCUUUCAUUAUUUUUAAUAUCACCUUUAGCCAAAACCCAAUAUCACAUUAUUAUUAUUAUUAUUAUUUUAAUAUUUAAAUAUCAACUUGCAACUGAAACCUCCAAAAUCCUAUUUUGACGCCAUCCGCAUGGACUGCACCAACACGGACAGCGCCAUGAACGCCACGACCCGCGUGUUCUGCAUCGACACCGGCUGCACCACAUCGAGACUUUAGCAUGGCAACUUUCCAACACCUGCAGCACUCCAUGCUUUGGAGCUGCCUGCAUCAUGGGUAGGAAGAGCCUCACGGGUGCCCUCCUGCCGCCUGCAACGGCACCUCAGUGGCACUUCCCAUCUGAAUGAGAUGGCGCCUGAACGGAGCCUCCAAUGGUGCCUCUUGUCGGCACGAAAAGAUGCCUGAAAUGGUGCUGCGAACAGCGCCUGAACGGCGCCUAGAACGACGCCUGAAUGGCGCUUCCAAUGGUGUCUCCAAUGGCGCCUUAACAGCGCCACUAAAGCACCCGAAUGGCUGCUGGAGCUCCUGAAAAUGGCGCCUUAACAGCGCCGUUGAAGCACCCAAAAACGGUGCUUGGAUGGCUGCUGGAAUGGUGGCUGAGGCGCGCCUUAAAUGGCUCUUGAACGACACUUAGUAAUGACACUACAAGCGGCGCCUGAACGGCGCUGGUAUGGCGCCUGAAUGGCUGCCUGUUGAACGCCUGUAAUGGCGUUUUCUGAAAGAAUUACGCCAACCCUUUGGAUCGCCUUAAGCAGCCAUUGUUUAAAUAAUUUAGAGAGAUCAUAAUAACAAGAAUUUUCAUUCAGAAUUAAUACAAAACAGAGGUAAGGUUUAACGUGCUCUGAUACCAAAUGUUGUUUACAUGCUCUAUAUAUAUAUAUAUAUAUAUAUAUAUAUAUAUAUAUAUAUAUAUAUAUAUAUAUAUAUAUAUGAUUCCAAUGAAUUUGCAACAUGAAUCAAAACUGAAAAAGACUAAGAAUAGUCUACUUACCUCCAGCCAUUGUAGUCGAUUUCAAAAACUUGAUUUCCAAACUCUGAUCUCCCUUUUUUAGAUGGUGUUUCUGAAGGAAAAAACAGCAGACGAGUUCGGGACCAUUUUUCUUUUAAAAUCUUUAUAACCGUGGCUUCCAUCAUACCAUGUUGCUCUUGCCACCACGUUGAGCAGUUGCUGGAAUGUGCUCCUUAACCGCAGCGGAAGAGAGAUGGUGGAGGACGUGGUCAAAGUGCUGGACCACAUCAUGAAGUGUUGGACGUGUGAACGUGUAUUUAGCUUACAAUGCAUUCAUCAAAACCCACGACUCUCGAAUCCGUAUCUUCAUGUCAUGUAGCUGUAUGAAUUGAACUCCCUGUUUAUUUGGAAAGAAAAUGAAAUUGUGAUUAUAUGACUACUACUUCCAAGGAGCUGAAUAGUUGUAUUAGGCUUAACGAAUGGGUUAUUUUCUAUACUUUUUGUUGUUGGUACCGGCAUUUCCUCAAAAGCCAAACACAGAGUAUUAUAUCGUCUAGGAAUUCAUGUGGUAAUAUUGUGGUUUAGGGUUUAUGAUUUAUUUAUUUUGUUUGAUUAUGGACUUUUUGUUUGAUUAUUGAGAUACAUUUAAUUCACUUGAUAAAAUACACCCCCAAAAGUAGGGAAAUUCUUUUUUUUUUUUUUUCAUUUUCAUUUCCUUCUCCAAUAUGCUACUCUGAUCAUCACUGUUUGAUUAUUGAGACUGAGAUCAUUGAAUGGCUCAAUAAGAAGGAUCAGUUGUCUGCUGCAUUUGUUAAAAUAUGGAACUCUGGAAUCUGGUAGUGGAAAUAGAAGCCAUUACUUGUUUGUUUGUCCCGAAGGAUUUAAAGGUUUAAAUCUUGAGAACAUAUGUCCAUGGGGUUUAAAUAUCAAGGCCCACAUCAAUUCUAUAUCUGAACUUGUAAGUUUUUCAUGCUUGCAUGUGGACGAUGAUAUGGGCUUGUUGGUCUAAUGACACUUUAGUACUAGUUACAUCCACUUGUGAUAUCUCAUAUCGGAUAGAAAUUUUUUUUUUCUGGCAUUAUAUAAGUACAAACUUUUUUUUACCUUAUUUUAAAGUCAUAAGAGUUUCCCUAAGUUAUGAAUAGGUAAUAACUAUAUCAUUAGGAGUGUAGUGUGAGGGUUUGUUUGACUUUUUGAGAUAUAUAUGUCUAUUUGGCACUUUGUGUUUGUAUAUGAGGUGAAUAUGAUAUCUCACAUUGGAUUUGGGGAAAAAGUCUUUGACAUUAUGUAAGUAUAGGCUCCUCUUACCCCCUUAGACAUAGAGUGGAUAAUAUCUAUAUAAUUGGAAUGGAUCGUUAUAUCAUAAGUGUAACAUGUCUUAUUUUUUAUCAUAUAUACUACAAUUUAGAAAUGUACUCUUUUGGUAUCUAUAAAAAAAGGUAUAAUGAAUCAAGUGGUGUCAUUUACAUAUUUUUAGGUCUUAUUGUUUAUACCCUAACCUCAUAUAUUUGUAUUCUUGUACCUUAGUCUCUUUCGUUUGUACCCUUGCUCAACGGCCUACAUUUGACAAAACAUAUUCAAUGAUCAAAAAGGCACAACUAAUCAAGUAUAAAAAUAUAGAAAACUAAUAGAAUAUGGGUAAUUGUAUUCCAUAGGUGCAUAAGAAAUAUCAUAUAAAAAUUCUAUUAAAAAAAAAUUGGUCAAACAAAAUUUGUUCAAAACUUACAAAAAUAUUGGAAAAACUCUAUGAAAUGAUGAAACAUAUAUUAAAAUUUUUUAUUUAAUAAAAGAGUUUAUGGAGGUAAAAUUUGUGGAAUUUGGGUAAUAAUAUAAUCUAUCUUGAUAAAAAAAAAUAUGAAUUUUGAAACUAUAUGUCGAAAUAAAAAUUUUGUUUAUUGUAUUGCAUUAUUUAAAACAUAUAAUAUUUCAAUAUUUAUAACAAAUUACAUUUAUAAGGAAAUUCAAUUUUAUCCCAAAAAUAUCUAUAUUAAAAAAAAACUUAAAUUGUAAUUUAUAAUUAUAAAAAAUAAAAAAAUUUAAAACUUAUUAUAAAAAAUAAAGGUAUUUUUUCGAACAUUAUUAAUUGUUUUUAGUUAUUUUAACUUGUCUUUUGGAGUUAUUUUAAAAAUAAUUAUAUAAAUAUGAAAAAUAAUUGAAAAUAAAAUAUUAUAGACAUUUGAAAUUAUUGAAAACAAGUAAGUUAUAAAAAGCACAAGACAACUGUUUAUGAAAUUUAUUUUCAAAAACUAUUUAAUGAAAACGUUUUAAAAAAGUACCCAAAAACUAUUUUCAUAUAUAUGUGUGUGUGAUUUUUUUAAAAACAUAAAAACUAGGUUGAAAACAUUCUAAUUCCCAAGAAUAUUUUUGUUUUAUAAAUUAUCAGACAACUUUUAAAAAUUGUUAUUGAAAACCAUUUUUUUAAAUCAGUUUUGAAAAUAGUUCCUAAACGGAGUCUAGGCCUUCCUUCCUUGAAAUAAAUUUGGCAUUAAAGUGGUGCUUACUGUUUGGGCCGCUAGGCACUUGCUUUAAAUAUUUCACUCAAUCAUAACCGAUUAUGCACAUAACUAUAAUGUGUUAGUCUAAGUAACAAACCCCACCCCCCAACACACACACACACACUAUAUAUAUAUAUAUAUAUAUAUAUAUAUAUGGUAAUUUAAUAAUUGUAACUUAUUGAUUAGCCUAUUUUUGUCUCCUCUACAUUGGGUAGGGACUCACUCUAAGGUGAUACAAAACAAACAUUGGGCUGAGCGUGAAUUUAAGCAUACAUGGAACUCACUCUAAGGUGAUACAAAACAAACAUUGGGCUGAGUGUGAAUUUAAGCACACAUGGAACAGAAAGCGAAAGGAUGAAGACAAAAAUGAUGAAAGUGGUAAUACCAUCAAACAAUUCAAACGAAUAAAGCACAGCUUGCAGGCCCGCAACAAAUGCAAACACCAUGAAAAUCAUCGCAGCCAUGGUUAGCAUACAGCCGUAAAAUAAGAAUGCCAGGAUGGUGUUCUUGUUAUUUGUAGGGAACGCGGCAAGGAAAUAAACACCAAUAGCACACAUAGAAAGUACCAUGGCUAUGCUAUCUGCCAUGACAAAACUUGUGAAAUUGUCCCUUACUGCAGGUGCCAUGUAUUGGUCCUCGCCCUUGGUGCGUCUGAUACUAACUCUCUGAUUAGGUCUCUGAAACUGUAAAACAUUUAAAGAAAGCAUGGAUAGAUAUUCGAUUCAAAGGGUUUGUAAAAGAAGGAAAACAAUAUUUUUUAAGAUUAAAAGUCUGUCAUUUCUUUCUUUUUCCUUUUUUUUUUUUUCUCACUAUCAUCUAUGAUGAAAAAAAAAAAAAGUUAGAAAAUUAAUUGGGGGUCACAGCAGGAACAUAUACAUAUAUAGGGAAUUGAAAUUUUUGGCGGCCUUAUCAAUCUUACUAAGGUGUCCAAUAUCCACGUUAACAUCGUCUCCGGAGAUAUGAUAGGCAUGUGAAACAGAUGGAGGGGUGUCUUUCCUUCAACAUUCUUCUCAUUCAUGAGCCCUCUCACCCUUAACCAGCGAAUAUUUGACAAACCCGAAGUUGCAAAUAUUCUCUUCCUUGGCACUAUUAAGUGAAGAACAUUAUUGCCCUUAUCAUCAACUUUCUCGCAACAAUCUGGAAAGCGUGACACCAGCAGCUUCACUAUGUCCACAUGGCCUCGGCUCGCUGCAAUAUGAAGAGUUGUCCUAUAACGCCCAAGUUUUUAUUUUUAGGGGUAAUUUAGGAAAUUAUUAAUUUAAUAAAAAGGAAGAGGGGUGAAAAGGUAAUUUUAUGAAUAAAUACCCUAGGUAUAAAUUAGAAUUUUGUUCUUCCUGUUCUUUUCUGAAUCACGUUCCUGUUCGCAAAGAGUUUCCAGAGAACGUAAGAUUGGAGUCGGAUUUCAGGGUUUGAAGAACAGAUCUCUAUAGGUAAAAUUCUAGUCCCUAGAUUAAUAUUUUAGAUUCAUUAAUUAAUUUCAAGCACAUUAGAUAUGUUUUUGGAAAACCCAAAUCUAGAUUAGGGUUAGUUUUUUUUUUUAUUAAUUCGUUUUAAUAUCAAAAUAUUGAAAAUUUAAUAUUUUGAUUUAUUGUUGGAAAUUAGGAAAUCUUAAGUUUUUAGAUGAAAAAAAAAAAUUCUUUGGAAGAUUUCGAUUUAGGCUAGGGUUAAUAUUUAAAAAAAAUGAGAGUAAACAAAUAUAUUGUUAUUUGUGGCUUAAGGGAUUAGAAAUAUUAAAUAAUAAAAAAAGAAAAGAAAAUGAAGGAACGCUGUGCACACUAGAGGAAGUAAAAAAAAAAAAAAAAUUGAGAAUGCAUGUGCACACCGGAGAAAGUUGGAGAAUGGUAAAUAAAAAAAUAAAAAAUUAUGUACGGAUGGUGUUUGGUAGUUAAUGUAUAUAUAUAUAGAUAUUAUUAUUAUGUUGGCAAUAAUGGAGAAUUGUUGGGGAUAAAGUUUAUGUUUGAAAAAAAAAAAGUGGGAGAAUAGAAGUUUUAAAUAAAAGAACGUAAAAUUUUUGGUAUUAUAAUUAUACUAAUGAUGAGUGUAAGUUAAUAAAUAACGUAGAAAUUAAUUAGUAAAAUAAAUUACAGUUUAAUUAAAUUAAGUUGUGUCCCAAGAAAUAAAUUAAAAUAAAUUAAGUUUUAUAUGAAUUAAAAAUUUAUUAAUUUUUUUUAAAAAUAUGAAUAGAUUAAAUUAUCUUUUAUAAUUAAAAACAUUAAUUUGAAUACCUAAAAUUUUAGGAUUGACAAACCUAUAAUUUUAGAUAAAUAGUAAUGGUUAUUUCUCUUAUAUUUUGUUAGGUGAAGAAUAGAUUUUCAGGAUUAUUUUUCUCCAAAAUUUUUUAGGACUUCUUUUGAGGUAAAGGAAAUUAAUGCAAUUAUUAUUUUUUUUAGAAACAAAUUUUUAUAUACAUCUUUUGGAAAUAUUUUGAAUUAAUAUUCGUUUUAUGCAUGGAUCAAAUAUGUUUUGUAUGAAAAGCAUGUUAGAACUUUAUAUUUUGUUUACAACAGAGAAAUGUGGAGAUAUUAUGUUUUGCAAAUUCAAAUAAUUGAAAUAAGUAUUUGACUUUGAUUUGUUUGGCCCUUGUCAACGGGAUAUAAUAGUUGACCUUUACAUUUCUUGGUGGGGAAUGUAAUUGAUUUGGACCCUAGCCUCUAGGGGUUUGGUUAGAGAUUACUAGUACUAGUAGUGUUUGGUUCCACCCACAUUAAAGGAACAAUUUGAGGCUAGCCACCUAUUUGAAAAGUCCCACCUAAUUGGGCACUAUUUGAUGUUUGAUGACUAGAGAAAAUAAAUGAUUUGAAUGUUUUGAUUGAAUUUGAUAUGAAAAUGUUUGAAUCAGAAUUGAAAGUGUACAGUUAAAAAUUUCGAAUGUAUUGGCAAAACUGACUCAAAGGUUUAUGAAAAUAAUUAGUUAUAAUGUCUCCUAUUUUGCAAGUGAUUUUGAAAUGUUUGAUCCAUGGACUGCAUUAAUGUUCCUUAUUGGGCUUUGAGCUCAUACCUAUUUGUUGAUUACUUUUCAGGCACCUUUAGUUUGAGUGAGGAGUGAUGGCUAGGUCAGGGAAUGGUCAUCAUUAGGAUUUUGCUUAGGAUGUUAUUUGAACAUUGUUAGCUUAUGAGUUUAUGUUCCUUUGGAUUAUUUGGUUUUGGAAGCUAUUUAGAUAUUGAGCUUUUAAAUAUUUUUUUUUUUUAUAAGUUUGAAGUUGAGAUUUGGAGAUUAUGGAAAUUUGUUAGCACUUGAUUUAUUUGGGUUUGCAAUCUAUUUGGAUAAUGGAUUUUGGUUGAUGGAUGCUUAGUUUUAAAGUUAAGUUUGAAGAUUUUAGAAUUUUAUUUCGCUACUAUGAACAAGUUUCUGGUAAUUGGUUACUUCCAGUUAUAAUAUAAUUGUUUGGGUCAGGUUACACUUUAAGCCUUUGAGUUUGAGGUGUGAAAUGACCGUCACGCCCUUGGAGUGGGUCUUGGGACGUGACAUGUCCUGUUUCCAUGGUCUCUGACGCCUAGGCAGACAACAUCCCUGUCAAAUUGCUCUAGCAAUUGCCUCACUAUUGUUGGUGAGAACCCACAUAUGCAGCAAAGUGAAGAGGAGUCCACCCAUUUUCAUCCAAUUCAUUAGUUAAAGACACUUCCAUUCCACUAUCUUCUUUGUCAUUACUGAUAAAAUCAACAAAAGAGAGAAAAAAAAUUAAGAAAAUUAAUGCAGUCUCCUCUUGUAAUUAAUAGCCAAACAAAAUACACUCAAGUUUCAGCUCUCCCAAACCAAACUGAUCAAGAACUCAACUCCCAGUUAGUUACAACAACCCAAGAAGUUAGAACGGUUGUACAGUAGAGUAGUUAGUGUAACAGUUGAAUGAACUGGUAUAAAAACCAUGAUGCUGCUAUUAUAUUCUAGUGAUGAAAUGAAAAACACAGUUUCAAUUUAGUUUCUAUCAUGGUAUCAAAGCGGAACGAUCUCUUGAAAGAAGACUUGUUGAAAAGAUAAGCUUUAGGCUGCACAAUACGCUCGUCUCUCAAAAUAUCAUCUGUCUCACCAAUGGAAAAUUCAACUCAGUCUUUUGAUCUGCAAACUAGAGUGGCGCAUGUGUUUUCUUCCUCAAAUGACAUUCUUCCACAAACACAGGUACUUAAUCAUACACUCCCGAUCAAAUUUGAUAGAAAUAACUACGUCUUAUGGAAAACCCAAAUGGAAAACGUAAUAUUUGCUAAUGGCUUUGAAGACUACAUUGAUGGUUUAAAGGUGUGUCCUCCAAAAGAAACAAACACUGGUGUCUUAAACCCAGAAUUCAUUUUGUGGAGACGUUUUGAUUGUAUGAUCUUGACUUGGAUCUACUCCACUCUUACUCUUGAAAUUAUGGGACAGAUUGUUGGGUUUCAAACUUCUCAUGCAGCAUGGACUACAUUAGAGAAAAUAUUCUCAGCUUCAUCAAAGGCUCAAGUAAUGCAACUCCGAUUAGAGUUCCAAACAAUAAGAAAAGGUUCUUUGUCAAUGAUGGAACAUAUCCUAAGGAUCAAGAAUAUUUCUGAUAACCUAGCAGCAAUUGGAGAAUCAGUGUCUGAAAAAGACCAAAUUCUUCAACUUCUUGCGGGUCUUGGAGCUGAUUACAACUCCAUAGUAGCUUCCUUGACAGCACAAGAAGAUGAUCUCUCUCUUCACUCAGUACAUAGUAUUCUUCUUACUCACGAGUAACGAUUGUGUCUCCAAAAUACAGUACCUGAAAGUGAUCUUAUCAAUGCAAAUAUUGCAACCUCUCAACACAAAAAUAACAGCAACAAAAGGCACAACAACAGAUUCAAUUUCUCUCAAAAGAAAAAUGGCCCUAGACUAGGAAGAUAUCCAUCUAGUGGCAUAGGACAAGGAAACCACGUUAUCUCUACUGAUUGUCCAUAGUGCCAAUUGUGUGGAAAAUAUGGUCGCACUGUUCACAAGUGCUAUCACAAAUUUGAUAUUAAUUUUCAAGGCUAUACAUCUGUAGAUAGUUCAUUUGUACAUAAUACAUCCAACGGCAACAAUCAAAUGCAAGCUAUGGUUGCAUCUCCAGCUCCGGAAAAUAGUGAGACAUGGUUCUUUGACACUAGGGCCACUCAUCAUCUAGCUCAAGAUAUUAAGACUCUCUCUAAUGUUCAAGCAUACAAAAGAAAUGAGCAAGUUAUUGUUGGAAAUGGUAAGAAACUUCCAAUCCUCCACACUAGUUCAAAAUUCUUUCCAUCCACCUUCAGAAAUUUUCAUUUAAAGAAAGUCUUACCAUGUUUCUCAUCUCACUACUAAUCUAAUUAGUGUUUCCAAAUUUUGUACCGAUAAUAACGUCUUUUUUUAGUUUCACCCAAAGUUCUUUCUUAUCAAAGAUCAAGUCUCAAUACAAGUUUUUCUUCAAGGAUAACUUAAGAAUGGCUUAUAUGAAUUCCCUCCUUUGACUGAUAAUGCCCCUGUAGUCUUCUUCACUCCUAUAAUGUCAAACAUCACCUCUAGCCUCUAGCAUUCCAGGCUUGGUCAUCCAGCUGAUGAUAUUCUGACAAAAGCUUUUGAUUCUUGUGAUAUUGGUUAUCAAAGAAAUAGACGUGAUGUUUGUUCUGCUUGUCCAGUUGCGAAGAGUCACAAAUUACCCUUUUCUUUGUCAAAUUCUAGAGUUUCUCAUCCUGUUGCUUUAAUUCACACUGAUCUAUGGGGACCUGCCCUAACUCCAUCUACAACUGGUGCUCAAUAUUUUCUUCUAUUUAUUGAUGAUUUUUCCCGAUUUUCUUAGAUAUAUUCUCUACAUACAAAAGGUCAAGCCUUAUCAACCUUCAUCAAAUUUAAAACGAUGGUUGAAAAUCAAUUUUCUUUCUGUAUUCAAUGUUUGCAAUCUGAUAAUGGUGGAGAAUUCAAACUUUCACUCCUUAUCUUACCACUCAUGAGAUUACACAUAGAUGUUCUUGUCCCUACACUCCUGAACAAAAUGGCCGAGCUGAGCGAAAGAUGAGACAUUUAGUUGAGAGUGGUCUUGCCUUAUUAGCCACAGCUUCUUUACCAUUACAAUUCUGGCUUUAUGCCUUUCAUAUAGCUACUUACCUCAUUAAUCGGUUACCAACUAAAGUUCUUCAAUUUCAAUCUCCUUUUCAAGUGUUGUUUAAUAAAAUUCAAAACUAUCACCAUCUCAAAGUGUUUGGCUACCUAUGCUAUCCAUACCUUCGCUCGUAUAAUAAACAUAAACUUUGUUAUCGCUCUAGUCCAUGUGUGUUUCUAGGUUACAGUCCUACUCACAAAGGUUACAUGUGCUUUGACUCUAACUCCAAUAGUAUAUAUAUCACUCGACCUGUAAAAUUCCAUGAGACAAAAUUUCCAUUCCAGCAGACUGUUAACACCUCAUCUGCAUCUUCUUCUUCUCAGUUCACGUCUACUCCAGCCUUAUUGCCUAUACCAUUGUCUAUUCCACCAACUCAAACUUCACAGUCUUCAAUUCCUACAUCUCAGUCUCCUCACUUGUCUAAUUCUGCUCAUUCAUAUCAUUCUUCCCAUAAUUCAACUUCCUUACUUCCUAUACUCGAUCCUAUUCUAGUUCCUUUCACUGCAUCUUCCAGUUCUUCUCUUACUAAUCCCUUGGCACCACACAACUCACAUCCUAUGACCUUAAGGCAUAUUAUAAUUUCUUUUCACAUCCAUUAAAUUAUACCAGACUUCUUUCUUGACCAAUUUUUGCAGAGUGAGGUCACAAUUUUUCAUUAUGAUUGUGUUUAGAGUUCACUGGUUAGGAAUCGACUGACAUGAACUUAAAAAAUUAGUACAAAUUCAGUACGAGAAAAGUGACUUACAUUUAAAAAAAAAUUAUUAUUUAAAUUUUAGAGAAUGAAUUCAUUUUUUUUUUAGAAAAAUAUUGUUGAGCUCAUUCAUACCAAGUAAAUUUGGUUGUCCAUUUUUUUUAUUUUCCUUUUGAUUGUUGGUGAAAAAAAGUUGAUUAUGUUGUCUAUAUAGAAUCAAAUUAUUCAAUAAAUGGGAACUUAUUAAAUUAAUAAUUGGGGUAAUUAUUGGUCAAGGAUGUGAGAUGGCAAAGAAUGGGAGUUAUUUUGCAUGGUAUGAAUAAGUAUAAAUGAGGGAAAUAGCUUUAGAGUUGAGGAUCUAAUUUGAUAGAAACAAAUUCCAUUGCUUAAUUAUGUAUUUUUGUUUUCUUGACCAUUUGCACUUACAUAUGAAUCAUAUAAUCCAUCGAAUGCAUCUUCCUCAAGUGUUUCAUUCUUAUACUUUUUUUUUUUGAAUUUUCUAAUCAUUUAGGUUUUUUUUGCAAACACUUUAUAAAAAAUAAUUUUUAAGAAUAAUUUUUAAAAUUCAUUUAUGAUAUUUAGUAGAAUAAAAUUUGUUUGGAAAUUUGGAAUGUGUUUAACCUAUUUUCUAUAUUUUUAAAUAUAUUUUAAAAGUAAUUUUUAUACAGAAUGUUUCUUUUUUAUUAUUUUUAAUAAUUAUGUAAUUUUUGAAAAUAAUUAUCAAAAACUCAAAAAAAAAAAAAGUGAUAACAACAAAAAAUAAUUAAAAGUUAUUGGUUGAAAACACUUUAUUCUGUUUUUAAGGAUAAAAAUUUGUUUUUCGCUUUUUAGUUAUUAAACAUGUUUUUCUAUUUUUUUUAUGAAGAAAAAAAUAGUUAUGAAACAAGAAUUUAACUUCCACAUCAUGUUCUCCUCAAUCGCCAUUAUUAAUCAAUUUAUAAAUUAAUUUUGCUUAUUAAUUCCAUAAGAUCAAAAUUUAUUUUAAAAUUUUAAUAUUAAAAUUGAAUGGAAUUUGAUUAUUUAGUGUCUCAAAAAUUUGUCACUUUGAUAAACUACAAGUAAUUUUUAUCUUAUCAACUUUUGAACUCGGACCAAUAGAGAGCAAGAGCCAUUUUGCAUAUAUUAACAUAUAAAAAAAGUCAAGUAGUCAAAUUUGUACAUCUAGUUAUUAAUUAAGUUCCUUGAUUUUAGCAACUUUUAUUCUCCCAAGAUUUUACCAAUAAGAUAAUUAUAAUAAUUAGAUAUUAGUUUGUUGAUUUUUAUUAUUAUUAUUAUCGUUUGUAUAGUUGGAGAUUAGUUUCCUUUUUUUAGGAAACUUAUGAUAUCUAUUUUUAUUUAUUCAUAUCCACUUAUUAUCAAUUUUGAAUGCCAAAUUAGAGGUAAUUUGAUCCAGAAAAUUUUUUAUGUCUAUAGGAACAAGACAAUAUGAAAAAGAACCAAUUACAGUAAUGUACAACAUUGAUAAAGGAUUUACAUAAAUUGAUUCAAUUAUUAGAAAAUUGAUUUGAUUAUUUCCAAAUAUUACAACAAUUUCAAGAAAUUUCAAAAGAAUAUUAUUUAUAUUAAAAACAAAUUCAAGUUAAUGAUUUUAAUUUAUUUAUUUACAAACAAAGUUUUGACUUAUUUACAAUAAAUGAUUUAAUUUAUUCACAUUCAAUUUUUGUUUUCAAGAAAGUUACUUUUACUCAUUAUCAUUAAAAGAAUUUAUUGGAUGCAAUUUCAUUAAAAAAAUUCAGUUUGAUUUUAUUUAGAAGAAGUGAUUUUUAUUUACCUUUACUAGAAAGAGAAUGAAUUUUUACAAUUUUAUUUUCAAGAAAAUGUUUCAAUUCAAACUUUUUUUUUAAAAUUACAAAUUAUUUAAAAAAUAUUUUCAAAAAUUUAUUUACAAAAUAAUAUUCUAAUUUGAUUGUAUUUAUAAAUAAUAAAUUUUAACAUAUUUAUUAUCAUCAUAUAUUAAUGAGUGGGGACUUAGCCUAGUGGCAAUCAAGCUUAAACCCAAGCCUUGUGGCUUGGGUUCGGAGGAAAGCGCGAAAAAAUUACCUAAAAAAUCUAUGAUUUAUUUAAAAUAUCAUUGACAUUUUGGCCAUUUUUUUCAAUCUCCUCUGCCGCGUGUCGCCUCAUGCUCGAUUUUUCACCGCUAAAUCACCUCUAAAUCAAUAUAUCAUCAAUAUUUGGACGACCUUGCUGAAAUUCUAGCCGAUUGAUAAUUGAUGCCCGAUAUCGUUUUGGGCACUACCGAUAUUCAAUAUUUUGCCAAUAUUUCAGCGAAAAAAAUCAACAUUUCAAUCCUUGGUUCCAACUACCUACUACUCUCUAUUUUGGCAUAGUACAAUGGAUUUAAUGCCAUUUUGUACAAGUAUUAAUCUAAGAAACUAAAGUUAAGACAACAUAAAAGAUAUUUUGUAAAAUAAAUUUCAAUCAAAGAGGUAGAUGUUUGUGUGUUAGACCCCUACCAACUUUGUUGUCGGAGUUAAAAGCCCUACCAACUUUAUUGUCAGAGUUAAAAGCCUUACCAACUUUGUUGUCAAAGUUAAAAGUAGUUGGAACUUGGAAGUAGAUCAUAACUAACACGUUUAUUUAUGUGAAACAAAGAUGAAAAUAUCGGUGAUUACGGAUAUAUCGAUACUUCGAUUUUACAAAUAUAUCGAAUUUAUCAAAAAUAUAUCAGCAGAUAUUUUGAUACAAAAUAUCAAUGGACUUAAAAUUGAUCAGAACUUAUAGAAAUGUAGGUAAAAACUUUUAAAAAUGAAAUUAGAAGUAUAAUAGAUAUUUUAAAGCUGUUUUGUUGAAGAAAUUAAUAUAUAUAUGGUAUAAUUUAUUAUAUUUGAUAAUAAUAUUGUAUGUGUUGAUAAAAAAUGUAAAUUUUAUAAGUGUACAUUUAUUAUUAAAUUACAUCAAAUAUUAUUCGACAAUAAUAUUGUGAUAUUUGAUUAUAAUAUGUCUAAUUUUAAAAUAUAUUUAAUAUUAAAAUUAUAAUUCAUUUAAUUUAAUUGUAUUAAAUGAUAUAAAAUAAAUGAUGAUAUAUGUAUAAUUUUUUAAUAUUUAAUUAAUAUAUAAAUGAUAUUAAAAACACUAUAAAGAAAAUUAUCAUGAUAAUUUUUAUAUUUUUGUUAACAUAAAAAUUAUUUUUGGUAAUUAAUUAAAUGAAUUUUUUUAUUUAAUUAUAAAAUAAUUAUAAUUAAUUUGUUUAUUUUUAAAUAUUUUGUUAAUAUUUUAUUUAUAUGAUGACUUUUAGUAUAUAUGGGUUGGAUGCAACAUAGGCGAACUUGCCCUGUGGUUGGCUGAGGUUAGAACCUUUUGUUUGGGGUUGGAGUGGGUAUGAUAUUUUAAUCCUUGAUAUGGAGAUGAGAGUUGUUUUGUAAAAGAUAUGUUUUUUUAGCAUAAAUGAAAGUUCUAUGUCCAAAAUAAGAUUUUGAUGUUCUCUUUCUUUCUGACAUGGAUAAGAGUAGUCCGUAAAAGUUACAAAAAUAAAAGUAAGUUUUGGAAAAAAUAAAAUAAAAAUAAAAAUUAUACUCACUAGUAUGUCUUGUUCAUUUUUGUCAAAUCUCGAUGCCCUAAAUGUGAAUCUUGGAAAAUUGAAGAAACUAACCAAACAAUUUGUUGACCCCUCAUUUUGGCCGAGUAAGAGAACAUUUUUUUUUUAGGCCAAUUGGGGCUGUUAGGGAGCUAUGGAGAGGAUGCUCUCCGAGGUCCAGAUGGGUGACAGGUGGAGCUGUGGAGAGUUGUUCUCCUGGGUCCGGAUGGAUGACCCUCCAUCAUUGAGGGGAUUUUUCUGUUAGAAAAUAUUACCUUUAGGGAGCACUUUGAGGGAGUGGCGCAGAGACCUUUUUGCUAGGAGAAACCAGCAGGUGACACGCAGUAGUGGUUUUUCUGGCCGUUGGAGGGAACUUGAGCAGCAAGAAAAGUUGGAGAAGUUGGAAAGAAGAGAGAAAAAACGGGGGGAGCUACAGAGAGUGUCUCGAGAGAGCAAAGAGGAUUGAGGAGGCUGUGAGAAAAGCCAUUUUUGAGAAAAAGAAGAGUAUAGAGAGAUAGUGAGCUAAGCUUAGACAGAGAUAGUGAAAAGUGAGGUUGAAGAAAGUGAGAUGAACAGAAGAGAACCAGAGCAGAGAACAGGGAAGAGGAAGGAAGUUGGAGUCUUACCAGUUUUGGAGUAAAAGAAAGUAUGAGAAGCUGACCAAGCUUUGAGAAACCUAGGUAGGGCCACUGUACAUUUCACCGUUUUCUUCCUCUGUGCUUGUUGAUUUUGAGUGUUAUUUGUUGAUUUGGGUGCGAAUAUCAUAUGUCCAUGCAUUGCUUGUUGCCUUUUAAGCGGUUGAUAGGCUAGAUCUUGCUAUAUUCAUCUAUGCACCUUUGUUUUUCUUUGAGAUAUAUCCUGAAUAUGGUUCAGUUUUACUGUGUGACCAGGGUUCAAAAUCUCGGUCGAUACCGGUACGACUCGGCCGAGUCGUAUCCACCUCGACCAUGGACGGUACCGGACCGAUACCCGAGUUGGAUAUUUUGCCGAACAAACUCGAUUGAAUUGAAAGAGUGAAUCCUAUGAAAACGUUGAGACAACUCCAAGAUCAUGUUGAGACUAAGCUAUUUGGGUUAUUGGUAAUGGAAACAAAGGUAAUAUUGAAGUAGAAAUGGUGGAGAAGAUGAGAAAAUCAAAACCCACGAAAAUGAAAAAUACAGAUUACAGAGAUGGCCUGCAUCUUGUAGUCGCUGGUCGGAUCCCCCAAGUUCUUGCCGGAGAUGGAACUAAGCGACAUGAUUAGGAGGCAGAGUUGCCGAAUAUCGACGGAGAACGACGGUGAGGUGGCCGAUGGAAGUGGGAGAAGAGAGAAAGUGGCCUGCGGAGGAACUGGUUGUGGGGAGAAAUGGGUCUUUGACCGAUGGUGGCUAUGAGUAUUUAAACAAUAUGGAUUUGAGUUUUUUUUUUUUUUUUUUGGAUAAAUAGGUGAGGAUUUAGGUUUUAAAUAAUAUGUAUUUAUUUUUUAAGUAGAUAAUGAGUAUUUGGUGGGAAUUUGAGUUUUAAAUAAUUUGAUGAAAAUUAUAAUGAUAAAAAAUUAAUAAUGAAUAUUAGACUUAUAUCAAAUAAAUAGGAAAUGAAUAUUUAUAUAAAAAUUAAAAUUAAUGAAUAUAUUUUAUAAGAAAAAUUAUAUUUAUUUUUUUAAAGAUAAAUCAUGGUUUUAUUUUUUUAAUAGUUAAAAAUAUUUUUUUUUAAAUUCAAAAUAUUUAAUUUAAACAAUUUUUUAUAAAAAAAAUUACUUUUUAUUAUUUUCAUCUUCAACAAGAAACAUUUAUUAUCAAGUGAUUAAAUUAAAAUAUUUUUAGAGAUUUUUAAUAUUAUUUUAAAUUAUCCCAAAAGUAUGCUUUUAUUAUAAUUUGAAUAAUUUUAAUAUAAUAGAAGUUUAUUUUAUUAAUUUUUCACUCUACUUAUUUGUAUUUAAUUUUUUAAAUAAUUUUAAUAAUUUUUUAAAAUUAUUUUAAUAUCUUAAAUUAGAAUUUUUUGCGUAUCACCCGAUACCGAUCCGAGAUACCGAGACAGAUGUGCCUCAAGACCUCCCGAGUCAAUGACCGAUACCGCGACUUUGAACUAUGUGUGUGACAUAUGAGAAUCAUGUUUCUACUCCCUGUUUCAUUCACCCGUUCUUGGCUCGUUGAUUAAAACAUGAAAUGUGUGGCUAUAGUUGGUUCAUUUUGCUUCCUUCACUUGUGCUCUGUUUUCUUCUUUUCUCCUGUUUCUGAUGUCCACCUAUGGAGAGCUGGGCACAAUGAAUAUAAAGCAUUAAGAGGUUUUGAGUGUUUGUGGAACAUGGGUUUUUACUGGGUGAAAUAAUACCAGAAGAUUUCAAGGAUGUUUGUGAUGAUAAAUGCAAGUGUUUGCAUUCUUGGAAUAUUGGUGAUUUUUUCUCGAGUUUGACACAGCUUGAAGGGCACCAGAAGGUUGUUUGUGGGAUUGUUUUUGCUAUUUGGGCCUGAUAAGCUAUAUAUUGGGAGCAAAGAUGAGACUGAGGACUUGGAACUCUCAAUCUAGGCAGUGCACUAGUGUGGUUAAUCUUGGCAGAAAAGUUGGUUGUAUGAUCAGUAAAGAUUCAUGGUUCUUUGUGUGUAUACCAAAUGUUGUUAAGGCAUGACACACUCAAAAUAACAUUGAAUUGAGUAUCGAUGAACCCAUUAGGCAAAUUUAUGCAUUGGUUGUUGGUAAUGAUCUGCUAUCUACUGGUGCACAAGAUGGAGCAAUAUGGGCAUGUCUGUAAUGAUCACCAAACUGCCACAGCUCCAACCACUUCCAUGCAAAAAUACUGCCACCCAAACAUUCAAACAAGCCAAUUGCUUCUAAAUGGGAUUUCUACUUGGCUUUGUAUCUGCUUACACCAAAAAGUGAGGAAAGGAACAGCUCAGCAAGCUCACCUUACAUGAGGUAGAGGAUUCAGAGGAACUUGUGGAAUGACUUCAUGAACAACCCAAUUUUCAAUGUAGAACAUUAGCUUCUUUACACAGAGAACACCCACAAUAAUGAGAUUUGUUCGACUUUGAAGGCAGCUCAUCAUCAUCCAUUUACGGCAUGCUCGAUCAACUCCAAUCAGCAAACAUGGUCUCCUAAUAUGGUUCAUCUUUCCAACCAAAUAAUGCUCUGAGUCUAGGCAAAUGAGUUAUGGACAAAAUGCCAAUAGAGCCUACUUCGGUGAUCUGGACCACUUUGUUUGGAGGUUAUGGGAGACAUGAUGAAACCAAGGUGGCCAAGUUAAAACUAAGGGAGCUCCAGAGCAUAAUUCCUUGAAGAAACUGCUCAUUUACUCUUCGCGUGCAUGAAGUAAUAUCUCCUCAUUAACAUGGCCACCCUACAGUUGUUACAUGACCACUUGCUCCUUUUUUUAUUCCCCCAAAGGAAACCUAGAUAGUAAUUCCGGUUUGAACCCCUACCAGCUUCUUUUCCAUCCUACCCAUGUGCAUGUGUGCAUGGCCACCCAAAACUGUUGCAAGGCCCUCCAUCAAAUCCAAAUCCUAAGCCAAAUAAUUUUGUGCCUAAAACCUUAGGACCAACUUACCAUGUCACGACCCAAAUUCCGGGCAACCCAAAAUUUGGCCCUAACCCCAGGUCAAAGGUUUUACCCUAAGGGUUAAUCCUAAUCCACACUAGCAGUUAACCAAAACGCUUUAAAAUUUUUUUUUUCUACACAUACAUCACACUAGAAUUCCCACCAACCAACAAUCCAAACUAACAAUAUCUCAAUCACUACUCAAAAGCAACAAGAUAUAAUAAUUAUCAUUAUAGUCCAAAAAUAAAAGUUCACAGUUAAACAAUUUAAUCAAAAUAAGGUCUUAUUACAAUGCAUAGUCCACAAUUUGCUAAAACAAGUUCCAAUACAACCAACACAACAAAUACACCACUCUCCACUAGGCUGUUCCAAAACCUCCAGGGACAUCCUAAAGUCCUCCCUGCCCCACCUGUGAAUCUUCAGGAGUGAUAUCCACAUCUAAAAAGAUGUAAAAAGGAAGGGGUGAGCAUUUCACAUUGCUCAGUAGGGUGUUUAACACCCAAAGGGUUAAUGGGGAUUACUAAGUUUCAAUUAGCACAAAAGAAACAUUCAUCAAUAUUGAUCAAGCCACAUAUCUUAAUCUCUAUAAUUAUACACAAUUCCACAAUUUUCAACAAUUAAAUGAAAUGCAUAUGAACAUGUGACACACAACCAUACAAUGCACUGUCAUUCUCAGGCUUUCAUCGAAUGAUAUGCGUCCGCAUCCAAAUACACUUCCCAUUCAGAGUCAUCUCAGGGUAAACUUUGGGUCUUUCACCCUAGGGAUCUCUCAUCCUUCUUAAUUCGCCUCACACGGACCUUUACUUUUCAUCACUAUUUUAUUUUUUUCUUUCUUUUUCCAUUUCAUGCACUUUUCACAGUUUUUAUCUUUUCUUCACACAACCAUGAUGCAAAUGAAUGUCAUGAGGUUAAUCACCCUCAUUCACAAGUAUCACCAAUAUUACAUAAAUUUCCAACUAAUCCAAAUAUAAUUGAAAGCACAAUCAUACCAAAAUUCCAAAAUUUCCCAACAAUUCCAAUAAUUCCAAUACUCAAAUAUAAUUAUUUUUCCACAAUAAAAUUAAAAAAAAUAUUCCAACAAAUUCUCAAAAAUUCACAUAUCAAUAAAUUAUAAAUUAUACCAUAAUUUCGUAAUUUUCCAACAAUUCUAAUAAUUUUCAAUAAUCAAAUAUAAUUAUUUUUUCACAAUAAAAUCACCAAAAAUAUUCCAACAAAUUCUCAAAAAUUCACAUAUCAAUAAAUUAUAAAUUAUACCACAAUUUUGUAAUUUUUCAAUAAUUCCACUAAUUUUAACAACCCAAAAGCAACCAUUUAUCAAUCAAAAAAAAAAUUCUCGAAAUCACAAAAAUUCCAAAAAUAUUCCCAAUCAUCCAAUAAAAUUCCUAUAUCACAAACACUACCUAUUUAACUCAUAACGACAAGAUCGACGAUUUUUUUCAAGAAAAAAAACAUUUAAUUAAAGUUUUAGGGUUAGGUUUCUCUAUCACAUAUUUACAAAUCAAACCGUUAAAAUCAAGAUCAACCAUCGUAAACUCGUUCCUCGUGUCGAGUAGAACAUUUCCUCAAAUUUUCACUCAAAACGAACAACGUUCGGCCGUCCAAAAGGCCGGCCAAAGAUUUAGAGGGAAAAAUUCUGCCCACAGUGCCGAAAGCUCCUCUUCUGCCACUUUCUAAUUCCUUUCUUUUCUUUUUUUCUUUUUUUAAAUCCCAAUUAUUCUACUUUUUAACCACCAGCCAAGCCCACGGCCCACACCAAAAGCCUUUGAAUUCUUUUCUUUUUCUUUUUAUUUCAUUUGUUUUGUUUCAUUUCUCAUUUCAUUUCCAAUUCAUUUCAUUUUUUUUUAACAACACACAAAAUAAUUUAACCAACACCAAUCCAAAAUUAUUUUUCUCAAAUUUAUUAUCAAGUAAUUUAAUUUAAUUUUUACUUAAUUAGUUCUAGUUAAUUUUAAUUAAUUCAUUUUUCAUUUUUUGUUUUCGUUUUUUGUUUCCAGAAAUUUUCAAUUUCUACAAUCCUAAGAAAUUUUCUACCAUAAAACUAAUGUGGCACAAAAUUUUCAACUCGCCUAAUUGACCAACAAAAUAAUUCGAAUUCCAUCAAUCCAAAAUUAACACGUGCUCUCCGAUCACUUUUCUUUUUUUACUUUUCAACCAUUGCUCAAAAGAAGACUUUUCAAACUAGAAAUCCUAAUGUGACCUAAAAUACCCGGUCAUUACAUACCACCAUCAACCUAAUCCCAUCACCAUGCCCACCAAUCACUCCUCAUUCCUACACGAUAUUGACCACUGUUUGACAUGAGCUUGAUCUAAGUUUUGAGGUUUGCUUGAGAAAACCACUACUGUGAUUUGAAGAUGGGUUUAGUGGACGUCUCUUCUGAUCUUACCGAGUUUAGAAGAACUCCGAUGGCAGUAUUUUCGGCUGGGGUAAAAUCAAUAUUAGACAUUCCCAGAACCUUGGAGUAUUUGAAAUUCAAAGAGCAUGUGUUGCUGCUUAUAUGACUAACGAAUGUCCAGCAUUUUUCACAAAAAAUCAAUGAUUGCAUCUCGACAACACAAUCUUAUAUUGGCUUCAGAGAGGAAGCUCUCAAACCCAAUGAGACAAGACAUCUUUUAAGGCAGAUGACAAAAUAGGCCAUGCUCACCUCAGCCUUCAACCCAUAGUCUUAGCUGCAAGACUAAAGCAAAUCCUAGGGUUUCAUCUGGCUAUACACAUGGAAUAUUGCUACUGAAGAAGAGCAAAGUGAUGAUACAAAUGAAAGUUUUGCCUCUACUGAUGCAACCAAAGCUUCUUAAUCGGUGUUACUAGCAAUAUGGAUCAAGAGAGACACAUAGAAUACUAUUUCUUUGGGGACCACUGAAAAUCACAGUGGUGCAAAUGCAGAUUUGAUGUCCUUGUCUCAAUCAACAGAAGUUAGUGGUGGUGAAGUUGCUACGGUUGGCAACAGGGUUCUUUUAAACCCCAAAGUUGGUGCUCCUAACACAAAAGGUUUGAGUUAAAUUGUGCCUUCUUCAUAAAUUGAUCAAAAUUUGAAGGUUGAGGCAGAUCGUGGAAGCAUAGAAAAUGUUGCCAAGGAAGUUAUGAAUUCCAAAGAUAGUGUUAUGGGAGUUGAUGCUUUUGAUGGGAAUUUAUAAUAUUCAUCCAAAGAUAAAACAUUGAUGGACAAGACGGUGGAGAAUGGCACCAGAGGCCAUAAUGAUGCACGUGUGUGAGUCCAGAUGAAUGAACCCAGGUUGCUGAAAGAGAGAAAGCUUCACCUAUGUAAAAUAAGAAGAUGUUGGACUCGAAAAUUGAAGUUGUGGGAAGUGAUGAUGCAGAUGGGAAAUGUUGUUCUUCGAAAAAAGAUCAAGAUAUGGAGGAUUUUGGAGGAAAGAGGGUGAAACUCCAUCAGCAGUGAAAAAGGAGGAUCGAAUUAUAGGGAUACAUGAAGGUUCUUGGUCUUAUCUUGUUGGUACCAUUGGUAGAGUUCCUAAGAAAGUGAUAGGAACAACAACACCAAAAGAACCCCCAGACCAUCAAAAAUCUGCAUGGUGUUUUUCCAUUGGAGAUGAACUGAUUAUACAUUGGGAAUUAUCAUCAUCAAUAGCAGCAGCACUGGCACCAGCUAAUGCAGCCUCUUUGCACCUCGGGCCCACUUCUGCACCCAUGCAUGGCCACCUUUGGCAUGCAAUCCCAAAGGCCACAUGUCAUCCUCUUAUUUCUUCAUCUUUUGCUUUUAAAAUUUGAUUUUCAAAACUCUAGUUUUCAAAUAAUUUUAAAAAAUCCAGCUUUCGAAUCAUCUUAAUCUCUUACCCUUUUAUAUUUAUUUUAUUUUAUUAUUAUUAUUUUUCCUUAGAAAUUUCAAGUCAUUCCAAAAAUCCAAUUUUAAUAAACUUUUUGUUGUCAUAUUUCUCUUUUGGUAUGCAUUUUCAUAUUUUCUUUGAAUUUCAACUUUUUUUUAUUGAUUUUUCUCAAUUUUUAAUAAAGCAUGAAUAAAUUCUAUAAUUUCAAGUAAUAGAAUUUAUGAAGUUAAUUCAUGCUAAAAUAAAUCGGGCAUUGGUGGGGCCUGACAUCUAUGAUUGAUUACUUGAUUGACUUUGUCCUACUCCGAUAUGUAUGCGAUUAUUCAGUAUUUGUGCACUAACCUUGUCUCCCAUGAUAGUACUCAGUUUGCGACUAAGGUACGUCUCGUACCCGAUCAUUUUUAUAUAUUUAUCCGUUAUCAUGCAUGACUUAUUUAAUUAUUUGAUCAUUGUUUAGUAUCCACGAUUUCUCGAUCAAUUGUCAUGUUUGCCCUAAUUGAUUAGUAGGGACCCAUUUUUAGGAGUUUAGAGGGGUGCUACGCCUUAUCACCGUACCUUCUCGAUAGAUAACCUGACCCCAAACCCAAACUUAGUUUUUCGCAAACUUGUUUUUUUUUAGGAGUCACAUUUAGGUUUUUCUUUCUUAUUUUGUUUUUCCCUUAAAAAAUAAAACAAAAAUAAGUGGUCACUCCAAAUUAUUAUUAUUAUUUUUAAAAUAAUUUUUUCAAUAAAAAUUGGGUUUCACCAUUCGAGUGGAAACGCAUGCGAGAAAGGCGGGGUCCACACAAUUAUUAAAAAAUUAUCCAAAAAAAGUUUGAGCCCUUUGUUAUUAUUAAAUAAGGUUUUUUUCAUAUUUUUUUAUAAUAAAAAACUAAAAUUAUCGAACAUAUUUUUAAGAAUUUAAAAACAUAAUUGAAAACUUAUUUAUUCUUUCUACCCUUAAAAACUCUAAAACAAAAAUAUAGCUAACAACCAUCUAACCUAUCAUGUUCUUCUCCUUUUCUUUUCUUUUCUUUUUUCCUUCUUUUUUUCUCCAAUUUCCAUUGUAGAAUGGACAAACAAUUUUCAGAAGGAAAAUAUAGAAUGUGAUACUGUGGCAUAAAAAAAUAACCUAUUUUUAGGCUUAGUAUUAAUCAAGUGAGAAAAUAAAAAAUGAAGAAAUUUAAAAUUUCUUAUUUCAUUUAAUAUUAUAACAAAAAAGUGGCCUUUGUGUGUGUUAAAGCACUAUCAAUCUUGUCAUUACGCUACAAUUAUUUUAUAGGACAUGAGCAUUUUCUUUCAACUUAUUUCUAUAUUUAAAGAUAUUUUAUGUAACUUAUGUUUACAUUUGAGGAUAUCUCAUAUAUAAUAUUAGCGUAAGGAAAAGUUGUCUAGCUAGAUCCUGAUCCUUAUCUUAUUGGGAUCCCAAAAUAUGAUUUGAUCUCCGAUUACAAUUAUAGAACAAUAACACCAUGGUAGCUACUGUGCUCCUUUGCUACACAGAAUAGAAGCUUCUCUACAAAACUACCCAUUUUCUGCCCCUCACAAAAACCAUGGUCACUCUUUUUUUUCUAGCUAAAUUCAUUUUAUUAAAUAUUUUUAUAAAUAAAAUGACAUUUCUGACAUUCCAUAAUUUCUACGUUGUUGAGCCAAAUUUAGAAAAUGGAUCAUUCUUGGACAACCUCGAUCUUGUGGGGUUUGGUUUUGGAAGCCAAAAGUCCUAUCUCUGUUGCCCUUUAGGGCUCUUGUAUAGGGAGACGGAGAUAUUUGAGGAUGCCUGCAAGGUUGUAGUACAACCUACAUCCUUAUCUAGGCUUUGGUUCUAAAAGUAUUAAAAAAAAAAAAAAUGUUAUAGAAAAUUACUAUUCAUAUUUGAUUUCACAGUUAAAAAUAUAUUAAAAUAAUCAAAUAUAAUUAAAAUUAAUUAAAAAAUUUAUAAAUUUUAAAUUUAUUUAAUCUUUAUAUAAAGAAGGAAAUUAAAUAAAAUAAAUUUUAAAAAAUAUAUAAAAAUAAGUUAUUGAUUUAAAUAUUUUUUUUUCUAUUUUUUCUCUUUAUUUUCCUUAUUUAAAAUUUGAUGGGAAUCAAAGAUAUUUACUUAAAAUUUGAUUUAAAUAAUUAUUUAUAUUUAGUUUGUAUCCAUUUCUUAAUUUCAAAGGUACAUUUUAAUAAACCAGACCUUAUGGAAGGUCAUGACAUACCUUCUUGUUAAUUAUUAAUUUCACUCCCAUAAAGAAAAUGAGAUCUUACCCAUUGCAAAUAGAUCAAUUAGCACAUCCUGAGAAAAGGUUAAAAACGCAAAUAAUAAUAAUAAUAAUAAUAAUAAUUACCAAACGUGCUUAAAAGAAAUUAAUUUCAAGUUUCAGAAGAAAAGGUAUUCUUACAGCGGUACAAGAUCUGCAAAAUUGUAAACAUAAGGUACCCUAAGAUUCUUUUAUAAAUUUAAAAAUUUGUCUAAAUACAAAAUAAAAGGCAAGGAGAACGAUGCAGCAGAUGAUACAAGUAACGAUUGGAAGGCCAGAGGAAAGUGGUAGCACAGCGUAUAGGCCCGUCAUGAAUGCAACCACCAUCGCUCCCAUGCUAAACAGGGUGAGUAAAAAGCCCAUAAUCAAGUGUUUUACAAGGAAUUCCCCGUCCUUAUGCAACGACAUAAAAAAAUAAACGAACACAGCAGAUACGGAGAGGAUCACGGCUAUGGUGUCCGUCACAAUAAAUGCUUUGAAAGCUGCUCUCUUUGUUAAAAUUGCCAUGCCAUUGUCAUUGUAACCACCGGGCAAGGUGAAACCCGCAGCAAAGGUUACAGUUGCUACAAGUGCUGCCACUAUCAAAUGGGUUUCACCUUGUCUUUUUAUGGUAGAGAUGCUUUCGUCUUUUUCGACGUCUUGGCUUUUACUACUACUACUACUACUACUAUUACUAUUACUAUUACUAUUACUAUUACUGAUAGCACCACUGUCUUUAUUGAUAGCCUCCUGCCAACUAAUGGUCCAACAACAACUUUCUCCCAUUCCCUCAAUUGUCUUCGAAUUUCUUCCUGAAAUUUGAUCAAAAUAAAACACCUUAAAAAAUAAAUAAAUAAAUAAAUAAAAAUAAAAGAAAUAAAGAAAGAAAAAGAAUGUAGUUCAUGUGUCGCUGUUUUGGCUUUUUGCUCUUCCUUUAUAUAAGAAGAUUUUCUCAUCUUCCCUCAAAAUGUUUUUCCAUAAGUCUACAAUUUAGACCCACAGGUUCUACAAAUUGCCUACAUUAUGGUAAUUUGGUAGUUAAUUUCUAUUUUAAGCAUGAUUGUCUCUACCGAUAAUAAAAAUAGAAAAAAUAAUGAUGAUGGAGUCUUUCCAUAUCAUUACUAAUAAAAAGAUUAGGUUAGGAUCCUUACUGGCUUAACGUUAGCCCUUGAAAAAAUGUCUAGGGCGGUUAACUUAUCCUUGUUGAGUGCCAUUUUAUCCACUCUAUUGUCCUCUGACAAAGAUGGAUCAUAAACUUGGUAAGAAGCAAGCAGGUGGAGGGGUGAGUCUCCUUUAGCGUCUUUCUCAUUUAUAAGUCUUCUCACCCUUAACAAACUAUUGUCAUUCAAGAUAUGACGAGUAGCAUGAUACCGCUCGCUCAUAAUGGCAGAGUGAAGAACAUUAUUUCCCUUAUCAUCCACUUGCUCGCAACAAUCUGGGGAGUGUGACAGCAGCAGCUUUACUAUAUCUUGAUGGUUACGGUUAGCUGCAAUGUGAAGUGCUGUUUUCUUGCUGUCCUUGAUUCCAAGAUAAGUUACAGAUUUAUCUGGUGAUUUGGCUAGUAAUUGCUCCACAAUUUCAGUAUGACCCAAGUAUGCAGCACAGUGAAGGGGAGACCAUCCUUUCUCAUCCACUUCUUUUGUCAGAUCUGGCUUCCAUUCCAAUAACCUUGCUGUCAUUUCUGUAAACAAACGAACCAACAAAAAACAGAGAAAACAAAUUGAAGAAAAUUAAGUUAAUAAUUGAAGUUCCCUCUAGUUUUUUUUUUAAAGAGGGAGAGCUGGGAUUGAGAGAGGAAGGGAUUUUUUAAAGAGGACAGUUUUUUUUUUAGAGAAAAAAAGGGGAGCUUUCCGACAACCCCUCCACCAGCAACUCCACCACCGGCCACUUCGCCACCUGCUACCCCUCCACCGGCUCAUCUCGCCUCUCCACCAGCAGCGGUUCCAGCGCUAGCUCCAAGGACGAAGGUGAAAUCUCCGGUCGUGGACCGAUCUCAGGCGGAAUCUCACCAGGCCAGCUACGAACGAUGUGAAUGGAGUGGAAAGGCUGUGGUCGAUGAAGAAGGUGGUCGGGCAUUUGGACUGGCACUGAGCUUGAUGAUCUGUGAGAGAAGGAGCACCGAGAGAAAGAGAUAGGAGUCUUCCAGGCGAGAGAUUUUCUCUUCUUAUAUCUGCUUUUAUAUGUCAGUUUUUCUGCUAAAAAUUCAUGACGGGUAAGGGGAAGGUUCACGUCAGCAUUGUCGCCAUUGGCCAUGUCGACCAUGGCAAGUCGACCACCACUGGUAAUUUGAUAUACAAGCUUGGAGGUAUUGACAAGUGUAUUAUUGAGUGGUUUGAAAAAGAAGCCGCUGAAAGGAAUAAAUGACCAUUCAAGUAUGCUCGGGUCUUAGACAAGCUCAAGGCUGAACGUGAGCAUGGUAUUACCAUUGAUAUCGCUUUAUGGAAGUUUGGGACCAUUACCAUUGAUAUUGCUUUAUGGAAGUUCGGGACCAUCAAAUAUUAAUGCUCAUGGUCAUUCGGAUUUCAUCAAGAACAUGGUUACUACUUACUAGCACCUCACAAGUCACAAGCAGACUGUCUUGUUUUCAUUAUUAAUUCCACCACUGGUUGAGCAUGUAUUGCUUGCUUACACCAAGCCCUUGGUGUAAGCACAUGAUUUGCUGUUGUAACGAGAUGGAUGCCACACGUCCUCUUAAUCCUUCAUCGUGACAAAUAUAUAUUUAAAAAAAAAAAAUCAAAUUUUAAGUAAUUUUUCAAAAUUUCCCUUUUUAAAAUUUAAUUAAAAAAAAUCCAUUUUCAAAAUCCCUCUUUUCAAAGUCAAUUUACAAAACUUUUUUUUUUAAACAACUUUUCAAAAUCCCAAUUCUCAAAUUUAAUUUUCGAAACUCUCGUCUUCAAAUAAUUUUCAAAAUUCCAAUUCUCAAAUUUAAUUUUCAAAACUUCCAUUUUCAAAUAAUUUUUCAAAAUUCCAAUUUUUAAAUUUAAUUUAAAAAAAAUCAUUCUCAAAUAAUUUCCCAAAAUUCCAAUUUUCAAAACUUUAAUCUUGAAAUAAUUUUCCAAAAAUUCAAUUUCCAAGUUUAAUUUUCAAAACUUCUAUUCUCAAAUAAUUCUUCAAAAUUCCAAUUUUUUAAAUUUAAUUUUCAAAACUUUCAUUUUCAAAUAAUUUUCUAAAAUUCCAAUUCUCCAAUUUAAUUUUUAAAAAUUUCAUUUUCAAAUAAUUUUCAAAAAUUCCAAUUUUCAAAACUUUAAUCUUCAAAUAAUUUUUCAAAAUUCCAAUUUUCAAAACUUCUAUUUUCAAAUAAUUCUUCAAGAUUUCAAUUUUUAAAUUUAAUUUUCAAAACUUCAAUUUUCAAAUGAUUUUCCAAAAUUCCAAUUUUCAUCUCAAAUUUAAUUUUCAAAACUCUCAUUUUCGAAUAAUUCUUUAAAAUUCCAAUUUUUAAAUUUAAUUUUCAAAACUUCCAUUUUCAAAUAAAUUUUCAAAAUUCCAAAUUUCAAGUUUAAUUUUCAAAGCUCCCAUUUUCAAAAUUUUAAAUAUAAAAAUGAAUAAAUUUUCAUAAUUUCAUAGUAAUGGAAUUUAUGAGAAUUAACUCAUAACAAAAUCAAUAGGGCUUUGGGGGGCCUGAAUAUUGUUUGAUCUUUGUCUUACUCUUUGAUAUGCAUGUGAUGAUGUUAUACUUGACCUAACCUUGUUUCCAUGAUAGCAUAUUAUUACUUACUAUUAAGAUAUGAUUUCACUCCUACUUUGUUUUAUCCUUAUACAUCAUUUGUUUAUUUCCUUAUUAAUUGUGACACUUGUUUCACCUUUUUUAGUAGAGAUCCGUUUUUAGGGACUUAGAGGAUGCUACAAUCUUUACCAUACAUUUCCAAUAAGUAAUUUGACCCCGUACCCGACUUUGAUUUUCCAUAUGUUGUCUUUUCCAAAUAAUAAGUCACACUUAGAGUUUUUUUUCUUAUUUCGUUUUCCCUUAAAAAAAAAUAAAACAAAAAUAAGUGACAACUUCAAGUUUUUUUCUAAAAAUCAUAUUUUUCAAUAAAUAAAUAAAAAAAGCAAAUUGCAUCAUCUAAUGAGAACACAUCAUGCGAAAAUGCGGGGUCCACAACCAUAUUUUUUGUUUUUAAAAACAGAAAAUAUAAAACAAUUUUCUAGUUAUCAAAUAUAUUUUCUUUUUAUUUAAAAUAAAAAAACAUAUUCUUAAAAUAGCUAUCAAAUAAGACCUUAUAUUUUUUUUACCUUUAUUAUCUAAUAACAUUGCAAUUGUAUUAUAAAUUAUGUUGAAAACAAUUAGCCAUAAGGCAUAGUAAAAUUUCUUUUCCCAUCCAUAUAUAAAAUUAUUUAAUUAAUGAAAUUGUUAUUAUCUUUUUCUAAUCUAAAUUCAACCAUUACGUUGAAAAACAAUUACCUUGUUGCAAUUGUAUGAUCCAAAUAAUUUUUUUUUACCAAAUUUUGCAGAGAGUGAGAUUGUAGUUUUUCAUUGGGAUAGAACUUUUGGAGUUUGAUGGUUGGGAAUCGACUAACAUAAAGUUAGCAAAAUUAAUAUAUAUCAUGUACGAGAAAAGUGAGUUACACAAAGAACAAAGCUAUACCGCCAAGUAGAGUGUAAGCUUUCUAGUAGCGUGCAUCAUGAGAUUGCAAAGAGCGCAAGCUUUCUGGUAGGGUUCAUCAUGAGAUUGCAGGUCUAGCAAACUUGACCUUGCUUGAUCUAUCUUCAUGAGAUUGCAGGUCUAUCAGGGCCUGUACCGAAGUUCUUUGACCGGUCCAACCGCCGACCUUUGACUGGUCUGGUUUGGUCCUCUCCUUCUGGGUGGUUGAACUGACCACAAACAGGGUGAACCGACUGAACCGGGCGGUUCUUCAUGAACCGCAUAGCUCAAUUCCAGCCCAGCCUUCCCCUCCUCUCUUUCAUAGGGGCCCAAGUAAAAGUCCAAUAAGCCCGGACAGGUUCUCAAUUCCAGCCCAGCCCAGCCUUUCCCCUAUUUUCUUUGUAGGAUCCACCGCAAGCAUUUGAACCCUAAACCUCAACUGAGCAAGCAUCAUAGAGCACCACUUGGCCAUAGUACAUUUUUUUAUACUAAGUUUAGCAAAUAAAAAAAAUCUAUAUGUGUUUGUAAAAUGAUUUAUAAUAUUAAAUAAAAAUAAUAUAAUAUUUUUUGAAAUUAUAAAAUUAGUUAAAAUUUUCUUUCAUUUUUAAUAUAUUCACAUUUAAAUAUUAUACAUAUUCCAUUUAAUAAAGUUUAAAAUAUUAAUAGAUUUAUAUUUAUAAUUGAUAAUAUCAAAGAUAAAAAAUAAAUAUUAUUAAUUUUUAAUUUAUAUAUAUAUAUAUAUUUAAAAUUUUAUUAUUUUUAAUUUUAAUAUAUUUAUAAUGUUACUAGUUCAUCCUAUUCAAACAUCAAUUCAAUCAUUGAACUAUUAAUUAUAACUUUUUUGGUUCAAUAAUGCUAAAAACAUUGUGAGAAACCUUCAAGGACUUGUCCUUUCGCAUAACCAGCUAACUGGAACCAUCUCUGUUGAUCUGGGCUCGUUGAUGCCAAACUUAGUUAAGCUUGAUUUUUUUAUCAACUGGCUCAUUGGAUCACUUCUGACUUCCCUCAUUUAUAUUCUGCAUGAAAAUCCUGACCCAUCUAGACAUUAGCAUGAAUUCUUUCUUGGGUCUCACUUCUCUUGAUUUUAGCCUCUUUGUUGCUUCUAAAUGCCAACAACUAACCUCUGUCUGUGACUUUUUAUGAAAUAUAGCUUCCCCUUCUAUUUUAUAUCUUUAGAACAACAGAGUCACAGGCAGCUUCUUCGCUCUCAAAACUUGUUGCCUUGGCAUACCUCAAUUUCUCCAAUAACAAUUUCGAAAUAUGCCAUGCUAUAUGUGUGACAUAGUAGGCCUUGCCUUCAUCAAUUUCUCUGGCAACAGAUUCACUGGCUAUGCACCAGAGAUUUGCAUGUAGGACCAACAGUGCUCACACUCCUACCUUUAUAUCUUCUUGGCAGGGCUACACAGCUGUGAGGGCUCUGACACAAGCGGCCAAGCCUCUAUUUGAGCUAUUGUACCACUUUCGUAUUCCUAGUUCUGCUCAUUUUCCUUCUCACACGGAGGAUGCUGAGGCAAAAAACUGUAGUUGUUGACAAGGGAAAGGGCAAGCUGGUGGCAGUAGUUGAGUCAGAAUCCGCUGAUGAGCUGCUGGGCCAGAAGAUAAAAGGGACAGCUAGCAUUAACUUUGCAACAUUUGAGCGCUCUUUGCUGCGGAUGAAACCUUUAGAUAUCUUAUCAGUGACUGGCAAUAUCAGCAAGACUUAUAAUAUUGGUGAUGGUGGGUUUGGUACAGUUUAAUUAUAGAGCCUCACUACCAGAGGGAUGAGCAAUUGCUGUCAGAAGGCUCAACAGAAGACGUUUGCAUGGUGACUGGGAAUUCUUAUCUGAAAUGGGGACAGUUGGAAAGGUUAAGCGUGAAAACCUGGUUCCACUCCUUGGUUGCUGCAUCCUUCAGGAUGAGAGGUUUUUAGCAUACGAGUGUAUGGAGAAUGGAAGUCUUGACGUGUGGUUGAGGAAUAGAGCAGUUGCAGUUGAGGCCCUGGACUGGCCCACCAGGUUCAAGAUCUGUUUGGGAUCUGCCAGGGGGCUCGCCUUUCUGCGUCAUGACUUUUUUCUUCACAUUAUUCGCAGAGACAUCAACCCUAGUAAUAUCUUUUUUAACAGUAAAUUUGAGCCAUGGGUGGCAAUCUGGUUGGCUGGGUGGAGUGGAUGGUUGCAAAUGGGAGGGAAGACGAUGUGUUGAAUCAUCCGUACUUUUCAACUAUUACAAAGUGGAAGGAUCAAAUGUUAGGUGAGCUUUCAAUUGCAUGAUUGUGCACAUUUGAUGACUCAUGGAAGCGGCGUGCCAUGCUUGAGGUGGUGAAUCUGUUAAUGGGGAUUAAGCUGGCAGCUCACUGAAAGUACUUAAGUGACUGCAAGUCCAAAAAUUCUACAAUAGCAUAUGUUUUCGACUUAUGAUUGAGAAACGCAUGUAAAUAAGUGACUAGAGGAGAAGGAUGGAAAUGUGCUAUGAUAUUCAAUAUUAUCUUUUGAACUCUGCAGACCAGUUGGGAAAUGCAUUUUCCUCAAAUGCGACUGCAACUUUUCUCUUAUGUCAACAGGAUGCUAAGUUUGAGAAUUGGCUGUGCGUUUUCAGUUUUCGUGUUUGGAAACCACAAGCAUCCAUUGCGACCAGAGACCGGUUCCAAAGCAUUAAUAUCUGCAGCAACGAAGUUAGAUUUAAUCCAAGGGAGGCAAAUGAAGAUUAUGUUGUAAUACUCAAGAAACUUUUCUUCAUUUGUAUUUGCCUGGGAAGGAGUUGACCUUAGCUCCAAGCCUUUAGGAUGUUGGAGGCAUUAGGUGAAGGGGAGAUGAAAUUAAGUGGAAGGUGUCCACACUGUCCAGAGGAGGAGUAUUGUUGUUAUAUUAUUACGGGCCUUUAAUGCCCUAGUACUAUAGAGGUUGGAUAUCGCCGCCCUUGGAAUGAGGUUGAAGGCCUCAACAUGCCUUUGCACUGUUAUAUGCCGUUUUUCUAAUAGGCAAAUAAGAAUAUAUUAGAAGUGCCAAGAAAGAAGGGGGUGGCUUCACUUGUAAAGGGUUGAUGCUCCUUUUGGCAAUUUCAAUGUUAUUUUCUUUUCUUUCAGAGGAGUAAGGGAAAAACUGCAAAAAAACUUUUACAUUCAAGUUUGCAGGGCUUAAUCCCAUUUUUCUUAUGUGGUGUAAUUUGUUCAUCUGAUUGUUCUCCUACCUUAUUUUUUCCGGUGGUUUCUGCUAUUUGAGUCGAUUCGUUAACUUCUUGAGCCUUUUUAAAAAAGGACGACGAGGGAAUGUUGUUCACAUAUAGUUUUGCCUUCACAUCUAUUAUGUUCUUUUGAUAUCACAGCAGACACAACUUACACUCGCUGCUUCCCAAACCAAAGCAGUUCUACCACCAGUCGAACUGACAAAAAGAGCUGGCAACUAACACCUUGUAAUAUAAGUCUAUGUGUGUGUAUGUAUAUAUAUACUACCGAUGAAUAUUAUUAGUGGGUAUUUCCAAAUCUUUGGAGAUUGCAGCAGAAUUAAGCAAACCUUUCAAGCACAACACAUAAUGUUCUAUUCCUAAUCACUCCCCAUUAGGGUGUGUUUGGUACUGUGAAAAUGAGGAGUGCAUUUUCUCUUUCACUCCCAUAUUUAGAUAAUUUAAAAAUGAUGAUGAGAAUGAAAUGAAAAAUGAUUUCAAUGAAAAUGAAAUCUCACUUAUAAAUGAGAUUUCAAUUCAUUCAAACUAGGAGGUAUUUUGAUUCUUUAGUGCAAGUUCUUCUUAAAAAUACUUUUUAAAAAUUAAAAACUAAGACUUUUUUAGAUAAUUUAUUUUUAAAAAUAUUUUUUUAUUUUAAUUUUUUAAAAACCACAUAUUAUAAAUUCAAUUUAUAUAAUGUAAACUAAAUUUAAUUCAUGUUUUAUUAAAAAUAAAAACAAAAUUAAAAAUAAAUAUUUUUUAAUAAAAUAUAAAUAUUAACAAUGUAAUAAAAUUAUAAAUUAUAUUUUUUAUAUAUAUUAUAAAAAAUGUAGAUAUUAACAUUAAUUGAUUUAUUUUGUUGAAAAUAAAUAAUAAUAAUUCAAAAUUAGUAAUUUCUAAUACCAUUCAAUAUAUAAUAACAUGGCAUUAAGCUUUCUGCUCUCGAAAGCUACAAAGUGCACCUGUACCCCACCUAAAGUUUUGUUAGAAGCAUUCGUCUACACCUCAAAAGGAAGCUUCAGGUGCAGGAGUCUCAACACUGGCCCCAUUGUAAUCGUGUUUUUCAAGCAUUGGGCAGCUUUCUUGCAAUCCGACUCCCAAUCCCACCUUGUCUCCUUCUUUAGCAAAUUAGUCAAAAGAAUGACUAUAUCAUAAUAGCCUUUUAUUAAACGUCGUUAGUAAUUAGGUAAACCAAGGAAGGAAUAUGGAUAUUGAGAUCUUAUAAAAGCAAAAUUAAUUUAUUUUGUUAAAAAUAAAGAAAAAUUAUUCAAAAUUAAUAAUUUCUAAUAAUAUUCUAUUUUGAAUGAAUAUAAAAAUAAAUAAAAUUUAAUUUUUUAAGAUAUAAAUGUGCCAAAAUUUUCAUUAUAUUCAUACAUUUAUUACUCAAUUACAAAAAUAACAUUCUAAAUUAUUUUAUUUAAUCUAUAAUUAAUUAAUCAGUUUUUUGAAUCUCAAAUUAUUAUUAAAAAUUACAAGAUUUGUUAAAGAAUCUAAAAUAUUAAUUAUGUUUGUUAUUUUUUAUUGGCAUUAUAUAUAUUAAGUUUUAAAUUAUUUUUUAAAAUCGUUAAACUUAUUAAUAAGUUAAUACAAAGUCUCACUUCAUUUUAAAUUCAUUUUCUUUAAUAGAAAAAAAUAAGAACAGUUCUCUAUUUUACUUUAUUUUUAAAGAAUAAUGACUAAAUAAUUGUAUAAAUUUUUAAAAAUAAUUUUUUUUUCAAAUCACAUGCCUAGGUUUUUAUUAUUUAGCAAAAAAAAAAAAUCUUUCAAGGAUUUUCUUUUAAAUGGAAAUAAAAAAUUAUUUUAAAUUAUGUUCAAUUUAAAUUAUUUUAAAAUAAAUAUAAAAAUAAAAAAUUAUUUUAAACCAUGAGAAAGAAUAUCAUUGAAAAUUUUGUUUAUUUUUUCAUUAGUAUUCCCAUUUUUACUUAGAAUUGAAAUGGAAAUAAAUUAUCAUUUUUAUUUUAUAUCUUUAUAUGCAUCCAAAAAAACAAUUAAAAUUAUUUUUAUUUAAGAGAAAAUAAGAAUGAAAACAAAAUAUUUAUUCUCAUAUUUUUCCUUUCGGCCGCCCAAGACGCAUGCUCGCACGUCCAACAUGUGAAGCAUAGAGAUAGAAGAGGCUGCUGAAGAUGCAAUGAAAAGUGAGAAUUGGGAAUCCAAAGGAUUGUGGCAGCACAGCAUACAGCCCCGUCGUGAAUGCUACCACCAUUGCUCCCAUCCCAAACAGGGUGAGAUGAGAGGCAUAAAAAAACAAGCGUAGCCACGUCCUCAUAUUGAGGUCAUAAAACAGUGCAUGUUGCACUGCCAUACUAAAAAAUAUGAAUACGGCACUUACCGAGAACGUCAGGGCUAUGGUAUCCGACACAACAAAUGCUUUGAAAGAUGCUUUCUUUGUUAAGAUUGCCAUCCCAUCUGUGUCGCUGUAACCACCAGGCAAGGUGAAGCCUGCCGCAAAGGUUACUGUUGCCGUAAGUGUUGCCACUAUCAAAGGGGUUUCACUUGCCUUUUUCACGGAAGAGAUGAUUUUAUCAUCCUCCUCCUCAUCAUCAUCUAUUUUGCCACCAUAUUUGCUGUCAUCCUUUCUGAUGACGUGCUGCAAACUCGAAGGUCUAAAAGGCAGUCUUGAAUAUUUCUUAAAUCCUUCAAAUCGGUCAUCUACUUGUGCCUGCUGCGAACUGGAAGAUCUAAAAGGCCGUCUAAGAUAUUCCUUGCUUCUCUCAUGUAGGUGAUAUAACUGCGGACAUUCUAACGCAGAGAGCUGAAAUUUGACCAGAGUAAAAUUUCUAUUAGAGAAAAACAGAAAAUUAUAUAUAUAUAUAAUGCAUGAGAAGAUCAAAUAAAUGGAUGAUCGUCCAAUGGGAUGAAGUAAUAGAAAAUUUAGUUAAAAAGCCUUACCGUGCCCCAUGAAAAUUUAUUCCGGGAAGAAAAAAGGUUGUCAGAAAAGUUUAACUUUUCUUUGUUCCGUUCCAUCUUAUCCACCGUUUUGUCCAAUAUGAAAUCUACAUCAUUAACUCCGAAAGAAGCAAGCAGGUGGAGGGGUGUGUCUCCUUGAGCAUCUUUCUCAUUUACAAGUCCUCUCACUCUUAAUCCAUCCUUUAUUAAUAACUCACUACCAAAAUGAGAAGGGUGCUUCUUCAUCAUGGCAAAGUGAAAAACAUUAUUGCCAUUCUCAUCAACCUGCUCACAACAAUCUGGAGCGUGUGACAGCAGCAACUUUACUAUGUCCAUACAGCCAUUGUAACUUGCAAUGUGAAGGGCUGUUCUGUUGCUAUUUUUUAUUCCAAGGUAGAUUACAGACUUGUCUUGUGAUGAUCCGUCUAGUAAUUGCUUGGUAAUUGCGGCAUCACGCAUGUAUGCAGCACAAUGAAGCGGAGACCAGCCAUUUUCAUCCACUUCUUUGAUUAGCAUUGGCUUCCAUCCUAGUAUCUUCUUUGUCAUUGCUGAUCAAAUAAAUAAAUGAAGAAAGAGAGGUCAAGGAAUAUUAAAGAAAAUUAAUUAUAAAAUGAAUAACCUAAUGCAUUACUAUAGGCCCUUAUAUGCACUACCUUGGUGACGGCAGAGUACAGCAGCAUGCAAAGCUGUUCUACCCUCGAUGCCUUUGUGAUCUGAUGAAGGGCUGGUGUCUAUGAUUAUUUCAACCAAGUCCUCAUAUUCUCUCUCGGCAGCCAUGUAAAGAGGAGUGUAGCCUGUACUGUUAGCACCAUAGAUGAAGUGAGGGUCUGCCUCAAUCAAUAACUUCACCACUUUUGAGUGAUGAUACCGCACCGCCUCGUGCAAGGCUGUGUCUUUCUCCUUAUUGGUUAUCCUCAGCAUCGCCUUGUCUGUUCCAACCCCACUUUCGAUCUCUAAGUGAAGUGCUUUUGCAUCAAGGAGAGCUUCCACAACCGCCCUAUGGCCUUCUCUCGCAGCAAGGUGAAGUGGAGUGUCGCCUUUCAGAUUGGGCUGCUGCAGUAGAGGUGAACAUGAAUGAAAGUCAAGGAUCCACUCUACGCAUGCCAGCUGACCGAACUGGGCUGCAAUGUGGAGGACAGUGUUCCUUUUUGGGGUUAGUUGGGGUUGAAGAUGAGCAAAUUCCGAGUACUUCCCCUUGAGGAAACUGAUAUCACCUCUAUACAAAGCCUUGUACAAAUCAGCAUCCAUGUGGGGGAUCUCAGUUUGGCUAACAGCUGCAAUCUGGUUCGGUAUCUCAGUUUGGCUUGAAAAGGUUUCCGAGUUAAGGUUCUGCGAUUCUGUAAUUUGAUUGGAGCUGGACUGAUCCAUUUUUGGUGUUGGAGGAACAAAGUAAUAAUCAACUCUUCACAUUCUAUCUAUCUAUAUAUAUAUAUUUAUAUUUUGUGAGCAAUUCCCUUCAAGCUUUUGUCCUUAAUUGAAAGAUAUUUUAUGUAGAGCAUAUGUGGUAAGGGCUUUUGUAAGUUGUUUGCCCGUAUAUAUUUUUCUCUUUCUUAUGAGGUUUUUCUGUCUUUUCUGACAGCUCCCGUUUUUAUUUACUUGGUGAGAUUUUUCUGAUAGGGUUGUGAAACCACUGCAAAACGGGUAGAUUUUUAUGAUUUUCUCCUUUUUUUUAUUAUAAAAAAUAAUAAAUAAAUAAACUCGAAUAAAUAAUUUUGUUAAGACAUGUAUAAUAUAAAAGUUUCUACUCUAUUUUUCUAUUUCAUUUUAAAAAAUAUCAUAUCUUGAGAAUAACUUCUUAAAUUAUAAAAAAUAUAAGGACAUGUUUAACUGUUUUCAAAAAUAAUUUUUAUAUAUAGUGUUUUAUUUUUAAUCAUUAUAUAUGUUUGUAUAAUUAUUUCUUAAAAUAGUCAUUAGAAAACAAGUAAAAACAAUAGAAAAAAAAUAAAAGAUAUUAUCUUAAAACACUUUAUUUUUUUAUUCUUAAAAAUAAAAAAACAUAAAACAUUUUUUAGUUACCAAUGUGUUUUUUGUUCUAAAGAACAAAAAAUUAUUCUUAAAAACAGUUUCCAAACAUAUCCUAAAUAUCUAAAUAUAUUUUCAGUUUUAAUUUUUAUUUUUUAGAAGAAUGAAAAUACCAAACAAAAUCUUAACCUAUCUUUAAUCACACUAAUUUUAGGGUAAUCUCCACUCAAGAGUUUAUUUUCUUACAUUUUUUCUAUAUGUGGUCAUCAACUACUUAUCUUUUUUAUUUAUUUGUUUGUUAGCUAGAAAAAUAGACUAUGUGGGAGAUCACCCCAAGUAUAAUAUACAUCCUUUUUAACGCUUGAAGAGUAGUCAUCAUGAAAAUCAUUUCAUCAUUUCGAGAAUAUUAUAAUUUUGAGAAUAAAACAAGUGUGAGUAAGUCAUUACCAAAGUAAUAAUCAAUUUCCUCAAUCAGAAACAAAUUAAUAAAUAAAUAUGACAAAGGGAAACGAACAAAACACCACCUAUACUACAUAUUAAACAAGUUACAACUUGCAGCCAUGAAAGCUAUCUUAGACCCGACACUAUUAUUUUAGUCCCUUCCAAACUUAUUUAAGCCAAACCCAUUUAGGUUUUGUUUGCAAACACUUUAUAAAAAAUAAUUUUUAAAAUUCAUUUAUGAUAUUUAGUAUAAUAAAAUUUGUUUAGAAAUUUGAAAUGUAUUUAACCUAUUUUUUUAUAUUUUAAAAAUAAUUUUUAUAUAAAAUAUUUCUUUUUUAUUAUUUUUAAUAAUUAUAUAAUUUUUUAAAAUAAUUAUAAAAAAGUAAUAAAAAAAAAAGGGAUAACAAUAGAAAAUAAUUAAAAGUUAUCUAUUGAAACACUUUAUUAUGUUUUUAAGGAUAAAAUUUUUUUUUUCACUUUUUUGUUAUUACACAUGUUUUUCUAUUUUUUUUUCUAAUUUUUUAUGAAAAAAAAAUAGUUAUGAAACAAGACUUUAACUUCCACAUCAUGUUCUCCUCAACCGUUAUUAUUAAUCAACUUAUAAAUUAAUUUUGCUUAUUAAUUCCAUAAGAUCAAAAUUUAUUUUAAAAUUUUAAUAUUAAAAUUGAAUAGAAUAUGAUUAUUUAGUAUCUCAAAAAUUUGUCACUGACAAACUACAGAUAAUUUUUAUCUUAUCAACUUAUGAACUCAGACCAAUAGAGAGUUAGAGCUAUUUUGCAUAUACCAACAAAUAAAAAGAGCUAAAUAGUCAAAUUUGUACAUCUAAUCAAAUUUGAAUAACGCAAUUUUUCCCACUUAUCAACCGUUGGGUAUACUGGAAUACUAAAAUAUUUCAUACAAUGCAUAUUAACCAUUUCUCAUCGCUUGUAGCCACAACUGACCACAUAAAAGAAUGUAUAAAAAUUAUGGUAACUAUAAUGAAAAGAAGAACACUACUAUUUAUUAUUUAUUAAUAUUAAAUAACAUUAAUUAUUAUAAAUAUUUUUUUUAGUACUCAUACUUUUAGGUUUAAUUUGAAGAUGAUAAUUAUCAGGUUAGUUUUUCAAUUCUGGGUUUUAUUGAAAUUUCCUAUUAUCCAUAAUAUGUUAUACGAAAUAUAAGUAUUAAUGUAAUUUAUUGUAUUCAUCGAAUGGUAUGUGACCAUGUGACAACGUCAGAGUAUAUAAUGUUUCUUCUUUGUUUUAGUCUGCCACUCAAUGGAUUCGUCUAUAGUGUGUUCUUUGUUUGGUCUGCCCCUCAAUGAUUCCCGUAAAUUGCGGAAGAAAGGCGAAUCAUUGCAUGUGCAAUUGUUUUACCGAAUGGUUUGUGAUAAUAUAUAUCACGUGAACUGUGAAAGAAAAGUGUCUUUUCUGAGUUUUCUCCCUUUGAUUGCAUUCACUGAACAGCAUGUGACCAUGAGACAAUGUCAGAGUGUAUGGUGUCUUCCUCUGUUCUAGUCCACCACUUAAUGGAUUACCGUGAAUUGUGGAAGAAAAGUGGAUCACUAUGCAAGCAUUUUAUCGAGUGGUUUGUGACAAUCUAUAUAAUAAAAAGUUAGGAAAAAGUUACAAGAAAAAUAUCAUUUCCAAAUAAUAGAAUGUUUAGGUGGUGUUUGUUUUUUUACUUAAUUCUAAAUAGAACCUUAAUACUUAAUAGUAUUAAAUAUUAGGUUGUUUGUUUUUGUAGUAUUUUAUUCCUAUUAAGUAUUAAAAAGUAAAAAAAACCAUUGUGUUAUUUUUUCUAUUUAGAAAAAAAUCACAUAUUUUGGUUUUUUCUAUUUAGUAAAAAGUUUAUAAUAAGUCAUGAAAAAGUAAAAAAACAAGCAACCUAAAUUCUAAAACUAAAUGGUUUUCAACAAAAAGCCAAAAAAACAAACACCACCUUAGUGAAUUUCUACCACGAAUUUCUGCCACACUUUAUUACAUAUGAAAUAUUUUUAUUAUUUUUAAUAAUUAUAUAAUUUUUUAAAAUAAUUAUCAAAAAAAAAAAAGUGAUAACAACAUAAAAUAAUUAAAAGUUAUUGGUUGAAAACACUUUAUUCUAUUUUUAAGGAUAAAAAAUUGUUUUUCACUUUUAGUUAUUAAACAUAUUUCCUUUUUUUAUGAAAAAAAAAAAGUUAUGAAACAAGACUUUAACUUCCACGUCAUGUUCUCCUCAGACGCCAUUAUUAAUCAACUUAUAAAUUAAUUUUGCUUAUUAAUUCCAUAAGAUCAAAUUUUAUUUUAAAAUUUUAAUAUUAAAAUUGAAUGAAAUAUGAUUAUUUAGUAUCUCAAAAAUUUGUCACCAACAAAUUACAGGUAAUUUUUAUCUUAUCAACUUAUGAACUCAGACCAAUAGAGAGCCAGAGCUAUUUUGCAUAUAUCAACAAAUAAAAAAAGUUAAAUAGUCAAAUUUGUACAUCUAGUCCAUAAUUAAAAUUAUUUUUUAAUUAUGAACAACAAAUAAUCAUUUUUUGACUAAAAUAAUAAGAGAAUAAAACAAGUGUGAGUAAGUCAUUGCAAAAAUUAUAAUCAAUUUCUUCAACUCGAAGCAAAUUAAUAAAUAAACCCAACAAUAGGGGAACAAACACAUUGGAGGUGUUCCCAAACCCUCCACAUUUCAAUGGUGGGAGUGUUUUUCCAACUUGUAACUUGUUUACUGAUGAGCUGGAGGUACUGCUGGGAAUAAUUUAAAUUAUUUAUUUAUUUUUUAUUUGCUUUUAGCUAGGGUGGACCAAUUUAAUUACCAUAUAUUUUUUAGAAAAGAGCAAGCAUCUCUCGUUUUUAACUUAUAUGUCAAUGGGAUGGUCCAUUAUCUAUGUUCAGUGAAAACGUGGCAUGCCACGUACUUCCCAAUGCACAAGCUGACAAGAUAUUUGAAAAGUUGUCGUGUUUUAAUUUGUAAAAUGAUUGACUUUUGGGUCCCAUAAUCAUCGAAGUAUUUAGUGAAAUAUUGCUUAAUUUAUUGAAAUAUAAAUUUUAUCAUUAACGUGGAUACAUGUGCAACACCCCUUGAUUAUAAUAAAAGACAAUGAUUUCGUGUGGUUAUUUUAUAAAAAUUAAUACAUAAUACAUAAUUAUUAUAUAUAAUUUAAAAUUAAAUUAUAUUUAAAUUAUCAACUUUAAACUUAUUAUCAAAUUAUUAUUUUUUGUGCUAGGAUUAUAAAACUCUUUUAAAAAAUUAUAUUAUUAAAUUUACCCCUUUACUUUCGUGAAUACUAAAAAAUAAGGUUUGAAGAGAGAAACAUAAAAAUAAAGUGACAUAAAUAAUUAAAAUAAAAUAUUUUGGAGGAUUUAUAAAGAAUUAUUUAUUUAUAAAGAAUUAUUAAAAAAAGUUUAGAUGUUAUUUUAUUUACAAACUUGGUGACAAAAAAUAAAAUAAAAUAAAAUGAACGUGAAAUUAUUCAAAUAGUAUACAAAAGGGAUAUCAACAACAAACAAAAAUAACCCAAAAAUAUAUAUAAAUAAAUAAAUAUAAGAUGGAAUAAAUAAGAGAUUCAAAGCAUGCUAAAAAUACUGUAUUAAAAAUGAAUGAACAAAGAACAAACCAAACAAAAAAACAAUACACAAAAAAUUACUGAAAAUGAACCAAAUAUAAAUAACAUACCUAUAUUUACAAAACUGAAACGAAUAAAUAAAAAAUAAAUGAAUGAAAGGGAGAAGAAUGUACCCAAAAAAUAAAUGAAUGAAAGUGUCAUUAGUAGGGUAAAACCGAGACAUUUUCGAAAUAAAUCUUAAAUAAAUAUCUACAGGUGUUAUUUCAUCAAAAUAAAAAAUGGACAACAUCUUAAAUAUGUCUAUAUCAUAAUACAAAAGUCCAAAUUAUUUAAUUACAUGUCAUCACAUUAAAUACACUUCAUAGAACAUUUAGCUUAUAAUCAAAAUAGAGAUGUUCACCAAAUAAAUCCAAAAAAAAAUAAUCUAGAAAUGGAAUUUCAUCAUGAAAAAAAAAAUUGAAUAAUAUUUCCCAUGUGUCCCAAUUACAAUUCAAAAGGCCAAAUUAUUUAAUUAUGCAUCAUUCAAUACUAAAUUUCAUUUUACUGUUACUUUAAUUUACUACUAAAUGCAGAAAUUAAAUACCAUCCAAAAUAGAAGUAUAUAAAUAAAUCACACUCAAAUUGCAAUGGAUUGAAGUCACAAAAGGCCUAACCAUACAAGAAGAUGAGAAAACAACUCUUAAAGAGAAUGGUGAUAAGCUUUUUAAAAGGGUGUACUAUGGUAAAAAUAAAAGAUUGAAUUAAUAAAAUUUAAUUCAAAGUGGAGACUAUUAGAAAAUAUUUCAAAUUCCUAAUUGUUACAUAUUAUUUUUUUAAAGAAUAUUAUAUAAAAUAUUUCCUUAAAUUGAUAUGUUAUUAUGAUAUUAGAUUCUUUAUAAAAUAAAGAAAAUUAUUAUAAAUAUUUCUAUAAAUAUUAUAGUUUAUAAGAAGAAAAGGUUAUGGGAUGAAGCCGAUUAAAAUAUAUUUUAUGAUCAAUAAUUAUAUCUUAUUUCUAUCUUUUAUAGUAUUUUUUAAAGUACGGUAAAAAUAUUCUAUUUCAUUUGUGGAUUGACAUGAUUGGACAAAUUAGGUAAAAACCCAGUGUAACUUUGCACAUAAAUUGUUUGUUUAAUUACGCACUCCGAUAUUAAUAUAUUUGUAUUAAAACUUUAUGGAUACAACAUCGGCCAUCAGUGCAACCACCAUUGCUCUCAUGGCAAAAGUAAUGAGGAAAAAGGCUUGGGAUAUGUGUUCGUAAGUGAACUCCUUUUCAUGGUGGAGUGCAUAAAAAGGUGAGGCAUAUGAAGGUGUGGAGAGCAUCAUGGUGAGAGUAAUGACCACAACAAAUACUUCAAAUGCUAUCAUGUGGAUUUCUUUGACAUAAACUAUUUUAAUGGCAUAACAAUUAUCAGCGAUCCUUUAUAAAUUUUACUUUUUGAUUGAUCUAAUUAUGUGUGGGUAUAAUUUUAAAUGCCUAUUAUUAAUUAAAGGGUAGUUUCAACUACCUACAAUUCUCUAUUUUGACAUAUUACAAUGGAUUCAAUGCCAUUUUGUAUGAGUAUUAAUCUAUGAAAUUAAAGUAAAGGCGUAAAAGAUAAUUUUAAGAUUUUUUUCUUAGCAUAAAGGAAAGUUCUCUGUCCAAAUACGAUUUGGAUUUUCUCUUUCUUUCUGACAUAGAUAAGAGAAGUCUGUAAAAGUUACAAAAUUAGACUAAUCUGUUCUUAGUUUAGGGAUAAUAUCUGAACCCACAUUACAUAUUUUCUACAACAAUAGUGGCUCGCAUCAAGGCCUGGCAGAGGAUGAAAUUUGUAGAUGGGUUAGGCAGUGGGGCCAAUGUGAUUGGGUCGUAUUUAGGGCGGGCCAGGCCUGAUCCAAGUGUGAAUGCUAUAAUAUGGAUUUUGAAAGGCCAAGGUUGAGCCCAGCCCCCAAAUGUGCAGGCUUGGUAGAUCGACCUGGUUAAGCAAAAGCAAGAUGAGUUUGGAAUCCGACGGGGAAAAGGUCAGUAAUGGUAGGGCCCACUUCCCUUUGAAACCUUGUUCAGUCGUCCGUCCCCACCCUUUGGUUGCGUAGGACAAACCCCCACCAUAACACCAUGUGGGUUGCCCCCUCGUUCGACAUCAUUCCAUGAAAACAAUGUCGUUCUAUGAACGGAGCAGAGGAUCGCUUGCACAUGGCACUGGUGACGAAGGAGUCGGUGGAAAACCGGCGCGGACCAAAGUCGGGAGGCAUAUUUUUCAUUUCUUUUUUUCUUUUUAAUAAUGAGAAUCUGGUAAUUAUGAAUAAUUGGACAGGUGGAGCCUCGGAAUGAAGCAUGUCAGAGACCUCUAUUUCCAUGAGGAUACACAGGGAUAUAGUUUUGAAGAAAAGAGCCAUCACCCUUAUCUUGGUCAUCGCAAAUUGUAUAUAGAUGUGGCCAAACAGAUUCAUUCUAGCAUAAACCUUACAAUGGCAAUAGCCAUCACCCUCAUAGGCCAAGCCUUGAUCCUCUCUCGUUUGGUUUUGGAAGCCAAAAGUCCAAUCUCUUUUAUCCUUUGGGCCUCUUAUAUAUGGAGAGAGAGAGAGAUUGAGGCUGUCUCGAAGCUUGUAGUACAAGUUGCAAAUGACAUAUUGAUCCUGCAGUUUUUAGUUAAUAUAGUCACCACCCAUGGCUUGCGUUUUUAUUUUUAUUUAUUUGUUCAUUUUUUUUAUAUCUUUAAUUUGUUCAAACGUUUCAAUCAAGUUUACCAGAUCCACUAAUGGAACAUCAUGACACACUUUCAUGUAAAUUAAUAAUUUCACUCCCAUAAAGAAAAUGAGAUCUUACCCAUUGCAAAUAGAUCAAUUAGCACAUCCUGAGAAAAAGUUAAAAAGACAAAUUAUAAUAAUAAUAAAUUACAAAGCAUGCUUACAAGAAAAUUAUUUCAAGUUCCAGAAGAAAAGGAAAAGGUAGUCCUACCGCGGUACCAGAUCUGCCCCUUGCCCAAUUGCAAUUGCGAACAUAAGGUCAUUUGAUGGUAAUUUUGAGAACUGUUUUUAUCUUCCUUUUCAAACGUAUUCUAAAUGGACAAGUUAAGGUAAAGGCAACAAUAAUGAGAAACAAGUACCCGGAGGUACAAACAACGAGUAGAAGCCCUGAGGAAAAUGGUAACACAGCGGAUAGGCCCAUCACGAAUGCAACCACCAUUAGUACCACACUAGACAUAGUGAGACAAGUGCCCAGGACUAAUUGUUUUGCAAGGAUGUCCUCGUCCUUAUGCAACGACAUAACAAAAUAAACGAACACAGCAGAUACAGAGAGCAUCAUGGCUAAUGUGUCCGUCACAAUAAAUGCUUUAAAAGCUACUUGCUUUGUUAAUUUUGCCAUGCCAUCACUGUCAUUGUAACCACCGGGCAAGGUGAAACCCGCUGCACAGGAUACAGUUGCUACAAGUGUUGCCACUAUCAAAUGGGUUUCACCUAGUCUCUCUGUGAAAGCCAUGCUUUCGUCUUCUCUGACGUCUUUGUUUUUACUACUACUACCAUUGUCUUUAUUGAUGGCCUCUUGCCAACUGAAGGGUCCGACAACAACUUUCUCCCAUUCCUUCAUUUGUUUUUUUAGUUUCCCCUGAAAUUUGAUUAAAAAACAGAGAAAAUUGUUGUCACUAUUUUGGCCUUCGGCACUUCUUUUUAACAUUUCCCACCUUCCCUCACAACAAAGGAAAAUGGAUGAUUAAACAUUGAUAAACUAAUCAAAAUAUUAAGUUAGGAGCCUUACCCCGAACAUUUGUCCCGACUUAAUGUUAGCCCUUGAAAGAAUGUCUAGGGCAGUUAACUUAUCGUCGUUGAGUGCCAUUUUAUCCACUGCAUUGUCCAUUGAGAAAACUGGAUUAUAACAUUGGCAAGAAGAAAGCAGGUGGAGGGGUGUGUCUCCUUCGUCAUCCUUCUCAUUUACAAGUCCUCUCACUCUUAACUUAUUGUCAUCCGGGAACAAAUCAUCAAUAGCAAAAGGCCGUUUGCUCAUUGCGGCAAAGUGAAGAAAAUUAUUUCCCUGAUCAUCAACCUGCUCGCAACAAUCUGGAGAGUGUGAGAGCAGAAGCUUUACUGUCUCUCUAUGGUGGCGGUUAGCUGCAAAGUGUAGUGCUGUUUUCUUGGUAUCUUUGAUUGCAAGGUAAGUUACAGACUUAUCUGAUGAUUUGUCUAGUAAUUGCUCCGCAAUUUUAGUAUAACCCAAGUAUGCAGCACAGUGAAGGGGAGACCACCCAUGUUCAUCAACUUCUUUUGUUAGAUCUGGCUUCCAUUCCAAUAACUUCGCUAUCAUGUCUGAUAAACAAAUGAACCAACAAAAAAAAACAGCAGAGAAAAAAAUUUAAGAAAUUCCCUCUAGUAAAGCAUGACCCCUAGAGGUGAUCAUGAUCUCUAACAAUAUAUUGCAUGAGUAACUAACCAUGUAGGAAUCAAGAUUCAAGGAAAGGGUCUGCAUAUGUGUUACCUUGGUCCUCACGAAUUACAGCAGCAUGCAAAGCCGUUCUACCCAUUAUGCCACUGUGAGAUGGUGAAGCGCGAGUUUUGUCUAUAAUUAUACACACCAAGUCUCCAUAUCCUCUCUCGGCAGCCAUGUAAAGAGGAGUGUAGCCUGUAAUAUUUGCACCGUAGAUAAACUCAGGGUCUUCCUCAAUCAAUGACACCACUAUCUCUGAAUGAUGAUACCGCACCGCCUCAUGCAAGGCUGUGUCUUUCUCCUUAUUGGUCAUCCUCAACAUCGCCUUGUCUGUUCCAACCCCACUUUCGAUCUCUUGGUGAAGUGUUUUUGCGGCGUCAAGGAGAGCUUUCACAAUUGCCCCAUGGCCUUCUCUCGCAGCAAGGUGAAGUGGAGUGUCGCCUUUCCGAUUGGGCUGCUGCAGUAGAGGUGAACAUGAAUGAAAGUGAAGGAUCCACUCUACGGAUGCCAGCUGACCGAACUGGGCUGCAAUGUGGAGGACAGUGUUCCUUUUUGGGGUUUGUUGGAGUUGAAGAUGAGCUUCUGAGUACUUUCUCUCGAGGAUUCUGAUAUCACUUUCAUACAAAGCCUCGUACAAAUCAGCAUCCAUGUGGGUGAUCUCAGUUUGGCCAUCAGCUGCAAUCUGGUUCGACAUCUUAGUUUGGCUUGAAAAGGUUUCCAAGUUAAGGUUCUGCGAUUCUGUAAUUUAGUUGGAGCUGGACUGAUUCACUAUUGGCGUUGGAGGAGCAAAGUAAUAAUCAACUCUUCAGAUUCUAAAUAUAGCGCAUAGAAAAGUUGUGUGUCCACUUGGAUAAUAUUUAUAUAAUUAGGAGUGAAUCACUACAAUUUUACUAAACCCAAAUUUAUUUUUAAAUUUUUCUUAUUUUUCCUUUUUCCUUGCACUCCAUCCUAUUUAGCGAUUAUUUAAGCUGCUUUUACCACGAACAACAAUUCUGGUGGUUUAAAACAAUUUCAACCAUAUUAUCAACCAUUUUAUGAGGUCAUCUUCCAAAAUAACACAAAAUAACAAUUCUGGUGGCAAUUUGUGCUCAUGGGUUGUGUUUGUAUUAUAUUAAAACUUACUCAAUAUAAAUAAUAAUCUUGUUAAAAACAUAAAUCAAAAUAUUAUCUAUUUAUUAAAUAGGUAACAAAUCAUGUAAUCCAUUAAUUUAUUUAGUAAUUAAGUCUUUCUAUUUAAUAAUUAAGUUAAGUUAGGUAUUGUAUAUAUUUAUAUAAUUAAUUUUUUAAUCAAAUAUAUUUAUAACUUAAUUCAUCUAUUUAUUCAAAAACAAAUUAAUUUAAAAUAAGUUGAAGAUUAGUUAAAUAAUUUAAAGUUAUAAUUAAGUUAAUUAAUAAAAUUAUUAAAUCAAUCCAUUUGAAUCAAAUUUGUAUUAUACAGAUGGAUAUAAAAUCUACAUAUCUAUAAAAUGUGUAAUACAGACUAACAUAAAUUUGAUCCAAACUCAAUUAUACUCAAAUUUGUAAAAAGCAUGCUAAGUUUGAGUCGUGUUGACGUAUUAUAUCAAACUUUGUCAUCCCUACAAAAUACAAUGUUAAGGCCCAAACAAUUAAUAAUCACACAUGCUAAAGAGAGGAAAAUCUAAGGGUUAACCAUUUUCAUGAUUGCAAGAUAUUUUUUCUUGGGAAAAAAUGUGCUUCCAUACUCAUAUUUAAGAAUAUCACAAGAUGAAAAUCCAUUAAAAGUAAUUCAAGUUUUAGGCACUCUAAAGUCAAAAUAGCAUUUAGGGUAGUAAAAGGUAUUACUAACAUUACUAAAAAUAGUAGCUAUUUGCUAAAAAAUAUGUAAAAUCUGAAUUAUUUUUAGAUAAAUGUAUUCAAUUUAAAAAUUUUAAAUUGGGGUUGUUAUUUGAUUUUUUUCAAAUGUAUGUUUGAAAACACAAUUUAAUUUCCCUGUUUUUCUUUAUAAAGCAUAGUACCAAGGACGAUUGCUAGGCACCACGAGAAGUUCAUGUUUUUUUGUCUAUAGUCUAUUUAGUGAAUUUUUUCUUUUUUCUUUUUCUUUUUGUAGGGACGGAGUGUAGUAUUUUUCUAUUACUAAAUUUUCUCUCUUUUAAUUAUUCCUUUUCUUUCCCUUUUGGUGGGGGAUGAAAUAUAAUAUUUGUUCAUUAUUAAAUUUUUUUUUCUUUUUCUUUUAUUGGGGACAAGUGGAAUAUUUGGUUGUUAGAAUUUUCUCUUUUAAUUAUUCUUUUUCUUUCUCUUUUGGUGGGGGAUGAUGCUUAAUAUUUGUACAUUAUUAAAUUAUUAUUAUUUUUUUUUUAAGGACAAAUGGAAUAUUUGUUUGUUAGAAUUUUCUCUUUUAAUUAUUCUUUUUCUUUGACUUUUGGUGGGGAUGAAGGAUAAUAUUUUUUGAAUUUUUUUUUUCUUUUUCUUUUUCUUAGGGACGAAGUGAAAUAUUUGUUUAUUAUUAAAGUUUCUCUUUUAAUUUUUUUUUUCUUUCACCUCUUUCAAUUUUUCUUUUUCUUUCUCUUUUUGUAGGGGAUGAAGCGUAAUAUUUAUCUAUUACUAAAUUUACUCUUUUUCUUUCUCUUUUUUUGUGAACGAAAUGGAAUAUUUGUCGGUUUUUGAAUUUUCUCUGUUAAUUAUUAUUUUUUGUUUUCUUUUUGUGGGGGCUGAAAAAGAUCAAGAUAUGGAGGAUUUUGGAGGAGAGGGAGUGAAACUCCAUCAGCAGUGAAAAUGGAGGAUCGGAUUAUAGGGAUACGUGAAGGUUCUUGGUCUUAUCUUGCUGGUACCAUUGGUAGAGUUCCUGAGAAAAGUGAUAGGAACAGCAACACCAAAAGAACCCCCAGACCAUCAAAUAUCCGCCUGGUGUUUUUCCAUUGGGGAUGAACUGAUUAUACAUUGGGAAUUAUCAUCAUCAAAUGCAGCACCACCGGCACCAGCAAAUGCAGUCUCUUUGCACCCCGGGCCCACUUCUGCACCCCUGCAUGGCCACCUUUGGCAUGCAAUCCCAACGGCCACAUGUCAUCCUCCCAUUUCUUCAUCUUUUGCUUUCAAAAUUUGAUUUUCAAAACACUAGUUUUCAAAUAAUUUUAAAAAAUUCAACUUUCAAAUAAUCUUAAUCAAGUACCCUUUUAUAUUUAUUUUAUUUUAUUAUUAUUUUUAUUUAUUUAUUUAUUUAUUUAUUUCCUUAGAAAUUUCAAGUCAUUCCAAAAACCCAAUUUUAAUAAACUUUUUGCUGUCAUAUUUCUCUUCUGGUAUGCAUUUUCAUAUUUUCUUCAAAUUUCAAUUUUUUAUAUUGAUUUUCCUCAAUUUUUAAUAAAGCAUGAAUAAAUUCUAUAAUUUCAAGCAAUAGAAUUUAUGGAGUUAAUUCAUGCUAAAAUAAAUCGGGUUGGUGGGGCCUGACAUCUGUGAUUGAUUGCUUGAUUGACUUUGCCCUACUCUGACAUGCAUGCGAUUAUUUAGUAUUUGUGCACUAACCUUGUCUCCCAUGAUAGCACUCAACUUGCGACAAAGAUACGUCUUGUACCCGAUCAUAUUUAUUUAUUUAUCCGUUAUCAUGCAUGACUUGUUUUAUUAUUUGAUUAUUAUUUGGUAUCCACGAUUUCCCGAUCAAUUGUUAUGUUACCCUAACUGAUUAGUAGAGACUCUUUUUUAGGGGUUUAGAGGGGUGUACGCCUUAUUACCGUACCUUCUCGAUAUAUAACCUGACCCCAGAUCCAAACUUGGUUUUUCGCAAACUUGUAUGUCCUUUAGGAGUCACAUUUGAAUUUUUUUUUUAUUUUGUUCUUCCCUUUAAAAAUAAAACAAAAAUAAGAUGUCACUCCAAUUUUUAUUUUUUAUUUUUAAAAAAUCAAAUUUCUAAUAAAAAUUGAGUCUCGCCAGUUGAGUGGGAACGCAUGCGAGAAAGAUGGGGUCCACACAAUUAUUAAAAAAUUAUCCAAAAAAAGUUUGAUCCCUUUGUUAUUAUUAAGUUUGUUUUUUUUUUUUUUCAUAUUUUUUAUAAUAAAAAACUAAAAUUAUCAAACAUAUUUUUAAGAAUUUAAAAACAUAAUUGAAAACUUAUUUAUUAUUUCUACCCUUAAAAACUCUAAAACAAAAAUAUAGCUAACAGCCAUCUAACCUAUCAUGUUCUUCUCCUUUUCUUUUCUUUUCUUUUUUCCUUUUUUUUUUCUCCAAUUUCCAUGUAAAAUGGACAAAUAAUUUUCAGAAGGAAAAUAUAGAAUAUGAUACUGUGGUAUAAAAAGCAACCUAUUUUUAGGUUUAGUAUUAAUCAAGUGAGAAAAAAAAAAGAAGAAAUUUAAAAUUUCUUAUUUCAUUUAAUAUUACAACAAAAAAAAGUGGCAUUUGUGUGUGUUAAAGCACUACCAAUCUUGUCAUUACACUAUAAUUAUUUUUUAGGAUUUGAGUAUUUUCUUUCAACUUAUAUCUAUAUUUAAAGAUAUUUUAUGUAACUUAUGUUUACAUUUAAGGAUAUCUCAUAUAUAAUAUUAGCGUAAGGAAAAGUUGUCUAGCUUGAUCCUGAUCCUUAUCUUAUUGGGAUCCCAAAAUUUGAUUUGAUCUCCAAUUACAAUUAUAGAACAAUAACACCAUGGUAGCUGCUGUAUUCCUUUGCUACACAGAAUAGAAGCUUCUCUACAACACUACCCAUUUUCUCUAGCUAAAUUCAUUUUAUUAAAUAUUUUUAUAAAUAAAAUAACAUUUCUGACAUUCCAUAAUUUCUACGUUCUUGAGCCAAAUUUAGGAAUGAAUCAUUCUUGGACAACCUCGAUCCCGUGGGGUUUGGUUUUGGAAGCCAAAAGUCCUAUCUCUGUUGCCCUUUAGGGCUCUUGUAUAUUUAGUGUCUCAAAAUUUUGUCACUUUGAUAAACUACAGUAAUUUUUAUCUUAUCAACUUAUGAACUCGGACCAAUAGAGAGCUAGAGCCACUUUGCAUAUAUCAAUAAAUAAAAAAAGUUAAAUAGUCAAAUUUGUACAUCUAGUUAUUAAUUAAAAUUAAAAUAAUAAUCAUUUUUUGACUAAAAUAAUAAGAGAAUAAAACAAGUGUGAGUAAGUCAUUAAAAAAAUUAUAAUCAAUUUCUUCAACUCAAAGCAAAUUAAUAAAUAAACCCAACAACAGGGGACAAACAAAUUGGUGGUGUUCCCAAACCCUCCAUAUUUCAAUGGUGGGAGAGUUUUUCUAGCUUUGACUUCACUUUUCAAACUUGUAACUUCUUUAUUGAUGAUCUGGAGGUGCGGGUGGGAGUAAUUAAAAUUAUUUAUUUAUUUUUUUAGGGAUAAUUAUGUUUUGGAUCUAGUUGAGUCCAAAAAUUAAGUUUUAGUCCAUAUAAAUUUACCAUUUAAAUCGAAGACCUAGAGAAAAUGUGAAAAUUGAGAAGAAUGAUAUAAAUUUUUUAUCUUUCCAAAAAUGAUCUUUAUUGACUAUGAAAAAAAGAGAGUAGAAAAACAUUAAUUUAAAUUUUAUUCCUUUUGCAAACCUCAAUAAAAUUUAAUUUAAUUUAGUGAUUUGAAAAAAAAAACCAUUUUCCAAAAAAAUAAAAAUAAAUUAUUAUUAUUAUUAUUUAAAAACCAAACAUCUUGGAAAAAUAUAUAUUUUUCAAAUUAUGUAUAUAAAAAAUAACUAAAAAUAUGUCAAAUUUAUUUUUUUUAAAUUAUAUAUUUUUAGAAUAUAUAUAUAUAUAUAUNNNNNNNNNNNNNNNNNNNNNNNNNNNNNNNNNNNNNNNNNNNNNNNNNNNNNNNNNNNNNNNNNNNNNNNNNNNNNNNNNNNNNNNNNNNNNNNNNNNNUUUUUUUUUUUUUUUAUAAAACACACAUCUGGGAAAAAUAUAUAUUUUUUUCAUUAUGUAUAUAAAAAAUAAAUAAAAAUAUCUCAAAUUUUUUUUUUUUAUAUUAUAUAUUUUUAGAAUAUAUAUAUAUAUAUAUAUAUAUAUAUAUAUAUAUAUAUAUAUAUAUAUAUAUAUAUAUAUAUAUAUAUAUAUAUAUAUAUAUAUAUAUAUUAAAUUAGUUUUCUAAAAAUAAUAAAUUUUCAGAAUAAUUAUUAAAAAAAAUUUAAGAUCAAAAAAUUUGUCACACAUUAUGAUAGAAAAUAUUCAAAAUGGUUUUGAAGGGUAUAUUGGUCUCUUUAUAUUUUAUAUCAUUCUCCUCAAUUAUACAACUUUUAUAGGCUAAAUUUUAAUUUUUGGGUCCAGAUUCAAAACACAAUUGUGCUGCUUUUAGCUAGGGUGGACCAAUUUAACUACUAUAUAUUUUUUUAGAAAAGAGCAAGCAUCUCUUGUUUUUAACCUAUAUGUCAACGGUAUGGUCCAUUAUCUAUGUUCAAUGAAAACAUGGCAGUGGACGUGACCACCUUGCCAUGGUGGUGGUUGAAACAGUAGAGCUGAUGGAAGCUUAAAGAAGAAGAAACCAGCUGGGGAAAAGGAGGGCAGAGAGAGGCCGUUGGCGGAAAAGAAAAACGGAGGUUUGGAUGAGAGGUUUUCAAGGACAACUAUGUAGUAGUCUGGGGGGUGGUACCAACAUAUUUUGAGAGCAAGGAAGAAAAGAGUUGCAAAAAAGGAAAAACAAAGUUGCAAAAACAAAGGAGGAGGGUGAUCGAUUGGUUUUUUGGAGGAGAAGGGAUAGCUAGAAGCCGAUAUUCCACACGUCCGGAGAGGAGUCUUCCAAAGAUAAUCCCAAAAGAAAUAGCCCUCCAAGCCCUCAACACCAUCAUCUAGCUCCACUUCAAGAAGACCUUGGAGAAGAAAAGAGCUAUCGACCUCCAAAAGAAGGAGCAUUGGAAGCUCUUUCAGCUCUUCUUCAUCUUCCUCUCUCUCAUCUUCCUCGAUCAGACCUAGUCCCUACACUUCUAGUGUCGCCACUACUAGGUCCCAAUCACUCUCCUCUCCUUAGCCCACCUCAUCUUCUAUGUCUUUGUCGCUCAUACCCUUCCUCCGCUGCAUCAAUGGCUUCAAGUACCAGCGACGUUGCCACAAGCUCACUCUUAGCCUCUCCACUAAGCACCUCUAGUAGAUCUGUUAGUGAACUAGUUGAGUUAGUUUUGAAGUCCAGUUAGUUUCAACCAAUCAUUUCUGUUUAUAACCAACCUCUCAAGUUAGUUAUAGCUAUCAACAACUAAGUGUAUAAAUACUACAGAAGUGUAAUGAUAUAAGCACUGAAAAUAACAGCAAGAAACUUUACUCUGUUUUUCUCUUACUCUGUUUUCUCUUCCUCUUCUUCUAAUCGUUUCUGUUACUCCAUUUCUUCAAACAUGGAAUCAGAGCAGGCUUUAGCUUAGUUAUCCGCCAUGGAUGAAACCUCAAGAACCACCAGUUUUCUCCCAGUUUCCUUUCCCCAUCCAGUCUCAUCCAAACUAGACAAUCACAACUUUCUGGUUUGGCGAAAACAGAUACUCACCACAUUAAGAGGCCAUAAGCUGCAACAUUUCCUUUCUAAAACUUCAGUUCUACCCUCAGAGUUUCUCUCCUCAGACGAUGAAACCCAAAAUCAUGUAAAUCCCAAGUUCCAGGAUUGGGAACAACAAGAUCAGCUUAUUAUGUCUUGGCUUCUUGCAUCUAUAACUGAUGCUCUUCUCACUCGUAUGGUGAAUUGUGACACUUCAGCCCAGGUAUGGAAAACCCUUGAACUAUACUUUGCUACUCAAGUGAGAGCCAAAGUAACUCAAUUCAAAACGCAAUUGCACAACACCAAGAAGGGAGACUUGUCUAUAAUUGAUUACCUCCUUAAAAUCAGAAAUGUAGCUGACCUUCUUGCUCUGGUUAACCACAAGAUUUCUGUCAAAGAUCACAUAGAUGCAAUUUUUGAAGGUCUCCCUCAAGAUUAUGAAACCUUCAUCAUCUCUGUCAAUUCUAGACUUGAUCCAUACACAGUUAAUGAAAUUGAAGCUCUUCUUCUUGCUCAAGAAAGCCGUAUUGAGAAAAACAUCAAGAUUGCAGACCUUUCCACUCCUAGCUUGGCUCAUCUCAUCACAACUAACAGAAAUGGUUCUCCACAUUUCAACUACAGAGCUAGCACCAGAAACUCAAAUUCCCGUCCACCUACACAUUCUGGAAAUGGAAUGCAACACUUUCGUGGGAACUUCACUCAACAAGGAAGAGGACGCCAUGGUCGAGGCUCCUGGAAAGGCAACAACAAACCUCAAUGUCAACUUUGUGGAAGAAUUGGACAUGUUGUCAUGCAGUGCUACUACUGAUUUGAUCAAUCUUUCACAGGACCCUCACAACUUCAAGGAAAUCGUCCACAGGGAAACAUGGCUCAUCUUCAUCAACAACCAUCUGAAAAUUUUUUCCCAGGAACCUCAUUAGUCAAACCAACAACAGCAGAAAUGAUCCAAGACAACAACUGGUACCCUUAUUCUAGAGCCACUCAUCACCUUACACCAGACCUCAACAAUCUCCUGACCAAAUCACAGUUUCCUUCAUCAAACGAAGUCUUCGUGGGAAAUGGUAAGGGUCUCCCUAUUCAUCACAUUGGUCACACCCCAUUUUCAUCAUCAUUCAUUCCCUCCAGAACACUUGCCUUAAAACAACUUCUCCAUGUACCAGAAAUUACAAAGAAUCUUCUUAGUGUUUCUAAGUUUGCUGCUGAUAAUCAUGUAUUUUUUGAAUUUCAUCCUACCUCUUGUUUUGUCAAGGAUCUUUCCACCCGGACAAUCCUCAUGCACGGCCAGCUUAAGGGGGGAUUAUAUGUGUUCGAUAACACACAGCUGAAACUCCCUCUUCACAGUGUAGAAACUUUCAACUCUUCAUGCUUUGCUUCUACAGCUCUCCCGUCCAAGGAACCAACAACACUUACUUCAUCUCCAUCUCCCUUUAUAUUGUGGCAUAAUAGACUUGGUCAUCCUUCCUCACAUAUCGUUUCUCUUGUACUCAAUAAAUGUAAUCUCCCACUAAUGAUCCUCCCUUCUUCAACCUCUGGUUCAACCUCUUCUCCAACCAAUCCAUCAAUAUUUCCUGUCACCUCUAACCACAACGUAGCAUCACAACCUCCACCAUCCUCUGCCCCUCCUUUUCCCACCCAUCAUAUGAUUACUCGAUCCAAAAAUGGCAUCUUUAAACCAAAGGCCUAUCUCAUUUCUACAACUCCCACUUCAGUCCCUGAAGCCCUCCAACUUAGCCAUUGGAAACAGGCCAUGACUGAUGAAUAUCUCGCUCUCCUCCGAAACAACACUUGGGAUCUUGUUCCUCCUCCCACUGAUCGUAAAUUGAUCGGCUGCAAAUGGGUGUUCAAAGUCAAGGAGAAUCCCGAUGGAACUAUAAACAAAUACAAGGCCCGUUUAGUUGCUAAGGGUUUUCAUCAGAUUGCUGGAUUUGACUUCAAUGAAACUUUUAGCCCGGUUGUCAAACCGACUACCAUUCGCAUUGUUCUCACUAUUGCUUUAAAUCUACAAUGGAAAAUUCGACAAUUAGAGGUCAAUAACGCCUUUCUCAAUGGCGACCUACAUGAAGACAUAUUCAUGCAUCAACCUCAAGGCUUUAUCGACCCUGUCAACCCAAACUAUGUCUGCAAGCUCAAUAAAUCUCUUUAUGGCCUCAAACAGGCCCCUAGAGCUUGGUUCGAAAAGCUGCAUCACGCACUUGGCAUUCUUGGUUUCUCAUCCACCAAAUCAGAUCAAUCUCUAUUUAUCAACAUCACACCUACUCACUCCACUUACAUUCUAGUAUAUGUGGAUGAUAUUCUUAUCAUCGGCAGCAAUGAUCAGUUUGUUCAACAUGUGAUCACUCAGCUUAACAACCAAUUUGCUCUCAAAGAUCUUGGAGAUAUUGAUUACUUUCUGGGUAUCCAAGUCAAGCAUACAUCCGCUGGAAUGCACUUGUCACAGGCCAAGUAUAUCUCCAAUCUACUUCAAAAAACCAAGAUGCUUCAUGUCAAGCCAGUUCCUACACCUAUGGUAUCUAAUCAGUCCCUAUCCAACUCUGGAAGUCCUCCAUUCAGCAACACUCAACUUUAUAGAAGCACUGUUGGUGCCCUCCAAUAUGCCACCAUCACAAGGCCAGAUAUCUAUAAUGUCAACCGAGUUUGCCAAUUCAUGCAAGCUCCUCUGACUGCUCAUUGGAAGGCUGUCAAGAGAAUUCUACGCUACCUGGCUGGCACUCUUCACCAUGGACUCCAUCUUCAGCACAGCUUCAACUCACACCUCAACAUAACAGGGUUUUGUGAUGCAGAUUGGGCAUCAGAUGUUGAUGACCGCCACUCCACAUCAGGAUAUUGCCUCUUUCUUGGUCCAAACUUGGUUUCCUGGCACUCACGAAAGCAACAUACAGUCUCUAAGUCUUCCACCGAGGCAGAAUAUAGAAGUGUAGCUACCUUAGUUGCUGAAAUUUCUUGGUUGCAGUCUCUCCUCAAAGAAUUAAACAUAUCUUCCUCCACAACUCCGGUCAUUUGGUGUGACAACCUCAACACAGUGUACCUCUCGGCUAAUCCCAUUCUUCAUGCUCGGACUAAGCACAUCAAAAUUGAUCUUUAUUUUGUUCGAGAAAAAGUUCUUCAGAAGCAAAUACAAAUCCAUCAUGUACCUUCCUCCGAUCAGCUAGCAGAUGUCUUCACCAAGGCAACUCCUAACUCCAGAUUCCUCACCAUACGUGCCAAACUCAGUGUCAACCAAAGUCCACCCUGAGUUUGAGGGGGGCUGUUAGUGAACUAGUUGAGUUAGUUGUGAAGUCCAGUUAGUUUCAACCAAUCAUUUAUGUUUACAACCAACCUCUCAAGUUAGUUAUAGCUAUCAACAACUAAGUGUAUAAAUACUACAGAAGUGUAAUGAUAUAAGCACUGAAAAUAACAGCAAGAAACUUUACUCUGUUUUUCUCUUACUUUGUUUUCUCUUCCUCUUCUUCUAAUCGUUUCUGUUACUCCAUUUCUUCAAACAGAUCAAGAUGAGGGCCAGUAGUGGAGGAUGAGGAGAUUGAAAAGCUUCUGGAGCCCUUCUCAAAAGAGCAACUGUUGGCUUUGUUUCAGGAGGCAAUGGAAAAGUACCCGGACUUCGUUAAUAGCAUCUAGAGACUCGCCAACGUCGACCCGGCUCAACGAAAAAUCUUCGUCCACGGCAUGGGAUGGGAUACACCUUUAUUCUGUUCAAGCACCGGAACGACGCUCACAAGGCACUGAAGCAGCCAUAAAAGAAGAUUGGAAAUCGGAUGACCUCAUGCUAGCUAGCCUUUACCGGCCUCGUUCGAACGCCGUCACCGGUGGUACCUCCGGUGUCUGAGUAUACUCAAAGAAAUUUUUUUUUUUUGUGAGCAAUGUUUCUGCAGAGAUCGAUUCUCAGAAGCUACUAGAGUUCUUUGCAAAGUUUGUGGAAUUUUUUUAGGGUCACACAUUGCAUUGCUAGAAGGCAAUUGAUGGGCCAAGCCAAAAAAGCCUUUCCACCAUCACCACCAACAAAACCUACACCACUUUUGAUCCUUUUUUAUUCUUUAUAUUUUGAUAUCAAAGUUUCAAUUUUCAAAACUCAAAUUCUCAACUAAUUCUCCAAAAUUUCUAUUUUCAAAUAAUUUUCCAAAAUUCCAAUUUUCAAAUUUAAUUAUCGAAACUUCCGUUUUCAAAUAAUUUUCAAAUUUAAUUUUUAAAAAUUUCAUUCUCAAAUAAUUCUUCAAAAUUCCAAUUUUCAAAACUUCUAUUUUCAAAUAAUUUUCCAAAAUUCUCAUUUUCAAAUUUAAUUUUCAAAAGUUCCAUUUUCAAAUACUUUUCCAAAUUUCCAAUUUUCAAAUUUAAUUUUCAAAACUCUCACAUUCAAAUAAUUUUUCAAAAUUCCAAAUUUCAAAAUUCCCAUUUUCAAAUUUUUUUUUAUUUAAAUUCCAAUUUUUAAAUUUAAUUUUUAAGAUUUCAAUUUUCAAAUAAUUUUCAAAACUCUAGUUUUCUUUCAAAUAAUAUUAAUUCCACUUCAAUUUUCAAAUAUUUUUAAUUUUACAACUUUUCAUCAUUUAUUAGGGUUUAGGUAAAAAAAAUCUUGUUUUAAAUAAACUUGCUACAUUUCACUUCAGGUAAGUACUUUUACAAAUUUUCUUUAAUUUUCAAAUAAUAUUUUCUUUCUCUUUAUUUUAAAUAAGCAUGAAUAUAAUUUUAAAUAAGCACGAACAUAGGUUUGGUUUUUCGAAGAUCAUCUUUUCCAAAUAAGAAGUCACAUUUACGGUUUUCUUUCUUAUUUUGUUUUCCCUUAAAAAAAAUAAAACAAAAAUAAGUGGUGACUCCAAGUCUUUUCUAAAAAUCAUAAAUUUUUACAAAUAAAUAAAAAAUAAGUUUUGCUAUCGAGUGGGAAUGCAUCGUGCAAAAUACGAGGUCCACAUAAUACUAAGUUACUUUACUAAGAUAUUGAAUGCACUUUAAAUAUUCCAUUAAGUCAUCUUUAUCAAUGUUGUUGAUUAUGAACUUAUAUUUUUUUUAAUUAUUAUUAUGAAAUGCUAAAUUAAUUAUUACAUUUUAAAAUCUAUAAAAUUAAGUAUGAACGUGUAUAUUUUAAAAUCUAUAGAAUUAAUUAUUAUAUAUUUUUCUUAUUUUAUGUAUUUAAGAUAAAAAUAUUCAAAAUUAAUAAUUUAAAUUGUCGUGCACCACCUUCUCUAAAACCCUAGGGGUAUGUGCCCUUUUAUAGGCUUUCAAGCUUGGUCUUCAUCGACCCUCUCACAUGGUGGACAUCAAAGCUCUAGGCAAAAAGUAAGCUAAUGGAGGUAGUAAAGUUGACCCUUGUCCAAAAUCAAAAGGCCAAAAUGAGAAUGAUGAGAGCCAAAAAAAUAAUAAAUAAAUAAAUAAAUAAACCCAAACCAAUAUAAAUAAGCCCAAAACAAACAAAGCCUAAACCCGAAAAAUAAAAUAAACUAGGCCCAAAAUCAAAUAUACAAAGCCCAAACUCAAAACAAAUAUGAUAGCCCAAGGCUACAAAUACAUCUCAGAGCAAUAACCGAAGUUCAAAAUAAUAUCCAAGAACCCCAAUACCCAUAAACAUGAAUCAAUAAAUAAAUCCAAAUCAAAGCCUAUCGUGGACUAGUAUUUUUCAUUCGAUGCAUCCUUAGUAAAAAAUGACGAGACUUACUAUUUAGCGAAAAACUGAAUUUUAUUAUAAAAAAAAUGUAGUUGUCACUUAUUUUUAUUUAUUUAUUGAAGGGAAAACAAAAUAAAAAAUAAAAUCCUAAACAUAACUUUUUAUUUUGAAAAGUCAAGUUACCUAUUGGGAAGUUAACAUAAGGUAACACCUCUUUAAACACUAAGACAUAUCUCUACUAAUCAAAUUGAAAUUACUAUGACAAUUAGUCAAUUAAUUAAUCAUGAAUACCAAGAAGCUAAGCGUAUAUCAAAAGCAAAGUAUAGCAAAAGGCUACUUGAACAAGGCAUACAUAUCAAAGAAUCAAAUAAAUGAGAAGGAAAUGAAACUAUCUCAAACAAUGAACCAAGUGUUUUCAAGUAACAAUUGGGUUAGCUCACAAAUAAUAAUAAGGAACCAUAAGCUAGGCCUCAUAAUGAAUGUAACAUAUGCAUAUCUCAACUCAUGAAGUAAAUGAUAUGGUGUGAACAAGAGGAAACAGGAUACAAUAAAACAUGUGGGUUGCCCCCUCGUUCGACAUCAUUCCAUGAAAACAAUGUCGUUCUAUGAACGGAGCAGAGGAUCGCUUGCACAUGGCACUAGUGACGAAGGAGUCGGUGGAAAACCGGCGCGGACCAAAGUCGGGAGGCAUAUUUUUCAUUUCUUUUUUUCUUUUUAAUAAUGAGGAGAAUCUGGUAAUUAUGAAUAAUUGGACAGGUGGAGCCUCGGAAUGAAGCAUGUCAGAGACCUCUAUUUCCACGAGGAUACACAGGGAUAUAGUUUUGAAGAAAAGAGCCAUCACCCUUAUCUUGGUCAUCGCAAAUUGUAUAUAGAUGUGGCCAAACAGAUUCAUUCUAGCGUAAACCUUACAAUGGCAAUAGCCAUCACCCUCAUAGGCCAAGCCUUGAUCUCUCUCGUUUGGUUUUGGAAGCCAAAAGUCCAAUCUCUUUUAUCCUUUGGGCCUCUUAUAUAUGGAGAGAGAGAGAUUGAGGCUGUCUCGAAGCUUGUAGUACAAGUUGCAAAUGACAUAUUGAUCCUGCAGUUUUUAGUUAGUAUAGUCACCACCCAUGGCUUGCGUUUUUAUUUUUAUUUAUGUGAGAGCAGAAGCUUUACUGUCUCUCUAUGGUGGCGGUUAGCUGCAAAGUGAAGUGCUGUUUUCUUGGUAUCUUUGAUUGCAAGGUAAGUUACAGACUUAUCUGAUGAUUUGUCUAGUAAUUGCUCCGCAAUUUUAGUAUAACCCAAGUAUGCAGCACAGUGAAGGGGAGACCACCCAUUUUCAUCAACUUCUUUUGUUAGAUCUGGCUUCCAUUCCAAUAACUUCGCUAUCAUGUCUGAUAAACAAAUGAACCAACAAAAAAACAGCAGAGAAAAAAAUUUAAGAAAUUCCCUCUAGUAAAGCAUGACCCUUAGAGGUGAUCAUGAUCUCUAACAAUAUAUUGCAUGAGUAACUAACCAUGUAGGAAUCAAGAUUCAAGGAAAGGAUCUGCAUGUGUGUUAUACCUUGGUCCUCACGAAUUACAGCAGCAUGCAAAGCCGUUCUACCCAUUAUGCCACUGUGAGAUGGUGAAGCGCGAGUUUUGUCUAUAAUUAUACACACCAAGUCUCCAUAUCCUCUCUCGGCAGCCAUGUAAAGAGGAGUGUAGCCUGUAAUAUUUGCACCGUAGAUAAACUCAGGGUCUUCCUCAAUCAAUGACACCACAAUCUCUGAAUGAUGAUACCGCACCGCCUCAUGCAAGGCUGUGUCUUUCUCCUUAUUGGUCAUCCUCAACAUCGCCUUGUCUGUUCCAACCCCACUUUCGAUCUCUUGGUGAAGUGCUUUUGUGGCGUCAAGGAGAGCUUUCACAACCGCCCCAUGGCCUUCUCUCGCAGCAAGGUGAAGUGGAGUGUCGCCUUUCAGAUUGGGCUGCUGCAGUAGAGGUGAACAUGAAUGAAAGUGAAGGAUCCACUCUACGCAUGCCAGCUGACCGAACUGGGCUGCAAUGUGGAGGCCAGUGUUCCUUUUUGGGGUUUGUUGGAGUGGAAGAUGAGCUUCUGAGUACUUUCUCUCGAGGAUACUGAUAUCACCUUUAUACAAAGCCUCGUACAAAUCAGCAUCCAUGUGGGUGAUCUCAGUUUGGCCAUCAGCUGCAAUCUGGUUCGACAUCUCAGUUUGUCUUGAAAAGGUUUCCAAGUUAAGGUUCUGCGAUUCUGUAAUUUAGUUGGAGCUGGACUGAUUCACUAUUGGCGUUGGAGGAGCAAAGUAAUAAUCAACUCUUCAGAUUCUAUAUAUAGCGCAUAGAAAAGUUGUUUGUCCAUCGCUACAAUUUUACUAAACCCAAAUUUAUUUUUAACUUUUUCUUCUUUUUCCUUUUUCCUUGCACUCUUGCACUCUUGCACUCCUGCACUCCGUGUCUGGAUAGAGCCUAGAGAUUAGGCUUAAUUUUACGUGUCUCACCCGAUUCCACUGCAUCAUAUACGAUAGAGAAUAAGCUCACUGUGGCAUAACUCUUUAGCUAGAGAGAGAUUUAAGCUUAUGCUUGGUACUAAAAUUAAGAUUUCAUUUUAGUAUUGGUAAAAAACCUAGAUCUUCGAGUCAAAAGUUUCACAUUGAUCUAAGUUGGUUAGGAUUAUUAGUGGGCAAGAAUUGAUAUCUUGACUUUGAUGAGAAAUGUGAAAAUGAAAUCUAGUAGCUAUUUUGAACAUAUAUAUAUAUAUAUUAAGCUUCUUUUUCGCCAAAAAAAUAAGUCGAAGAUGAGUUAAAUAGUUUAAAGUUAUAAUUAAGUUAAUUAGCGAAAUUAUUAAAUCAAUCCAUUUGAAUCUAUGUUGUGUAGGUCGAUAUAAAAUCUAUAUAUUUAUUAAAUGUGUUAUACAGGCUAACAUAAAUUUGAUCCAAACUCAAUUAUACUUGACCCAAACUUGUAAAAAGCAUAUUAAGUUUGAGUUGUGUUGACGUAUUGUAUCAAACUUUGUUAUGCCUACAAAAUAUAAUGUUAAGGCCCAAAUGAUUAAUAAUCACACAUGCUAAAGAGAGGAAAACCUAAAGAUUACCUGUUUUCAUGAUUGCAAUAUAUUUUUUUUUGGAAAAAAGUGUGCUUCCAUACUCAUAUUUAACAAUAUCACAAGAUAAAAAUCUAUUAAAAGUAAUUUAAGUUUUAUGCACUCUAAAGUCAAGAUAACAUUUAGGGUAGUCAAAGGUAUUACUAAUAUUAUUAAAAAUAGUACCAAUUUGCAAAAAAGUAUGUAAAAUCUGAAUUAUUUUUAGAUAAAUAUAUUCAAUUGGAAAAUUUUAAAUUGGGAUUGUUAUGUGAUUUUUUUCAAAUGUAUGUAUGAAAACAUAAUUUAAUUUCUUAGAUUUUCUCUAUAAAGCUUGGUACCAAGGAGAGUUGUUUUGGCUCAAAAGUCCAUGUUUCUUUGUUCGUUGUCUAUUUAGUGAUUUUUUUUUCAUUUUUCUUUUUCUUUAUGUGGGGACGAAGUGAAGUGUAGUAUUUGUCUGGUACUGAAUUUUCUAUUUAAUUUAAUUAUCCUUUUUUUUGCCCUUUUGGUGGGGGAUGAAGUGUAAUAUUUGUCCAUUGCUUUCCUUUUCUUUUAUUAGAGACAAGUGGAAUAUUUGUUUGUUAGAAUUUUCUCUUUUAAUUAUUCUUUUUAUUUCUCUUUUGGUGGGAUGAAGCAUAAUAUUUGUCCAUUAUUGAUAUUUUUUUUUCUUUUUCUUUUUUUAGGGAUAGGUGGAAUAUUUGUUUGUUAGAAUUUUCUCUUUUAAUUAUUCUUUUUUUUUUUUUUUUACUUUUGGUGGAGGAUGAAGCGUAAUAUUUGUUCAUUACUUAAAUUUUUCGUUUUCUUUUUCUUUUUUUUUUCUUUUUUCUUUUUGUAGGGACGAAGUGAAAUAUUUGUCCGUUACUAAAUUUUCUCUUUUAAUUUUUAUUUUUCUUUCACCUCUUUCAAUGCUUAUUUUUCUCUCUUGGGGAUGAAACAUAAUAGUUGUCCAUUACUGACUUUACUUUUUUCUUUUUUUUUUUGUGAACAAAAUGGAACAUUUUUCGGUUAUUGAAUUUUCUCUUUUAAUUAUUUUUUUAUGUUUUCUUUUUGUGGGGGCUAAAGCAGAAUAUUUGUAAUUUUGUGUUUCUCUUUCACUUUUUGUGGGGACGAAGUGAAAAUAUUUGUCCUUUAGUAUUGACAUUUGGAUAAAAAAAUGAGUAGGAAAUAGUUACACAACUUGGCAUCAAACGCUUUUAAGCUAACUUCAACUCAAAUAUAAAUAUUCCUUCCAACAUAAAGAAACUUAAGGAAAAAGAAUGGGAAGAAGUUCCAAAUUUUUUUAACCUAAUUAAGUAGAUUACGAAAAUCGGUCGGUCUUUCAAUGUAGCCUCUAGUGUUUUCUUUUUUUCUUUUCAAGUGAUAUCACCUCUAGCCAAUUCUUAAAUGUCAUAUUAGCUCUUCCAUUAGGAUUUUCCAUAGGAAUUGAUGAAAAACUCAUCCGAAAAACAGGUAGCAUUAGUAUAAAAUUUUAUGUCAUAGGUUGGAAUAUGUUCAAAUUUUUUGUGUUGAUGAUAUGUUUUCCAUCCAUUUUUUACACAUGAAAAAACUUAAAAAAUUAUUUAAUAUUUAAGGAUAGUGUAGGAUUAAUAUUGUAACGCCCAAGUUUCUUUUUAGGAAAAUAUUAUUAAUAAUAAUAUUAAAUUAAUUAAUUAAUUAAUUUAAUAAAAUGAAAGAGGGGUGAAAAGGUAAUUUUACGAAUAAAUACCCUAGGUAUAAAUUAGAAUUCUGUUCUUCCUGUUCUUUUUUGAAUCGCGUUCCUGUUCGCAGAGAGUUCCUGAGACCGUAAGAUUGGAGUUGGAUUUCAGGGUUUGAAAAACAUAUCUUUAUAGGUAAGAUUCUAACCCCUAGAUUAAUAUUUUAUAUUCAUUAGUUAAUUUUAAACACAUUAGAUAUUUUUUGGAAAACCCAAAUCUAGAUUAGGGUUAGUUUAUUAUUAUUAUUUUAAUUCGUUUUAAUAUCAAAAUAGUGAAAAUUUAAGAUUUUGAUUUAUUGUUGGAAUUUGGGAGAUCUUAAGUUUUUUUAGAUGAAAAAAAAAAAAAGAUUCCUAGGAAGAUUUCGAUUUAGAUUAGGGUUAAUUUAUUUAUUUAUUUUUAAAUAAUAAUAAAUAAAUAUAUUGUUAAUUGUGGCUUAAGGGAUUAGAAAAAUACAAUUUGAUUUAACAAAAAAAAAAAAAAAGAGAAAGCGUGUGCACCGGAAAAUAGAAGGUUGGUGAAAAAAAGAAAAAAAACGUGUGUGCACUGGUUGCAUGCGUGUGGGAACUGUGCAUCCAUUUUUUUUUUUUUUUUUGUAAGGAUUUCAUGGUUGAAAUUUAGUUGGUGGAUUUUCACAUACUCUAUUAUUAGGCUUUGAUGGAUACUUGGGUAUGUAAUAUUUAAUAGUAGCAGGACUCCGUAUAUUAGACUUUGAUGGGUACUUGAGUACUGAGUACUGUAUUAUUUAACAAUGGCAGAGCUUUGUGUUAUUAGACUUUGAUGGGUAUUGUAUUAUUUAAUAAAAGAAGAUGUGUACGAAUGGUAUUGAGGUGGUUAAUAUAUAUAUAUCUGUGUGUGUGUGUGUGUGUGAAACCAAGGUUUGGUUAAUCUUGAUUUUGAUGAUAACAAAACAAGGUUUAGAACUAAUGACUACAUUUUAAGUGUGAUUAGGUAAGACGACUUCCAAAGUGGUAAUCCAAAGAUAAAACAAGCCAAAGAGAAAUCAUGAAGAAGAAGACCACCUCAAAGAGAAGAGUUUUUCAAGACCAAAGCUUCUUAAGAUCUCUUUGUAAGGUUGUUGGUGCACUAUGACUUUCAUGCAUUUCAUUCUUUAUUUAUGCACCAAAAUCAUCCAAGAGUAAUAUUGUUUUAAAUAUCUUAAGAAUUGGAUGAUUUCAUGUUUUCAACUAAAACCUUGUGUUAAAUGAUUUUCAAACUUGUGUUAAAAGGUUUUAAGUUGAAAAGGGUUGAGUGUUGAGCCAAAAAAAUGGCUCAACCGGUCAACCGGUUGUGCUCGUCCGGUCGAGGAUCGGUUGAGGGAGGCCAAAAAGUUUCUCUCUCUCCCAGUGACCUUCUCUUCCCGGUCAAGGUUGAACCUCAUGAUCAACCGGUUGAGGUCUAGUCGAGGUCCGGUCGAGGUCCGAUUGAGGUCCGAUUGAGGCCCAACGGUCACUUUCCCUAACGGCUAGUCAACCGGUCGAUCCCUAGCUCGAUCGGUCGAACCCCCAACGGCUAGUUUGACUUUUUUCUUCUAUAAAAAGGCUUCAAUCUUCAUUGUUUCAAAAAACUUAACCUUCCCAAAUCAUUCUUGAUUAUAUUUGAGCCUUGGAAGAGUGUUUUUGAGUGCACCAUUGUUUCAUAACUUGCAUAUCUUUAGUGCACCAUUCAAUCUUAGUUUUUCUUGUAUCUUUGAGCCUAAAGUUCUAUCACUAAGAUUUUGAGAGAUCAUUAUUUGUAUAUCUUUGUGAUGAAUUUUCUCAAGUGUGGGGUAUCACUUGAGGGUUGUUCAAGAGUGGGAUAUCUCUUGAGAAGUGUAAAGGGCGCUUGGAGCCAAAAGUCCAAGAGGGUGAAUUGGAACCAUAAUCCAAUUGUAAAGAGAUUGGAAGCUUGGUUGAAGCUUCAAGAUAGUGAAACCCUCACUCGGUUAGGAGGUUGAGGAGAGUGGACGUAGGCAAGAAAGUGUCGAACCACUAUAAACUCUCGUGUUUGCACUCUCUCUUCCCUAACUCUUUUAAAUUAUAUGCAAUUGUGUUUAUUUUGUUUAUUAUAUACUUGCAUAUAAUUGUCUCUUAUUUUUGCAUAGUUUAAAUUUGAGAAAAAGAGACUAUCACCCUAUUUACUCCCCCCCCCCUCUCCUCCUCCUCCUCCUCUAAGGUGAUUACCAUAGUUUGGAGUAGCCCUAUUUUUCUAAUAAUAUAUAUAUAUAUAUAUAUAUUAUAUUAGCAAUGAUGGAGAGUUGUUGUGUAUAAGCUAUGUUUGGUGAAAAAGUGAGAAAAUAUAAUUUAUAAAUAAAAGAAAGUAAAGUUUUCGGUAUUAUAAUUAUAUUAAUGAUGGGUGUAAUGUAAUAAAUAGUAUAGAAUUUAAUUAGUGAAAUAAAUUACAAUUUUAUUAAAUUAUGUUGUGUCUCAAGAAAUAAAUUGAAAAUAAAAUUUAAGUUUUAUAUGAAUUAGAAAUUUAUUAAAUUUUCUAAAAUAGGAAUAGAUUAAAUUAUCUUUCAUAAUAAUAAAAAAAAAACAUUAAUUUGAAUGUCUAAAAUUUUAGGCUUGUCAAACCUAUAAUUUUAGAUAAAUAAUAAUGGUUAUUUCUCUUAUAUUUUGUUAGGUGAAGAGUUGAUUUUCAGGAUUAUUUUUCUCCAAAGUUUUUGAGGACUUCUUUUGAGGUAAAGGAAAUUAAUGCAGUUAUUAUUUUUUUAGAAACAAAUUUUUAUAUACAUCAUUUGGAAACAUUUUGAGUUAUUAUUCGUUUUAUGUAUGGAUCAAAUAUGUUUUGCAUGAAAAGUAUGUUAAAACCAUAUUUUAUUUACAACAGAGAAAUGUGGAGAUAUUAUGUUUUGCAAAUUUGAAUAAUUGAAAUAAGUGUUUGACUCUGGUUUGUUUGGCCCUUGUCAACGAGAUAUAAUAGUUGACUUUUGACUUUUUGACCCUUGUCAAUGAGAUAUAAUAGUUGACCUUUACAUUUCUUGGUGGGAAAUGUAAUUGAUUUGGACCCCAGCCUCUAGGGGUUUGGUUAGAGGUUACUAAUACUAGUAGUGUUUGGUUCCGUCCACCUUAAAUAAACAAUUUGAGGCUAGCCACCUAUUUGAAAAGUCUCACAUAACUGGGCACCAUUUGAUGUUUGAUGACCAGAGUAACUAAAUUAUUUGAAUGUUUUGAUUGAAUUUGACAUGAAAAUGUUUGAAUCAGAAAUAAAAGUGUACAAAUAAAAGUUUUGAAUGUAUUGACAAAACCGACUCAAAAGUUUAUGAAAAUAAUUAGUUAUAAUAUCUCAUAUUUUGCAAGUGAACUUGAAUAAUUUGAUCUAUGGACUGCAUUAAUGUUCCUUAUUGGGCUUUGAACUCAUUCCCCUUUGUUAAUAAUUUUUUUCAGGUACCCUUAGUUCGGGCGAGGAGUGAUGACUAGGUCAGGGAAUGGUCUUCAUUAGGAUUUUGCUUAGGAUGUUAUUUUUGGACAUUGUUAGCUUAUAAGUUUAUGUUCAUUUGGAUUAUUUGGUUUUUGGAAGCUAUUUAGAUUUGAACUUACAAAUUUUUUUUUAUGAUAGUUUGAAGUUGAGAUUUGGAGAUUAUGAAAAUUUGUUAACACUUGAUUUGUUUGAGUUUGCAAUCUAUUUGGAUAAUGGAUUUUGGUUGAUGGAUGCUUAGUUUUAAAGUUACGUUUGAAGAUUUUAGAAUUUUGUUCCAUUACUCUGAAUAGGUAUUUGGUAAUUGGUUACUUCCAAUUACAAUAUGAUUGUUUGGGUCAUGUUACACUUUAAGCCUUCGGGUUUGAGGUGUGAAAUGACCGGCAUGCCCUUGGAGUGGGUCUUAGGACGUGACAAAUAUUAUAACAAAAAAAUAAAAAAAAAUAAAAUUGGGGACUUAUAAAUUAAGAUAUAAAUAAAAGUAUAAAUUUCACACAAGAGAGUAAGGAAGAAAAUGUCGGGAUAUAUCGAAAGGUUUCAACACGAUAAAUCAUGGUGAUAUAUCAGAGAGGAGAAAUUUCUGUAAAUAUCACCAAAAAAUCACAGAUAUAUCGGUUGGAGGCGAUAAAUAGCCAAUUUUUUUUCAUUAAUCUGUUGUCACAAAAAAAAAUCGCCGAUAUUUCUGCAAAAAGAAAAUGCCCUCCUCUGCCCAGACUGCCUGCCCCUCUGCCCAGGCUUACCCUAUGCCCAGACUCCCUUUCCCCAGCCAAUCUCCUGCUCAAGCUCUAUUCCCCACUUUGCCUAUAUAUGAGACCUCCACGGUUCCACCUGCUCCUCUGCCCAGGCCUAUCAGUCUACCCAAGCUCCCCUUCCCCAGCCAAUCUCCUACCUGGGUUCCAUUCCCCAUUUUGCCCAUAUAUAAGACCUUCAUUCCCCUUUGUUAAUUUUAACCAAACGUGUGUAUAUAUAUAUAUUAAAAGUAUUCACAAAAGAAUAUUUUUGAAAACAAAUUAAUUAUAAUUAUUAUAAAAAAUUAUAAAAAUUAUAGAUAUAUUAUAAUUUAUUUUAUAUCAUUUAAUAUAAUUAAAUUAAAUGAAUCAUAAAUUUAACAUUAAAUAUAUUUUAAAAUUAUAUAUAUUAUGAUUAAAUAUUAUGAUAUUAUUAUAAAAUAAUAUUUGAUGUAAUUUAAUAAUAAAUGUACACUUAUAAAAUUCAUAUUUUUAUCAAUGCAUACGAUAUUAUUAUCAAAUAUGAUAAAUCAUAUUAUACAUAUAUCAAAUUAUUUAAUAAAAUAACUUAAAAAUAUCAUUGUACUUCUAAUUACAUUUUUAUGAAGUUUUUCUUAUAUUUUUAUAAAUUUUGAUCAAUUUUAGGCUUAUCAAUAUUUUUUUCUAAAAUAUCCGUCGAUAUAUCUUUGAUAUAUCCGUAAUUACCGAUAUUUUCAUCCUUCCAGGAGAGUAAAUAAAAUUAAAAAAAAAAAGAAAUUAUUGAAUUUAAAUAACACUUUUCUUUCUUUCCUUUUUGUUUCCCAUUGUUUUUAAUGUGCUAAUGGAGCCAUAACAUGUGUGUUGGUCAUAUGUUUCCUUUUGUUUAAACAUUGACCCAAAGCCUUAGUGGAUCUCUACGGUUAUGUUUGGUUAUUUGGAAACUUGAUAGAAAAUGUGAGGGGAAAAAAAUAGGGAAGAAAGAUAAAAGGAAAGAAAAAGUGACAAAAAAAAAAAAGAUUUAAAAACAAUAAAUUAUUUGUAUAUGUUUCUUCAAAAGUUAUUUCACUUAUUUUCCUUUAUUACAUAAAGAUUAAAUAAAUUAAAAAUAUAUCAAUUUUUAACAAAUUUUAAUUAUAUUUGUCAAAUUAUAGGUGUAUAUAUAUUUAAAAAUAUCGCCAUUAAUAUAAAUAUAUAUAUCAAAUAUAAAUUAAUCUAAAAAAUGUUAAUAAAGACAAUGGUAGAAGUAUCUUAAAACCCUACCACCUCUAUCAAGAUGUAUGUGUUAAUACUUAAUAUCCUCCAAACUUUGUCAUUCAAAUUAAAACAAGAGUUGGAAGUAUAUCAUAAUAGAACAAUUGUUUUUCAAGAGAUGAAUAGUACCUUUUAACUUAGGUUCACAUUCCUUAGUGGACCCAAUUAAUUAGUAAGUGAAAUUUCAAACAUAAAUCAAUCUCAAAUAUUAAUAUCGAUAAAGACUAGGUAUAUACCAUAUCAAAAUGGUAGAAAUAUCUUAAAACCCUACCACCUUUAUCAAGAUGUAAGUAUUAAUAUCCUCUAAGUUUUGUCAUUCAAAUUAAAACAGGAGAUAAAAAUAUAUCAUAAUAGCACAAUUAUUUUUCUGUGAUGAGUAGUCCCUUUCCACUUAGGUUUACAUUCAAAGACAUAUAUAACAUGAUUUUAAAACACACAAUUCACUCAAAUCUUAUUAGAUUUUACCAAAUCCACAUCAUCGUCUCUUGUGCAAACACCGGAAAAACCAUCAAACCUAAUAAAAAAUCAUUAAAAAAAAAAUCUAAUUGUAAUAUAAUUACAAAAAAAAAAAAAAAAUCUUAUUUUUAAAAACAAAAGUGAAACAAGGUUCGGUGAAAGUGGUAGAUGUAUCUAUGUUCAAACUCUACUAGCUAUAUUCUAAGAGUUCAAAAGAGUCAGUGGAGGUACAAUGGGGCAACAUAAUUGUUUUGGUGGAAGUGUUUUGUGGCUCCUUCAAAUCUCAAGUCCGUAUUUUCAAAGUUGUUUGUCCAAAUAGGAUUUUCCUUUUCUUUUUGGCAUGAUAAGGAUAGCUUGUAAAGAUUAGAGAAAUAAAGAUUUAUUUAACAAAAAAAUAAUUUAUAUAAAUUAAAUUUAAAAUAAAAAGUCACUCACAAGUAAACGUAAAAAUUGAAAAAUUAUCCAAAAAAAAAUUGUGUUUUCUUUUUGUCAUACUAUCAAAUAUUUUUCUUCUUAUUUUUAUAAAUAAAAAAUAAACCCAGGAUUAGAAAAUAUUUUUUUUCUAAAAAUUUUAGAAAAUAUGGGCAUGUUUGGUUAGUUGUUUCAAAAAAAGUUUUCUGUUUUUGAGAACAAAACAUGUUUGAUAAGAGAGUAGUUUUUGUUUCCAUGUGUUCUCUGUGUUUUCUAAAACCUGGUUUUCAGAGAACAAAAAAAUGGUGUUUUUCGUCACUGUUCUAAGAAGAAAAAAAAUAAAAUUUUCUUCAUAUUUUCAAUCACUGUUCUUGGGUGUUCUCAUCUCUUCACUAUGAAGGAAAAUUCUUUACACUAUGAGAAAAAAAAUCAGAAAAUGGGAAAAAUAAAAAAAUCGGUCUAACAAAAAUUCAAACAAAAACUUAACAUUAUCGACAAUUUUUUUAUUUUUUGGUCAUUUCCAUUUCAAUAUUUUUCAGAUAUUUCAGGAUUUAUCCCCAUAUGAUUUUUCGAUGCAUUUCAAAGCCAAAACCUCCAUAUAUUCUAGGAUUUCCCUGAAACUAAACAAAACAUAAACAAUAAGACAAAAAACCAAGAAUGCAAAAAAUGAAAAAGAAUAGAAAAAUUAAAACAAAAGUUGAAACCCUAACCAGGAAUCUUUACAACAACCACAAUAUGGAUUUUGAUCUCAGUAAGUAAUGUUUUGAUCUUAAAAGAGAGAAAUAAACCGACGGUGAAUAAAAAUUUGGAUAUUGGAAGAGAAAGGGAGAUAGGAAGGAAAGAGAAACAGAGAAUAGGAGGGGAAGAGAAACAGAGGAAAACAGAAGAAUGAGAGAAAUGAGAACAUGGUUUCAGUCCCAAUAAAUAUAAAUAUAAAUAUAAAUAUAUAUAGUAAAAUAAGUAAAAUAGUGAAAAUUAAUAAAUGUUUAUAAAUAAAUUAGUUUGAUUUCCUUUUAAUUUUUUUUAUCUUUUAUAUAAUUAUUAAAUAUAAAAUAAAAUUUAAUUUUAAAUAAAAUUAUAAAUAUUUUUAAACAAAAAUUAUCAUAAAUAUAUCAUUAUUAAUUAAUUUUUUAUAUUAUUAAUUACAUUUAAAAUAGAAAAAAUACAUCAUCUAUUUCUAAGUAUAAUGCAUUACUAUUUGAUAUCAUAAAUUUUAUCUUCAUAAAAUCCAAUAAUUGAUAUUUACCAAUUUAUGACAUUUUGAUCAUAUAAUUUAUCAAUUAUUGAAAUCAAACACAUUUAAAAAUAUUUAUAAAGUAAUCCUUUGUUUGAAAAAAUUAAAAAUGAUGCAUAAAAUUUUCAAAAUGAAACAUUUUUAUUUUUUAUAAAGUGUGAAUGUAAAAAUUAUUUAUUUAUUUAUAAUAUCAAUUAGUUAAAGAAAAUACUCAACUUUAAAAAACAAAACCAAUUAUUAUUAUCUAUUGUUGAAUUUUUUUUAUUUGUAUCCUUUUUUCAUUAAUGGAGAGGAGUUAUGAAAAAAAUUCAAUUAAAAAAAAAACCAACUUUUAAACAUGUUUUUUAUUUUAUUUAUUCUAAAACAUUUUUUUUCUUAACUUAACCAAAUAUAUUUUUUAGGUUUUUAAGAAUAAAACUGUUUUUUAAAAUUCAGUUUUCAAAUAUAAUUUUACUUUUUAAAAUAUAAAAAAUUAUUCUUAAAAACUAUUUUCCUCCACAAGUUUUAAAAACACCAACCAGGCCUAUAUUUUCUAAAUGUUUUCAUGAAGAAUCUUUACCUGUAGUUAUUUUUAAUAAAUUUUAGUAUAUUUGAAAAGAAACUAAAGAAUCCAAUUCAACUUGAUUCAAUUUUGGCUAGUAUAGACUUCUAAAUUAUUUUUAUAAAUUUUUAGACUUGUCAUUGAGUAAACAUGGAUAGUUCAAUAAUUUCUGGAUUGGAUUAUUUGGCAAAAAAUUGGGAAAAUAAUUGUGUUUUAAAAUGUGCUAUUUUACACAAAUUUGGAACUAAUAGAGGUUGAGACUAAGUUGAUGCUCUUUUAGUCACCAGUUGACUUAGUUAUCAAUUUUCUAAGUAUAUAUAUAGUUGAAAGACUCAUUGGUUCAAGUUUUACAAAAGUUGGACUCCAUUUUCCUAAAUUCUUAUUUUCAAGUUCAUCGAUUUCAGUCUAAGGUGGUGUUUGGGUGAAAGAAGACUAUUAGGUGUUGUUCGUGUGAAAGAAGACAAUUAGGGCCAUAGGAUCUUAGCCAUCUUUUAUGAAAUUUCCAAAUCUAAAAGUUAAUUUGAAUAUUCAUUUGUUUUUAUUUUGAUUACAAGGAUUUUUGUGAGUAGUUAAAAUAUAAAUGGUUUUAGUAAAUUUUCCUAAAAUAAAUAUCUCUUGUAUGCAUUAUACAUUACUUGUUCAAAUCGAUUAUUAGUAUGAGAUAUAUGUGAAAUUUCUAUUUGGUCGAAAUACAUAUGAUUAAUAUUAAGUUUGCAAAACUAAAUACUACUUCUUCUUCAAGUAAUUAUUUAAUUCCUUGCGUAUGUGUACAAUAAUGUAAUUACAUACUUUGUUAAAUUUUAAAUUAAUUGUUAAAGUUUUAGAGAUUUAUAUAUAAUAGGUAUCAUACAUAACACAUAUAUCAAUGAGGUGUUUCAUUUUGUUUUGAUCUAAAACUUUACACCAUCUUCAGCUGCAGCCUGGUUGGUGAUCUGGAUUUCCCUAGCAUCUUCAGCUCCAACCUGAUUGGACUCUCUACUCAAGUUAAGGCUGGAAGUAGUGGAAUCGGCCAUUGUUGUUUGAUGAGCAGUCUCCUUUCUAUAUUUUGCGCCAAGGAUGGGAAACAAGUUGACCAAUUGUUUAAUGGAAUGGGUGGCUCUUAGUUCAACCUUGGGAGAAGUUGAUACUUCUUAUAGCCUGCAGGCCAAAACGUUGGGCUGAUGACAAUUUCCCAUCUCAUUGGAUGGAUCCAUAUGCAUAAACAGUACAACGAAAUAUUUGGUCACAUAUUCAAUUCUUAACAAUCCCUUGUAUGAUCAAAGUGAAGAGAAUUUAAAUUGCAUAGGAUCACAUGUUAACAUUUAAACAUGCAUUUAAUAGCAAAAAUUCAUCCGGUUACCUUGGUUCAUGCCAUCAGAAGCCAUUUCUUUCCCCUCUGAUAUCCAAUAAGCUGCUUUUCGGGUGCGUGAUGGUCCGAGAAUGAGGGAUCAAUGAGCUCUUCCCUUGCCUCCCAAAAUUCAGUCCAAAGUGAAGUGUGUGUGUGUUUUCUGGGAGUGCUCUCCAAAGAGAAGAAAAUAUGAUAGCUCCCCCAAUGCACACACAUCUAUAUAUAUAUAUAUAUAUAUAUAUAUAUAUAUAUAUAUUACACAUUACACACUUUAUUUGGACGACUUGACUUAAUAGGCCAGUCAAGUGAAUUAGGAUAAGCCUAUAAAAAUUAAGCAACAAUAUGUGUCCAGUCCCAUUGUGGACCACAAUGCAAAAAAUAAAUUAACACCGAUUUAUGAUAUUAUCAAAUUGAUUAUGUAAGUCCACACAUAAAAAUUCCAACACAAAGAAGUUCAUUGAAUUUUACCCAAAAAAAUAUAAGCAUUAUUCUAAUUAUGUCUUUUAUUUUCAUAAAUAUUAAAUAUAUUUGGUAGCAUCAUUGUUCUUAAAAAUUAUAAAUAGAAAAUUAUUUUUGCUAAUUGUAUUAAAAAUAAUAAAUACAAUAUUAAUUUUUAUAAUUAUUAUAUGUUAUAUUUUUUGUGAUUUCUUCAAUGGAUUUCAAUGACUUUUAAUGUCGACAAGCAAGACAUACAUGCUGUUGGUUUAAUUGUAGAAAAACAAGAUGUGGUGAGUUUCGCGUGUUAAUUUUGUAAAUUGAAAUGUGGAAACAGUUGGUUUCUUUCCAUUUAUGUUUUAAUUUUUCUUCAUUCAUGUUUAUGUUCUUAUUCUUUCCUCUUUUUUUUUUCAAUUUUUAAUUUAAAUAUAGGUAUGGAAUCAUAAUUGUCCAUCUCUUAAAAGUAAUCUACAUUAAAAUGUACAUCAAAUAAAUUUAAGUGAUGAUUAAGAAUAAGGGCACGAAACUUAGGAAAGGGCUAAAAUAAAAGUUGUAAUUGUUUUUAAAAAUAAUUUUAAAAAAUAACUUUUUAAAACAGUUUUUGAAAAUUGUUAUCUGAUGUCUUAUAGAAUAAAAAUUUGUUUGAAAACUUGAAAUAUUUUUAAUCUAUUUUUAAUGUUUUUAAAUAUAUUUUAAAAAUAAUUUUUUAUAUUUAAUAAUUUUAUUUAUUUAUAUAAUUAUUUUUUUAAAUAUUCAUAAAAAAAUAAGUGAAAACAAUUAAAAUAUUGUGGACCCCGCAUUUCGGCUCAUGCGUUUCCCACUCGAUGGCGAGCUCGAUUUUUAUUUGAAAAAUUGAUUUAUAUUGAUUAAAAAAAAUGACUUGGAGUCGCCACUUAUUUUUGUUUUAUUUUUAAAGGGUAAACAAAAUAAGAAAAGAAAACCCUAAGUGUGACUCCUUAUUUUGGAAAAGGUGAUCUACGAAAAACCGGAUCGGGCUCGGGGGUCAGGUUACUCAUCGGGAAGGUACGGUAAAGACCGUAGCACUCCUCUAAGCCCCUAAAGUCGGGUCUCUACUAAUAAAAUGAAGCUGACAUGGUAAUUGAUGAAUAAAUCAAUGAAUACCCAGAGCGAAACAUGCACAUACGGGAGUCAGAAAAUGCAUAUAAACUAACCAGAGUAGGAAUGAGCGUGUACCUGAGCAGCGAGCCACCAUGCGCUAUCAAGAGAGAAGGUUAGUACAAAAUAAAGAGCAGAAACAUAUAUAUCUCACAUGUCACUAAAUCGAGUACUAAAUCAUCAAAGGCACGCAUGACACUCUACUCAAAAUUUAUUUUUAUUUUAAAGAAAUUUUAUUUGAUGUUGGGCCCCCACCAAAGCCCGUUUAUUUUUGAAUGAAUUAAUUCCAUAAAUUCCAUUAUUCGGAAUUACGGAAUUUAAUUCAUGUUUUUUUUUAAAAAAAAAAAUUUUAAAAAACAAAGAAAAUUCGAAAGUGGCGGCCAAAUUUUAUUGAAAAACGGAUUUUUGGAACCUAAACGAAAAAAAAAACUAAGGAUGAAAAAUUAAAGAGAUGAAAUUAUUUGAAAAAAAAGGAAUUUGAAAAAUUAUUUUCAGAGUCAAAAGAUGAUGGAAUGGGGGGUAACAUAUGACAUGAGAGUGGCCAGUGAACCAUACAACCGGAUGUACACACGUGUGGGCCCAAGGUAGAGUGAUGAGAUGGAACAUGAAAUACCCAAUGAAAACGAGGCAGCUCUGGAGACAUCAAAUGCAAACAUCUUAAUAAGACCUUCCUUUAGCACAUCAACUUCUCUUUCCUCGUUCGCUAUCUCUCCGAAAACAACUUCUGCAACUGGAUGCUGCGCUUGAUGACAGGUAAUAGCUGGCAUGGCUAGAUCAUUAACUACCCAUUUAAAGAUAUCGUCAUAGGCAACAAAAAUUAGUCUCACGAUCCGUCACUAUCAGAACAUUGGUUCAGUCAUCAUGAACGUAAGAACCAAUUCUUCCUUCAGCAUGGACCCUACAAGCCUGAUAUUCUCAUUCAACUCGCUGAUCAAGGGUGACUUCAAUUCUGGGACCAAAUACAAGCCACUGUGCUGCAGGGUUCACGUAACAGAGGCUUUCCAGAUUAAAUAAAUCAGCAUUGCAACCCACAGCUGCCACUUGCUCUUUCAUUCGAACAGGUCCAACCUCUAGCUCCUUCAUAAGCCACUGCAAUUUUGUUGACUUUCCUUCACCAGAUAUGCACUGCCCACAAUAUCCACUGGUGAAUCUGUGAAGUUACCAAAUGCGAGGGACCCCAUUCAUUUGAUUCUCAAAACCCAUAAGACAUACCGGGUUGCAAUCUCACCUUGCUCAUAGCAUGCUGAAAAAUUCUCUCCCUGAUGUAGCAUGAAGGUCCGGCUUGGCUAUCACCGUUGGGGGUUGGAGCAGCAGGGAGGACAUCAAUAUCUAUCUUCGAUGCCGUGUCACCAACAGGGACCUUGGGCUUCAUGGGCUUCUUGGACUUCACUUUCUAAUGGCACAUCAACAGAGGAACGCGAUAUUCAAGCCCAUAAGCUUCGCCCCGUUAUGGUUCUUUGCCCAAGCAGUAAGCUCACAUCGUAGAGGCUCAUCUCCACUUCGAAACUGUUGAGACGGAUGUACCAUUAUGUUCGUGGGCAUCUUGCAGGCUGUUCACUGCAUGGAAAUGUCUACACUGAUAUCUUGACAUUCUCUGGGACUCCUUAACAUCCUCAAUAUUGCAGCCGUGCAUUCUUUUGGACAUGGGUAAGUGGGAUAGUGUGAGGGUGUAGAGANNNNNNNNNNNNNNNNNNNNNNNNNNNNNNNNNNNNNNNNNNNNNNNNNNNNNNNNNNNNNNNNNNNNNNNNNNNNNNNNNNNNNNNNNNNNNNNNNNNNGAUGGGUAUAUAUGCUGAGUGAUGAUGAGAGAGAAAAGGUGGCGGAGAGAGAAUAUGAAGGUGAUGAGACAUGGGUAUGGAGUUGUGAUAGCAUGAGAUGAUGGAGGCCCAUGGGGGGGGGGGGGGGCGGCUGUAUGCAUGAACGGCAUGUGGUAUAUAGAGAUAAGGGCAGUGGUUGGCAUGUGAGGGUAGUAAUGGGUCUAGAAAUCGGUUAUGAAGGGUAUGAUGGAUAUGAUGAGUAGAUGGGGAAUGACAUGGUGCAUGGUGGUGUAGAGAGAGAGUGGUGGUAAUAGAAAUGGGUAUGAAAGGUGUAGGGAUAUGGGUAUGAGAGAGAUGACCAGAUUUGCAUGUUCUCAUGAGCGUGGGUGGAUGAAUCUGAGGAGUUUUGGACAGCCAUGCCUGGGCGGAAACAGGUAAUGGAUUGGUGGAAUGAGUAGAGAGGUUUAAUGAGAAAAUGGGUAUGGGAAAAGGUGAUCUAGCUUGCAUGGAAUUGGUGAUGUGGCGAGGUGAAGCAUUAAGGUGGCAUGGGAAGGCAGUAAGAUGCAAGGAGAAAUGGAUUUAAUGUAGACACCCAUGGCCGUGAAUCGAUGGAAGGAAUGAUUUUGAAAUACACUCAGAAAAUGGGUAUGGGGCUUGAAAAAGAGAGAGAAAAGGUGGUAAAAAAAAAAUGAGGAUUAGGAACGUGGGUAUGGAGUUUUGGGUGAUGAGAUGAUGUAGUUAUGGAGUGUGGGUAUGGGGAGUGAGCAUGGCGCAGCCACGCAUAGCCAUGCAUUCUUCACACGUCUAACCCCGUCCAGGAACUUUCUCCAGCUUUAUGCGCAUGCAAUAAAUGUGCUCUGCCCCCCCUCAUUGCACUAUGUGUAAGCAGAAAGCAGUUCCUCCAGAUCGGCAUCCCCACAUAUAUCACAAACUUUUACUUCAUAUUCCAAAACAUCUGAUUUAACAUAAUCAUCAACAAGCUGAGAUUGCAAAGGACGUUUCUGUGAGUUUGAAUGUCUCAAGUAAUGCACAAUACUCUUCAGAAUGUUCCUUUUUAUCUGACUUUUGACCACCGAAACUAGAGGCUGCCACUGCCACUCUCGCCGAUGAUGAUUCAACUUGUUUUCCAAAGCAUUCAGAAGAUUCUCCCUUCGGUGAUGUUGGAUUUGGACCAGCAUAAACACCUUUUAAGUAAGAAAAUUCUGACGGGUCCAAUUUGUUUGAUAAGCCAGCAGUUUUCCUCAUGGAUUCUUUAAUAAAUUCCUCUCCAAACUUUCGAAGUCCCUCAAAACACCCAACCCGGACAGCCAAACUUAAACAAAAAUAUUUGUACUAAAAGAAAUAGAAAAAACAGAGGAUAAAGAGUGAAGAAGGAAAACAGAGCAAGAAUGACAAGAGGAAAGAAGUAUUUAGCCAAAACCAUGUAUCAUGAGUGAUAAACGGGCUUCGAACUGGUGGGACAAAGACGAAGGCUUCAAUAUAACUAUCAUUCAUCAAAUCUAAACCCAAAGAAGAAACUCACCAUUUACAGAGGGGAAAACAAGAUUAUUAGAAGGGAAUAAACAGAGCAUAUAGAAGCAGAAAAUCACAUUCAACCAAAGCAAACCUGUGGCCCUUGAACGUCCACAGCAAAUCACAAAUAGAUAUUCGUUAGAUUAACAUAGAAUGAAGUGGGAUUUUUAGAAAUGAAAACGCACCAGAUUCAAAGUGACGCUUCUCACGCCUCCACAACACAAACUCCUCCCCUUCAACGGCUGCCUCCAGAAAGAAAAAAAAAAAAACCCCCCCCCCCCUUUUCAACCUCUUUCCUUGCUUUUUAAACCUCCUCACCUUGUCUUCCUCAGCAAGCCAUCCUCGGCUCCACUGCUACACAUCCCAUCUGCCGCCCAAAAGCUCUGCCUCCCCUGCAGCUUCAGAGCCCCCAAACACAGCUCUCCCAUCAUAGCGAGCCCCGGGAAAUAAAAAUUAAAAUUAAAAAAAAAAAAGUCUCUGCUUCCGGGGGUCUACAAAUAUGUUAUUUAAAAACACCAUAUUUUUUGUUUUUAAAAACACCAUAUUUUUUGUUUUUAAAAACAUAAAACAUAGAACAAUUUUCUAGUAGUCAAAUAUAUUUUCCUUUUUUUGUUUUUUUUUUUUUAAACCUAUUCUCGAAAACAAUUAUCAAAGACCAUAUAUUUUUUACUUUCAUUAUCUAAUAACAUUGCAAUUAUUUUAUAAAUUAUGUUGAAAACAAUUAGCCGUAAGGCAUAGUAAAAUUAAGUUAGAAAAAUUAGUAUAUAUCAGCUACGAGAAAAAUGAGUUAUACAAAGAACAAAGCAGAGUGUAAGCUUUCUAGUAGCGUGCAUCAUGAGAUUUCAGGCCCAGCAAACUUAACCGCAGAGGCAGAGUGCAAGCUUUCUGGUAGCGUUCAUCAAGAGAUUGCAGGUCUAACAAACUUAACCUUGCUUGAUCUGUCUUUAUAAUGAGAUUGCAGGUCUAGCAGGGCCUGUGCCGAAGUUCUUUGACCGGUCCAACCGCCGACCUUUGACUGGUCCGGUUUGGUCCUCUCCUUCUGGGUGGUUGAACUGACCACAAACAGGGUGAACCGAUUGAAUCGGGCGGUUCUUCAUGAACCGCACGGCUCAAUUCCAGCCCAGCCUUCCCCCUAUUUUCUUUCAUCCAAACAGUCCAACCUUCCCCUCCUUUCUUUCAUAGGGGCCCAAGUAAAAGCCCAAUAAGCCUGGACAGGUUCCCAAUUCCAGCCCAGCCUUUCCCCUAUUUUCUUUGUAGGAUCCACCGCAAGCAUUUGAACCCUAAACCUCAACUGCGCAAGCAUCACAGAGCACCACUUGGCCAUAGGCUCAUAGCACAUUUUUUUAUACUAAGUUUAGCAAAUAAAAAAAUCUAUAUGUGAUUCUAAAAUAAUUUAUAAUAUUAAAUAAAAAUAAUAUAAUAUUUUUUGAAAUUAUAAAAUCAGUUAAAAUUUUCUUUCAUUUUUAAUAUAUUCACAUUUAAAUAUUAUAUAUAUUCCAUUUAAUAAAGUUUAAAAUAUUAAAUUAUAUAUAUUUAUAAUUGAUAACAUAAAAAAUAAAAAUAAAAAUUAUUAGUUUUUAAUUUAUUUUUAUAUAUAUUUUAAAAUUUAUUAUUUUUAAUAUUAAUAACAUAUAAAUUAUAUAUUUAUAAUGUUACUAGUUUGAUCCGAUUCAAUCAUUGAAUUGUGAAUUAUAACAUUUUUUUUGUUCAAUGACAAGUUUCGAUGCUAAAAACAUUGUGAGAAACCUUCAGGGACCUGUCAUAACCAGCUAACCGGAACCAUCCCUGUUGAUCUGGUCUUGUUGAUGCCAAACUUAGUUAAGCUCGAUUUUUUAAAAAAACUGGCUCAUUGGAUCACUUCUGACUUCCCUCAUUUAUAUUCUGCAUGAAAAGCCUGACCCAUCUAGACAUUACCAUGAAUUCUUUCUUGGAUCUCACUUCUCUUGAUUUUAGCCUCUUUGUUGCUUCUAAAUGCCAACAACUAACCUGUGUCUGUGACUUUUUAUGAAAUAUAACUUCCCCUUCUAUUUUGUAUCUUUAGAACAACAGAGUCACAGGCAGCUUCUUCACUCUCAAAGCUUGUUGCCUUGGCAUAACUCAAUUUCUCCAAUAACAAUUUCGAAAUAUGCCAUGCUAAAUUUGUGACAUAGUAGGCCUUGCCUUUGUCAAUUUCUCUGGCAACAGAUUCACUGGCUAUGCACCAGAGAUUUGCAUGAAGGACCAACAGUGCUCAGCACUCCUACCUUUAUCUCUUCUUGGCACGGCUACACAGCUGUGAGGGCUCUGACCCAAGCGGCCAAGCCUCUGUUUGAGCUGUUGUACCACUUUCAUCUUCCUAGUUCUGCUCAUUUUCCUUCUCAGACGGAGGAUGCUGAGGCAAAAAACUGUAGUUGUUGACAAGGGAAAGGGCAAGCUGGUGGCAGUAGUUGAGUCAUAAUCCACUGAUGAGCUGCUGGGCAAGAAGAUAAAAGGGACAACUAGCAUUAACUUUGCAACAUUUGAGCGCUCUUUGCUGCGGAUGGAACCUUUAGAUGUAUCGACCGCUGGGUAUACUGGAAUACUAAAAUAUUUCAUAUAAUGCAUAUUAACCAUUUCUCAUCGCUCGUAGCCACAACUUACCACAUAAAAGAAUGUAUAAAAAUUAUGGUAACUAUAAUGAAAAGAAGAACACUACUAUUUAUUAUUUAUUAAUAUUAAAUAACAUUAAUUAUUAUAAAUAUUUUAUUUAGUACUCAUACUUUUAGGUUUAAUUUGAAGAUGAUAAUUAUCAGGUUAGUUUUUCAAUUCUAGGUUUUAUUGAAAUUUCCUAUUAUCCAUAAUAUGUUAUACGGAAUAUAAGUAUUAAUGUAAUUUAUUGUAUUCAUUGAAUGGUAUGUGACCAUGUGACAACGCCAGAGUAUAUAAUGUUUUUUCUUUGUUUUAGGUGGCGUUUGUUUUUUGGCUGAAUAGAAAAAGACAAAUAUUUUGACUUUUUCUAUUCAACUAAAAGUACCUUAUUGAUACUAACCAAUAUAACUAAAGUAAACUUAUUAUCAAUAAGUUUAGUUUAAUUAUAUUGGUUGAUGCCAAUAAGUUACUUUUAACUGAAUAGAAAAAGCCAAAUAUUUUGAAUUUUUCUAUUCAGCCAAAAAACAAACACCACCUUAGUUUGCCGGUCAAUGGAUUCGUCUAUAGUGUGUUCUUUGUUUGGUCUUCCACUCAAUGAUUCCCGUAAAUUGCGGAAGAAAAGCGAAUCAUUGCAUGUGCAAGUGUUUUACCGAAUGGUUUGUGAUAAUAUAUAUCACGUGAAUUGUGAAAGAAAAGUGUCUCUUCUCCCUUUGAUUGCAUUCACUGAACAGCAUGUGACCACUCAGAGCAAAAGCAAGAUGAGUUUGGAAUCCGACGGGGAAAAGGGCAGCAAAUGGUAGGGCCCACUUCCCUUUGAAACCUUGUUCAGUCGUCCGUUCCCACCCUUUGAUUGCGUAGGACAAACCCCCACCAUAACACCAUGUGGGUUGCCCCCUCUUUCGACAUCAUUCCAUGAAAACAAUGCCGUUCUAUGAACGGAGCGGAGGAUUGUUUGCACAUGGCACUUAUUUGAUUUUUUUAUUUGAACAGCCAAAGGUAUUGCUAACAUUAUUAAAAAUAAUACUUAUUUGCUAGAAGGUAUGUAAAAUCUGAAUUAUUUUUAGAUAAAUGUAUUCAAUUUGAAAAUUUUAAAUUAGGAUUGUUAUUUGAUUUUUUUCAAAUGUAUGUAUGAAAACACAAUUUAACUUAUAUCAUAUAUAAUGUUAGUGUAAGGAAGAGUUGUCUAGCUAGAUCCUGAUCCUGGUCUUAUUGGGAUCCCAAAAUAUGAUUUGAUUUCGAAUUACAAUUAUAAAACAAGAUUCUGUGUUCCUUUGUUGCACAAAAUAGAAGCUUCUCUACAACACUACCCAUUUUCUGCUCCCCACAAAAACCAUGGUCGUUCUUUUUUUCUAGCUAAAUUCAUUUUAUUAAAUAUUUUUAUAAAUAAAAUGACAUUUAUGGUGUUCCAUAAUUUCUACGUUCUUGAGCCAAAUUUAGAAAAUGAAUCAUUCUUGGACAAACUCGAUCCCGUGGGGUUUGGUUUUGGAAGCCAAAAGUCCUAUCUCCGUUGCCCUUUAGGGCUCUUGUAUAUGGAGAGGGAGAGAUUUGUGGAUGUCUGCAAGGUUUUAGUAUAGUCACCAUCCACGCAUGGCCGUGGUUUUAUUUUUAUUUAUCUAGGCUAUGUUUGUUUCAAAAAUGUUAUAGAAAAUGAUUUUUCAUAUUUGGUUUCAUCAUUAAAAAAAAAUAAAUAAAUAAAAUAUAAUUAAAAAUUUAUAUAUUUUAAAUUUAUUUAAUCUUUAUAUAAAAAAAAAAAAUAAGUAAAAUAAAUUUAAAGAAACAUAUAAAAAUAAUUUAUUGAUUUAAAUGUAUUUUUUAUUUUUGUUCCUUUUUCUCUCUAUUUUCUUUCCUUAAAAUUUUAUGGGAAUAAAAAAUGGCCUUAUUUUGUAUAUUAAUUUGUUUAUUUCAAGGGUACAUUUUAAUAAACCAGAUCUUAUGGAAGGUCAUGACAUACCUUCAUGUUAAUUAUUAAUUUCACUCCCAUAAAGAAAAUGAGAUCUUACCAAUUGCAAAUAGAUCAAUUAGCACAUCCUGGGAAAAGGUUAAAAUUACCAAGCACGCUUAAAAGAAAAUUAUUUCAAGUUCCGGAAGAAAAGGUAUUCUUACCGCGGUACAAGAUCUGCUAUUUGCCCAACUGCAAAAUCAUAAACAUAAGGUCCCACUAAGAUUCUUUUAUAAAUUUAAAAAGUUGUCUAAAUACAAAAUAAAAGGCAAGAAGAAAGAUGCAGCAGAUGAUACAAGUAACGAUUGGAAGGCCAGAGGAAAGUGGUAACACAGCGUAUAGGCCCGUCAUGAAUGCAACCACCAUUGCUCCCAUGCUUAACACGGUGAGAAAAAAGCCCAUAAUUAAGUGUUUGUCAAGGUAGUCCUCGUCCUCAUGCACCGACAUAAAAAAAUAAACAAACACAGCAGAUACAGAGAGGAUCACGGCCAUGGUGUCUGUCACAAUAAAUGCUUUGAAAGCUGCUCUCUUUGUUAAAAUUGCCAUGCCAUUGUCAUUGUAACCACCAGGCAAGGUGAAACCCGCAGCAAAGGUUACAGUUGCUACAAGUGCUGCCACUAUCAAAUGGGUUUCACCUUCUCUUUUUGUGGUAGAGAUGCUUUCGUCUUUUUCGACGUCUUCGCUUUUACUACUACCACUGUCUUUAUUGAUAGCCUCCUGCCAACUAAAGGGUCCAACAACAACUUUCUCCCAUUCCCUCCAUUGUCUUCUAAUUUCUUCCUGAAAUUUGAUCAAAAUAAAACAAAUAAACCUUUUUCCUUAAAAAAAAAUAAAAAUAAAAGAAAUAAAGAAAGAAAAAGAAUGUAGUUCAUGUGUCGCUGUUUUGGCUUUUUGCUCUUCCUUUAUAUGAAAAUAUUUUCUCAUCUUCCCUCAAAAUGUUUUUCCAUAAGUCUACAAUUUUGACCCACAGGUUCUACAAAUUGCCUUCAUUAUGCUAAUUUGGUAGUUAAUUUCUAUUUUAAGCAUGAUUGUCUCUACCGAUAAUAAAAAUAGAAAAAAUAAUGAUGAUGGACUCUUUCCAUAUCAUUACUAAUAAAAAGAUUAGGUUAGGAUCCUUACCUUGAAUAUUCUUCUUGGCUUAACUUUAUCCCUUGAAAUAAUGUCUAGGGCGGUUAACUUAUCCUUGUUGAGUGCCAUUUUAUCCACUCUAUUGUCCGCUGACAAAAAUGGAUCAUAAACUUGGUAAGAAGCAAGCAGGUGGAGGGGUGUGUCUCCUUUAGCGUCUUUCUCAUUUAUAAGUCUUCUCACGCUUAACAAACUAUUACGACCCAAGAUACCACCAGCAGCCAAAAACUGCUCGCUCAUAAUGGCAUAGUGAAGAACAUUAUUUCCCUUAUCAUCCACUUGCUCGCAACAAUCUGGGGAGUGUGACAGCAGCAGCUUUACUAUAUCUCGAUGGUCACGGUUAGCUGCAAUGUGAAGUGCUGUUUUCUUGCUGUCCUUGAGUCCAAGAUAAGUUACAGAUUUAUCUGGUGAUUUGUCUAGUAAUUGCUCCACAAUUGCAGUAUGACCCAAGUAUGCAGCACAGUGAAGGGGAGACCAUCCAUUCUCAUCCACUUCUUUUGUCAGAUCUGGCUUCCAUUCCAAUAACCUCGCUGUCAUUUCUGUAAACAAACGAACCAACAAAAAACAGAGAAAACAAAUUGAAGAAAAUUAAGUGAAUAAUUGAAGUUCCCUCUAGUGAAGCAUGACUCCUAGAGGUGAUCAUGUUUUCUAACAAUAGGUUGCAUGACUAUCUAACCACAUGGGAAUCGAGAUUCAAGGGAAGGAUCUGCAUAUGUGAUACCUUGGUCAUUGCGAAUUACAGCAGCAUGUAAAGCCGUUCUACCCAUCAUGCCACUGUAAGAUGGUGAAGUGCAAGUUCCUAAGAUUAAAUUCACCAAAUCUUCAAAACCUCUCUCGGCGGCCAUGUAAAGAAGAGUGUAGCCUGCAAUAUUAGCCCCAUAAAUAAACUCGGGGUCUUCCUCGGUCAAUGACUUCACAACCUCUGAAUGAUGAUACCUCACUGCCUCAUGCAAGGCUGUGUUUUCCUCCUCAUUUGUCAUCCUCAUAAUCGCCUUAUCUCCUCCAACCCCACUCUCGAUCUCUUGGUGAAGUCGUUUCGCAGCAUCAAUGAGUGCUUUCACGACUGUCAAAUGGCCUUCUCUCGCUGCAUGGUGAAGUGGAGUGUCGCCCUUCAGAUUGGGCUUAAGCAGGAGAGAUGAAGAUGAAUGCAGCCCCAGGAUAUACUGAACACAGUCCAGUUGACCGAAUUGGGCUGCAAUGUGGAGGACGGUAUUCUUAUUUGGGGUUAAUUGGACCACAAAAUGAUGUUCUGACAUUUGUUCCAGGACAUCGAUCCUGCCAUAUGCUGCGGCCUCGUACAAAGCAGCAUCCAUGCAAGUGAUCGGAGUUUGGCUGCCAUCUGCAUCUGCCGCCUGGUUCGAGAUCUCGGUUUGGCUACCGUCUUGAGCUGCAAGCUGUUCCAGGUAAAGAGUAUGUGAUUCUGCAGUGUUGAUGGAAGUGGAAAGAUCCAUAGGUGCUUCAGCAAUCAGCACUAUCCUCCUCUACACAACUUUUCCCCACCCCACCUUGCCUCCAUUAUAUAUUAAAAACAAAAAUUAACAAAAAUUAAAUGGGACAGAGUGGAAUGGCCGGCGGGAUUUCUUACACCCAACUAUGCUUUAUUUAAUUAGUUAAUUAAUUAAUUAAUUUAAUGUGAUGGGAUUGGGAGAGGUGACCCUGUCCCAUUUAAUUUAUUUAUUUAUUGAUAGAUAUAAGUAUACGUGAUGGGAAUGGCUAGAGAGAGACCCGUCCAGAAUUUGCCGGUUGCCAGCCUGUUGAUAGAAAAUACUAGCAUAUUUCUCGUGUACUUACAAAAUGGAGCCAAGAGGCUUGGGCAAAAGAAUUAACAUGUCAUUUUGAAUUUUAUUUUUUUUCUCGAGUACCAAUAAUUCUAAAUAUUUUAUAAAAAUAAGGAUAUUUGGGAAGUUGUUUUUAAAAGUAAUUUUUCUACUUUGAUUUUAUAAAAACAUUUUAAACUGAAUUUAUAUAAUAGUAAUUAAAUUUAAUUUAAGCCUUAUUACAAAUAAAAAUAGUUUUCUAAUUAGAUAUAAGUUAAAAAAUAAAUAGUUUUUUAUAAGAUAUGAAUAGUAAUACUACAAUAAAAACAUAAAUUAUAGUUUCUUAAUAAAUAAAUAAAUAACUAUUUUAAUACGUAUUAGAGAAGUAUGGAUAUUAACAUUUUCUUGAAAGCAUAAUUAAAUUUUUUUGUUAAAAAUGAAGAAUAAUAUUUUAAAAAUGCUCAUACACAACUUCGAAAAUAAUAUUUAAUUGAUAUUAAUAUUUUAUAUAUAUAUAUAUAUAUAUAUAUAUAUAUAUAUAUAUAUAUAUAUAUAUAUUUAUAGUAUUCAUAUUCGUUUCAUACGGGAGGUCUUACCAAGUCUUUAUUUUAUUUCAUUUAAAGUUUUGACCUUUUCAACAAAGUAUUUUCAUCUUUUUUUAAGAAAAUAAAUAAUUUUUUAUUUUUUAUUUUAAUUUUUUAGAAAAUGAAUAUGGAAAAAAUGUGUUCAAUAUACAUGAUUUUCUCUUCUUUUUUUUUUUCUUAUAAAAAAAACUCAAAUAAAUAAUAUUGUGAAGAUAUGUAUAAUAUAAAAUUUUCUACUCUAUUUUUCUAUUUCAUUUUAAAAAAUAUCAUAUCUUUAGAAUAAUUUCUUAAAUUAUAAAAAGUAUAAGGGUUUGUUUGACAACUGUUUUCGAAAAUAAUUCUGAAAAAUAGUUUUUAAAAAUUGUUCUCUAAUUUUUGUAAAAUAAAAGUCUGUUUGCAAACCGAAAAUAUUUUUAAAUUAUUUUUAAAUAUAUUUUAAAAAUGAUUUUUAUAUCAAAUGUUUUAUUUUUAAUCAUUUUAUAUGUUUGUAUAAUUAUUUAUUAAAACAACCAUCAGAAAACAAGUGAAAACAAUAGAAAAAAACUAAAAGAUAUUCUCUUAAAACACUUUAUUUUUUGUUCUUAAAAACAAAAAUAUAAAACAUUUUUUAGUUACCUAAUGUGUUUUUUAUGUUUUUGUUUUAAAUAAUAGAAAAUUAUUCUUAAAAACAAUUCUCAAAUAGACUCUAAAUAUAUAAACAUAUUUUUAGUUUUAAUUUUUAUUUUCUAAAAAAAUGAAAAUACCAAACAAGAUCUUAACCUGUCUUUAAUCACACUAAUUUAGGGCAAACUCCACACAAGAGUUUUUUUUUUUUUACAUUUUUUCUAUAUGUGGUUAUCAACUGCUUAUCUUUUUUAUUUAUCUGUUUGUUAGCUAGAAAAAUAGACUAUGUGGGAGGUCACCCCAAAUAUAAUAUACAUCCUUUUUAACGCUUGAAGAGUAGUCAUCAUGAAAAUCAUUUCAUCAUUUUGAGAAUAUUAUAAUUUUGAGAAUAAAACAAUUGUGAGCCAUAACCAAAGUAAUAAUCAAUUUCCUCAACCAGAAACAAAUUAAUAAAUAAAUAUAAAAAAAAGGGAACGAACAAAACACCACCUACUACAUGUUAAACAAGUUACAACUUGCAGCCAUAAAAGCGAUCUUGGAGCCGACACGAUUAUUUUAGUCCCUUUCAAACUUAUUUAAGGCAAACUCUUUCUUUUUAAUACUUGAUUUUUAUAAAUUUUCAAGGAAAAUAUGAAAAGAAAGAUAAUAAAAAAUAAAUUUAAAAUUAAUAAAUUAUUUUAUGUAUUAUUUUAAAUUCAUUUACUAUAUUUUUUUAUAUAUAUAAAGAUUAAAUAAUUUAAAAUUACAUACAUUUUUAAAUAAUUUUAAUUAUACUUGAUUUUUUUUUUCAUAUUUUUCAUAAUAAAAUCAAAUAUAAGAAAUUUAUUAUUUUAAUAUUUUUCAUAUUUUUCAAGGUUGCUUUCAUUUUUUCCAAACUUGUAACUUGUCAAUUGAUGAGCUAGUGGUGCUAGUGGGAAUAAUUCAAAUUUUUUAUUUGCUUCUAGCUAGGGUGGACAAAUUGAGUAAGAGCCCUGCUGUCUCUUGUUUAAUUGUUUUUAACUUGUAUGUCAGUAGGAAUAGUCCAUUAUUAUCUUUAUUCAGUGAAAACAUGGCACGCCAUGCACCUCGGAAUACACAAGCUGACAAGAGAUAUGAAAGGUUGUCGGUUUUUUAAUAUAUAAAAAGUUAUAAUUUACAAAAUUUAUGAAAGGGUCCACAUAUAUAGAAUAUUUAUAAAAUAUGAUUUCGAUAUAUUCUAAAAAAUUGUAAAAUGAUUGACCUUUGGGUCAUUUAAAAUUUGUGUGCCUAUUCAUAGAAGUAUUUAAUGAAAUAUUUAAUUAUUUUAAAAUAAUAUAAUUAAAUAAAAUAUAAGAUGACGAUCUUAAAGACUUAAGCUUGGUAUCUAAUAAGAGUUAAUACUUGAUACAUAAUUAUUAUACUUGACUUUAAGUUAACUUAUGUUUAAACCAUCAAUUUAAAACUUAUUAUAAAAUUAUAUUAUUAAAUUAACAUAUUUACCUUCAUCAAUACUUAAAAAAUGGGGGAGAGAAACACAAAAAUAUAGAGACACAUUAAUGUUAUUUUAGGUUGAAUUAUAUAUACUUAUUUAUUAUUUAGUUAUUAAGAAAUAAAUUUAUUACUUCACAUUAAUAAUAAUAAAUUCUUUAUUAAGUCAUCUUUAUUAAUGUUUGAGUGUUGUUAAGUAUGAACUUAUAUUUUUUUAAUUAUUAUUUUUAAAUGGUAAAUUAAUUUACUUUUAUAUUUUAAAAUCUAUAAAAUUAAUUAUUAUAUUUCUUUUUAUUUUAUGCAUUUAAGAUAAAAAAAAUAGUUAAAAUUAAUAAUUUGAAAAAGGAAUAGCAAUGUAAUAUAUUUCCAAACAUCAAAAUUUAUUAACAUAAUAAAAAUUUUCUAUUUUGAGUAAUAGCUCAUCAGAAAAUUUUAUAUUAAAAUUUCUUAAGAAAUAAGAGAAAAUAUAACUUAAAACAAAAUCUAUUCCAACUAAAAUAAAUUAUUAUUUUUUAUUUAUUUUUAAGACAACAGUUAUCAAAAUUUUAAAAAUAAUAAAAAUAAAUUUAAAAAUAAAUUGAAUUAAAUAAUAUAGAAAUAAAAAAUGAAUAAAUAAAUGAAUAGAUGUGAUGUAUGAUAUUAAUGGGUAAUUAAUUAUUCAUGGCACUUACAUCAUAUCGUAUUUUCUUAAGAAUUAUUUUUCAAGUCAUCAUUUCAGAUAGAGUGAUAUUUAAAAUGGAUGUCCGUUUAGUUAUGAUUUUAAAAAAUGGUUUUAAUUUUUCUUAUAAUUCAAAAAAAAUUUAUCAUUUAAGUGAUAAAAAAAUUAAAAACUUUUUUUAUGUUACUAUCAAACACAUUCUAAAAGAAAUGGUAUUAAAAUGAGUUAAUAUUUAUUAUUUACUGAUAAUAAUAUAAUAAUGGAUUUUAAAUUCAAGAACAGCAAUAAAGAGGGGACCCGUGAGUAUCCUAUUUAAUGUUGAAUAUUUUAUUUAUUAAUUAAUCUCUUUAGUUGUAUCAACAAUAAAAAGCAUGUUAAAAUAAUGGAAUAAGUUUUUCUAUCCUGUCAAUUUAUAUAUAACUUUGAAGAACUCAUCUUAGAACUACAAAAUGAUUAUUUUAACAAAAUGGUACAGACAAAAUUGUGGGCCUACCCUCAAGAUUCCUUUCAUAUUUCAAACUUGUAAAACUUGUUUAUGGAGGAGUUGGUGGUGGUGAGAAUAGUUUACAAUUUUUAUUCAUUUUUUGUUUGGCACUAGGGUGGACAAAUUUAAGCAAGUGUUUAAAUCUUGGUGAUGACAAGAUGGAUGAAUGCAUUUUUGAAAAUUUAAUUGAUUAAAAAAGAAUGAAAUGAUUUCAAGUUUAUAUUAUUGGUGCAAUACCAACCAAACUUGUGUUCGUCUAUUAUUUUUGGAGUUAGAUGAAUAUCUUCCCUACACAAAAGGAUGUCCGGAUAAGGUGAUUCGGACAUGCUCAUCUGAAACUUAAGUCAAAAAAUAAUAAGGACUAGUCUAGUUAUUUCGAAUGACUUUGUACAUGUGUUCCUUUUUCAUGCUUCUUGAGGGGUAUUUAUAGAGCGAAUGACACCAUUGUUAUAGCGUUGAUGGAUAUCAGAUGGAAUGGACAAACCACACCGAUUGAGAUUUUUGGACGAAUUAACCAACAUAGCCGGAGAUUUUGGGUACUGAGCAUAUGGAUAAUCACACCCAGUGUUUGAGUAAGACAACAUUUACGUCUAAAAGUCAAUGAAUACUAAUUGCUACACACAAUUAGCGACAUUGAAAAAUGUAAAUGCAGAGUCAACUACAUGGUCCGAGACUCUUACUUGACAACCAGCAAAUGACAUCAAUCAGGGAAUUUUAUUUGGUAUGAUUACCCAAUUCGUAUAGAAAUGAUGGCGUUGACUCUCUUGCUAAGGCUCGAUUUCCGCCCUGAUAACAAUCAUCAUCAUAAAAAAGACAUGAAUGCAUCCUCAAUGUUAUAACGAUGGUGCCAUCUGCUUUAUAAAAACCCAUCGAGAAGCAUAAAAAUGUACACACGUAUAGAGUCAUUUAAAAUAACUAGACAUAUUCUUAUUAUUUUCUAACUUAAGCUUCGGAGGGAUAUACCCGAACCACCUAUCCGGACAUCCUUUUGUGUAGGGAAGAAACCCAUUUGACUCUAGAGAAGCUAGACGAACACAAAUCUGGUUGGUACUGCAUCAAUAUGUAUAUCUAAUUUCUUGUCUUUAUAACUUGAUAAUCCUCUUUAACCUUUUUAUUAUUUACAUGUAAGUUAUAUAUAUAUAUAUAUAUAUAUAUAUAUAUAUAUAUAUAUUAUUUUUAUAAGAAAAAGAUAAAAAUAUUGUUUUCUAAACGGAUAGUUAAAAAAAUGUAGAAAGUUAAAUUUAUAAAUUGAGAAUCAUUUCAUCCUUUAAUCAAAUGACUUUUUUGCAAUUACUUAUUUCUAUUGUAAAGGGCUGGAAUCAUUUGUAAUGUUUAUAUUAAAAUUUGUGUGCCUAUUCAUAGAAAUAUUUAAUGAAAUAUUUAAUUAUUGUAAAAUGACAUAAUUAAAUAAAAUAUAAGAUGAUGAUUUUAAAGACUUAAGCUUGGUAUCUAAUAAGGGUUAACACUUGAUACAUAAUUAUUACAUGUGACUUUAAGUUAAAUUAUGCUUAAACCAUCAAUUUAAAACUUAUUAUAAAGUUAUAUUAUUGAAUUAACAUAUUUACCUUCAUCAAUACUAAAAAAUGGGGGAGAGAAACACAAAAAUAAAGAGACAUAUUAAUGUUAUUUUAGGUUGAAUUAUAUAUACUUAUUUAUUAUUUAGUUAUUUAAAAAUAAAUUUAUUACUUCACAUUAAUAAUAAUAAAUACUUCAUUAAGUCAUCUUUAUUAAUGUUUGAGUGUUGUUAAGUAUGAACUUAUAUUUUUUUAAUUAUUAUUUUUAAAUGGUAAAUUAAUUUACUUUUAUAUUUUAAAAUCUAUAAAAUUAAUUAUUAUAUUUCUUUUUAAAAAUAGUUAAAAUUAAUAAUUUGAAAAAGGUAUAGCAAUGUAAUAUAUUUCCAAACAUCAAAAGUUAUUAACAUAAUAAAAAAAUUUCUAUUUUAAGUAAUAGCUCAUGAGAAAAUUUUAUAUUAAAAUUUCUUAAGAAAUAAGAGAAAAUAUAACUAAAAACAAAAUCCAUUCGAACUAAACUAAAUCAAUUUUUUAAAAUUUAUUUUUAAGACAACAAUUAUCAAAGUUAUAAAUGUGAUGUAUGAUAUUAAUAGAUAAUUAAUUAUUCAUAGGUCGCACCAAUUUCAGGGCUUACAUCAUAUGCAUCUUCUUAAGGAUUAUAUUUUGAGUCAUUUCAAACAGAGUGAUAUUUAAAAUGGAUUAUUAAGAGCCCGUUUAACUAUGUUUUAAAAAAUUUUAUCAUUCACGUGACAAAAAAAUUAAAAAUGUUUUCUAUAACCUCUAUCAAACGCAUUUUAAAACAAAUGGUAUUAAAAUAAUAUUUAUUAUUUACUUAUAAUAGUAUAAUAAUGGAUUUCAAAUUCAAGAACAGUGUUCAAGAGGGAACACGUGAGUAUCCUAUUUAAUGUUGAAUAUUUUAUUAAUUAAUUAAUCUCUUUAUUUGUAUCAACAAUAAGAAGCAUAUUAAAAUAAUGGAAUAAGCUUUUCUAUCCUAUUAAUUUAUAUAUAACUUUGAAGAACUCAUCUUAAAACUACAAAAUAAUUGUUUUAACAAAAUGGUACAGACAAAAUUGUGGGCCUACCCUCAAGAAUCCUUUCAUAUUUUCAACUUGUAAAACUUGUUUAUUGAGGAGUUGGUGGUGGAAUCAUUUGUAAUGUUUAUAUUCUAAAAAAAAAAUUGGGAAAUGAUUGGCUAUUAAGUCAUUUAAAAUUUAUGUGGCUAUUCAUCAAAGUAUUUAAUUUGAUAUUACUUAAUCUUUUUUUAUUUAAGUUUUAUCAUUACUUUUGAAUGUUCAAUUGAGUCAAGUAUUUAUAAUAAUCUUAUUUUAUGUUAAAUUAUACGUACUUAUCUUUUUUAUUGAUUAAUAUAAAAAAAUAUUUCUUUUCUCAAUAAAGAUAAAUAUUUCAUUAACUUAUGUGGACCAACAUCUCUCAUGUGAUUCCAUUUGAAAAAACUAAUUUUAUUAUGAAAAAUUAUUUUUUUGAAAAAAAUAAAAUAACCACUUAUUUUUGUUCAUUUUUAAAAGAAAAGCAAAAUAAAUAAAAAAUAUUAAAAAAAACCAAUGACUCCUUUUUAAUUUUAUAUUAAAAGUUUGCAAAUUAUCUCAAUUCAAUAAAAAAAAUUCAAAUUUAUUGUUAAAAUUUUUAAAAUUUUUUUUUAAAUAUUAGAAAAUAUUUUAUUCUUAUUUAAAAAAAAAAGGAUUUUGCCCUUUCUAUUUUAGAAAAAGGAUUUGCAGUUUUUUAUUUUAGAAAAAGAUAUUUUAACAGUUUUUUUUUAUUGGAAAUAAAUACCCUAUAGGGUUUUUUUUCAAAAAAAAAACUUUGAAAAAAAGAAAAAGAAAAGACUCUUACCGUUUUUAUUUAAUAAAGGCUUGAUAGUUUUAUUCUAUUAAAAAAAAGAGUAAGAUGUUAUUUUAUUUGCAAACUUGGUGAUAAAGAACAAAUCAAAUGAAACCGAAAUAAAGAACAAAUCAUAUAUUCAUAGAAUUGAAAAUUAAAACGAAGGAAAAAAAUACGGAAAGAGCCCCGGCAAAAUGUCGUCCACCACCUCCUCUAAGAUCCUAGGCCUUCAAGCUUGGUCUUUAUCUACCCUUCCACGUGGUGGACAUGCUCUAGGCGAAAAGUAAGCAGAUGGAGGCAGUAAAGUUGGCCCAUGUCCAAAAUCAAAACAAGGCCAAAAUGAGAAUGAUUAAAACAAAACCCAAACCAACAUACACAAGCCCAAAACAAAUAAAGCCCCAACGCAACAGACAAAUUAAACCAGGCCCAAACUCAAAUAAACAAAUAUGAUGGACCAGAGCAAUAGUUGAAGCCUGAAAUAGUAUCCAAGAACCCCAAUACCCAUAAACGUGAAUCAAUAAAAAAACCCAAAUCAAAGCCCACAAAUAGCCCAAGUUCUCAAAACUAACACUUUGAAGUAGGGAUGGCAAUGGGGCGGGUCAUUUCGGGUACCCGCCCCGCCCCGCCCCUAAUGGGGUGGGAUAUUAUUUUUCUAAACGGGUAUGGGACGGGUUUGGGAUUUUUUUUGAAACCCGGGGCGGGUUCGGGGCGGGUUCGGGUAUUGCCCCACCCCGCCCCGCCCCGAUUAUAUAUAAAAUUAAAAUUAAAAUUUAAUUUAAUUUAAAAUUUAAAAUUAAAUUAAUUUAAUUUUUAUUUUAUUAUUUUUAAUAUAUAGAUAAUAAUAAAUUAUUUUUAAUAAAAUAAGUUAUAAAAAAUAUAAUUAUUUAAUUAUUUAUAAAAUAUAUUUAUUUUAAUAUAAUUAAAAAAAUUUAAAAGUAAUUUUUUAAAAAAAUUAAAAUUAAAAUUAAAUAAAAAGCUAAACGGGGCGGGUAUGGGAAUGUAGCAUACCCGCCCGCCCCGCCCCGCCCCGCCCCGCCCCGUUUAAUUUUUUAAAUGGGACGGGGAUGGGAAUUGAUUUAAAUAAACGGGGCGGGGUUGGGAGGGGGGCGCCCCGCCCCGAACCNNNNNNNNNNNNNNNNNNNNNNNNNNNNNNNNNNNNNNNNNNNNNNNNNNNNNNNNNNNNNNNNNNNNNNNNNNNNNNNNNNNNNNNNNNNNNNNNNNNNAAAAUUAAAAUUAAAAUUAAAUAAAAAGCUAAACGGGGCGGGUAUGGGAAUGUAGCAUACCCGCCCGCCCCGCCCCGCCCCGCCCCGCCCCGUUUAGUUUUUUUCAACAUACACCAUUGGGAAUCAUAUUGAUGGUACACCACGACGAUCUGAGUUGAGAUUGUAGUGAUGGUGAGCGGCUCUGUUCUGUACCAAAAGAACUGGUUCAGAAACGAGAGGAGCACGCACGAGACCGUUCCGAGAACCACAUUUGGAAGGUGAGCACCGACAGAGAAGGGUCGUCUGUGGUGGGCACAGUUAGAGCCACCUGUUUGAUCGGUGAGUUCUCUUUGUCUGGGCAGGUUUCAAUGAAGAAGACGAUGGUUCCAAGCUCGAAUACCGCCCUUUGAUACUGCAGAAAACAGAGAGAUAGAGAAUGUUAACUUUCUUUUGCAAAGAUCUGAAGAAGAAGAAGAAGAAUAGAGGACUUACUAAGAGGGGAGGUGAUUUCGUUUAAUUUUUGGGAUUGAAUCAUGAGCUAAGAAUCUGAUGGAAUUGUUAUGGUUUUGGGGUGGAUGUGCAUUUUUUAUCCUGGAUCCUCAUGUUCUUGGCUUGAAAAGUAGUUUUGGUUUUCUUUGUUCCUGAUUUUGUUUCAUUUUUCAAUUUGGGUGUUUUUGUUGUUUGGUCUUCACUCCAGUCCUUGCUUUUGUCAUUUCGAUGAAGUUCUGUUUGAGUUCAUUGCUCAAUCUGUUAUCUUUAUGUUUAAUUUUAAAAUUUUUUUUUCCUGUAAUUUGAUUAUGGGUUGCUCUGAAAGCAGAUGUAUAGUUGAAGAAUGAAACAAAUCAUAUUGAUGGUACACCAUUGGGAAUUUUAUAUGUAAACGGGGCGGGGCGGGAUGGGGUAAUACCCGAAUCCGCCCCGAACCCGCCCCGGGUUUUAAAAAAAAUCUCAUACCCGUCCCAAACCCGUUUAUUAAAUUUAAACCCCGUCCCAUUAGGGGCGGGGCGGGGCGGGUACCCGAAAAAACCCGCCCCGUUGCCAUCCCUAAUUGCAAAGGAAGGGUUUUGCUUUAUGCUCCUGAAACGGAAGUAUAGAUAAAAUAUUUUAUUUCAUUUGUGGAUUGACAUGAUUGGUCAAAUUAGGUAAAAACCCUUUGUAGCUUUGGACAUAGAUUGUUUGUUUAAUUUCGUAUGUUGAUAUUAAUAUGUUUGUAUUAAAACUUUACGGAUAUAACACCGAUCAUCAGUGUAACCACCAUUGUUCUCAUGGAAAAAAUAGCGAGAAAAAAGGCUUAGGAUAUGUGUUUAUAAAUGAACUCCUUUUCAUGGUGGAGUGCAUAAAAAAGUGAGGCAUACAAUAAAUGUAGAUGUGGGGAGCAUUGUGGUGAGGAGUAAUAGGCACAACAAAUACUUUAAAUGUUAUCAUGUGGAUUUCUUUGACAUAAACUAAUUUAAUAGCACAACAAUUAUAAGUGAUGUUUAUAAAUUUUACUUUUUGAUUGAUUUAAUUAUGUGGGUAUAAUUUUAAAUACCUAUUAUUAAUUAAAGGCAACUACCUAUUGCUCUCUAUUUUGUCAUAGUACAAUGGAUUUAAUGCUAUUUUGUACAAGUAUUAAUCUAUGAAACUAAAGUCCAGACAACAUAAAAGAUAUUUUGUAAAAGAAGUUUCAAUCAAAGUGGUAGAUGUCUCUGUGUUAAAGCCCUACCAACUUUGUUGUUAGAGUUAAAAGCCCUACCAACUUUGUUGUUAGAGUUAAAAGCCCCGAUCAAUUUUGUUGUCGGAGUUAAAAGCCCUACCAACUUUGUUGUCGGAGUUAAAAGCCCAACCAACAUUCUUGUCUGAGUUAAAAAAAAGUUGUUGGAAGUAAAUCAUAACUAACACAAUUAUUUAUAUGGAGUAAUGAUGAAAAUAUUGGUAAUCAUGGAUAUAUCGGUAUUUCAAUUUUACAGAUAUAUUGGAAAUAUAUCGACAGAUAUUUUGACACAAAAUAUUGGUGGACUUAAAAUUGAUUAGAACUUAAAAAAACGUAAAAAAAAAAUAUUCUUCGAAAUAAAACUAGAAAUAUGAUAGAUAUUUUAAAGUUGUUUUAUUGAAGAAAUUGAUAUUUGUAUGGUAAAAUUUAUCAUAUUUGAUAAUUAUAUUGUAUACGUUAACAAAAAAUAUAAAUUUUAUAAGUGUACAUUUAUUAUUAAAUUACAUCAAAUAUUAUUUGAUAAUAAUAUUGUGAUAUUUGAUUAUAAUAUAUCUAAUUUUAAAAUAUAUUUAAUAUUAAAAUUAUGAUCCAUUUAAUUCAAUUAUAUUAAAUGAUAUAAAAUAAAGGAUAAUAUAUGUAUACUUUUUUUAAUAUUUAAUUAAUAUAUAAAUGAUAUUAAAAAUAUUAUAAAGAAAAUUAUCAUAAUAAUUUUUAUAUUUUUGGUAAUUAAUUAAUUAAUUUGUUCUUUAAAAUAUUCUUUUAAUAUUUUGUUUAUAUGAUGAGUUUUAGUAUAUAUACAUUUGGUGAUAUAAGCGAACUUGCCCCAAUGGUCGACUGAAAGUUAGAACCUUUUGUUUGGGAUUUGAGUCGUUAGGAUUUUUUAAUCCUUGAUGCGGAGAUGAGAGUAGUUUUGUAAAAGUUAUACUUUUUUAGCAUAAAGGAAAGUUCUAUGUCCAAAAUAGGAUUUUGAUUUUCUCUUUCUUUCUUACAUGGAUAAGAGUAGCAUGUAAAAGUUACAAAAAUAAAAGUAAGUUUCAUGAAGCCAACACAUUAAAAAUAAUAAUAAUAAUAAUAAUAAUAAUAAUGAUGUGUUUUUACUUGUCAUGUAAAAAAAAAAAUAAUAAUAAAAAUAAAAAAUAAAAACAAAAUUUUGUAGUGGUUGGAAGUGAAAAGAGAGGAGAGGUUAGAAGUUAAUGUUGAGAUUGAUAAUUUUCACAAUUGAAGCUUAUGUUUUGAGGAUUAUUUUUUUUGGAAAAGUGAAAUAGUUAAAAUUCUUAAAUAUAUUAUUUUUUAAAAUAGUGCAUCUUAACAUAAAAAAAAUAAAAAUAUCGAUUUAUAUGAAUAUAUCAAUAUAUAGGGGUCGAACUCUAUUCCCGUGAUCUACUUGACACUUUUUUUAAAAGCCUAAAAAUGCUAUCCCACAUCGAUCGCUUGAUAGAAAAUAGAGCACGAUUUAAUAGAGGGUGCCUCGCAUUAAGCCUCUGCCUGGUGCAGCGGGCAGCCUCAGAUCCUUUACUUAUUUUUUGUCAAGAUUAUCCUAUCAUGCAUGUGAUAUAACUAAAAAAAUUUAGGGAGAAUUAUGUUUUGGGGGUAGAUGGGCCCCCAAAUUAACAAAAGGUUCAUGUAACUCUUCAAAUUGAGCCCAAGACCCAAUGAAAGUAUGAAAAUUGAGUUAAAGGAUAUUAUCCUUCAGUAUUUCCAAAAAUGCCCUUUGUUGAUUUUGAGAAAAAAAAUUAAUAUUUUUGAAAAAUACUUUUAUUUAAUUUAAUAUUUUUUAUUUAAUUUAAUAUUUUUGAAAAAUACUUUUAUGUAAUUUAAUAUUUUUUAAAAUACUUUUAUUUAAUUUAAUAUUUUUUAAAAAUAAAUUUAUUUAAUUUAAUAUUUAAAAAAAAUUAAUUUAAUAUUUUUUUAAAUACUUUAAUUUAAUUUAAUAUUUUUGAAAAAAAAUUAUUUAAUUUAAUAUUUUUGAAAACUACUUUUAUUUAAUUUAGUAUUUUUGAAAAAAAAAUUAUUGAAAAAAAAUUAUUUAACUUAAUUUUAUAAAAUAUUUUAUAUGUGUUCUUAAAGGGUAUAUUUGUCCAUUACUAUUUCAUAUCCUUCAACUCAAUUUAAAGAGUUAUAUGGACCUUUUGUUAAUUUGGGGACCCAUCUACCCCCAAAAGAUAAUUCUCCCAAAAAUUUAAACUUAAAAUAUGAUAAAAAAAAAAAAAAAAAUGCUCGGUCACGUGCCGGUGUACAACUUCGUGCUACAAAAAUAUCAUGAUAUUUUUUUUCCCCACUAGAUAUGACUAUCUGGGACCACAUCUUUUGUGGGUGCAUUUGGCCCGGUUCCUUUUGCUGCUGUAAUAUAAUGCUCAGAGGCGGUGGAUUGUGGUGUUGUGAAAGAUUUGAUCCAAGCAGAGAGGCUGUAGGGCUUAAGCCACUAAUGGAUCCUUCCACUUCCACUUCCAGCCAUGCUUUAGAAUUACAGAACCUUAACUCAGUUCCUAGUGGGAACCAGGAGAAUGUCACAUGCAUGGAUCCUGAAAUUUACGUGGCUGCUGCAGAAGGCGACACCGAUAUCCUCAAGAGAAUGCCUAGCGCUGACCUUCAAUUCCAAUUAACACCCAAUCACAACACUGUCCUUCACAUUGCAGCCCAAUUCGGUCAACUGAACUGCUUUGUAUGGAUCAUUCAGCACUACUCCGCGGAUUCGUUGCAAAUCAAUUAUCAAAAGAACUUCUCAUAGAUAUUGAAAAUGGCAUGUCAAUAUCCUGAUGUGAUUAACCAAAUCAAUUAUUAAAGCAACAAAGGGGUUAACCAAAUCAAACAAAAGGCCCAAAUAAUCUCACAUGCUAACGACUAUGGAGGAAAACCUUAAGGUUAACCAUCUCCAUGAUUGUAAGAAUUUUUUAUUUGUAAAGCAUUGGUACCAAGGACAGUUGUUUGGCACCAAGGAAAGUUGUUUAUCCAUUUUACUUUUGUCUGUUGUCUAUUCACUUAAUUUUCUCUUUUUUUGUGUGGGGGCGAAGUGAAGUAAUUGUCCAUUCAGCAUAACCAUUUGGACAAGCCUUUCCCAUGAUGGGAUAAGGAAAUGGGUGGAAAAUAGUUACACAACUUGGCAUAGUAAUGUUUAAAGUAAUUUUGAGAUCAAGUUUAAAUUUAGUCCCUAAAGGGAAAAUGGCACUAAAGAAACUAAUGAACAAUUGUCCCUUUCUUUCUUAUGCAACAAGACGAGGCAUUUGAGACAGCCUUUGCUCGAGUUUUUUUCCUAGAUAAUUUUAAUCAAUACAAAACUGGUGCUUACACCAAUCACCCCUUAGUAUAUUAAAAGAGGAAAAAAAAUUCAAAUGUCCACUUAGUCAGGUAUCAAUAUACCUGAGAAAAACAUUCAAUUAAGUUCAGUGUUGAUUGGUCUUCAUAGUAUAUUUACAUGUCGAAUUUUCUAUUUGAAUAACUAAAAAAUCAGUGCCCUUACUUGCACCAGAUUAUGACUGGAACAGGUUUAAGAGCCUUUGGUCCAUUUCUUAUGCCUCUUUUAUGGCAAGACGCCUACAUAUUUAGGACAUAUAAAUAGCUUUGAGAUCGGAAGGUAACAAAUUUUCAUCACCUAAAACAAAUGAAAUAAAUAAACAAAACCCCAAAUAGCACAUUACAAAAAAAACUUGAAAUUAAAAAUCUGGGUGUGAGUAUGUAUACUUUUUUCUUUAUAAAUUUUUUCUUCAAUCCAGGCUUCUUUACAAUGCAAGCAGAGCUUACACAAUGUAGGCCUACCAAUAAUUGUGUGACUUGAAAUGAUACCAUUCAUUGAUUCCUAUUUUAUUUAUGGAAAACCGAAAUUCUGAAUUCACAGCUUUGCUUGGUUUUGUUGCAUUGGGAAGAUAAAGUGAGGUUUGAUCAUCACUGAUUUUUGUAAAACAGUUUGUUUUGAUCAUCCAUAUUUAAUUAACAUCCAUAAACCUAUUCUGUAAUGGAUUUAAUUUUCCGAUAAAAUAUUGCAUUCCUUCUCUCAUUAUAGGUCUAGAUAUCAAGAUUUAGCAUGUUAGCUCAUCCAUCCUAGGAAUUCUAAUUCAAGAUUUCAUUUUCUAGAUUUAGAUUUAUUAUGCAUGUAUUACACAAGCUCUUAAACUAAUAUGAUUUUUUCAGUAUAUUAAUUUAUACUCGUUUCUACUCACUGAACAGCAGUAUAAUCAAUACUAAAAGGAGACACCUUAAAAUUCACUUCUGACACCAUAUUAAACCCAGAUCGUUGGACAACCCAACAAUCAGUGCUCAAAAUAUGGAAUCCCUAAAUGAUAAAUCAGCUAGCAAUCGACACCAAAAAAACAAAUCAAUAAUACAUUAGAGAGAACCUUUGAUUUAUACUCAAUGACUUAUUUCCUACUCACCUACCACCAUCAUAAUCAACACUCAAAGAAGCUAAAAAAAAAAAAAAAAUAAAAAUUUCACUACUGAAAUAGAGUGGAAGCAAAGCCAUUGGACAACAAAACUUUCAAUGCUCAAAAUAUGAAAACCCAUAUGCUUAAACCAGAUAACAAUCAAUACUCUAGAAUGAAAUCAACAACACACCACAUAAAACCUUUAAUUUAUAUUCAUUUUCUGCUCACUUACUACAAGUAUGAUUAAUAUCUAGAAGGGGCAAAAUACCUCAAAAUUGACUUAUGAAACGAUAUAAAAGCCAAGUCGUUGGACACCCCAACAAUCAAUGCUCAAAAUUCGAAAGACCCAAUUGCUUAACCAGCCAACGCACGACCCCGAAAAUAAAAUCCACAUCAUAGUAUACAGAAACUUUACUUUAUAAUGAUUUCCUACUCACCUCCUACCAGUAUAAUCGAUACUCAAAACAGUAAAAACACCUCAAAUUCAAUUUUGAAAUGAGAUGAAAGCCUAAUCACUGGACAACCCAGAAGUCAAUGCUCAAAAUCAGAAAGACCCAAAUGCUUAAACCAACCAACAACCGACACAUAAAUAUAUUUUUGUGAAAACAUCUAAAAUCUGAAGUUUUGGCCAAAAACAUAUUUUUAUCCAACAAAUCUUUAGAAUUAGCAAUUGAUCAGCCUGGCUUUUUAAGGUGAACUAAUUCAAAGGUCAGCCCGUGCAUGAGUUACCAUGAAUACUUGCAUAUUCAUACCUGGAAGGUUGAAUUGUAAAGGGCCACAAUAUCAAAAGAGUACUACUGUGUGACAAAUAAACAAUAAGCUCGAGGGUAUUACAAUAUUUGGACAUCAUGUACGAAACCCUGGAGAAUGAAUUAAGACCAUUCAUCAUCACCUAUGAAUUAAGACCAUGCUAAACCAUGGUCCACUGGAAAAUUCCCAAAGUGGGAACUUUUUUAUUAUUCUAUGCAUUUAGAUAUAUAAUAAUAAUGCAAGGAAAACUGCCCUUCUUAUUAUUGUCGGUGGUGACAAAAGGCGUUGAUGGGCUCACCUCCUACCAGUAUAAUCGAUACUCAAAACAGUAAAAACACCUCGGAUUCAAUUUUGAAAUGAGAUGAAAACCUAAUCACUGGACAACCCAGAAGUCAAUGCUCAAAAUCUGAAAUACCCAAAUGCUUAAACCAACCAACAAUCGACAUAGAAAACCUCACAAUACCCAUCAAAAAGUAAAAAAAAUAAAAAUAAAUAAAUAAAAGCACAACCAAAAUAAAGUACCAAAAUCGACUUUUUUCUGAUGCUCAAUCUGUUAUUAAACUAGUUUCUCUUCUGAUGCUCAUGAUAACACCUUUAGCCCUAAUAUGUUCUCAACACCCAAACGAAUGCUUAAAUGGAAAACUCACCUGUGAUUGAUUGAGGAAGCUCCACUUCAGUUUUUAGAAACCUUUAAAAAAUCAACCUUUGAUGAAGAAAUACGAAGAUCUGCCUCAACUUUGGCUUCCUUGAAGGUUUUCAGAAGAAACCUAUUGGGUUUGGGUUGUCAACUCGUGAAGAGACACGCUAGGGUUAGGGCAGAAUCAGACGAAGCCGACUUUCGAAAGAUGGGUAUCCAUUGCUUGCUCAAGACCUCAAUAAACAGAUCGACUCUAUCAAAUGAGCUAUGAAAAUGGAAAUUUUCUGAGAUCUGGUUAGGGCAAAACGAGAGAAAGUGACAGAGAUAACUUCAAGUUUUAAAUGUUUCUCGGGUCGGGUGUGUUGUGGGUUUCAGACUUCAUAACUUCAUUAUUCACAUUUUAGUGUUUCUAAAAUUGUGCAAUGGCUGUUGAUAUGGACACCGCAGUGGCUGCUGACAGGGAAAAAUAAAGGGCAAUUUUGGAAUAGCUUACCAAAACAGUAUAUAGUGCACAAAAAAAAUAAUAUUUUGGUCAUUAACGGACAAAGCCCAUAUUCCAGUUUUUUUGGGUUUGAUUUGCAUAUUACCUUCAAAUGGGCCAAUGUUGAGAAAAUUUGGAUACAAUGGAGAAAGGAAACACUCUCACACACUCACUUUGAUACAAUAAAACUCUCUUAGAUACAAAAUAAGAAGAAGAAGAAGAAGAACACAAGAAAGGCUCAAACAAGUUCUUGGAACUUUGUCCAAAGACUCUAUUUCCUCCCACCUCUAGAAAUCUUUUGGGAACUAAAUGGAAAUAGUCUUGGGAUUGAUCAAGCCUUUUCACUUUUCUGCAUGAGAUUUCAAAAAGAAGAAAAGUCAUAUAUAUAGCACUCUUAGGGUUGAAAAAAGGUUACAAGGAUGAGAAAAACUCAUUGUCUUCCUCAAUCUCUUCAUCUUUGUAAUAUUCAAAAUUAAAUCAUAUGUUUAAUUCACACAUUAAACAUGAUUUAAUCUCAAAUGUGUAACUCUCUUACACUUAAUCUCUUAAGUUUAUAAAGUUACAAAGAUGAGAAGACUCAUUGUCUUCCUCAACCUCUUCAUCUUUGUAACAUUCAAAAUUAAAUCAUAUGUUUAAUUCACACAUUAAACAUGAUUUAAUCUCAAAUGUGUAACUCUCUUACACUUAACCUCUUAAGUUUAUAAAGUUACAAAGAUGAGAAGACUCAUUGUCUUCCUCAACCUUUCAAGUUUUGUAACAUUUCAAAACUUAAUCAUGUGUUUAAAUCACACAUUAAAAGUGUAACCCUUCUUACACUUUAUUUUCCAAAAGUUAUUUUCAAAAGUGUAACUCUUCUUACACUUUAUUUUUUAACCAACAAUAUAUAUAUAUAUAUAUAUAUAUAUAUAUAUAUAUAUAUAUAUAUAUAAAUAUAACAAUCCCCCACUUGGUUAAAAAUAAACAUAAACCCUUAUAACCUUAACAGUGAAAAUGCAUAAAAUAAAAUAUCUUUCGAUUUGAAUUUUACCUUAGUGUAAUUGUCACAAAGCUCCGUUGAAAUCCCAGGUUGCUUGUAGCAUUGAACCAGUUAUUCCUUGUAACGAAACCGGUAACAACACACACACUUCCACUAACCACACGAGUGCCCAUUAUUUUCUUGCUUAGCACUUUUAUGGCCAUGUGCUCAAUCCAUUCAUGAACUUUCUUGAAAGAAACUCCAACUCUCAUGAGAGGCGGCACCACCCCUAAGUUCACAUAGGUGAAAUUCUUCCAGCAUCCUUGUUACCUUUAAGAUGCUUGUCACACAUAGACUGAAUUUCAUUAAAAGCUUUAAGCUUAACCCUCCAACGGUAACAACCAGCAUUAAUAAUCACAGAUGGAACUCACAUGUUCUAAUGCUGCCACAACCCACUUAUCAAUGACUUGUUUUUACCCAUUGAACUUAAGACUAGUCAUUUCGUAGUAUUAAGUUGGGUUACCAUCAUUGGUGAGUUUUAUUUAAGGAGUUUUAGUCCCAUCCCUCUAGAUGUUAUCCUUACUAAAUCUCUUGUAAGAGGUUUAGUAAAAGGAUCCGCCAAGUUUCCACUUGACCUCACAAAUGAGAUUGAGAUGAUUCCAUUUUGAAUCAAUUGUCUUACAUACUCAUGUCUAAUGCUUAUAUGUCUAGACUUCCCAUUGUACACUCCACUGUACGCACGAGCUAGAGUGGCUUGACUGUCACAAUGUAUCGACACUGUUGACACAUUAUUUGCAGUAAAAGGGAUGUCCAUCAUGAGAUCCCUAAGCCACUCAGCUUCUUUUCCAGUUGCAGCUAGAGCUAUAAACUCUGCCUCCAUGGUUGAGUGUGAUAUACAAGUCUGUUUCUUGGAUCCCCAAGAGACAGCCCCACCACCAAGUGUAAACACCCAACCUGUGGUAGAUAAAUUAUCUCCCACACUCGAUAUCCAGCUUGCAUCUGAAUACCCUUCAAUUAUAGCAGGAAACUUUGAAUAUUGGAGGCUUAGUUCUUUGGUAUUCUUUAGGUAACCAAGAACUCUACCAAUAGCUUUCCAAUGUUCCACGCUUGGAUUGCUAGUAAACCUACUUAGUUUACUAACUGCAAAUGAAAUGUCAGCCCUAGUACACUGAGCAGCAUACAUAAGACUUCCAAUUGCACUUGCAUACUCAAGUUGAGCCACCGAUCUACCAUCAUUCUUUUCAAGUUUUAUACUUGAAUCAAAUGGAGUAUUAGCAUCUUUAAUCUUGAGAUGACUAAAUUUGCUAACUACUUUCUCAAUAUAGUGGGUUUGGUUCAAAGCAUAACCCCCACUAUUUCUUUUCACUUUGAUACCCAAUAUAGUAUCAACUUCCCCAAGAUCUUUCAUCUUGAAGGUUGAGGAUAGAAACCUUUUCGUUUCUAUUAUUCCUCUCAUGUCAUCACUCAAGAUUAACAUGUCAUCCACAUAUAGACACACUAUGACCAUAUAGUCAUCACAAGUCUUAGAAUAUAAGCACUUGUCCACAUUGUUGUGUCUAAAUCCAUCCGAAAGAAUAGCAUGAUCAAAUUUUUCGUGUCAUUGUUUAGGAGCUUGUUUUAAACCAUAUAAUGAUUUGACAAGCUUACACACUUUGUUUUCAUUCCCCAGUAGAACAAAACCUUCCGGUUGUUCCAUGUAGACCUCUUCAUUGAGAUCCCCAUUCAAGAAUGUCGUUUUGACAUCCAUUUGAUGAACAAAUAGAUUAUGAAUUGAUGUCAAAGCAAACAAUAUCCUAAUCGAUGUUGUUCUAGCCACCGGCGCAUAGGUAUCAAAAUAAUCAAUACCUUCUCUUUGUUUAAACCCCUUAGCUACUAAUCUAGCCUUAAAGGUUUGAAUCAUGCCAUCGGUGUGAUAUUUCCUUCGAAAUACCCACUUGCACCCUAUUGGUUUAGAUCCUGGUGGAAGGUCUACCAAUUCCCAUGUUUGGUUGGACAUAAUUGAAUCCAUUUCAUCAUUGAUAGCCUCUUUCCAAAAAGCAACAUCUCUAGAAGCCAUAGCUUCUUUGUAUGUUUUGGGAUCCUCCUAUAUUUGAAGUACUAUAGGAAUUUUUCUUAUAAUAUCUUCUCUAUUUCCUUCUACUAAGUAAAAGGAAAUUCUUUGAGAGUCAAUCUCAUCCGAUCCCAACACUUUCUCUUUUCUAGCUCUUUGGCUUUUCCGAGGCACAAUGGGUUGCUCAACAACCUUUGAAGGUGUCUCCUCUUGAGACUCUCCAACACUAGUAGGUACUUGAGAAUUGCUAUCACUCAACAAAUUCUCAAAGAACUCUACCUCUCUUGAUUCAAUUAUCACAUUAGACUCCAAGUCUAAUGGCCUAUAAGCUUUGCUAUUUGAGGCAUAGCCUACAAAUGCACACUUAACGGCUCUUGGACCCAAUUUUGUUUUAUUUGGAUCCGUUUUCUUGCAAUAAGCAAGACACCCCCACACUUUGAAGUAACCUAUAUUAGGCUUCCUUCCUUUCCAUAACUCAUAUGGAGAUAUCUCAUUUUUCUUCAUAGGAAUUCUAUUCAAAAUAUAGCAAGCAGUCAACAAAGCUUCACCCCACAAAUUGAAAUUCAAUUUAGCAUGCAAUAACAUAGCAUUCACCAUUUCCAAAAAUGUUCUAUUCUUUCUCUCCGCUAUGCCAUUGUGUUGAGGUGUAUAGGGUGCGGUGCACUCAUGUAUUAUGCCAUAUUCUUCACAAAAAGAAUUGAAUUCACUAGAGAAAUAUUCACCACCUCUAUCACUUCUAAGCACCUUAAUAUUUUUUCCUAGUUGAUUUUCAACUUCGGCUUUGUAAACUUUAAAGGCAUUGAAAGUUUCACUUUUGUUUUUCAACAAAAACACAUAGGUAAAUCUAGAACAAUCAUCUAUGAAUGUAAGAAAAUACCUAUUUCCACCUCUUGUUAACAUGCCAUUAAGUUCACAAAGAUCACUAUGUAUUAAAUCAAGCAAAUUAGAUGAUCUCUCAACACUAUGAAAAGGCUUUUUAAUCAUCUUUGCUUUAACACAUAUUUCACACUUUUCAAAUUUCUUGGUAUCACAAGCAAUCAAACCACAUUUCACAAUCCUUUUAAUAGUGCUUAAACCAAUAUGUGCAAGCCUAUUAUGCCACAAAAUUAAAGAAUUUGAAUCACACAUAUAAGCGGAAGUAGACGUCAUUUUAUUGAUAUUGUCAUUGGUACUAAGUUUGAUCAUCCCAUCACAAGAAUACCCUUUUCCCAUAAAGUUCCCCGAUUUGGUUGAAAUUAGCUUACCGGAUUCAAACACCGCUUUGAUACCCGGUUUGCCAAGCAAAUCCCCACUAACCAAAUUUUUAUUCAUAUCGGGGACAUAUAAUACAUUUUUAAGGGUAACCUUUUUGCCGGAGGUAAAAACAACUUCAAUAGUGCCCUUGCCAAGCACCUUGGAUUUUCCUUCAUUGCCCAUUUGAACCUCUUGAUCUCCCUUUGCAUCUUCAAAGGUCUUGAAAAGAGAUUUGUCAUAGGUAACAUGAACUGUGGCACAAGUAUCAUACCACCAUCCUUGCACCUUUCCUUGGACAACGCACACAUCGCUUAGUGUUGCAAUGAUCUCCUCAUCAAUUGCAUUCACCACAACCCCUUUUUGGUCCUUUCGGAACCUACACUCCCUAGCAUAAUGCCCGGGUUUUCCACACACAAAACAAGGACCUUUCUUGCCCUUAAAUUGCUCUUGAUUUUUCUUGGGGCUCAUAUAAUUUCCGGAAUUCUUUUUGUUGUUGUUAUUUUUACCUCUAGGAUGAUUGGCCUUUGAAAUCGCAUUGGCUUUGUUAGUCCCACCAUUGGACUCUUCCACCAUUUUGUCUCUUGAUCUCGAUUCUUCCUCAAUGCGAAGAUGUUUUUGAAUCUCUUCCAAGGAGUAAUCUUCACUCUUGUGGAGAAUCCUCUUCCGGUAACCUUUCCAACUUGAUGGUAAUUUAGCCACAAUAGCACCAACUUGGAAGGCCUCCGGAAGUUCAAUUUUGAGAACUUUCAACUUAUUCACAAUUACUUGCAACUCAUGAAUUUGUGGUAAGAGAGGCUUUUCAUCAAAAAAUUUGAAAUCUAUGUAUUGAGAAAUAAGAAACUUUUUGGUACCUUCUUCCUCGGCUUUGUACUUGUUUUCAAGAGCCUCCCAAAUCUCCCUCGCGGAAUUGGUGUUGGUGUAGAGAUCAUAUAGCCUAUCGGAUAAGGCGUUCAAAAUAUGACCCCUACAUAUGAGCUCAUCCUCCUCCCUCUUCUUCCUUGCCGCCACCACUUGAGGUGUGUCAUUUUCCUUUGGUUUCGGUAAUGGUGCCAAGGUAGGAUCAAGGAUGUAGAAAAUCUUGAGUGCUGUGAGAAGGAAUCUCACCUUGUCUUGCCACCUAGUGAAGUUAGAACCAUCAAAACGAUCCAACCUCACAAGGUCUUGGUUCAUAAUCUUGAUAGUCUCUCCCUCCAUUGAGAAUAGAGUCUUUGAUUGUUGAUGAAAUUUGGAUACAAUGGAGAAAGGAAACACUCUCACACACUCACUUUUGUACAUAAAACUCUCUUAGANNNNNNNNNNNNNNNNNNNNNNNNNNNNNNNNNNNNNNNNNNNNNNNNNNNNNNNNNNNNNNNNNNNNNNNNNNNNNNNNNNNNNNNNNNNNNNNNNNNNCCCUCCAUUGAGAAUAGAGUCUUUGAAUGUUGAGAAAAAUUUGGAUACAAUGGAGAAAGGAAACACUCUCACACACUCACUUUGAUACAAUAAAACUCUCUUAGAUACAAAAUAAGAAGAAGAAGAAGAAGAACACAAGAAAGGCUCAAACAAGUUCUUGGAACUUUGUCCAAAGACUCUAUUUCCUCCCACCUCUAGAAAUCUUUUGGGAACUAAAUGGAAAUAGUCUUGGGAUUGAUCAAGCCUUUUCACUUUUCUGCAUGAGAUUUCAAAAAGAAGAAAAGUCAUAUAUAUAGCACUCUUAGGGUUGAAAAAAGGUUACAAGGAUGAGAAAAACUCAUUGUCUUCCUCAAUCUCUUCAUCUUUGUAAUAUUCAAAAUUAAAUCAUAUGUUUAAUUCACACAUUAAACAUGAUUUAAUCUCAAAUGUGUAACUCUCUUACACUUAACCUCUUAAGUUUAUAAAGUUACAAAGAUGAGAAGACUCAUUGUCUUCCUCAACUUCUUCAUCUUUGUAACAUUCAAAAUUAAAUCAUAUGUUUAAUUCACACAUUAAACAUGAUUUAAUCUCAAAUGUGUAACUCUCUUACACUUAGCCUCUUAAGUUUAUAAAGUUACAAAGAUGAGAAGACUCAUUAUCUUCCUCAACCUUUCAAGUUUUGUAAUAUUUCAAAACUUAAUCAUGUGUUUAAAUCACACAUUAAAAGUGUAACCCUUCUUACACUUUAUUUUCCAAAAGUUAUUUUCAAAAGUGUAACUCUUCUUACACUUUAUUUUUUAACCAACAAUAUAUAUAUAUAUAUAUAUAUAUAUAUAUAUAUAUAUAUAUAUAUAUAUUUAUAUAAAUAUAACAGCCAAUGCAAACAUAACUUUCCCUCGUAUCAACCCAUUAACCUAGCAUCAUAGCUGCACUGCAUGGAGCCUUGAACCAGCCGUCCUCUCUGUCCAUUUCGCUGACCAAACCUUACCCUGAGGUCCCAGAGCUACAAGCAAGCAUGCUUGGCCGUUCAUUCACUCCCCUAUCAUCACUGACAAUUGAUCACUCCUCUCAUCUCCCUUCUCUCAAACCCAUUUUACCGGUCACCCCACAAAGGCCACACCCAAACCGCCUGAUAAAAAAUCCUAGAUUUCAUGGUCCUCCUCUCCACUAAUGGUGUCGUGAAAUUUCUGGAAUCUUCGGAGGAUUCUCUUUGCGCUUCUCCAUGGCCGCGCCUUUCUUCUCCACACCUUUUCAGCCGUACGUUUACCGGAGUCCACAAGAAAAUGUGACACCUUUUCAAAUAUUGGGUGGUGCAGCUCAGAUGGUUCAGAUAAUGUUGAAACCACAAGAAAAGAUUAUUGCAAAGCUUGGUUCCAUUUGCUACAUGUCUGGGUCCACCCAAAUGGAGAAUGUUUACAUCCCUGAAAAUCAGGGUUCAAAAUCUCGGUCGAGACCGGUACGACUCGGCCGAGUCAUAUCCGCCUCGACCAUGGCCGGUACCGGACCGAUACCCGAGUUGGAGUAGAAAUUGUGGAGAAGAUCAGAUGAGAGGAUCAAAACCCACGAAAAUGAAAAAUACAGAGUUAGAAUCCUGCAUCUUGGAGUUGUCGGCGAGGUCGAAGAAGCACGCCUGCUUGUUCGGAUCGCCCAAGUUCCUGCCGGAGAUGGAACUGAGCAACAUCAAGAGCAGAGUCGCCGGACUGCUGUUAUCAUCGAUGUUCAGCAAUGCCGCCACCGUCGCCCACCAUUCAGGCCCAGCUUGGCCUUGCCGAACCCGUUCGCGGUGUUAGCGGCCUGGCGUCAGGCGUGACGCAGCCCCGGACCUCGUGCCCGCUCGCGCCCCAAUCGCCUGCACCACCUGCGACUCACCCAGUCGCGCUAGGAGCUCAGCCAUUGAAGCCGCCCUCUCAAUGAAAUGGGUAUCUUUGAUGACCGAGGGUUAUGGGUAUCUGUGAUGAGGAUUUAGGUUUUAAAUAAUAUGUUUUUAUUUUCUAAUUAGAUUAUGAGUAUUUGGUGGGGAUAUGGGUAUUAAAUAAUUUGAUAAAAAUUAUAAUGAUAAAAAAUAAAUAAUAAAUAAUAGACUUAUAUCAAAUAAAUAAGAAAUACAAAUUAAAAUUAAUGAAUAUAUUUUAUAAGAAAAAUUAUAUUUAUUUUUUUAAAGAUGAAUUAUGGUUUUAUUUUUUUUAAUAAUUGAAAAUAUUUUUUAAAAAAUUCAAAAUAUUUAAUUUAAAUAAUUUUUUAUUAAAAAAAUUUACUUUUUAUUAUUUUCAUCUUCAAUAAGAAAUAUUUAUCAUCAAGCGAUUAAAUUAAAAUAUUUUUAAAGAUUUUUAAUAUUAUUAUAAAUCAUCCCAAAAAUAUGUUUUUAUUAUAAUUUGAAUAAUUUGAAUAUAAUAAAAGUUUAUUUUAUUAAUUUUUUAUUCUACUUAUUUGUAUUUAAUUUUUUAAUAAUUUUCAUAAUUUUUUAAAAUUAUUUUGAGCUCUUAAAUUAGAAUUUUUUGCAUAUCACCCGAUACCGAUCCGAGAUACCGAUACCGAUGUGCCUCAGGACCUCCCGAGUCAAUGACCGAUACCGUGACUUUGAACUAUGCUGAAAAUGAAGUAGGUAUGUGGCAGUGGGCUUUUGGCAAGGCUGCGACAAGUGUAGUUCUUCUCAAUCAAGGUUCAGGUGAUGGCUUUGUUGGAAUUGUUGCACCAUCUCUUGCAAGAAUAUUCCCGAUUGAUUCGGCAAUGUUUGACGGGGAAAUUUUAUGCCAGCCAGAUGCAUUCCUUUGCUCUCUCAAUGAUGUAAAAGUCAGUAAUACAACUGAUCAAGGGGCUCGUAACUGUCGGCGUUUUCGAAUUCUAGUAGACCGAUUGAUUAAAUCCAUCUUGUGACCAUCACCCUUUCUCAUGUAUCAUGGGCAAGCACGUGCAUUAGCAUGCAUGUGUUUAAGUUGGAUAGCUUUUUUUCUUCUAGGUUAUGUUUGGCUGAUGCAUGUGCAUGCAAGGUUAACUGAACUUCAUGUAUUUGGGACGGUUUGAGGGCGCGUGAAACACGGAGUUAGAGAGCAUGUCACGUGAGAAGGAAGGGGAUGGAGAGUCUUCGAAGAGGGGGUGUAUAAUCAGGGAAGGAUUUUCUGUUUUGGGGGGUGGGUUUUUUUUUUUUUUUUUUAAUGUAUGGUGAGAUUCCGAUCUCUGUUUAGAGAAAGCUACAGAUAAAAGAGAGAGAGAGAACGAUCUUUCUUUUUGGUGGUGAGUUUCUGGAUCUUUGUUGAGGGGGAACUUGAGAGAAGAGAGGGGAAGAGAGAGUUUCGGAAGAAGGAAGUGAAGAUUGAGAGUUCCCGUAGAAACUGUCGUGCCAUUUAGAAUUAAGUGAAAGAAAACAAAUAUUGUCUAUGUUUCAAGUAUAGCAUGUGUUUUAAAAGAAUGGGAGAAUUGGGCUUUAGACCCACUUGGUUUUGAUAAUUAAUAAAGAGUCCAUCAAACACCAAUAAUUGAUCAUAAGGAUAUAAGAUGGGAAUAGACAAAAAUACCCCCUUUGACUCAUUUUUGUCUUUAUUCUACCACCUUUCACAUGUCACUAUUCUUUCUUAUUUAACCAUUUUUAGAUUUUUCAUUAUUUUUUUAAACUCUUUUAUAAAUAAUUGAAAAAUCAACAUUAUUUUUUUAUUUUUAAAUUAUAAAUAAACAAAAAUUAUAUUAAUGAUUCAAAGACUAUUUUGGAAAAUACUUUCUAAAAAAAUAUUAAUUUAAAUAAAUAAAAAUUACAUUUUACAUUUAUUUUUAUCUUUUAUAUUUUAGAAGUAAAUAAUUUAAUGAUUAAAAUACUAUUUAAAAUAAAUAUAUUCACUAUUUUAUUUUUUUAUAUUAAAAAGUAUUUUAAAUUUUUUUUUACUAUUAUAAAAUAAAAAGUUUAAUUUUUUUUAAUCUUCUUUCUUCCUUAUUUUAAUAACUUUUUGAACAUGACUUUUAGUAAUAAGUUAUAUGAAAUGUUACAAAUUCGUUUAUUAAGAAUUUAUUUUAAUGAUUUGAAUUAAUUGAAAAUUUAUUAAAAUAAGAAAAAGAAAAAGAAAGAAAGAGGAUGGAUGGAAAGUUUUUAUUUAAGUACUCAAUUCAAAUGUUUUCAUAUGACCUAAUUUUAGAAGUGGAUUAUAUCAAUACAUAAUAGAGAUUGAAUUUUUCUUAUAUAAAAUGGUUGAAAGGUAUAUUUACUUAUUUUAGAUAAAAACAAGUAGUUAAAAAUUAUAUAGAUUAUAUUUGAGUUUGGUUUUAAAAUAUUUUUCUAGUUUUUAUUUUUUAUUUUUAAAAAUAAUUUUUAUUUUCUAUAUUGUCUCUUUUUGAAAAUAUUUUUAAUUAAAAAAUGAAAAGUAUUUUUUAAAAUGAAAAUUGAAAACCUUGUUUAAUACUAUUUUUUUAUAUGAAAAUAAAAAAAUAAUAAAUUUUAUUUAUUCAUUUAUUGCAUCACUGUACAAUUGUAUUACACUAACUGUAUAAGGGAAAUGUACUAAGUGUACAAAGGUGUACAAGGCUACCAUUUGUGAAAUAUUAUAAUCGAUUAUGAGUCAUUCCUUUAUUUUUUUUAUCACUCACGAAUUGUACACAUAUGUCAUACACUUUAUUUAAUUCCCGCAUGGAAAUUCCAAUAUUUUUCCUAAUAAUAAUAUUUGGAGAAAAAAAAUUUUGACCUUAAAUCAUCUACCAUCUUCUCAACUAAAUCAUUGAAAAUAUAAUUAAACACUAUUAUGUGGAUACAUAACUUAGGAGGGAUAUAAAAUUUGUGUCAUUGUACAAGGGUAUUACACUAACAAGAAAUGUACUAAUUGUACAAAAGUGUACAAGAUUACCCUUUGUGAAUCAAUUUAAUCAAUUCUAAACCACUUUUUAAUUUCCUUGUCACCCAAGGAUUGUACACCUAUGUCAUGCAUUUUAUUUAACUCUCACAUGAAAAUUCUAAUAUUUUCCCUAAUAAUGAUAUUUGGGAAAAAAAAAAAGUUGAUCCUAAGUCAUUCAUCAUUUUCUUAACCAAACCAUUGAAAAUAUUAUUAAUACACCUACAUGAACAUAUAACUUAUAAGAAAUAUGAAAUUUGUGUCAUUGUACAAGGGUAUUACACUAACUGUACAAGGGAAAUAUGCUAAGUGUAAUUGCUAGGAGAAUUACAGUUGUGUAACCAUACGAAUGAUCAAAUACUUUUACCCGUAAUUUUAUACAAUGUUUUGAUCAGAUACUCUUGCCAACAGUUUUUUUUUUUAUGUGUCCUAAGUUGUUACUCGACAAUUGAUCUUGCAAAAAUAAUGUGAACAUUAUUGUGAACCCGUAUUUUUCACAUGCAUCCCCACUCUAUAGCAAAACUUAGAAUUUAUGAAAAAUGUUUCAUGUUUUUAAAAACUCAUUUUAUUUGAGUUUUGGAAUUGACAUUUAUUUUAUUAAUUUUUUUUAAAAAAGGUAAAACAAAAUAAGAAAAAAAAUCACAUAUAACUCUUUAUUUGAAAAAGACAAGUCCAUUAACCAAAAAUGGAUUUGAGGGUCAAGUUACGUAUCUAGAAGGUAUGAGGAUGAGCCUUUGCACACCUCUAAACCCGUAUAAUUAAUUAAUUAGUGGAUACAAAAGAAAUCAAGAAACCUAAUGUCUCACAUAUAGAGAUUGGAAAGUGGUGGAAAUUGAUCAUCAAAAAAUCAUUAAAAAAAUUCCUUUUAUUAUUGUAUAAUAAUCAUCAAUAUAUUUUUCUAUUUUUUUUUAAAAAAAUAAAACUAAAAUUAAGGAAGAUAUUAAAUAUUUUUUUAAAUUAACAAAUGUAAUUAAAAAAUUAUUUAUAAUUCUAAUUCUAAAAAUAAUAUAAACCAAUGUAUGAAUAUAUAUUUCUUCUUCUUUUUCCUUUUUGGUAUUUUCUUUUUCUUUUCUAUUUGAUUGGUCUAUUAAAUGAAUUUCACUAAUUAUUAUUUAUUUCUUAAAUAGUAAUUGGUCCACUUUUCUCUCAUAUUUAAAUUAGCUAAUUAACUUGAUUUCCAUGUAAGGACCCAAUUAGUGGCAUUUCAAAUAUAAAUCAAUAUCAAAUAUUAAUGUUGAUAAAGACUAUUAUCUGCCACAUCAGUAUCAAGUAUUAAUGUUGAUAAAGACUAGUUAUCUACCACAUCAAAGUGGCAAACAUAUCUUAAAACCUUACCACCUUUGUCAAGAUGCUCCAAGCUUUGUCAUAGGAUUUAAAACACCAAGUGAAAGUAUAUUAUAACAUAACCAUUAUUUGUGUAGAGAUGAGUAGUCCCUUUCAAUUUAGGUUCACAUUCAUAGAUAUCUUGAAUAGAUUAUGUUUAUAUUCAAAGAUAUUUUAUGUACAAUAUUGAUUGUAAUUUUGUAAGUUAUAUGUACAUACUUUUAUUUUAAUGUGGUAGUAAAAUUUAAAAAGUAAAUGUAUCAUUUUUUUUUCAUUCCUAAAUUUAUUUAAAAUAAUUACAAAACUUACAAUUCACUCAUAUCUUAUUUUUUCUAUAGAAUCAACAUUAGCAAUGUCUCUUGUGAAAACAUUGGAAAAACUGUGGAAACCUAUUAAAAAAUCAUUAAAAAGAUAUUUGAUAUUUUUAAAAUUUUAAAAUAUAUAUAACUAAAAUAUUAUUUGUAGUUUACCUUUAAAAUAUAUAUAUCUAAAUGCAACCUAGGAUAUCACCACAAUCAAAAAAAAUUCUAGUAGAAGGAAAUUUCAUUGUGAAAGCAGUAUCAUUCAAACAUCAUCCAUAUACACACCUCUCCAUGGUGUUCUACAAUUAGUGUAAGAAAAAGAAGAAAAAAACAGGAAAGGGUAAAUUUAGUAUGGUAGAAGGAUUCGUAAAUUAGGUGAGAAUAAUGCCUUUGGAUCAAAGAGUUACUCCUUAAUUUAGGGAAAUGCACCCAGGGGCUUAAUAUUUUUAUGGCUGGUGAAGAUGAAAAGUGGAGACUGGAGAAUGUAUUUAUUCAUUGUAAAAAAACAAAAGGCAUGUUUUUCCCUGAUUGCUAAUUGUAAUCGGACUUGUUAGUAAAAGCAUAAACAAUAGGUAAGACUUAAGCAUGUUUAAAAUGAUUUACAUCAAUGUCAAAGAUUCACAAAUUUUUUCCAUGCAAAAUCCCGACUGAUGGUUACCAAUAAAGGAAAAGCUGGAACAAAAAGGAAAAGCAAGAAGACUACAAUCAUGUAUUUGGUGGUAACUUCAAGCGAUGAAGAAGGAUGUAGCACAGCUUGCAGCCCGUCAACGAAUGCUGUCACCAUUACAGCCAUCGCAGCCAAGGUGAGAACAUAGCCGUACAAUAAGUAUGCGUGGACGGUCUUCUUAUUUUCUAUGGGGAAAGAGGCAAGGAAGUAAAUACCAAUUGCACACAUAGAAAGUACCAUGGCUAUGCUAUCUUCCAUGACAAAAUUUCUGAAAUUUUCCGUUGCUGCACUUGCCAUGUCUCCGUCCUUGCCCAGGGUGCCAUCUGUUGGGAGCGAUAAGACUGCCAUGCCCUGGGUAACGCCCUUGUCCGGAAUGUAACCACCAGGCAGUGUGAAACCUGCCGUGAAGGUUACAGUUGCUAUGAGUGCCGCCACUAUCAUAUGGCUUUUCAUUGUUUUCUUAAUUUCAGAUAUUUCUUUACUUUCUUCACUUCCUUUGUUUUCAGAUAUUUCUUCGCUUCCUUUGCUUUCGCUGCUAUCCAUGUCUUCCUUAACCUCUAGCGAACCCAAGGGUCUGAUCCCAACUCUGAAACUUGGACUCCGUCUCUGAAAUUGUAAAAAGUUUACAGAAACAUGGAUAGAGAUUUGAUUUAAAGGGGUGAAGGAAUCAUCCUAAUUCUUGUAAAAGAAGAAAAAUAAUUUAUUUGCUAACAUAAAAUUACCAGAAACUGCAUUUUUAUUGUUCUUCUCUCACAUAAAAACAUAUUUUUGAAUAAAAGCAUAUGAAGGAUGGUUGUCAGAUGUAAUAUCUAUAUAAUUAAAAUACAGAAACACGAAAUAUAUAUAUAUAAUUAAAAUUAAUUAAAAAAAAUUAUGUAUUUUUGGAUGUCAAAUGGGUAACAUUGGAAAUCGAAAAUUUUGACGACCUUACCCUUAAUCCCGCGAAGGUGUCCAAUAUCCACGUCAACAUCCUCUUCGGAGGUGGGAAGUAGUCGACAUCUUUAGACGAGGGAGAAUUGUGAAAUAGGUAGAGGGGCGUCUUUCCUUCAGCAUUCUUCUCGUUCAUGAGUCCUCUCAUCCUUAACGGGGGAAUAUUUGACAAACCCGAAGUUAUAAAUAUUUUUUUUGGCAUUAUAAAAUGAAGAACAUUAUUGCCCUCAUCAUCAACUUUCUCACAACAAUCUGGAAAGUGUGACACCAGCUCUUUCACUAUGUCCACAUGGCCUCGGCUUGCUGCAAUGUGAAGAGCUGUCUUGUUUCCAUGGUCUUUGACUCCUAGGUGGACAACACUGCUGUCACAUUUCUCUAGCAAUUGCCUCACUAUUGUUGGAUGACAACCCACAUAUGCAGCGAAGUGAAGGGGAGACCACCCAUUUUUAUCCAAUUCUUUAGUUAAAGCAGGUUUCCAUUUCAGUAUCUUCUUUGUCAUCGCUGAUAAAAUCAACAAAUGAGAGAAAAAAAAUGAUUUAAGAAAAUAAGAAAAUAAAUUAAGUCUCCUCUUGUAAUGUGAUUCGACCAUUAAAUAAAAAUGGUGCAUCCUCCACUACGUACCUUUGUUAUUGAGAAUUACCGCAGCAUGCAAAGCCGUUCGACCCUUGAUGCCAUUAUGAGCUGGUGAAGAGUACUUGUCUAGGAUCAUCUGCACCAAGUCUCCGAAUCCCCACUCAGCAGCGAUGUAAAGAGGAGUAUUGCCUUCAGCAUUAGCACCAUAGGCAAAGUCGGGGUCAUCCUGAAUCAAUAACUUCACCACCUCAGGGUGAUGAUUUCUCACUGCCUCGUGCAAGGCUGUGUCUUUGUCGUUAUUUAUCAUCCUCAGAAUUACCGUACAAUCUGCUACAGCCCCUCUUUCUGUGUCUCCUUCUCCAAGUUUUUUGGCAGCGUCAAUCAGAUUUUUCACCACUGUCCAGUGCCCUUCCCUGGCUGCAAGGUGAAGUGGUGUGUCACCUUUCUCAUUGGGCUGUUGCAAUAGUGAUGAAGGAGAACCCAACCCAAGGAUCCACUUAACGCAUUCCGCUUGACCGAACUGGGCUGCAACAUGGAGAACAGUGUUCUUCUUUGGGGUUAGUUUGACUUGAAUAUCAUCUUUACGAGCGUUAAGGGCAUGGGUGUCACCAUCUGCUGCAGCCACGUACAAUUUAGGAUCCAUGAUUGUGAUCUUGGUCAGGCUCCCAUCUUCAGCUGCAGCCAGGUUGGUGAUCUCGAUUUCCCUAGCAUCUUCAGCUGCAGCCUGGUUGGUGAUCUGAAUUUCCCUAGCACCUUCAGCUCCAACCUGAUUCGACUCUGUAUUCAAGUUAAGGCUGGAAGUAGUGGGAUCGGCCAUUGUUGUUGAAUGAGCAGUGGCCUUUCUAUAUUUUGCUCCAAGGAUGGGAAACAAGUUGACCAAUUGUUUAAUGGAGAGGGUGGCUCUUAGCUCAACCUCGGGGAAAUUAAGUGGAUGCUUUUUAUAGCCUAUAGGUGUGUGGGUGUAAUUUGAUAUUCAAAGAUGGAAGUAUAUUCAAAUUCUCCAAUCUUUGUCAUAAAUUAAAACAGUAGAUGGAAGUACAUAUCAAAACACCACAAUUAUUUAAGUACACAUUCUAAGAUAUUUUCGGUAGGUUAUGUUUAUAUUCAAAGAUAUUUUAUACACUAUUGAUGUAAUGGAAAGUUGUUUAUUUGAAUUUUUCUUUUUAUAUGCCGUUCCUUUCAACUUGAGUCCACAUUUCAAGAUAUUUUCUAUAAAUUAUGUUUAUAUUCAAAGAUAUUUUAUGUACAAUUCAUAAUGUGAUAGAAAGUUGUUUAUUUGAUUUUUCAAUUCCUUUUUAUAUGUAGAUAAUGGUAUGUGAGGAAAUUGAAGAAAAAUGCUCUGAGCAUGUACUCCUCCGAGGAUAUCACCAAAAACAUUUGGAGAAGAUCACCAAUGCCAAAAAAAUUAUGAAUACAUAUUUCUCCUUUCCUGGUAUUUUCUUUCUCUUAAUUUUCUAUUUGAUUGGCAUAUUUGGAGGACACCACUAACUAUUAUUUGUUUUUUAAGUCAUAAUUAGUCUAUUUUUCUCUCAUAUUCCAACUAGCUACUUAACUUGAUUUCCAUCCAUUUCUUAGUGAAGAAAAAUGCUUUGAAUAUAUCCUUGUCCAAGGAUAUCACUAAAAAAUGCUCUGAAUUAGUCCAUUACUAAUUAUUAUUUAUUUUUUAAGUAGUAAUUAGUUCAUUUUUCUCUCAUAUUCAAACUAGCUAAUUAACUUUAUUUCCAUCCAUUUCUUAGUGAAAGAAAAAUGUUUUGAACACGUCUUCCUCCAAAUAUAUCACCAAAAGUAUUUUUGGAAAAAUAUCACCAGUGUCAAAAAAAAAAAAUGAAUACAUAGUACAAUGGAUUUAAUGUUAUUUUGUACAAGUAUGAAUUUAUGAAAUUAAAGUCAAGACAACGUAAAAGAUAUUUUGUAGAAGAAAUUUCAAUCAAAAUGGUACGUGUAUGUGUGUUAAAGCCUUACCAACUUUGUUGUGGGAGUUAAAAGCCUUACCAGCUCUCAUUGUAGAAUGGACAAAAAAAUUUCAAAAAGAAAAAAUAGAAUAUGAUACUGUGGUCAAAACCAAAUUAUUUUUAGGUCAAUUAUAAACACAUGUUCUAGACCCAAUGGGUUUGGGCCAAUAAACCCAAUGAGUUCUUUUUACUUAGUUAAAUGAUUGAAUGCAUUAUCAAAUUGAUAUCCCUUUAGGGCUCGUGUUUUUAUUUUUCUAUCUUUUGUUUCUUAUUUAUUUAUUUACUUAUUUUUGUAUCUCUCUAUUUUAAUUUCAACUUUUUCACAAAUUUUAUAGUAUCCAUGUAUGUAACAUUGUAAACUAACAAUUUCACUCUCGGAUCAGAUUGGUAUAUUUGGCAUAUGUCGCCAAGUUUUAGUUUAAUUUUUCUAAAUGAUAAUUGACCAUUUUUCUCUUACAUUUGAAAGCUAAUUAGAAUAUAUUUGACAACUAUUUUUUAGAUUAAUUUUUUAUUCUGUAAAACAAAAAAAAAAAAAAAAAAACCAACAAGGAAAUAUGUUUGACAACUAAAAAACUAUUUUAUAUUUUUAUUCUUUAAAAUAGAAAACAUGAUGUUUUUAAAGAAAAUUUUAUAGUUGUUUUCGUUUGUGUUUUUAAGAACCAUUUUUAUAAAAUAAUUAUACCAAUAUAUAGAAUGAUUAAAAAUAAAGAACUGAAUAUAAAAAUUAAUUUUAAAAUAUAUUUAAAAAAAUAAAAUAAUAGUUUUUUAGAAAUGUUUUUUAAUAUAGUUACCAAAACAGGGUUUCAGCUUUACGCCCCUCCAUGUUGACUCAAUUAUUAAUUAUGUGGCAUUCGAACAUAAGUCAAUGUAUAAUUUUAAUAGGAAAAAGACGGUUAUAUAUAUAUAUAUCAUAACAAACAAAAAGGUGAUAGAUGUGUGUUUUAAAGCAGUUUGUUUCAAGUUAUGUGUAUAUUCAAAGAUAUUUUAUGUAGCUUAUGUUGACAUUUAAGGAUAUUUUAUAUAAUAUUAAUAUAAGGAAAAGUUGUUUGUUUGAUUUUGUUUCUCUUUCUACUAUAGAUCCUACCUAGAUCCUGAUCCUUGUCUUAUUGGGAUCCCAAAGUCUUCUAUACAACACUACGCACUUUUUACCCCCACAGAAACCAUAGUCGCUCCUUUAUCUAGCUAAAUGCUUUUUAUUAAAUAUUUUUAUAAAUGGAAUUAUAUUUCUGACAUUCCACAAUUUCUUCGAUCUCCAAGGAUAGAAGAUGGAAGGAUUAUAAGGAAGAGGAUGUUUAAUUGUAAUUUUUUUAGUAAUAUAUAUAUAUAUUUAAAGAAGUAAUUGGUCCACUUUUAUCUCAUAUUUGGAUUAACUAAUUAACUUGAUUUCCGCCUUAAAGAACCAAUUAGUGUCAAUUUAAGUAUAAAUCAAUAUCAAAUAUUAAUGUUGAUGAAGACUAGGUACCCAAUCAAAGUGGUAGAAGUAUCUUAAGGCCAUAUCACCUUUAUCAAAAUGUAUGUGUUGGCCUACUACCUUACCAUCUUUGUCAAGAUGUAUGUGUUAACCCUACCUACCACCUUUGUGAAGAUGUAUGUAUUAAUAUCCUCGAAACUUUAUCAUACGAACUAAAACAAUAAGUGAAAAUAUAUCAUAACCCAACAAUUGUUUUUUUGACAACAAUUGUUUUUUGGGAGAUGAGUAGUCCUUUUCAACUUAGGUUCACAUUCAAAGAUAUUUUGUAUGGCAUAAAUCUAUAUUCAAAGAUUAUAUAUAUAUUCCAAACAUAAAUCAACUUCAAAUAUUAAUGUUGAUAAAGAUUGGGUAUCACCAUAUCAAAAUGGUAGAAGUAUCUUAAGACCAUACCACCUAUAUCAAGAUGUAUGUGUUAAUAUCCUCAAAGCUUUGUCAUUUGAAUUAAAUCAGGAGGUGGAAGUAUAUCUUAAUAGAACAAUUAUUUUUCUAGAGAUAAGUAGUUCCUUUCAACUUAAGUGCACAUUCAAAGAUAUUUUAUAUAGUAUAUGCCUACAUUAUAUAUAUUUAUAUUCACUCAUAUCUUAUUCUUUUUUUAUCAAAUCCACAUCAACAAUGUCUCUUGUGAAAACAUUGAAAAAAUCGUCAAACCCAUUAAAAAAUCAUUAAAAAAAUUGUGAUAUACUAAUUUGAUAGGAAGAAAUCCCACUAGUUAAUUAUUAUUUUUUUCCUUGAUCAUUUACACUUUCAUAUGAUCCAUCAAAUUCAUCUUCCACAAUUGGUCUACUUCUUAGUUAAUUUUGUUUACCAAUUUUAAUAUGAUCAAAAUCAAUUUUAAAAUUUUAGGUUAUGUUUGGUUUAAAAAAAAAUUGAGAGAAAAUAUAAGGGAAGAAAAAUAUGGAGGAAAAGAAGAAAGAAAGAAAAAUGAAUGAAAAUAAAAUAGAUUUAAAAUUAAUAAAUUAUUUUUAUAUGUUAUUUUAAACUAAAUUCACUUAUUUUAACUCUUCUAUAUAAAAAUUAAAUAAUUUGAAAAUAUAUAAGUUUUAACUAAUUUUAAUUAUAUUUUAAUUUCUUUGAUAUUUUUAAUAGUAUUACAACCAAACAUUAAAAAUAAUCAUUUUUUUUUAACAUUUUUUCCAUAAUACUUUUUGAAGAAUCAAAUAUAACCUUAAUGUUAAAAUUGAAUAGAAUAUAAUUAUUUUGUAUCUGUAAAAACUUGCUACUUUGACAAACUAGAGAUAAUUUUUAUCUUAUCAACAAUUGUGAAGUUGAGUAAAUUUAAAGCUAAAUCAAUUUCCCAAACAUCAACAAAUAAAAACAAAAUUAAAUAGUCAAAUAUCGUAUUUUUCUAGAGUUGGAAGUACAUAUAAACACCGCAAUUGUUUUUCUAGAGGUAAGUAGUCCCUUUCAAUUAAGUCUAAUUUCAAAGAUAUUUUCUAUAACUCUACAUUUCACAUUCUAUAUAUUUUGUGAGCAAUUCCCUUCAAGCUUUUGUCCAUGAUUUAAAGAUAUUUUAUGUAGAGCAUACGUGGAAGGGCUUUUGCCCAUGAUUGAAAGAUAUUUUAUGUAGAGCAUAUGUGGAAGGGAAAGUUGUUUGCACAUAUAUAUAUUUUUCUCUUUCUUUCUUGUGAAGUUUUUCUGUCUUUUUAGACAUCUCCCAUUUUUAUUUACUUGAUGAGAUUUUUAUCCUAUCACACUCCGGCCUCAAUAAUUUGGCUACAUUAAACCCAUUAACACCAUUUUAUUAUUUAUUUUUCUAAAUUGUAAUGCUUCAUAUUUCUCUCAUAUUUGAACCAACCAUCCAGCUUCGUUUCACGCUCAUUCCUUGAUUCACCCAUUUGAUAAGUGACUGUCAAUCAUAAAUCAAUAUAGAGAUGAGUCGUUGCUUUCAAAUCAUGUCUAUAUUUUUUAGAUUUUUUUUGUAACUUAAGUCCACAUUCAAAGAUAUUUUACGUCAAACAUGGGUGUAGAGGAAAGUUACUCAAAUACCAUAUUCUCUUUCCUUCUAUGGAUAAGAUAAUGCUUGGUUCUAAUUUCAUAUGUAGUAUAAUUUUAAUUCUUAAUUUUAAGAAAAUUAUAAAAAUAAAAAUAAAUAGUAAAUAAAAGAUUCAUUCCCAAAUUUGUUUAAAGUCAUUUUAAAUCUCACAACUCAUUCUCAUUAUAUUUGUAAGGCAAUCAAGCAACUUGCUGUCUCACAUGUAAAGAUUAAAAUGUGGUCAAAACUCAUCAAAAGAAUCAUUAAAUGUUUUUCUACUUAUUGUUAUAUAAUCAUCAUUAUAUUCUUGUGUAUUUUUUUUUUAAAUAAAACUAGUUUUAAGAAAAAUAUUAAGUAUUUUUAAAAGCUAAAAUUCAAUUGAAAAUUUAUUUAUACGUUCUACUUUUGAAAAUAGUGAAAACCAAAGCAUAUUUAAAUGCAUUUUUUCCCUCUUUUAUUUCUUUUGUGCACAUCUGGACUUUUCACAAGAAAAUGGACAAAGUAGCUUUGGGAAUAAAAAAUAGAAAAUGUUUAUGGUAUCAAAACCUAGUUAUGUUUUAUUAUAGAAGGAAGAAAAAAAAUGAAUGAAUUAUAUAUAUCUAUAUAUAGUAAGGAUCAAUGUGAGGUAAAAUCCCAAGAAUAUUAUCAAAAAUAUUUUGGUAAAUUAUUAUUAUUAUUAUUUUGGUAAUAUAUAUAUAUUCUUAAGAAGUAAUUGGUCCACUUUUCUCUCAUAUUUGGAUUAACUAAUUAACUUGAUUUCCGCCUUAAAGAACCAAUUAGUGUCAUUUCAAAUAUAAAUCAAUAUCAAAUAUCAAUGUUGAUGAAGAGUGGGUACCAUAUCAAAGUGGUAGAAGUAUCUUAAGGCCCUAUCACCUUUGUCAAGAUGUAUGUGUUGGCCCUACCACCUUAUCACCUUUGUCAAGAUGUAUGUGUUGACCCUACCACCUUUGUGAAGAUGUAUGUAUUAAAAUCCUUGAAGUUUUAUCAUACAAACUAAAACAAUAAGUGGAAAUAUAUCAUAACCCAACAAUUGUUUUUUAGGAGAUGAGUAGUCCUUUUCAACUUAGCUUCACAUUCAAAGAUAUUUUGUUUAGCAUAAAUCUAUAUUCAAAGAUUAUAUAUCUAUAUAUAUAUAUAUAUAUAUAUAUAUUCCAAACAUAAAUCAAUCUCAAAUAUUAAUAUUGAUAAAGAUUGGGUAUCUACCAUAUCAAAAUGGUAGAAGUAUCUUAAGGUCAUACCACCUAUAUCAAGAUGAAUGUGUUAAUAUCCUCAAAGCUUUGUCAUUUGAAUUAAAUCAGAAGGUGAAGUAUAUCUUAACAGAACAAUUAUUUUUCUAAAGAUGAGUAGUCCCUUUCAACUUAAGUUCACAUUCAAAGAUAUUUUAUAUUGUAUAUGCCUAUAUUAUAUAUAUUUAUAUCCACUCAUAUCUUAUUCUUUUUUCUUUUUUUUAUCAAAUCCACAUCAACAAUGUCUCUUGUGCAAACAUUGAAAAAAUCGUCAAACCCAUUAAAAAAUCAUUAAAUUUUUUUACUAAUUUUGAUAUACUAAUUUAAUUUGAUAGGAAGAAAUCCUAGUAGUUAAUUAUGUUUUUAUUCCUUGAUCAUUUACACUUUCGUAUGAUCCAUCAAAUUCAUCUUCCACAAUUGGUCUACUUCUUAGUUAAUUUUGUUUACGAAUUUUAAUAUGAUCAAAAUUAAUUUUAAAAUCUUAGGUUAUGUUUGGUUUAAAAAAAUUGAGAGAAAAUAUAAGGGAAGAAAAAUAAAGAGGAAAAGAGGAAGGAAAGAAAAAUGAAUGAAAAUAAAAUAGAUUUAAAAUUAAUAAAUUAUUUUUAUAUGUUAUUUUAUUUUAUUUAUUUUUUUAAAAAGAAAACAAAAUAAAAUAAAACAUGUGUAACUCCUUAUUUGGAAAAAUAAAAUAAUAAAAUAAGUGUAUGGAUUAAGAAUGAGUUUUGAGGGUCAAGUUCCCUAUAGGGUAAGCCUUAGCAUACCUCCAAACCCAUUUGUUUACAAUCUCUAAUAAACAAUAAGAGAUACUUUAACAUUUAAUUAGUCAAUCAACGGAUAGAAAAGAAAUUAAGAAACUUGAUGCCUCACGUACAAAGAUUAGAAAGUGGUUGGAACCACUCAUGAGAAAAUCAUUAAAUUUUUUCCUUUUUAUUAAUGUAUAAUCAUCAAUAUAUUUUUCUACUUUCAAAAACAAAAAUAAAACUAGAAUUAAGGAAGAUAUUAAUUUUUUUUAAAGGAAGAUAUUCAAUAUUUGUUUAAAGUUAAAAAAAUGUAAUUAAAAUUUUAUUUAUAUGUUCUAUUUUUAAAAAUAGUAUAAACAAAUGUAUGAAUACAUAUUUCUUCUCAUUUUUCCGUUUUGGUAUUUUCUUUCUCUUUUUUAUUUGAUUGGUCUAUUCAAUGGAUUUCAUUGAUUAUUAUUGAUUUCUUAAGUAGUAAUUGAUCCAUUUUUAUCUCAUAUUUGGAUUAGCUAAUUAACAUGAUUUCCAUGGUAAGGUCCCAACUAGUGACAUUUCAAAUAUAAAUCAAUAUCAAAUAUUAAUGUUGAUAAAGACUGUGUAUCUACCAUAUCAAAGUGGUAGAAAUACCUUAAAAUCCAAAUAACCUUUGUCAAGAUAUAUAUAUAUAUAUAUAUAUAUAUAUCUAUGUGCGUGUGUGUGUGUGUUGGUCCUAGCACCUUUGUUGAGAUGUAUGUGUUAAUAUUCUUGAAACUUUAUCAUAUGAAUUAAACAACAAAUGGAAAUAUAUCAUAAUACAACAAUUGUUUUUAUGGAGAUGAGUAGUCCAUUUCAACUUAGGUUCACAAUCAUAGAUAUUUCCGUAUAAUUUAUGUCUAUAUUCAAAGAUAUUUAAUGUACAAUAUUGGUUCUAAUUUUUUUGGUAAUACAUAUAUAUAUAUUGAGAAGUAAUUGGUCCACUUUUCUCUCGUAUGUGGAUUAACUAAUUAACUUGAUUUCCACCUUAAAGAACCAAUUAGUGUCAUUUCAAAUAUAAAUCAAUAUCAAAUAUUAAUGUUGAUGAAGACUGGGUACCAAAUCAAAGCAGUAGAAGUAUCUUAAGGCCCUAUCACCUUUGUCAAAAUGUAUGUGUUGGCCCUACCACCUUACCACCUUUGUCAAGAUGUAUGUGUUAACCCUACCACCUUUGUGAAGAUGUAUGUUUUAAUAUCCUCGAAACUUUAUCAUAGGAACUAAAACAAUAAGUGGAAAUAUAUCAUAACCCAACAAUUGUUUUUUUUUUUUUUUUUUUUGACAACAAUCACUGUAGAUCUUAAGCUUAGAGACGGAUAGUGCGAGUGCGAGGUCCAAUCUAGAUAGAGUGGCUUUGUACUCGGCUUCGUUGUUUGAUGCGAGGAAUCCGAGUUAGAUGGCCUGCUCUCACCAGUUGGAGAUUGUAGUAGCAAUCCCACUCUGGAUCCUGACGACUAAGAGGCUCCAUUGACUUGUAAGGUCCAUCACUCCGUCUUGUCCGAUUCUCAGUCUCGAGAGGGUUGUUGGGGAGACUCCACCACAAAGUCAACCAUGACUUGCCCUUUCAUGGACAGCCUAGGCUAAUAUUCGAUCCCAUACUCGCUCAACUCUAUGGCCCAUUGCAGCAUUCUUUCGGACUUAUUCGGUUUGUGUAGGGUGCUUCGCAAGGGCUAGUCGGUAAGCACGACUAUUGGGUGAGCUUGAAAAUAUGGGUGGAGCUUCUGGGCGGCACUCCGCAAGGCUAAGGCAAUUUUUUCUAUCUUUGAAUAUCUUGUUUCUGCAUCGGCCAUUGCUCUGGUGAUAUAAUAAACAGGCUUCUGCUCCUUGUGUGAUGGACAACGAAACAAGACGACGCUAACCACUCAAUCCAAUACUGCUAAAUACAUGUACAACCAUUCGGCAGGCUGAAGGCUGCUCAAGAUGGGUGGUUGUGUGAGGUACUAUUUGAUUUUCUUGAACACGCCUUGGUAGUUAUCCGUCCAUCCAGUCGCGUCGGCUUUCCUUAGCACCAGGAAGAAAAGUUGUAGUUUGUCUGUGAAUCGGGCUAUGAAACGUCCUAGUGCGAUGAGUUUGCUAGUGAGGCGUUGCAACUCCUUUUUGUUUUUGGGGGCGGGUGCCUCCAUGACUGCUUUAAUUUGAUUCGGGCUGACUUCUAUUCCUCUUUAAGUGACCAUGAAUCCCAGGAAUUUUCCCGUGCUUACACCAAAGGCGCAUUUGGAUGGGUUAAGUUUCAUGUCGUAUCUCCUCAGUAAGUGGAAGACUUUUUGCAGGUGGUGGGUAUGAUCUUCUCUAGUUUUUUUUUUUUACCACUAUGUCAUCAAUGUAUACCUCCACUGUGCGACCAAUCAAGGGCUUGAAGAUCUUUGUCAUUCGUCUUUGAUAGGUGGCGCCAACGUUUUUGAGUCCGAACGACAUGACCUUGUAACAAUAAAGUCCAUGCGACGUUAUAAAGGCAGUUUUUUCUUCGUUCGCGAGGGCCAUGGGAUCUGAUGGUAUCCGGAGAAGGCGUCUAGAAAGGAGAGCAUCCCUUGCCCGGUAGUGGAGUCCAUAAUUUGGUCUAUCCGUGGCAACGGGAAGCUAUCUUUUGGGCAUGCAUUGUUGAGGUUGGUGUAAUCAAUGCACACUCGCCACUUCCCUUCCUUUUUGAGGACUACCACCACAAUUGCCAACCAUUCCGAGUGCUCAACUUCCCUGAUGAACCCAACAUUCAAUAACUUAUCCACCUCAUCUUGAAUAAUCUUCUGUCUAUCCGGAUGAAAUCGUCUAACCUUUUGUUGAACAGGUCUUGACGAGGGCAAGAUGUUAAGUCGAUGGGAGGCAACUGAUGGGUGGAUCCCAAGCAUAUCGAAGUGGGUCCAUGUGAAAACGUCUUGGUUUUGUCAAAGCAUCUCCUUGAUGUUCUGAGUCUCUUCGAGUUCCAAGAGGGAACUAAUAUAGGUGAGACGACCAUUCUUCUCCGAGAUUUGGAUGGUUUGCAAGGGAUCUACCACCGGGGGAUCUUUAUCCGUCGGGUACUGUAAUUGCUAUUGGUCGGGUGCAUUCGCUUGCUCAGGGAGCAACUCGCGAUCGUUACUAGGUCCGGCCUCUCGUGCUAUUUGAUAGCACUGACGGGCUGCUAACUAGCUACCAUAUAAAUCAAUCUGCCUGUCUUCGGUCAGGAAGCUCACCAUCUGAUGGUACGUGGAAGGGAUGACCUUCAUGUAGUGAAACCAGGUGCACCCCAAAAUGGCGUUGAAGGAGGAUAGAUCUUCCACUAUUGAGAAUUGUACGUUGAGGAUGACUAAGCCUGCUUGGAUCGAUGACACAACGUUUCCAAGAGAGGUUGUUGCAGUUCCAUUGAAUCCUGACAAAAUCCGUCCCGGGGUCUCUAGGCUAAAGGGCACGAUUCCCAUUUGUUUGAUUACUAAUACUUGCAAGAGCUCGAUGGAGAUGCCUAGGUCGACCAAGAUCCGCCUUACGUCGAAGUCUCCAAUCCCAAGAGACAGGAUAAGGGUGUCUUGGAGUGGUUGCAAUAUUCGUAUGGGGUCUACUAGAGGAAAAAUGAUUGUCCCAUCUAUUGGACGGGCGUUCCUGCUAGUUAAUCCGGGCCGGAUGGAGUUGAUACGUUCGCGUACCGAAGCGGCCUACAGCAGCCUUUGCCUCUUUCUCUUGGAGUCGUACUCUUCAUCCAAGGGUCCACCAUGAAUGUAGUUAAUUAUGGCCCUAGGGGCGAUCGGAGCUGAGGUGACUCCGGAGGCUUGACUCCGAGAAGUCUCCUCCCUUGGCUUUUGAGCGAACGUACUGCUUUAGGUGUCCUGCUCUUAUAAGCUUUUCUACCAAGUAAUGGAGACUCCUACACUGUUCCGUAGUAUGUUCAUGCUCUUUAUGAUAAGCACAUUUCCUGUUAUAAUCUCUCUUGGUUGGGUCCGCUUUGAGGGGUUCAUGUCACCUAAAGUCGGACAGCUCGCAGAUCAUUGGAAGAAGCUUCUCAUAUGAUAUGGUAAGGGGUGUAAGCAGUGGCAGCUUUGACUGACUUUGUUCACCUUGUCUACAGCCGGGUGGCCUCUGCUAGUUCGGAGGUUUGGAACUUCUUGCCACGUCAUUCCUGGUCGGCUGUCCGGUAACCAGGAUUUGUUGGAUGGCUGCGCAUACAGCAUCUUCCAGCAUUGAGUAUUUGUUCGCGCGCCGGAACAAGUCAUCCAUAGUUGUGGGAGGUUUUUUAGUGAGUGAUUCCAAGAAUGGUGUGCCCGGACAUAUGCUCCGCUUAAAAAUUUGGAGGACAACAUCCAUGCUAUAGGAUUCUAGUUGUAGUGCAACUUGACCAAAUCGUUUCACGAACUCCCUCAGGGAUUCAUUUUCCUGUAUUUUUAUGUUUUGCAGGGUGCUAAUAUUCUAUUUAUGUCAUGCGGAACACAGGUAUUGUCCCACAAAGGCUUCUGAUAGAUCCUAGAAGUUAUUAAUAGAAUUCACAAGGAGUCGAUGAAACCAUGAGAGAGGCUGGUGGGGAACACCUUGCACAACAUUGCGGCAUUCCCUAUGUCGAGUGUCAUGAGUUGUUGGUAGUGCAUGAUGUCGUCAAACGGAUCGCUAGACCCGUCAUACGUAGAAAAUUUUGGCAUGAGAAACCCUCUUAGGGGCUCGUAAUUGAUAAUACGCGAGCUAAAAGGUGUGGAGAGCAUGUCAUCCAAUUGCCUAUUGAUGGAGCCCGAGGGGGCUCAUUUGCUGAAUUUCCUCCGACUUGUCAUAGUGCUUGGUGUGGGGGAUUGCCCUGUGUGAUGGGUGCGACCGCGGGACUAGGAUACGUCUCCCGGGUCGCGGCUGUAGGUGGCCUAUCCUUACCAGGUGCUUGUGGUCCCAACCUCACACGCAUUGUGUCAGAUAACUGUGGUCUCUUGUCGCGUUGUCUCUUUGACGAGACACAAGUGGAGUCCGAGCUUUCAUCAUAUGGAGCGUGAUAUGUAGGUAAGGGUCGUUCACUAGGCCGUUCAUCGCGCAUAUCAAGAGCGAUCUCGAUGACUUCAAGAUACAUUGUCUCCUGGUUAUGCUUAGAGUUUGUCCCUUGGCCUCUCGGUCGCUGGUCGUGAGGAGGUCCCGAGGAUGAAACCUGGAUUCUUAACACAUCGUUUUCUUCCUUAAGCCUCCUUGUUUCUUGGAGUAGGGCCUGCACUUGCCGCUCACUUUCCAGCUUUCGUUUUUCCAUACUUUCGCGCCAGUCAAAAUAACCCUCAUCACCCAUGGCUGAUGAACAACUUCUAGAAGGUGUGGACAUCUUCGUAAAUGUUGUUUCCCACAGACGAUGCCAAUUGAUGCCGAGAGGACCCAGAGUCACUGUAGCUCCCUAAAGUACUUGCCUCCUCAACUGAGAGCGAUGCUUCCUUCCUUUGCCCUGCAAAAGAUGUCCAGAUAGGUGGUCCGGACACACCUUCCAAAGCUUUUGUUAGUUUGGCGGUCAAACAUAUUGAUAUUUUUGGGCCCUUUUUUUAGGAAUGCUUACCCUCUCUUGACUGGGUCGUCGGGGGCCUUUUAUAGUGUCUAGAGCCCCGUCACUUUGAAUGUGGGAAGGCUCUUUGACUUUUACAGUCAUGAUGGUGCUCAAAGGGUGGCAGAGCCGUAUUAUCCUGCAGGCGGCUAACAGAAAUUGUUUGGGGGGGGGGGGGGGGGGGGGGGGAGGGGGAAUUUUUCCCCCCCCCAUUUUUUUUCCCCCAAAGGGGGGAAAGGGGGGGGGGAAACAAGUCCCCCGAAAAAANNNNNNNNNNNNNNNNNNNNNNNNNNNNNNNNNNNNNNNNNNNNNNNNNNNNNNNGAGAUGACAACUGUCGAGUUCGGACUAGACGUCCGAAUAGAGGGUGGGACGUGCCAUGUGUCCACCGGAGGAGUGCCUUGUGAGCCCAGGGUGGCCUACCACAUGUACGUUUAAGGGUCGUCCCUACAGUAAGAACAUAGGUAGAAAACGGUACUUACAUAUAGUUUUGGAAAAUAAAAGAAAAAAUGAUAAGGAGUUUCAAAUUCAUUUAUUUAAUUUAGAGUAUAUUGAAAAAAUCAUUUUUUUAUAUUUUUGCUGGCAUAUCAAUUUAGUCCCUAAAUAUUUUUAAAACAAUAUUACCCUUAAUCAAUGCUCAAAUGUCAAAUGAUCUCUUUUAUUGAAAAUUUUCAUCAAAACUUUACAUAAAACUCCCUCAUAAAAUAUACAUUAGCAUGAAAUUUUAUAUGAUAUAUUGGGAUCUGUCCAAGUUUUUCGUGCUUAGUCAUAUGUGUUUUUCCAUCUAGAUUUUAUUUUAUUUUAUUUUUAAAAAAAAAAUUCUUGUUCAAUUAAACUAAGUCAGAGCUAAUAUUGUGAGAGGUUGGACUAAACUUCUCACCGAAAAAAAAAAAAUUAAAAGUAAGUGAGUUUCUAGAUAUUGAAUCUGAAAUUAGUUAUACGAACAGAUCAAUCGAAAAAAAAAUGCUGAAGUAAAAAAAGUAAAAAGUCUUAACUUGGCAGUUGGAUUGAUGGUGAUAGGGCCUUUUUAAGGCUGCAAUGGAGAGGUUGUUGUCCAGUGGCCUUUAUUAACUCACAUCAUGGUUGUAAGGUAUUCCUUUUGUGACGCAUACGAUAUUUAGAGAUUUUUUUUGGCCUAUUUUCCUCUUUUUUUUUUCUUUGGAUGGGUGGUGGGGUAGAUUUUUUUGUUCCUCUUUUUUUCUUUCUUUUUAUUUUUUGCUUAUCGAUGAGGGAAAGAAAAAACAAUUUUAUGAAAAACUAGUCUAAAUCAAAGGGUUAAGUUCCUUAUUAGAAAUGUACUUCAAAAUAACAUAUCUUUUAGCCCUAAAAAAAAUCUUUGUUAAACAAGUAUUGAAGAUAAUCACAACAACUGAUUAAUUAAUCAUGAAUACAAAAAAAGUAUGAUAAACUUAUAUACAACAAAAAUUGGAUUGAUGGUGACAAGGCCUUUUUGUGGUUGCAAUAGAGAGGUUGUCCUUGAGCAAUUGUUGUCCACGGACCUUUAUUAACUCGCAAGGUAUUCCUUUUGUGACCCAUAUAUGGGUGGUGGGGUAGAUUUGUAUUUUUUUCCCCCUUAUUUUUCUUUCUUUUUCUUAUUUUUUUCUUUAUCUUUUCUAUUCAUUGACGAGGGAAAGGAAAAAAAGUAUGUGAAAAAUCAAUCUAAAUCCAAGGGUUAAGUUAUUUAUUAGAAAUGUACUUCAGAAUAGCAUAUCUUUAAGUUCUAAUUUUUUUUUUUUAGUAACCAAGUGGAGAAAAUUAUAACAAUUGAUUAAUUAAUCACAGAUAUCAAGAAAAGUAUGAUAAACCUAUAUAGAACAAUACAAAAAGGAAAAUAAGAUACAAUAAUAUACAACAUUGGUAAAGGAAAUACAUAAAUUAAUUUAUUAAAAUAUUUAGAUAAAUGAUUUGAUUAUUUCUAAAUAUUACAAGAUUUCUAAGAAAUUUUAAAAGAAUUUGACUCGCAUUAAAAACAAUUUCAAGUUAAUGAUAUCAAAAUUAUUUAUUCACAAAAAUUCAAUUUGUUCACAAAAGAUUUGAUUUUUAUUUUCGUUCAAAUUUAUUUCCAAAAUGAGUUUUGCUUGUUUUUGUUAAAAGAAUUUAUUGAACACAAUUUUAUAUAUCUAUAUAUAUAAAGAAUGUUUAAAUUUUAUCUAAUUUAUAAGAAUUUUUUUUUCUUUUUCUAAAAAAAUUACAAAUUUAUUUUUGAGAAAUAUUUUGAUUCAAUUUUUAUCAAGAAAAAUGAUUUUCUAUUUUUUUUAAAUAUUUGCAAAUUUAUUUAUAGAAAGGGAUUUCAACCUAAUUUUAUUAAAAGAAUUUCUACAACUUCUAUAUUUUAGAAAUUAUUCCCAAUCCAAUUUUAUUAAAAAAAUUAUAUUUAGGAAAUGAUUUUACAUCUGUAAUUGAAAAAGUAAUUUUGCAAUUUUUAUUUUAAAAAAGGAAUUUAUAGUUUUUUAUUUGAAAAACUGAUUUUGAAAAUUUUUUAUUUAGAGAAGUGAUCUUUUAUUUGAAAAUUUUCAAAUGAAAUAUUCCAUAGUUUUUACUUGAAAAAAUAAAAUAAAAUAACAAUUUUUAUUUAAAAAGAAUCCUAACAAGUUUUAUUUGAAGAAAUAUUCUAGAGUUUUUAUUAAAAAAAUAUUUUGUAAUUUUAUUUAAAAAAAAAAGGUGUUGAUAAAAUCAACAAAAGAGAUAAAAUGUGGACAUGUUGUGCAUUAUUAAGUUUUCGGUCCAAGCCACCUAACUUUCACUUAAAUGGGCUUCGGCCCCUUGUGCGCACAAGGCUCCCCACACCUCUGCUAAGGGGGGAGGGUUAGUAUAUAAAACACCAUUAAAGUACCCAUCACUUUCCACGGUGGGAAUCUUUUAUUUAUUUUUUAUUUUUUUCACAUUAAAACAAGGGUCUCCAAAAAGCCUGCGGCCUGCGGCCCGGCCUAGCGGGCUAAAGCCCGGCUCGAGCCCAGCAGGCCCGAGCCCAUUUCUGGAUGAGCCAGGCCAUGGGCUCCAAUUUAGGCCCGGCGGGCUGGCCCGCCACUUAAAAAAAAAUAUAUAUAUAUAUAUAUAUAUAUAUAUAUAUAUAUAUAUAUAUAUAUAUAUAUAAAUAUUCAAGAAAUAGAAAAUGCUACAUUAAUAAAAAUAUUCAUUGCUAACUAUUUUAUUCAUUGAAUGUAUACGUUACAUUUGAAAAUGUGGGAAAAGUUUGCAUCACUACAAAAUAAAUACAUCCCAACUAGGUUGACACCUACUUAUUUGUCAAUCAUUUGUAUUUUUCAACCACAAAAAUAAAAAUAAAAAUAUAACAUACAUUUAGUAAAAUAUUUUAAUCAUUAUCUCUUGGCGGUGAUGGCGAACUAUCGCAAAUCCAUGAAGAUCUUGAUGAUUUUAGUUUUUCCAUAUCGACAAGCAUAUUUUCUUCUUAAAUAGAAUCAAAUAUCAUUUUAUCUGCUAUUGCCCAGUCUUUCACACAUAUAUUUGCUUCAAUAGAAUCCGGCGCUAAGCUGCAUCGUUUAUCACUAACUACUCUUCCACCUGCACUAAAAGCAGCUUCUAAUGCAACUGUACUCACAGGAACUGUUAGUACAUCACGAGCAAUGAUAGAAAGCACAGGAUAUUUGUGUUGUUGUGAUUUCCACCAUAUUAAAAUAUCAAAAUUUUCAUCAUCUUCAAAUGAAAUUAAAUCAAUAUUAAGAUAUCUAUCUAAAUCAAUUGUGUUGUUUGGAGAACUAUUUGUUGUCUUCUUUCGACUUUUUAACAUUUCUAGAGCUCCUUUAUAAAAAGAUGAAGAACUUGUAGAUGUAGGUGGUAAUUUAAUGAAACUAAUAUCAUCACCAUAUUUUUCUUUAUAAUAGUUAUAUAAAUUAUAUAAUAAUGAAUUUAUUUCAUUUUUAAUUUCUUCAAUUUUUAUUUGGUCAUUAAAAUAAAUAAUUGUUAACCAUUCAUCCAAAGCUUCAAAUUUCAAUCUAGGGUCCACAAUUAAACCAAGAUAAAAAAUUAAAGGUAUUUCUCCCCAAUAUUUUCUAAAUUUUUCUAUCAUUGCAAAUAUUGCAUCAUUAAAUAUAUCCAAAUUUAAAUAUUUUUGAAAUACAAUAAAAAUAUUAGUUAUUUGCAUGACAACUCGGUUUGAAGAUGGAUAAUAUACACCACAAAUUUUUUUUUGUUGAAGUAUCAAAUACUUCAAAAAGAUCUCUUAAAAGAUCUGCAAUAUGCCAAUCAUAAUCAUUUAAUACAUCAAUAUCUGCUUCACAAUCAUUGUUAAUUAAUUGUUUUUCAUAUAGUUCUACUACUUUUCUAUAUUUUGUAAUAGUUUGUAAAAGUUUAUAAGUGGAAUUCCAUCUAGUGGGCAUAUCCAAAUUUAUAUUUCUUUUUUUCAUAUUUAACAUUUUGCAACAAUAAAAAAAUAAUUCAUGUUUUGCUUGAGAACUAUUAAGACCCGCAACAAUGCCUCUAAUUUUUUAUAUUGUAUCAUCAAUGUGUUUUAAUCCAUCUUUUACAAUUAAAUUUAAAAUAUGUGCACAACAAUGCAUAUGAAAUAUUUUACAUUGAUCUUCUUUUAUUUGUCAAUAUCGUUUUAAUCUAGAUACUGCUGCAUCAUUAUUAGAAGUAUUAUCUAAUGUUAUUGUAAAUAUUUUAUCACGAAUGCCAAAAUCUAUAAUUUCAUCAUUUAUUAAAGAUGCUAUAUUUUUACCAUUAUGUGGAGCAUUUAUUAUUUUAAAUGAAAUAAUUCUUUUAUUUAAUUUCCAUUCAUUAUCAAUAUAAUGAGCAGUUAUACAUAAAAAACCACUAUGAGUUAAAGAUGUCCAAAUAUCAGAUGUUAAACAAAUUCUUCCUUCAAAAUUUGCAAAAAAAAAUUUUAAAAUUUCUUUUUGUGUUUCAAAAUUUUUUAUAAGAAUUCUUUUAACUGUAUUUCCAGAGCAACCUUGAAACUGAGGAUUAACAGCUUGUUGCAUUGUUCCCGUAAAAUCAUGAGUUUCCAUGAAAUUGAAAGAUUGUUAUGCUCUUAUUAUAUAACCAAUCAUUUCUUCACGACAAUAAGAUUCAUCAUAACAAAAUGUUUUUAAAUUUCCACUUUCAUCUUUACCUAAUUGCAUAUAAUUUCUAAUAUCUACAUUAUUUUUAGUUUUACAAUUUUCAUGAUGCCUUUUUAAAUGACUUGUACCUGCAUUUGAGCCACCACUAAGAAGUUUGUUACAAAUUUUACAUUUUACAUUUUGCUUUUAUUUCUUUUUUAUUAUUUUCUAAAUUUAUUUCUAUUCUAUAAAAAAAAUUCCAUAUAUUUGAAGUAAAUUUUUUGCUAUCACAUGCAUUAGAUGAAGAACAAGAACCACUUGCCAUAAUUAUAAUUAUUGAUAAAAUAUUAUGCUAAAAAUAAUAAAUGUAAAAUUAAAAUGUAACAAAUAAAUAAAAGUAAAGGUGAAGUAUGUUACUAAAUUGGAGAACCGAAGCAGAAAUUCCUUCAAAUUUGAACUCUUUGAACCACCAAUGCUUGUUUUUCACCACUAAUAAUAUUGAAUAAUUUGAGACAAAAUGCAAUAAUCGGAAAUAUUGUGGAAUGGGAAAGAGCUUAAGAGUUGAGAGAAUAGAAAAAAAUUGAGGGUAUUUAAUAUUUAUAGGGAUUUAAAUAUUAGGAUUUAAUUUUUUUUUAUUUUAUAAUCAAGACUGUUCAACGGUCAUAAUAUUGAAUUGAGUGGCAAGCAUGUUCAACGGUCAUGUGACCGUUGAACAGCCAGUUCACUUUUAUUUUUUUUCAAAAAUCAUACAACAUUUCUAAUAUAUAUAUAACUAAUGCAAAAUAGUUACACAAAAGAGGGCUAGCUCAGUUGGUGGCUAGCUCCCUUGUGGAUCCAUAAGGGAAGGGGUUCGAAUCCUCUUUCCUUCCCGGCCCGGCCCGUUGACCAGUCAACGGGCUCAAUGGCCCGCCCCGUUGACCAGUCAACGGGCUCAGUGGCCCACCCCGGGCUAGGCCAUGGGCCUUACUCCUCCGGGCCGGGCAGCCCGGCCCGGCCCGUUGGAGACCCUUACAUUAAAACACCCACACACACAAGCACUCUACCAACCAUUACUGGGCAGAUUUUUUUGGAUACCUACCUUAUAUAGGAUGGAUUUGAGAUAAACUUAAACAAGUCUAGCAAAUUUCAAUAAAAUUCUUAAAACCUGAGAUUGGUCUGAGACGGAUUCAAAUUUGACUAUAUCCUACCUUGAUAAUUGUUGUAGUAUGUGAUUCAUAUUUGAGUGAAAAGACAUAUGAAGAAAAAUAGGCAAAAUGUCCGAGCAAAACAGAGUGGAACAUAGUGAAUAUCCUAUUUCCCUGUUCCUGUGGACAUAGACAAUUAAUCGAACCACAUUAAAUCUCUGUGUUUUUCUUUCUCGUUUUUUUUUCUAUUUUUUUCAUCAUUAAUCAUUGCACGGAUUCCAAUAAUAAUAUAAUACAAAAUAAAAAAUUAUUUUAAUUGAUUUUUUUUACAAUUUAAAAUUUUUAAAGUUAAAAAAAAUAAAAAUAUGUAAAAAUAUGAUAAAAUAAAAAAGUUAAAUGGAGCUGGGUGGGGUGAGGCAAAUAUAAGAAUUUCCUACACCUGUCCCAUCCCUAGGAAUGGCAACGGGGCGGGUUCGGGACGGGUCGCCCCCAUCCCAACCCCGCCCCGUUUAUUUAAAAUAAUUCCCAUCCCCGUCCCAUUUAAAAAAUUAAACGGGGCGGGGUAGGGCGGGUAUGAUAAAUUCCCAUACCCGUCCCGCCCCGAGCAGUCGUGAAGUUGGUCAGGCCCAGGUGGUAACGCAACUCAUCCUCAGAGGCAGCGUAGGGUAUGUCUAUCUUGUUUCCCAGAAUGAGAAAUGGAACAUAUGCCAGUGACUCAUCAGAAAGGAGGGCAUCCAACUCCCUCUUUGACUCGGCAAAUCUUUCCUUGUCAUACGCAUCAACCAGGUACACCACAACAUCCACCUUGGCAUAAUAAUCCUUCCAGACUCUUCGAGCGAUCUGAUGCCCACCCAAAUCAAAGGCUUUAAACUUAAUUUUCCCAAUUCUCAAUUCCUCGGACGUUGGGUGUUGCGUUGGUUGAUGCUGAACUAAUCUCUCAUCCUUCAACAUAUGAAGCAACGUCGUUUUUCCCGCAUUAUCAAGCCCUAAAAAUAAGAUCUUUGCCUCUUUUUACCAUAGCCCCAAAGAUGCGAGAAGUCCAUAGAACCAAUCGAAAAGAAUCAUGGUGUUCCGACAAGAUUCGCGACUCAAAACGCGGCCAAUUCACCGGAACUAAGCCGAAAACCACAAACUUAUCAACGAACUUGUCGGAAAAUCCCACUGGAGGUAGAGAUUCAUAUAUUCAUAUAUUAUAAACAGGGCGGGACGGGGCGGGAUGGGGCGAUACCCGAACCCGCCCCAAACCCGUCCCGGGUUUUAAAAAAAAAUUCCAACCCCGUCCCAAACCCGUUUCUAAAAUUUGAACCCCGUCCCAAUAGGGACGGGGCGGGGCGGGUACCCGAAAAAACCCGCCCCAUUGCCAUUCCUACCCAUCCCUCCCCAUUUAAAUAAAAAAAUAAAAAGGUUAUUUUUUUUCUUUUUAUGAAGAUGAAAAUAAAUAUAAAUAAAUGCAUGAGGUUAGGAUGGAGUGGCCAUCCGAACUCAUUUUGUUGUCGUCCCAAAGCAAGAGCCUCAUUUUAUUUGUUUUUAAUUUAUUUGUCAACAAGAAUGCAGAGGUACAUCUUUCUUUUUUUUUUCAAGGGCCGUAAAGGAUGCAACUAUGGGGAGUUGUAGUCUGCUCCAGGACCUCGAAGAAGUUGCAAGACUGGAUCACUUUCUGAUACAAGCUCUCCAAUGGUAGCCAAGUUAUCAGUGAGCAUCUUCAACUUGAGUAUGUAUUCCAUCAUGGAGAGGGAACCUUUCCGAGUUAUCUGAAAUGCUAGCCGAAGCUGCAUUACUUGUGCUAUUGAAGAUACGGAGAAGAUCUUCUCUAGAGCCAUCCAUGCUGUGUGAGAAGUCUGAUAUCCAAUUAUUUGUCCCAUAAUUUCGAGAGUAAGGAAAGAGGAGAUCCAACUCAGGACCAUGCGUACCAAAACAUCACCAACCAAGGAAUUCUGAAUUAUUUUCAUCAAUGGUAUUCAUCUUAGGAAGACGGAUUUUCAGUCCUUCACUGUGUGUUCUUCAAAACUAUUAGUAAAGAUGACAUUGUCUAUUUGUAUACACCAGCGAAUGGAAUCAUCUCUGUUGAAUUUGAUGGGAAGUGAAUGAUUCAACAUGUUGUAAUAGCUCUGAUGCCAUGAAAGAACUGCAGUCAAGAAGAACAACCUAUCUAACUAUCUAACAGAUUAGUUUCUAUUCUGGUGAAGCUUCUAAAUGCUGUUCUGUUGAUGCUUCUGGAUGACUAUCAACCCUGGGUAGUAAAUCUCGUCCUUUCAUUUUCUUUUCCUUUCUUUUCGAUGCCCUCUCUUGUGAAUGCGCCUGACUCAACCGCUGGUAAAUGGCACUAUUUGAAAUGUGCACUAGGCUUUUCACAUGCGCUUCAAUCAAAUGGUUCAUAUGCAAUAACUAGAAAUAUCAUAAGGAAAGGAAGAACAAACGGAACUGAUAUUGAUGAAAAGAAAAGCUAGGAUCGUGCCCUAUUGAGUGAAAAGAUAACAUUUGGACUCAUAGGCUCAGUGGGAGACUUUCAAAUACCCUUGCUAAAAAGAAGAUUGAAAUACAGAGAGUUGGGACCUUCAACUCAAACCCUAGACUUAGUCCGUUAUAACAUCAAAUCCUACCAACAUGUCAACAAUCGGGCAUGUUCAUCCUUGAAACAUCUUUCAUUGGCAUGAGUUAGAGUCCUCUCCUACCGGAACCUGGCAGUGGACUAUUAUUUUUAAGAUAGUUCACCCUUUUUUUAUAGUCCAUUGGGGGCUAUUGUGGGCUAUGUCAAACAACAGAUCUUUCCAUUAAUGGUUCCAUUCUCCCAUCGAGAGGCUAUGAUACUAGUAAGUGUUAACCAAAACCCCACACAUACAAAUAAAAUGUAAAAAAAAUACAUGACAUUUUUAAUAUGAUUUAGCAAUCAAUGUGAUCCUUACAUCAACAAAGUGCUACUAAUUAAAAAUAAAUAAAAAAUAGAGGUUAUGAUGUUGAAGCUAUCAAAAAACACCUCUUAAUUGUGGUUACACUCUCUUUUUAAAAAAAAAAACCUAAAAACAUAAGAGGGUUAAAUAUAUAAUGGGAGGAAACUCGUGAUUCAUCAUAUUAAAAAAAAUCUCUAUAUUCAUACUUUACAAUUCAACAGUAAGAGUUCUAUUCUUCUCCUCUGGACUCAACUUGGUUUAUGAAAUAGAGGUCUCUUUUUUAAGUGUGUGGAAAGUCCAGUUUCAAACUAUCUAGAACUAUAAUGCCUCUUUACAUAUAUACUUGGAGAAAAAAGUUAAGCCUAUCCAUCUCAUUACUCUUUCGUUUCUACAAUCUUCAAAUCCUUCUUACCUUACCCUCAAUAUCAAUGUUUGUCUAAUUUGUGGUCUCUACCUAGCCAAGUGAUCUUUCCUAUUUGCCACUCUAUAAUGCAUGCUCGUGUUGUUUUACUCUUCUGGAGCCAUUUCUCUUUCAACUUCAAUAUUCCCCUAAAAUACUACCAUUUUUAAAAAAAAUCUAUACCAUUUAUAUUUUUUUAUUGAUAUUACUAUUUAUUAUAAAUAUCCAUUUAAAGUAAAUUUAAAAUGUAUGCAAAAUUUAAAACAUUACAAUUCAUUUUUAAAAAUUUUAAAAUGUUAUUAUUCAUUUUAUAUAUAUAUAUAUAUAUAUAUAUAUAUAUAUAUAUAUAUAUAUAUAAAUCUUAGUAUUUAUUUAAAAAUUUGACAAUAGGAGGAAUUUGACAAGAAGAAAAACAUAUCUGCUUUUCAAUGAUAGCAAGAAAAUAAAAGAAAAAAAAUUCAAUGAACAAGCAAGAAUUAGGGAAUUUUUUCUUGGACAUUUACUUUUAGGAGGAAUGAAACUUGGGUAAUGGGAUUAGCUGGGCUGGUUUGGGCCAGUUUGGGCCUAUUUUUGGGCUCACCCAAUUAGUGUACAUCUACAAUUCCUACUAUUUUGAACCCUAAAGUUUGUAAUCCACAAUUUCUUUCAACUCUUUAUUUUUUCUUUUAUCAUUUGGUUUGAAGACAUGCUAUCAAUCUCUCUCCAAUUCUCGAGUCUUCCUUUUUCCUAUGUCAUGAUCAAUUAAUACACUCUUAGUCACAAAAUGAUAUAUAUCAAAUUCUUUUGAAAGAAUUAUAAUGACCAUAAAUUUCAUAAUCAUAAAUGUUUAGGAUCACUCAAUGGGACAUAUUACUUCAGAUUCAUGAGAUAUUAUGGUGUCUCUAUUAAGAGUAUCUAUUAUUACUUAUGUAAACCACCAAUAACUAUAAUUAAUUAAUUUUUCACGUCUAUGACUUACUAUUCAUUGUAUGCAAGUUCUUUAUGAAUUGAUGUCCAUUAUUCAACAAGGUAAUAACUAUCAAUCUCUCUCCAAUUCUUGAGUCUUCCAUCCACCUAUAUCAUAAUCAACUAACAUACUCUUAGCUAUGAAUAACAUAUGUCUAAUUCCAUUGAAAGAAUUCUAAUGACCAUAAAUUUCAUAAUUAUAAAUGUUUAGCAUCACCCAAGGGGUCAUAUUAUCUCAAACUCAUGAGAUAAUAUAAUGUCUCUAUUUAGAGUAGAAAUUAUUACAUGUUUAAACUACCAAUAACCUAAUACAUAGGAAAUAUAUGAUAAUUUUGGGAUCUCACCCAAAGGCCAAAGCCACUAAUGACCUAAACUCUAGUGCAAUAAUCUCUUAAGAGUAGAACCAAUGCAACAUAUUAUAAUGGAGAAGUCAUAACAAUUCAAUAGUCAUUCAAUCACAACUCUCUAUGGAUUAUGUUCGAUGUUUAAGAACACACAUUAAUACAUUUACUAUGCGAAAACCAUCAACAAUGAACAAGACUAGUCACUCCAUUAAUACAUACAUAUAUAUAUAUAUAUAUAUAUAUAUAUAUAUAUAUAUAUAAUUAUGAGAUGUUGUCUCUCUACUCUAUAAGAUUAUAUAUAUGUGGGACUCAUAUGGAGUUAAUUUCUGUCCAUUUAUGUUUUGAUUUUAAUUUUUUGAUUUAAUUUAAAGAUAUGCAUGCAACCAUAAACGUUCAUCUCUUAGAUUAUGCCACAGUAAAACAUAGAUAAAAACUAAAUUUAAGAGAUUAUUAAGACUAACAGCAUGAAACUUAGGAAUGUGCUUGUGAUGUAUAUUUUUAAAGUUCGUCUUCUAUAUUUUGUUGCAAAUUAUAUUGAAAAAAUUUGAGCUUGAUGCAUAUUAUUAUUUCCUUCCCUUUCCAUUAAAUUCUUUAAUUAAUGAAAUCUUUAUUAAUGAAUUCUAAUAUAAAUUCAGUCAUUAUAUUGAAAAACAAUUUACCUUAUUGUAGUUCUAUGAUGAUGUAGUUAUGCCCGGCUUUCACGAGUAACAACGAUUUAUCGUAGUGGUUGGAAGCACUUUCAACUGUACGUUUAUCGGUCAUCUAAUGCAAUCUUCCAAACGCAAUACAAAGAGAUGGUUCAAGAAAUCAAACAUGCUAAAGACAGAGGCUCGAUUACCAAGGGAAUUUCCAUGGGAAAAGAUUAGGCAGUGUUACCAAGAAAAGUUGAUUAUCCACUCUCUCUUUUGUUGUUUGGAUGGUGGUUGAGAAAACUUGUCUCCGUAAAUCAGUGGAUGAAAUAUUUCUCCUUUUUCUCUUCUCUUAAUUUUCUGUCCAAUGCUAGUGAUGGGAACAUUUGGAUAUGUUUUUACAAUGAUGUAGCGGGUUCGAAGUGAUCAAAUAGAUAAAAAGAGUGAAGUUUUAACAUUUCAUUUGGAUGUCACAAGAAUAAUACCAAAACAAAAAAAAAAAAAAAAAAAGAAGGAAAAAGACAAAAAUGAAUAAGGAAGGACUCCUAAAUUUUUAUUUAAUUUUCAGAGACUGAAUUUUUUUUUUUUAAAUGAUUGACCUCACUGGUAGUAGCUAAAGUUGCUAGCUAGUCCAUUUCUCACUUUGAAGCUUUGCUUAAGAUGUGUGUGGAUGAGGGCAUUUUUUUUUUCUCUCUCUCUUUUUCUUUUUUUUCUUUUUUAUUUUCUAGGCGAGGAGUAUUUGCUGAUAUAGUGGGAACAUUUGGAUACAAUCCUUUUGCAAUAAUUGAUAGGUUGGAUGUAAGAAAAUAAAUAGAAAGAGCUACACUAGCUCAUCACAAAACUAAAAGAACUAUAAAAUUUCAUUUAAAUGUUAGAAAAUAACAAGAAAUAAUUCUUAAUUUGUCUUAUUUGUUUUAUUUAUCUUUGGGAGAAUGAUAUAAAUUAAAGAAAAUAAAAUUGAUGAGCUCCCCAACUAGUUGCAAGUGAAGUUUCCAGCUUGUUUAUACUUCUCUUUUCUUUUGAAAUGAAUGGGUAACUUGAACGUGUAUUCUUUGAGUGAGAUUAGCCCCCAUUUGUAUUCACCAAGGGGAGAGUGGAGUACUUGUAGGUUUGGUGGGGACAUUUGGAUAUCGAUUUGCAAUUAUUGGAGAGGUUCAAAAUAAGGACAUGGAUGAAAAGAGUUACACAAGUUCACAAUCAAGUUUAUAGAUUUGUAUGAUUCCAUCUCGAAGCACAAAAAGAAAAAGAGAAAAGAAAUAUUUUUAAAUUAUUUUAUUUAAUUUUGGAAGAAUGAAUUAAAUUAAAGGAAAAAAAAUGUUGAGCUCAUUCGUACCUAAUAAAAAUGCUUUUUCAUUCUUCUGUUUUCGUUUAACGGGGUGGUGGAGAAAACCUGGCUCUCUAUCUAUUCAUUAAAUGAGUUUUCCCUCUUUUCUACUUGUUGGUGAGGAAAAGAUGAAGUAUUUCUUGGUUUGAAUUCAACGUUUAGUUAUGGUUUUGUAAGGAUUGGGUAGGUUAAAAGUAAUGAAAUAGAUAAAAAUUAAAUAAAUAUUUCAGUUUAAAGAUUUGUAAUAUUUCAUUUGAACAUUUAAUACAAUUUGUAUGCAAAACUAUACAAAAUAUUUACAUAAAUUCUUUUGGAUGUUGUUAUAAAAUUGUGACACAUAAAAAUCCUAUGUUUUUGUUCAAAGUUGGAAAAUAAUAUGAAGAGGAAAAAAAAAAAAGAAAAAGAAAGAUUCUUAAAAUUCUGCUUAAUUGUUGAGAGAGUGAAUUAAAUUAAGAACAAAAGUAAUUGAGCUGUGAUCAUGAUAGUAUGUAAAGUUACUAGUCCAUUUUUUUUACUUUUGUGAUUUUUCUUAAAGAUGAUUGGUAGAGAAAACUUGACUCUUUGUUCGAAUGAGAUUAGUCUUUUUCUUCUCUCUCCUUUUUACAACGAAGACUAGAGUAUUUGUUGAUUGGUGAGAACAUUUGGAAGCCGUUUUUCAAUAAUUGAUAGGUUCAAAGUAAGGAGACAAAUAAAAAGAGUCACACAAGUUCAUGAUGACGUUUAAAUUAAGAAUUGUAAAAUUUUAUUUAAGUAUUGGAAAAGAACAAGAAAUGGAAAAAAGAAAAAGAAAGAUUCUUAUGGCAUGUUAGGUAAUUAUUAAAAAAAAACAAUUAUGAAAAAUGGUUAUUGAGAACAAUUUUUGAAAUUAUUUUUUGAUUUUUGUAGAACAAAAAUCUGUUUGGAAAUCUAAAAUAUUUUUAAUCUAUUUUUAAUAUUUUUAAAUGUGUUUUAAAAAUAAUUUUUAUAUCUAGUGUUUUAUUUUUAAUCUUUCUAUAUAUUUGUAUAAUUAUUUAUUAAAACAACCCUUAAAAACAAGUGAAAACAAUAAUAAUAAAAAAAAAAAACAACUACAAUAUGUUUUCUAAAAACAUCAUAUUUUCUGUUCUUAAGAAUAUAAAACAUAAAAUAGUUUUUUGUUAUCAAAAGUAUUUUUUAUAUUUUUUUUGUUACGGAGAAGAGAAUACUAUUUUAAAAAAUAGUUCUCAAACAAACCCUUAAUUUUUUCUAUUUAGUUUUGGGAGAAUGGAAUUAAAAAAAAAAAUGGUUGAGCUACCUAGUUGCAAGUAAAGUUGCUUGUUCAUUCUUCAUUUUUUCUUUUGAAUGGCUAACUUGACUCUUUGUUUGUUUACUGGAUGAGAAUAGCCUGCCUCGCCCCCUUUUCCACUCACUAUUGGGAGAAAGUAGUACUUGCAGAUUUGAUGGGGACAUUUGGAUAUGGUUUUGCAAUUAUUGGAUGGGUUCAAAAUAAGGAUGGAAUAAAAAAAGAUAAAACAAAAAAAAGAAGUUACGAGAGAGAUAUGACUUAAAUGGACAUGUGAGUAUGAACAAUAAAUAAUUGAUGGAGUAAAUAAAGAGUGAGGAAAUAUGAAACUCGUGCUUCAGGGUAGAAAUUUAAAGAGUGAGGAAAUAUGAGACGUUUCAAGACACAAUAGUUAUAUUUAUUUCUAUCAUCUAUAAUAUUCUCUACUGUAUGAUAGAAUGUUAUCAUUUAUCCAUAAAGAUAAGUAUUGUUGGUCGAUGAAUCAUAUCAAACUUUUGUGUAUCUUCCAUUAAUAUGAGACUUUUUUUUUUAUUCUUCCAUUAAUUUGUUACAAUAUUAAAGGCCCAACAAGUAAGAGUACAACUUGGGUCUAAUACCAAUGUUAGAAAAAAUUAAUAUUAAAAAUAAUAUUAAAUAUGUUUUAUGGUAUGAACAACAUAUAUGCAAAUCCUAGAAAAACAACUUAACAGAUAAUAUAAAAACUAAUUAAAUUUGGGCAUACCUCGAUCCUACUCCCCAAAUGAUGCCCUCAUGAUACAAUAAAAAAGGAUCCCACAAUGGUGAAUACUAUAAGAGCAUGCUCGCAUAUCCACAAUCCAAAAAGGCACCAUUAAGGACAAAUGGUGGAAAAAGAAACAACAUUUUGUUUAUCUUUAUUUAUGCACCUUUAAAUUAAGAGUUCCUUUUUUUUUUUUUUCUUUUUGCGUGUGUAUUCUGAGUGUAGAGCAAAGAAGAGCAACUUUUGACUAUAGAAGAAAAAAGCAUAAUUGAAUUAGAACCAAGUUCUUAGCUGUUAUCUCUUGGCAGUCAUUAUAAUCAAUUAAUCCAUCUAGAAACAAAUAGUGAUCACAUGCAACUAUUGUCAGUAAUGGAAGUAACCUUAAAAAGGAAAUAAACAAUAUUUGAAUGACUUCUAUUAACUUCCUCUAGGGAACAUUGUACAUAUAUAUGCAAAGAGGAGUGUGGCUGGUAAUAUUAGCACCAUAAGUAAACUCAAGGUCUUUCUGAAUCAAUAACUCCACUAUAUCAGGGUGAUCAUACCGUACUGCCUCGUGGAAUGCUGUGUCUUCCUCCAUGUUGGUCAUUCUCAGCAUCACUUUAUCUGUUCCUAUCUCACUCUCCAUCUCUUUAAAGACUGCUUUUGCACCAUCGAAAAGGGCUACCACAACAUCAAUAUAACCUUUCCUGGCUGCAAGAUGAAGGAGAGUGUCACCUCUCAGAUUUGGGAGCUGCAACAGAGAUGAACAUAAAGGCAACCCAAGGAUCCAUCUAACACCGUCCACUUUACCAUAUUGGGCUGCAAUAUGGAGGACAGUGUGAUAUUUUGGGGUUUAAUGGGGUUGAAGUUGGGCAUCUGAGUACUUGGAUUUAAGGGUAUCAGUAUCGCCUUCAUAUACCGCCUUUUACAGAUCAUCAUCCAUAGGAGCGAUCUCCAUUUGCCUACCAUCAUCAGCUGUAACUUGGUCUAACAUCUCAAUGUGGCUUGAGGAGUCCAAGUUAAGGUUCUGCGGUUUUGCACUUUGGUUGGAAAUCAAUUGUGUUAGGGUGAAUUCACAAUAUUCCAACAAACACCAAAACUUUUCUACCUUUUAUUUGUGCAAAAUUAAAUAGGUAAUAGCAACUACCAGCAAUAAAUAAAUAAACUCAUGCAACAGAAAAAUAAAUCAAACACUAGAAUUUUUAUGUGAAAAACCCCCCAAUGCGAAGGGAAAAACCACGGGACCUAGUCCAGUUCAAACUUCCAUUAUCAACAAUAAUGGGUUAUACUUGUCUUCUCUAGAAUAAUCUUUAAAGGCUGCUAAAUACAUCAAGAGCAUAUAUAGCCUUGGAUUAUAUAAUCUCUCUUGGCAAAAUAAACAAAGAAAAAUUGGAGAAAGUAUACCAAAAAUGUUGUUACUGUUCACGGGUAGUAACACCAGUUUUCGAGCUCAAAAUCUUAUCUCCACCGUUCAGAUUGUAGCUACUCGAGUUUCAAACAUUUCCUCCAAAUUUCAACUCUAUUGAACCACAGAUGAAGUGGGAUCGGCUUGUUGAUGAAAUCUGGGUAGAUGUGUUUUUUUUUUAUUUCUCUUCUCUUCUCUCUGUUUUUCUUUUCCUGAUCUACUUUUUUUUUUUUUAAAUGUAACUAACUUGGGCCCCAAGCAUAUGGGGCCCACUCCCUCACAUACGAGGAAACCCAACUCCUGACUAUGUGAUGGGCUCUACCAAGCUCACUUGUUUUCUACAAAAUUGUAGCUUCUCUGUAGGUAUUGGUUUUGUCAUCAUAUCUUAUCCAUUCUCAUCAGUAUGGAUUUUUUCAAGGCAAAACAAUUUCAUCUCUAGUACAUCACGAAUCCAAUGAUAUCUCACAUCAAUAUGCUUGGAUCUAGAGUGAAAAGUUGGAUUCUUACUGAGAUAAAUAACACUCUGACUAUCACAGUAGAGUAGAUACCUUUCUUGCUGUAGACCUAAUUCUUGUAGGAACUUCUUCAUCCACAGUAACUCCUUGCUAGCUUCAAUGAUAACAAUAUACUCAGCCUCUAUGGUCGACAAAGCAACACAUUUCUGCAACAUUGAUAGUCAUGACACUGUUUCCCCUAAAAAGGUGAUCAAAUAACCAAAAGUAGACUUUCUAGAAUCAACAUCCCCAGCCAUAUCUGCAUUUGUGCAUCCUAUAAGCAUAAGUUUGUUAGUCUCAAAACAUAAACAUGUCUUAGAAGUACCCCUUAGAUACAUGAGAAUCCAUUUCACUGCAGCCUAAUGUUCUUUGCCAGGAUUAGAAAAGAACCUACUGACAACUCCAACAACAUAAGCAAUAUCAAGCCUCAUGCACACCAUGACAUACAUUAAGCUACCCACAACUGAUGCAUAGGGAACCUUUCGCAUUUCUUCUUUUUCUUUCUCACUUGAAGGACUUUGUUUGGAACUUAGCUUUAGAUGACUUCCAAGUGAUGAACUCACUGGUUUUGCCUUGCCCANUAUUGAACUNNNNNNNNNNNNNNNNNNNNNNNNNNNNNNNNNNNNNNNNNNNNNNNNNNNNNNNNNNNNNNNNNNNNNNNNNNNNNNNNNNNNNNNNNNNNNNNNNNNNNNNNNNNNNNNNNNNNNNNNNNNNNNNNNNNNNNNNNNNNNNNNNNNNNNNNNNNNNNNNNNNNNNNNNNNNNNNNNNNNNNNNNNNNNNNNNNNNNNNNNNNNNNNNNNNNNNNNNNNNNNNNNNNNNNNNNNNNNNNNNNNNNNNNNNNNNNNNNNNNNNNNNNNNNNNNNNNNNNNNNNNNNNNNNNNNNNNNNNNNNNNNNNNNNNNNNNNNNNNNNNNNNNNNNNNNNNNNNNNNNNNNNNNNNNNNNNNNNNNNNNNNNNNNNNNNNNNNNNNNNNNNNNNNNNNNNNNNNNNNNNNNNNNNNNNNNNNNNNNNNNNNNNNNNNNNNNNNNNNNNNNNNNNNNNNNNNNNNNNNNNNNNNNNNNNNNNNNNNNNNNNNNNNNNNNNNNNNNNNNNNNNNNNNNNNNNNNNNNNNNNNNNNNNNNNNNNNNNNNNNNNNNNNNNNNNNNNNNNNNNNNNNNNNNNNNNNAGUGUUCCUUGCCUUUGAUUGUAAACCCUUCUGGUUGCUCCAUAUAUAUUUCCUCCUCUAAGUCACCAUGGAAGAAAGCAGUCUUCACAUCAAGCUGUUCAAUCUCUAGAUUCAUAUUGGCAGCUAAGCCUAACACAACUCGGAUCGAAAACAUCUUAACCAUGGGUGAGAAAAUCUCUUCAAAGUCAAUGUCUUUCUUCUAACUAAAACCUUUCACAACCAAUCUUACCUUAUACCUUGGUUGUGAUCUAUUUGGUUCAGGCUUCCUUUUUAGUAUCCAUUUAUUAUUCAAUGCUCUCUUACCCUUAGGCAACUUCAUCAAUUUAUAAGUGUUGUUCUUAUGCAAGGAUUUCAUCUCCAUGCAUAGCUUUCAACCUUUUUUUUUCUCAUCAUGUAGUAGAACUUCUUGAUAAUUUUCUGGCUCUACUCCAUCAGAAAGCAACAAAUACUCAUCACUAGUAUUCUUUCUAGAAGGUUGACACUCUCUAGUAGAUCUUCUUAACUAUGUUUCAGUAAGCAACUUUGAAGUAGCUUGUUCUUGCUGCUGUUCUAAGUCAUCAUUCUCAAUUGUAAGAUUUUCUUCUACAUCAUCAAAUGCAGACUCAUCAUUUUUGUCAAUUGUAUCAAUCUAUUCUUCUUACACAACUUCCAUGUGUUCAUUAUGUCCCAUAGAGUUAGGAGAGACUAGACUCAAAUCAACUUGUUCUUCACUGAAAGGCUUUGGCUUCUUAACCUGAUCCAAGUCUUCAAUGGUUUGAUCUUCGAAGAAGACAACAUCUCUGCUUCUUAUAAUCUUUUUGGUAGUUGGAUCCCAUAACCUAUACCCAAACUCUUCAUUUGAAUAACCCAAGAAGAUACACUGUUUAGUCUUGUUGUCAAGCUUGGAUUGCUCGUCUCUAGGAACAUGAACAAAUGCCCUACAGCUAAACACUCUCAAGUGCUCAAAGGAAACAAAUUUUCAUGUCCAAACCCUCUUUGGAAUAUCAACCUCUAAGGGAUAUGAUGGAGACAUAUUAAUCGGAUCAAUGGUUGUCCUCAUGGCCUCACCUCAAAAAGACUUAGGCAAUUUUGCAUGAGAGAGCAUACACCUUAUUCUAUCGCAGAUGGUCCUAUUCAUUCUUUUAGCUACACCAUUUUGCUGUGGGAUCUUAGGAAGCGUCUUCUUAAGCCUGAUGUCAUGAAUUUUGCAUUAUUGCUCAAAUGGCCCCCUAUAUUCAUCACCAUUGCUUGCUUUGACAGAUUUUAACUACUUCUCAGUUUGCCUCUCAACCUUCACAUGAAAAUCUUUGAAUACAUCAAGUAUCUGGUCUUUGGAUUUCAAAGCAUAUGCUUACACCUUUCUUGAAUGAUCAUCAAUAAAAGUCACAUAAUAAAGUGCACCACCAAGAGUAUUACUUUGCAUAGUAUAAACAUCAAUGUGAACUAAAUCAAGAAUACCUGGUUUUCUCGUGAAAGAAAUCUACGAAAUGCAACUCUACUUUGCUUUCUAAACAGACAAUCUGUACAAGGUAAUAGUGACGUACCUUUGACUGGUAGAAGCUUCUUUCUGGAAAGAACCCGAAGUCCCUUUUCACUAAUAUGACCAAGCCACUUAUGCCAUAGCUUAGUAAAGGCUUCAUUCUCAACAAUGUUCACAUCUCCCUUGAUUAAUCUUGCUUCUGUCUUGUAGAAGGUAUUGUUUUUCUUUCCCCUAGCUAAAACAAGAGAACCCUUGGUAAACUUCCAUUUACCCUCUCAAAGGUGACUAUGAUAGCCCUCAUCAUCAAGCUUCCCAACAGAGAUCAAACUAAAGCGCAUUUCAGGAACAUGUCUAACAUUUUUCAAAACCAAUUUGCACCCAAUGCUAGUUUCUAGCUCUACAUCUCCCAUGCCAACAAUUUCACAUUUUGCUUCAUGUCCCAUCCUAACCCAACCAAAACUGCCAUUGGUGUAGGAAGAGAAGAAAUCUCUACGUGCAGUGAUAUGAAACGACGUUGCUGUAUCAACCACCCAAGUGGAAUCCUGACAUGCAAGGUUUACACAUGCAUCAUCAUAAAUAAUGAUCUUAUCACAAUCAGAUGCCAAUGUCUUUGUUAUCUUUCUGUUCUUCACCUUUUCCUUUAGAUUGUUUCUUCUGAAUUUUCUACACUUUCUCUUAAUGUGCCCUAACUUGCCACAGUAAAAACACUUUAUCUCUUUUCGGGACUUUGACUUUCCUCUUAACUUGUCACGGUUACAAUCACUAAAAGGUUUUCUGCUUUCACUUGUCCACCACCUUUCUGUAACAAGUGCUUCUGUAUUAGAGAAAAUACCUAACUCUUUUCUUCUUGCCUCUUCAUUAAACAUGUUGUCCUUUACCAUUUUGACAAUUCUCACACCAUUUGGGGCUGAAUUACUCAAGGAUACCACCAAAGUUUCCCAACUGUCUGGUAAGGAACUCAACUAAAGUAAAGUCUGUAUCUCAUAAUCUAACUAAAGCUUAAUGGUAGACAACUCAUUCAACAGUCUCUGAAAAUUACUGAAAUGCUCUGCAACACUAUUACCAUCCUUGUACUUUAAAUUCACAAGUCUUCUUAUUAUAAAGGCUUUGUUCUGUGCAGUCUUUAUCUCAUAAAGACUCUCUAAUUUCUGCCAAAUGCUAUAUGCAUCAACUUCCUUGACUACAUGAUGGAAGACACUCUGAUCAACCCACUAUGUGGACCCGCAUUUUUCACGUGCGUCCCCACUCGAUCGGCGAGACUCGCUUUUUAUUUAUUUGUGAAAAAUUGAUUUUAGAAAAGUUGGAGUCGCCACCUAUUUUAUUUUUAUUUUAAAGGGAAAAUAAAACAAGAAAGAAAACCCUAAAAAAGUGACUCCAUAGUUUUGGAAGAAGCAUGUCUUUGAGAAACCCGAGUCUAAGUCCGGGGAUCAGGUUACUUAUUGGGAAGGUACCUCUAGGAGGUAGCACCCCUCUAAGCCCCAAAGAGGUCUCUACUGACAAAGUUAAGGGAAGUGUGACCAUUAAUCAGUUAAUUUUAGGUACCUAAGUAGGCUAGGUGAUUUCAAAUAUUGCAUGCCUAACAAGAAAACGAACCAUAAGAGAGAGUCGAAGUGCGUACCUGAACGGCUUCUCAAGCGCUAUCAUGAAACAUAAGAGAUUAGUUUGGAAAUAUGACACAUGGUAUGUAUUUUCAUCAAAGAUGAUCAAACAAGCAUCAAGGCAAUCAAUUAUGGCAUCAAACAUGGUCAUGUCUCAUGAGAAGAUACACAUUCAUAGAAUUUUAGGGUUGUGGGGUAGAAAUGGCGUACCUGAUUAGCUAGCAUCCACAUCUCUAUGGGAAGCAAGGAUAUCUCAACAGUAAAAUAAUGAAUUCAAGGAUUUCACCAAGAAGAAUAAAAAAUCAACAUAUCAAGCAAAUAGUAUUGAAGUGAAUGCUAUGAAUGUCGGGCCCCCACCAAAGCCCUAGUUGAUUUCGCAUGAGUUUGUUCUAUGAAUUCCAUUGUUUGGAAUCAUGAAGUGUAUUCAUGCUUAUUGAAAAUCAAGAAAAACACAAAAAUAGUUAAAAAUCAAAUAAAACAUUGAAAGUGCAUACCCGAAGGAGAGUGGCAGCAAAUAGCAUGUUAAAAUUGGGAUUUUAUACCUAGAAACUCCUAAGGAAUUUUGAAGAAAACCAAAGUUAUUUGAUGGAAAAAGAUUUUUGAAAUUCAUAUUUAAGAUGUAUAAGAUCACAAAAAAAAAAAAAAAAAAAAAGAAACGAUAGGAGGAGUACGAUGUGAGGCAUAGUGACCACGUUGGAGUGAGGUCGGGGGUUAUGACCAAGUUUGCACUGUUGGUGAUUGCAGGCACUGCUGUCAUUUUCUCUAGAUUUUUCCUUCUGCUCUCUCGUAUGCAUUUAGGUACCUUACAUCACUGCAUUCUCAGACCUUUUCUAAUUCCUUGAAAUCCCCCUACAUUCAGAUGCAGCAUCAAUAUUGUUAGAGCAAGUGUCGGCAUCUUCUAUGACCUCCUUAUUAAUUUCUUCUGAUAUUUCAGAUACGGAGCUGAGACAUCCACUUUCUUUUCACCACUCUGUUUCUGUAGCAUCUCUACUUCCAUUGCUCUUGUGAUGGGAAAUCUUUCAGAGUCUUUGCUGAAAUCUUCUACAACCUGUAGGUUUACAGUUUUAGUCUGCACUUCAGAAUCUGUCAUUCUAGAAUUUUCAGCGAGCAUUGUCUCAGAAUGCCAUUCCUAUUUAACCGAUUCAACUUCAAUGGAUGUGGCUGGAAACCCCCCUGAUGUCUCUCUCUUUCUCUAUGAUCAGUUCUUUGUUGUUUUCAUACUCUUCUGCAGGUUUCCUAGCUCCCUCAGGAACCCCUGCUGGCAGCCUCAUGAUUCUGUCACUUUCUAUUGGAGAAUCUGGAACAUAUCGGUGAGUAAUCUUGGAAACAAUUGGGCAAUCUGUAGGUUCUUCACUUGUUCUCAUUGCUAAGUUACCCCAUUCCAUCUGAUGCCUUGGACCUGCCACCGCUGCUGGUAUGUUCCGUUGAACUAAGCAAGCUUGUUGAUGAUGCCAUUAAAAUUGUCUUGACGACAGCGAGGAUCUACUAAAGAUCACUUUCUUGGCGUCUCUAGCUCUGUGAGAUAUCUCAAGGUGUAGCUCGAAAGACUCAUAGUCUGAGAUCUUAUCACCAGUGGUGUUUGCUUGGCUUGCUUCUUUUAACUAUUUACAUGAACAAAACUGAAAGCUAAUGCAGUGUUUCAAUCCACAGAUGGUUGUUUCACCUCCGACUUCUCACUUACUGGUGUCAAUAAUAAUGACAGUAUCCUGACUUCAAUCAUUUCGAGUUCCAGCAAAGACUUUAUCCUGAAGAACUCCAAUCUGAAAUUCUGAAGUACUGAUGCCCUGUAACCCCUGACUCAUGAACGCAGCUUCGACUUAUGUUGCUUGUCACUUGCUCUUUUUAAUACUCCCCACCUUAUUCUCUUCCACCUAUAGUUUGAUUGUCAAUCAUUUCUUCUCUUCUUCAAACUCUCAAAUCUGUGCCCUUAACUUCUCAAUCUGAAAUUCUGGAGCAGCUCGCUUUUCUCGUAGAGACUCGGUUUCUGCUGCAUUGGAUUUUCUCUUCAAAUCCUCAUUUACAAUUUUUGGCUGCUCAUUUUCUUUCAUCAGCUUUGCAAUUUCAUCAGCUUUUACCUGAGCUUGUCUUGCAGCCUCCCCCUUAGAGUGCAGCUUCCAGCAUCUUCAAUUUGCUCAGCUAAGUUACCUUCAAUCUCUGGGACUGACCAGUUCAUUUCUGUUUUGCUUUUGGACCCAUGCUUCUUCCCUUUCUUUCCCUCGAGCUCUGAGAAUUCUUUGUAUUGAACCCUUAUAGUUGCCCGAGUAGUCUUCUGAUGGAGUAGCUCGCACCAAUAACUGAAGUGUUUUCAAUUCCCUGGUCUGAAAUAUCCAACAACUGCUUAUAAGUUGAAAAGAUUAAAGAAUCAAGUUACUUGGAGAGGCUACUAAACAUCUCAUCCCCUGGCUAAACUUCAAUGAGAAGCCUCCAGUCCCAAAGAUUUCUUCCACUGAUUGUGUUUCAAUGCCAACUGUGAAUUUCUAUAAUUCUGAACUCAUGGCCCAGCAAAGUUCAGAUCCAUUAUGGUUAAACAUGGUCAGAAUAGGACCUGAAAUGCCAACCAUGCCCAGAACAUCUUUUACCACUUCGAUUUACUAUUUUGCCCAUUUUAAUUUUCAAGCGAAUAUGACUAGUUGACGCACGACCUUUUACCUUUGACCCCUCAGGUUUAUCAGUAAUGCAGUCUUCAGAGAUAGCAAAUUAUUCCUUUUCCACCCUUGUGCGCUUUUCCACCAAGAUAACCGAAGAAUUCUUAUAGUACCCCUGAUUCAAACCACCAGAUUUACCUAAAAGUGGCAACUCAUAUUAUUGUUUUUUUUGCUGAGCAAACAGGGUCUCAAAGUACGCUUUCUGCAACCCUAACAAAAUCUCCAUGUGAAGUGCCAAUGAAAUUCCUUACUGAAGAAGGGUCACCCUGGCUAGCAGCUGUACGUGUUGCAUAAUCUGAAGUUCCUUGCAUGUAGUGGACACCAUGCGAUUCCAUGUAUGAGUGAAGGUCAGAGCCCAUAAUUUUAUUCCAGCUUGUGCAAGCUUGUCAAUGCAGUGAUCUCUUCUUCAAUUACUGCUUCAACACCUUGAUAUUUCGAUUCAGAAUCCAUUUCAGAUGCUCUUUUGAUUUGUUCUUUAAUUAUAUCUUCCUCUUUCUUGGUAUAACAUUCUCUGUCAAGUCUUCAUCAUCACUUGAAUCAGAAGAAACGUUUCCAUAUGCCUCAUCAUGCAGCUUUUUGUAAUCCCGCCUUUCUACACGUCUCUUUGCAGACAGAGGUGCAUUAUCUUGACCAGAAUUUGACUCCAACACAGAUAAGAGCUCAUCCUUUAACUGUACAUUUUGAAUUACAAAGCCCUGGUGAAUGCGAGGUAUCAUAUUAUUAGCUGCAAACAACAUGGUGUACACUUAUAUUAACACUGAUUGGGAAAUUAAUUGCAGUAACGGUAAGCUGAUCGCGACUAGAGGAUGCUGAGACAGUCGUGAGUAAGCUCCACACAGCAAAUGAAGAAGUCAUUCAAGCACUCCUGAAACUUCCCUUCACCGAUUUCAUAUACAACAUUAGGAAUUGGAUAGAUGCAGGACUUUGUAUGAUUGACAUAGUAUUGAAGGCAUGUCUGCGUCUCUGAGAGGUCUUGUCAUAGAUAUUCAUGAAUAUUUUUCUUCCGUAACUAGGUCCCCUGUAUUUCUUUCAAUUGCAGGUCCAUAAUCUCUCAAACUUAUAUCUGAGUUCUCUAUGGCCAUUUUGUUUGACGUGUGUUCAGAAUGAGUUUUCACUCCCAUGUGCUUGAACUGAACUCCCCUACAGUUAUUAUUUGAGGCCAAGACAAAGGGUGUGGAGGAAUCAUCUUUCUGGGUAAUGUCGGUCCUCUUUUAUACCAGUCAAAAGCUUAUCCCAAACUUCUUAAGGAACUAAAACAUAAUCAUGUCCCUCCUCUAGCGUAUUAAGAAUCUCCAGAUCAUCAAGUUCUUAUUCAUUUCCAUUUAAAACAAUAUCAGAAUUAUCAAUAGGUCCAGGCUUCUCUAUUGUCUUUGAUGGAACCACAUCCAAACGCUGUGAAUCAGACAAAUGUCCAUUGAUUGUUGGAUUCCAGACGCAUCAAUUCACAUCUAACAGCCACUGGAAGCUGCAGAAAUAUCAGUAUUUCUAGGCGGGUCUUCCCUGAAGAUGCCAUGCUAAACGUAUAUCCUUUCAACCUCAGCUUCCAUGCCCUUGCUGUAACGUAAAGUGGACUGUCUCUUAGCUUCAGCCCAAAAAAAAACUGGAAUUCUGGGCCUUCGCGAUCUGGAUGGCAAUUCUGCUCACGGGAUGUAAGUCUUUAAUUUUGCUUUAGCGUAGAAUUUUAAUUCGAAGAGUCCUCAUGGUAAUGGAGUUGACAGAAGGUUACCGUCAUAGGAUUGCUUGUCCACUAAUGGAGCAUCUCGAGAGAUUCUUCAAUAAAAUCGAUUAAGCAUAGAAGUUGAUUUCAGCUUUAGAUGCAAUCAUGACGAAUUAUAGUUGAUUGCUAGCUUCUACUGAAACAGUAUUCUGACUCCCAGCUUCUGGCACUACCCGUGAUCCUUUAAUUUUAUUGUCUUCUCUAAUUGCCAUAGUUUUUCUUCUAGACAGCAGCAAUGAGGAUUUUGAAUUCCAUGACUGACUCAUCUGAUUAAUUAACAUAUAGAGAAGAUUCUUCCAACCGGAGCAUUUGAGACUCACUUAUCAACAGAAGCUGCAUCAAUUUCUUUCUUUCUGCUAUUUUUCCCGCCACUAGAUCCUAACCCAUGACAGCUACCAAUGGCUGAAGCCGUAGAAAUAGUGUAAGAACAUUGCCAGCUUCCAUUCCCCAUGACAUUUUUCCUUAAAGAUCCAGAAUCUCAACCCCAAUCGCAUCUCCUCAUUAUUUCUCAUCUCUUUCCAUAAUCCCCAAAAUUUUUGAACCAACGCUGUCAACUUUUUCCUUGCUUUCAGAAUCACACACUCCUCUGUAGAACUGAUUAGAGCUGUUCCUGAAGGUGAAUGGCCCAGGUUGUAUUUGACUUUUAGAUUUUAGGAUCACAACGACAGUACCAGAAGGCUUAGAGAAGUCCAUGAUUUCGAGCACCACAUUAUGCUUAUCCGAAUGCAGAAAAAGCAGAGUGUCCCUUUUCCCAUGAUUUUUAAUUUUUAACUCCGAAGCAGAGAACAAAUCUUGAAGGCCAGGAAUAGAGCUUGUUGAGGUAUGGACCAAAAACAGAAGAAGACAACAAAAACGUAUAGAAAGAGAGGAAGGAUGAUCAACAAAAGUCACAAUUUCGCAUUUCAAUCCAUUAGCUUAGAACAGGGGAGUGAUUUCAGAAUAAGAUUUGAAUAAAAACCGGACGUGAUUUCUACUAUCCAGUCUGAAGAUGGACAUGUAUGCAAUUUAUUUUCAGGCGGGAUCGAUGACAUUAACAGAAUGAUGAACAUAUCAAACAGACAAAGAUCUAAUUUCAACACAGCAAUUUGUGGCCCUUUCCGUCCACACCAACCAAUAAUAUAUUGAAUAUUCAGAAAUCAUCAAAUGGAGGAAUCGAGUAUGAAUAAGAACAUCAAAAGUAACCAGAAACGUACCUGGGCAGCCUUGCUUCCAAUCUCCCUCCCUUUCUGCUCUUCUCUCUGCGCUUUUCUUCAAGAUCUCUCUUUUUCUCCUUUCUUCCAGCCCCUCUAAAAUUCCAGUACGUGCCCCCCUUUCUUCCUUUUUUCCACCUAUAUAUAUCACCCUUCAGGACCUAAAUUUGUUUCCAAAAAAGAGAAUUCUCCUAUUUUCUUUCUUCUUCUCUUCUCUUUUUUUAAAUCCUUCAAUCAAAAGCAAUCUUCCCAAUUUCAAAUUCCCCUCCAAAACCUUCCAAGGAGAGUCCCGCCUUCCUUAAACUUCAAUGGUAAGUUUCCUUGCAAAAAUAUGAAAUUUUUGAAGUUAAAUAAUUGCAUGAAUAGAUAAAUAAGUAAAUAAAUUAAAAAAUGGUAAAAAUAAUAAAUAAAUAAAUAAGUUAAGGAAAAUAAUAUAAAGAGGAAGAUAACCAAUAAAAAGUGAAUGAUAAUCAUAAAAUUAAAACUAAAAACAAAAUAAAUAAAUAAAUAAAAUAAAAUAAAAUAAAAGUCUUCGUAGGCCUAGUGUGCCUAAACGGGCCUAAGGUGAGACUAAGUGGGCCUAGGGUGGUGCCUAAUGGGCCAAGUGUAUCUAAAAGCUAUCCUAAAAAAAAAGCAAGAAAAGCCUAAGUCUAAAUUAGGGCUGCCAAGGGUCACAAUAAGGGAUCAAAUAAUCCCUCAACCAAAAUCUCCGAGGUGACUCAGAAAAAGGUAAGUGGUAUGAGUAGCCAUGGGCCACCAAAUUUUGAAGCACUGAAAACGAAUUUUAAAGACAUGUGCUAAAGGGACAAAAUUGAGGGUCUACACACUACCUAAUCUGUCCAAUGGUUUUCCUAUUUAAUUUUUUCCACUCAUCCUCAAUUGUAGUAACUAGCUUAUAACCCCCGCAUUCAGUGGGCUCAAACAACUCUUUGCAAUAUAGAAUAUCCUCAAUUUUAGUCUUCCAAAUUGAAUAAUUGGAAGUUAUGAGUUUAAUCAUUCCACUGUCAGCCUCCUCCAUUUAAUUCACACAAAAGAUCCCAUUGCUAAUCAACUUGGCUUUGAUACCACUUGUUAGGGUGAAUUCACAAUAUUCCAACAAUCACCAAAAAAUUUCUACCAUUUCUUUGUGCAAAAUUAAAUAGGUAAUAGCAACUAGUAGCAAUAAAUAAAUAAACUCAUGCAAUAGAAAAUUAAAUCAAACACUAAAAUUUUUACGUGGAAAACCCCCCAAUGCGAAGGAAAAACCACGAGCCCUAGUCCAAUUCAAAAUUCCGCUAUCAACAAUAAUGGGUUACACUUGUCUUCUCUAGAAUAAUCUCUAGAGGCUGCCAAAUACAUUAAGAGCACAUAUAGCCUUGUAUUAUAUAAUCUCUCUUGGCAAAAGAAACAAAGAAAAAUUGGAGAAUGUAUACCAAAAACGUUGUUACUGUUCACGGGUAGUAACACUAGUUCCCGAUCUCAAAAUCUAAUCUCCAUCGUUUCAAUUGUAGCUACUUGAGUUUCAAACCUCUCCUUCAAUUUUCAACUCGAUCGGACCAUAGAUGAAGCGAGAUCGACUAGAUGAAAUCUAGGCAGAUGUGUUUUUUUCUCUCUCUCUUCUCUUUUCUCUGUUUUUCUUUUCCCGAUCUACUUUUUUUUUAAAAAAAAAUGUAACUAACUUGUGCCCCAAGCAUAUGGGGCCCACUCCUUCACAUACUAAGGAGCCCAACAGGUUGAUCCAUGUUUGGUCUUGGAGCAAUGCACUAUAUCUUUUCCAUUUUUCUAAAUCCUUAUCAAAAGUUCCCUUUAAUCUCAUGUCCAUGAUUACGCUCACACACACAUAUAUAAAUCUUCUCAAUAGUUUCCUCAUUUCCUUUUCCUUUUCUUUUCUUUUCUUUUCUUUUUUUUGUCCUUUUAGAGUUGAUAUUGAUGGGGUUGUGAAAAAUGUUUUUCAAUUUGAGUGUUUGUUUUGAAAAAUUAAAUUAAAAAAAAACAUGUAAAAAAAUUUAUUGAAUGUUUUUUUUUCCUACUUAUUUUAUUUUAUUUUUUAUUUUUAUUUUAUCAAGGUUAGAAAAAAGCCAAUGGCAUUUGAGGAUAACAUGGUUGUCUCUUUCAAAUAGUAGGUCAACUUUUUGUUAGUAUUCUAUCAUAUGUAACAAUUCUUUUCUAUUUUUUGAUAUAAUUAAUGGAAAAUGAUAGACGAGUAGUUGCUUUUAGAAAGUUGUCUAGAGAGCAGGAGUAGCUUUCAAAUUUUGUUAUAAAAAAGUUCAUGAAGAUGAGAGUUAUUUGACCAUAUACAAUUUUCUCUUUCUUUCUAUAGAUAAGAUAAUUUUUGGUUGUAAUUUCAUAAGUAAUAUAUUUUUAUUUUAAUACAAUAGCAAAAAUUAGAAAAAAAAAAAAAAUGAGAAACUUGGGGUCUCACAUGUAAAGAUUAGAAAGGAGUCAAAACUCAUGAAAAGAAUCAAUGAAUUUUUUUUUCUUUUUAUUGUUAUAUAAUCAUAAAUAUAUAUAUUUUUCUAUUUUUAAAAACAAAAAUAAAACUAAAAUUAAGAAAUAUAUUAGAUAUUUUUAAAUGUUAAAAAAUGUAAUUAAAAUUUUAUUGAUACCCCCUACUUCUAAAAGUCAUAAAAAUAAAAGUAUGAAUACAUGUUGUUUCUCCUUUUUGGUAAAGAUCACUAGUAUCAAAGAAAUUAUGAAGACAUAUUUCUUCCCCUUUUUCUUUUUUGGUAUCAAAGAUCACUAAUUAUUAUUAUUUUUUCAUAUGUAGCAUAUCAAAUAUAAAUCAAUACCAAAUACAAAUGUUGAUAAAGACUAGGAAUCUACCAAAUCAAAGUGGUAGAAGUAUAUUAAGGCCCUACCAUCUUUGUCAAGAUAUAUGUGUUGGCCCUACCAUUUUUGUCAAGAUGUAGGUAAUAAUAUCCUUGAAUUUUUAUCACACAAAUUAAAACAAUAAGUGGAAAUAUCAUAACACAACAAUUGUUUUUUUAGAGAUGAGUAGUCCCUUCCAACUUAGUUUCACAAUCAUAGAUAUUUUGUAUAGCUUAUGUUUAUAUUCAAAGAUGUUUUAUGUACAAUAUUGGUUGUAAUUUUUUUGGUUAUAUAGUUAUAUAUAUAUAUAUAUAUAUAUAUAUAUAUAUAUAUAUAUAUAUAUAUAUAUAUAUUAUUUCUUAAGUAUAGCAAUUGGUCCACUUUUUUCUCAUAUUUGGAUUAGCUAAUUAAUUUGAUUUCCAUCCUUAGGACCCAACAAGUGACAAUUCAAAUAUAAAUCAAUAUCAAAUAUUAAUAUUGAUAAAGACUUGGUAUCUACCAUAUCAAAGUGGUAGAAGUUUCUCAAGGCUCUAUCACAUUUCUCAAAAUGUAUCUGUUGAUCCUAUCACCUUUGUCAAUGUAAAUGUUAAUAUCCUCAAAACUUUAUCAUAUGAAUUAAAACAAGUGGAAAUUUAUCAAAACAUAACAAUUGUUUUUUUGAAGAUGAGUAGUUUAUUUCAACUUAGGUUCACAAUCAUAGAUAUUUUCUAUAGCUUAUGUUUAUAUUCAAAGAUAUUUUAUGUACAAUAUUGGUUGUAAUUUUAUAUAUAUAUUGGUCCACUUUUCUCUUAUAUUUGGAUUAGCUAAUUAACUUGAUUUCCAUUGAAAGGACCCAACUAGUGACAUUUUGAUUAAUAUAAAUCAAUAUCAAAUAUUAAUGUUGAUAAAGACCGGGUAUCUGCCUUAACUAUCAAAGUGGUAAAAGAGCAUCUUAAGGCCCUAUCACAUUUCUCAAGAUAUAUGUGUUGGCCCUAUCACCUUUGUCAAGAUGUAUGAGUUCUUUUUUUUUUUUUUUUUUUUAUUUGAGAUAAGUAGUCCCCUUCAACUUUGGUUGACAAUCAUAAAUAUUUUGUAUAGCUUAUGUCCAUAGUCAAAGAUAUUUUAUGUACAAUAUUGGUUAUAAUUUUUUGAUAAUUUCGAAAGUAAAAAUUUCAUAAGAUAUCAAUUUUUUUUUUCACUCCUAAAUUUAUUUAGUGUAAUUUUAGAACUCAAAAUUCACUCAUAUAUAUAUAUAUAUAUAUAUUAUCAAAUCAAAAUCAUUAAUGUCUCGUGUAAGGGAAACCUAUUAAAAAAUAAUUUAAAAAAUUCUACUAAUUGUGAUAUAAUUACAAAAUAUUUUUUUUCCUAUUUUUGAAAAUAGAAUUAAAAAAAAGAUAUUUAAUGUUUUUAAAUUUUUAAAAUAUAUAUACCUAAAUCAUUAUUUGUAUUUUUACUUUAAAAAAAACACAAAAAUAUACUAAAUGAAACCUAAGGAUCUCACUACAGUCGAAAAAUAUUUAAAAUUUGAAAAGCAAAAAUUUCAAAAGUAACAGUAUCAAUUUGCUUAAUUUUAAAACUCAAAAUUCACUCAUUUUUUUUCCUUUUUAUCAUUUCAAAAUCAUCAAUGUCUCUUGUGUAAAGGAAACCUUUUAAAAAAUUAUUAAAAAUUUUCUACUAAUUGUGAUAUAAUUACAAAUAUUUUCUUUCUUCCUAUUUUUGAAAAUAGAAUUAAAAAAUAUAUUUAAUAUUUUAAAUUUUUUUAAAUAUAUAUAACUAAAACAUUAUUUUUAUUUUUACUUUUAAAAAUAAAAAAUAAAUAAAACAAAAAAACAAAAAAAUACUAAAUGGAACUUAAGGAUAUCACUGAAGUCUAAAAUAUUUAAAAUUUCAAAAGUAAUUAAGGGUUUUGAAACUCAAACUUUAAUUAAUAUGAUUUUAAAACUCAAAAUUCACUCAUAUCUUUUUUUUUUUUUUUUUUUUAUCAAAUCAAAAUCAUCAAUGUCUCUUUAUGUAAAGGAAAUCUAUUAAAAAUCAUUAAAAAAAUUUAUUAUAAUUUAAAAAGAUAUUUAAUAUUUUAAAAUUUUUAAAAUAUAUAUAUAACUAAAACAUUAUUUGUAUUUUUACUUUUAAAAAUAAUAAAAAAACAAAAAUAUAUCUAAAUGCAACCCAAGGAUAUCACCACUGUAUUAACAUUGAUGAUUUUGGUUGAAAAACAUUUAAAAAUUCAAAAGUAAUAAUUUCCGAAGUAAACUGUUUUCAUUCCUAAAUUUAUUUAAUAAUUUUAAACCUCAAAAUUCACUCAUUUCUUUUUCUUUUUCUUUUUUUAUCAAAUCAAAAUCAUCAUGUCUCUUGUGUAAAGGAAACCUAUUAAAAAAACAUUAAAAAAAUUCUACUAAUUAUAAUAUAAUUACAAAAUAUUUCUUUUCCUAUUUUUGAAAAUAGAAGCGAAAGCAAAAUUAAAAUGCAACCUGAGGAUAUCACCACAGUUGAAGAAUACUCUAGUAAGAGGCCUAGUAGGAAGGAAAUUUUGUAAGUAGUCCCCCAUAAAACAUCCCAAGAUGAUAUUAUUUUAUUGGAAAUAUAUCUUAAAGUCAGUACUGACGAUCGCUAUUUACGCAUGAAUUUGUAUUUAUGAACAAAUCUUAAACACUUUGUUUUAGUUGAUAAAUCAUUGCAUGCACCAUAAGAUUCAUAAAACACCUUGAGAUGAUGUAAAUUCUAGUGUGACUGUAGAGGAAGGUUGUCCUUAAUAUUAGCUCCCCUCCAUAGGCCAACUUUGAAUCUUCAUCGAUAGAAAACCUUACAACAUUAAGGUGAUUUUCUUUUUUCUUUUUUUCAUUUUUGACACUCUAUAGUUUUCUUCAAAUUACUGACAACGCCAAAGUAGUCUUUAGACUCUAUUCAAGCAAUAUAGAAAAUAUGUGAAACUAAUCAACCUUAGUAAUUGUUAAAAAUAAUUUUAUUCUUUUAAUUUAUAUAUUCUACUAUAUAUGCAUGUGUCCCUUUCAAGCUAAACCUAUGCCAACUUCCAAUAAUUACUCUCCAUUUUGAUAUAGAGUACAAAACAUGUUAUUAUGUAUGAGGCAUUAAUCUAUGAAAUAAAAGUAAAAUUAAUGUAAAAAUCCUAAUGAUGAUCAACACACAACCAUUUCAUUGAAAGUGGUAAAUGUAUCUAUGUUCAAACCCUACUAGCUUUAUCUUAGGAGUUAAAAGGAGUAGAUGCAAGCACAAUAGAGCAACAUAAUUGUUUUAGUAGAAGCACGUGUCUCCUUCAAAGCUAUGUCCAUAUUUUCAUAGUUGUCUAUUCAAAUAGGAUUUCCUUUCUCUUUCUAACAUUGAUGAAUAGCUUGUAAAGAUUUUUAAAAUAAAAAAUUAUACUCCCAAAUCACCCGUUAUCUUAUAUUUUUUGUCAUAUUUAACAAUAUUGAUGUCUUAAAUGUGAAAAUUGAAAAAUUAUCAAAAAAAUGUUUUUUAUUUUGCUACUAUCAAAUAUCUUUUUCUAGUUUUAAAAGGAGAAUAAACAUAGGAUUACAAAAUAUAUUUUCUAAUUGGGUUAUUGCAAUAGUGAUGAAGGAGAAUGCAACUAAUUAAAGAAUCCACUUAAUGCAAUCCACUCGACCAAAUGCAUCCCACUUGCCCUUCUUUUUAUAUGCUUUAAAUACCAAUUUGUUCGGAAAUUAAAAUUUUAUUUGAAGUAAUUUUAAAACUCACAAGUCAUCCAUAUCUUAUUCUUUUUUAUGGCCAAAUCAAGAAACUUAGUAUUUUGCAUGUAAAGAUUAGAAAGUGGUCAAAACUCAUAAAAAAAAAUUAUUAAAUUAUUUUCUUUUUAUUGUUAUAUAUAUAAUCACCAAUAUAUUUAUCUAUUUUUAAAAAAUAGAAAUAAUACUAGAACUAAAUAAGGAAGAUAUUAAUAUUUUUAAAAGUUAAAAAAUGUAAUUAAAAUUUUAUUUAUACCUUGUACUUUUAAAAAUAGUAAAAAUAGAAUUAUGAAUACAUAUUUUUCUCAUUUUCGGUAAAAAUCACUAGUAUCAAGAAACUUAUGAAUACAUAUUUCUUCCUCUUUUUCCUUUUUAGUGUUUUGUUCAUCUUUUCUAUUUGAUUAGCCUAUUUGGUGAAUGUCACUAAUUAUAAUUUAUUUCUUAAGUUGUAAUUGGUCCAUUUUUCUUCUCAUAUUUCAAUUAGCUAAUUAACAUGAUUUCUAUUCAUCUCAUAGUGAACCCAACUAGCUAGUAAGUGGAAUUCCAAACAUAAAUCAAUCUCAAAUAUUAAUGUUGAUAAAGACUAGUUAUCUAUCAUGUCAAAAUAGUAGAAGUAUCUUAAGUCCCUACCACCCUUAUCAAGAUGUAUGUGUUAAUAUCCUCCAAACUUUGCCAAUUAAAAUAGGAGGUGAAAGUAUAUCAAAACAAAGCAAGUGUUUUUCUAGAAAUGAAUAGUCCCUUUCCACUUAGGUUUACAUUCCUUAGUGGACCCAACUAUCUAGUAAAUGAAAUUCCAAACAUAAAUCAAUAUCAAAUAUUAAUGUUAAUAUAGACUAGGUAUAUAUCAUAUCAAAAUGGUCAAAAAAUAGUCUUUCAAAAUAAUUUUUAAAAACAAUUAUCAAUUGGGAAAAAGUUUUCCUAAUUUAUUCUCAUAUAAUACAAUAAUUUCUAAAGUAUUUUUCAUAUUUUUAAUUAUUUAUUACAAUACUUGACAAAAAAGAAAAUUUUUAAAUAUCUAGAAACACUUUAAAUUCAUUUUGAAAAAUAACUUAUUUUAUAACAAAUUUUUAAAAAAUCAUUUUCAAAAAAAAAAUUGAUAAAUAUAUUUUCUAAGUUGGAAAUGUAUUUUGUAUUUCAAAAAAUAGAAAACUAGUUUUAAAUGGGUCAUUAAUCAGGUUUUCUUCCCAGGGUAAAAAAUAAUAGUAGAGGGGAAGUGAUUUUUGACCAUUAAUAAAAUUAUUGUUAAACAUAUUCCAACCUAAACCUUUAAUAUUUAUAAGAAAAACAGUGAAAACUAUUGCUAGGAGAAUUACAAUUGUGUAACCAUACGAAUGAUCAAAUACUUUUACCCAUAAUUUUAUACAAUGUUUUGAUCAGAUACUCUUGCCAACAGUUUUUUUUUAUGUGUCCUAAGUUGUCACUCGACAAUUGAUCUUGCAAAAAUAAUGUGAACACUAUUGUGAACCCGUAUUUUUCACAUGCAUCCCUACUCUAUAGCAAAACUUAGAAUUUAUGAAAAAUGUUUCAUGUUUUUAAAAACUCAUUUUAUUUGAGUUUUGGAAUUGGCAUUUAUUUUAUUAAUUUUUUUUUUAAAAAAAAAGGUAAAACAAAAUAAGAAAAAAAAAAUCGUGUAUAACUCCUUAUUUGAAAAAGACAAGUCCAUUAACCAAAAAUGGAUUUGAGGGUCAAGUUACAUAUCUAGAAGGUAUGAGGAUGAGCCUUUGCACACCUCUAAACCCGUAUAAUUAAUUAAUUAGUGGAUACAAAAGAAAUCAAGAAACCUAAUGUCUCACAUAUAGAGAUUGGAAAGUGGUGGAAAUUGAUCAUAAGAAAAUUAGUAAAAAAAAUUCUUUUUAUUAUUGUUUAUUAAUCAUCAAUAUAUUUUUCUAUUUUUAUAAACAAAAAUAAAACUAAAAUUAAGGAAGAUAUUAAUAUUUUUUUAAAUUAACAAACGUAAUUAAAAAAUUAUUUAUAAUUCUAAUUCUAAAAAUAAUAUAAACCAAUGUAUGAAUAUAUAUUUCUUCUUCUUUUUCCUUGUUGGUAUUUUCUUUUUCUUUUCUAUUUGAUUGGUCUAUUAAAUGAAUUUCACUAAUUAUUAUUUAUUUCUUAAAUAGUAAUUGGUCCACUUUUCUCUCAUAUUCAAAUUAGCUAAUUAACUUGAUUUCCAUGUAAGGACCCUAUUAGUGGCAUUUCAAAUAUAAAUCAAUAUCAAAUAUUAAUGUUGAUAAAGACAAUUAUCUACCACAUCAGUAUCAAGUAUUAAUGUUGAUAAAGACUAGUUAUCUACCACAUCAAAGUGGCAAACAUAUCUUAAAACCUUACCGCCUUUGUCAAGAUGCUCCAAGCUUUGUCAUAGGAUUUAAAACACCAAGUGGAAGUAUAUUAUAACAUAACAAUUAUUUGUGUAGAGAUGAGUAGUCCCUUUCAACUUAGGUUCACAUUCAUAGAUAUCUUGAAUAGAUUAUGUUUAUAUUCAAAGAUAUUUUAUGUACAAUAUUGAUUAUAAUUUUGUAAGUUAUAUGUAUAUACUUUUAUUUUAAUGUGAUAGUAAAAUUUAAAAAGUAAAGGUAUCAUUUUUUUUCAUUCCUAAAUUAAUUAACAUAAUUUCAAAACUUACAAUUCACUCAUAUCUUAUUUUUUUCUGUAGAAUCAACAUUAGCAAUGUCUCUUGUGAAAACUUUGGAAAAACUGUGGAAACCUAUUAAAAAAUCAUUAAAAAGAUAUUUGACAUUUUAAAAUUUUUUAAAUAUGUAUAACUAAAAGAUUAUUUGUAUUUUACCUUUAAAAUAUGUAUAUCUAAAUGCAACCUAGGAUAUCACCACAAUCAAAAAAUGUUCUAGUAGAAGGAAAUUUCAUUGUGAAAGCAGUAUCAUUCAAACAUCAUCCAUAUACACACCUCUCCAUGGUGUUCUACAAUUAGUGUAAGAAAAAGAAGGAAAAACAGGAAAGGGUAAAUUUAGUAUGGUAGAAGGAUUCGUAAAUUAGGUGAGAAUAAUGCCUUUGGAUCAAAGAGUUACUCCUUAAUUUAGGGAAAUGCACCCAGGGGCUUAAUAUUUUUAUGGCUGGUGAAGAUGAAAAGUGGAGACUGGAGAAUGUAUUUAUUCAUUGUAAAAAAACAAAAAGCAUGUUUUUCCCUGAUUACUAAUUGUAAUCGGAAACUUGUUAGUAAAAGCAUAAACAAUAGGUAAGACUUAAGCAUGUUUAAAAUGAUUUACAUCAAUGUCAAAGAUUCACAAAUUUUUUCCAUACAAAAUCCCGACUGAUGGUUACCGAUAAAGGAAAAGCUGGAACAAAAAGGAAAAGCAAGAAGACUACAAUCAUGUAUUUGGUGGUAACUUCAAGCGAUGAAGAAGGAUGUAGCACAGCUUGCAGCCCGUCAACGAAUGCUGUCACCAUUACAGCCAUCGCAGCCAAGGUGAGAACAUAGCCGUACAAUAAGUAUGCGUGGACGGUCUUCUUAUUUUCUAUGGGGAAAGAGGCAAGGAAGUAAAUACCAAUUGCACACAUAGAAAGUACCAUGGCUAUGCUAUCUUCCAUGACAAAAUUUCUGAAACUUUCCGUUGCUGCACUUGCCAUGUCUCCGUCCUUGCCCAGGGUGCCAUCUGUUGGGAGCGAUAAGACUGCCAUGCCCUGGGUAACGCCCUUGUCCGGAAUGUAACCACCAGGCAGUGUGAAACCUGCCGUGAAGGUUACAGUUGCUAUGAGUGCCGCCACUAUCAUAUGGCUUUUCAUUGUUUUCUUCAUUUCAGAUAUUUCUUUACUUUCUUCACUUCCUUUGUUUUCAGAUAUUUCUUUGCUUCCUUUGCUUUCGCUGCUAUUCAUGUCUUCCUUGACCUCUAGCGAACCCAAGGGUCUGAUCCCAACUCUGAAACUUGGACUCCGUCUCUGAAAUUGUAAAAUGUUUAGAGAAACAUGGAUAGAGAUUUGAUUUGAAGGGGUGAAAGAAUCAUCCUAAUUCUUGUAAAAGAAGAAAAAUAAUAUAUUUGCUAACAUAAAAUUACCAGAAACUGCAUUUUUAUUGUUCUUCUCUCACAUAAAAACAUAUUUUUGAAUAAAAGCAUAUGAAGGAUGGUUGUCAGAUGUAAUAUCUAUAUAAUUAAAAUACAGAAACACGAAAAAAAUAUAUAUAUAUAAUUAAAAUUAAUUAAAAAAAAUUAUGUAUUUUUGGAUGUCAAAUGGGUAACAUAGGAAAUCGAAAAUUUUGACGACCUUACCCUUAAUCUCGCGAAGGUGUCCAAUAUCCACGUCAACAUCCUCUUCGGAGGUGGGAAGUAGUCGACAUCUUUAGACAAGGGAGAAUUGUGAAACAGGUAGAGGGGCGUCUUUCCUUCAGCAUUCUUCUCGUUCAUGAGUCCUCUCAUCCUUAACGGGGGAAUAUUUGACAAACCCGAAGUUACAAAUAUUUUUUUUGGCAUUAUAAAAUGAAGAACAUUAUUGCCCUCAUCAUCAACUUUCUCGCAACAAUCUGGAAAGCGUGACACCAGCUCUUUCACUACAUCCACAUGGCCUCGGCUUGCUGCAAUGUGAAGAGCUGUCUUGUUUCCAUGGUCUUUGACGCCUAGGUGGACAAUACUGCUGUCACAUUUCUCUAGCAAUUGCCUCACUAUUGUUGGAUGACAACCCACAUAUGCAGCAAAGUGAAGGGGAGACCACCCAUUUUUAUCCAAUUCUUUAGUUAAAGCAGGUUUCCAUUUCAGCAUCUUCUUUGUCAUUGCUGAUAAAAUCAACAAAUGAGAGAAAAAAAAUGAUUUAAGAAAAUUAAGAAAAUAAAUUAAGUCUCCUCUUGUAAUGUGAUUCGACCAUUAAAUAAAAAUGGUGCAUCCUCCACUACGUACCUUUGUUAUUGAGAAUUACCGCAGCAUGCAAAGCCGUUCGACCCUUGAUGCCACUAUGAGCUGGUGAAGAGUACUUGUCUAGGAUCAUCUGCACCAAGUCUCCGAAUCCCCACUCAGCAGCGAUGUAAAGAGGAGUAUUGCCUUCAGCAUUAGCACCAUAGGCAAAGUCGGGGUCAUCCUGAAUCAAUAACUUCACCACCUCAGGGUGAUGAUUUCUCACUGCCUCGUGCAAGGCUGUGUCUUUGUCGUUAUUGAUCAUCCUCAGAAUUACCGUACAAUCUGCUACAGCCCCUCUUUCUGUGUCUCCUUCUCCAAGUUUUUUGGCAGCGUCAAUCAGAUUUUUCACCACUUUCCAGUGCCCUUCCCUGGCUGCAAGGUGAAGUGGUGUGUCACCUUUCUCAUUGGGCUGUUGCAAUAGCGAUGAAGGAGAACCCAACCCAAGGAUCCACUCAACGCAUUCCGCUUGACCGAACUGGGCUGCAACAUGGAGAACAGUGUUCUUCUUUGGGGUUAGUUUGACUUGAAUAUCAUCUUUACGAGCGUUAAGGGCAUGGGUGUCACCAUCUGCUGCAGCCACGUACAAUUUAGGAUCCAUGAUUGUGAUCUUGGUCAGGCUGCCAUCUUCAGCUGCAGCCAGGUUGGUGAUCUCGAUUUCCCUAGCAUCUUCAGCUGCAGCCUGGUUGGUGAUCUGAAUUUCCCUAGCACCUUCAGCUCCAACCUGAUUCGACUCUGUAUUCAAGUUAAGGCUGGAAGUAGUGGGAUCGGCCAUUGUUAUUGAAUGAGCAGUCGCCUUUCUAUAUUUUGCUCGAAGGAUGGGAAACAAGUUGACCAAUUGUUUAAUGGAGAGGGUGGCUCUUAGCUCAACCUCGGGGGAAGUGGAUGCUUUUUAUAGCCUAUAGGUAUGUGGGUGCAAUUUGAUAUUCAAAGAUGGAAGUAUAUUCAAAUUCUCCAAUCUUUGUCAUAAAUUAAAACAGUAGAUGGAAGUACAUAUCAAAACACCACAAUUAUUUAAGUACACAUUCUAAGAUAUUUUCGGUAGGUUAUGUUUAUAUUCAAAGAUAUUUUAUACACUAUUGAUGUAAUGGAAAGUUGUUUAUUUGAAUUUUUCUUUUUAUAUGCCGUUCCUUUCAACUUGAGUCCACAUUUUAAAAUAUUUUCUAUAGAUUAUGUUUAUAUUCAAAGAUAUUUUAUGUACAAUUCAUGAUGUAAUAGAAAGUUGUUUAUUUGAUUUUUCAAUUCCUUUUUAUAUGUAGAUAACGGUGUGUGAGGAAAUUGAAGAAAAAUGCUCUGAGCAUGUACUCCUCCAAUGCCGAAAAAAUUAUGAAUACAUAUUUCUCUUUUCUUGGUUUCGGUAUUUUCUUCCUCUUAAUUUUCUAUUUGAUUGGCAUAUUUGGAGGACACCACUAACUAUUAUUUGUUUUUUAAGCCAUAAUUAGUCUAUUUUUCUCUCAUAUUCCAACUAGUUAAUUAACUUGAUUUCCAUUCAUUUCUUAGUGAAGAAAAAUGCUUUGAAUAUAUCCUUCGUCGAAGGAUAUCACUAAAAAUGCUCUGAAUUAGUCCAUUACUAAUUAUUAUUUAUUUUUUAAGUAGUAAUUAGUUCAUUUUUCUCUCAUAUUCAAACUAGCUAAUUAACUUUAUUUCCAUCCAUUCCUUAGUGAAAGAAAAAUAUUUUGAAUACGUCUUCCUCCAAAGAUAUCACCAAAAGUAUUUUUGGUAAAGAUCACCUGUUUAUUUUGUACAAUGAAUUUAAUGUUAUUUUAUACAAGUAUUAAUUUAUGAAAUUAAAGUCAAGACAACGUAAAAGAUAUUUUGUAGAAGAAAUUUCAAUCAAAAUGAUAGGUGUACGUGUGUUAAAGCCCUACCAACUUUGUUGUGGGAGUUAAAAGCCUUACCAGCUCUCAUUGUAGAAUGGACAAAAAAAUUUCAGAAAGAAAAAAUAGAAUACGAUACUGUGGUAUCAAAACCAAAUUAUUUUUAGGUCAAUUAUAAACACAUGUUAAAGACCCAAUGGGUUUGGGUCAAUAAACCCAAUGAGUUCUUUUUAGUUAGUUAAAUGAUUGAAUGCAUUAUCAAAUUGAUAUCCCUUUAGAGCUCAUGUUUUUAUUUUUCUAUUUUUUGUUUCUUAUUUAUUUAUUUACUUAUUUUUGUAUCUUUCUAUUUUAAUUUCAACUUUUUCACAAAUUUUAUAGUAUCCAUGUAUGUAACAUUGUAAACUAACAAUUUCACUCUCGGAUCAUAUUGGUAUAUUUGGCAUAUGUCACCAAGUUUUAGUUUAAUUUUUCUAAAUGAUAAUUGGCCAUUUUUCUCUUACAUUUGAAAGCUAAUUAGAGUAUAUUUGAGAACUAUUUUUUAGAUCAAUUUUUUAUUCUCUAGAACAAAAAAAAAAAAAAAAACACCCAACAAGGAAAGAUGUUUAACAACUAAAAAACUAUUUUAUGUUUUUAUUCUUUAAAAUAGAAAACACGAUGUUUUUAAAGAAAAUUUUAUAAUUGUUUUUGUUUGUGUUUUUAAGAACCGUUUUUAUAAAAUAAUUAUAUCAAUAUGUAGAAUAAUUAAAAAUAAAGAACUAGAUAUAAAAAUUAAUUUUAAAAUAUAUUUAAAAAAUAAAAUAAUAGUUUUUUAGAAAUGUUUUUUAAUAUAGUUACCAAAUCAGGGUUUGAGCUUUGCUCCCCUCCAUGUUGACUCAAUUAUUAAUUAUGUGGCAUUCGAACAUAAGUCAAUGUAUAAUUUUAAUAGGAAAAAGACGGGACUUUUCUCAAUAGUACGGUAAUUUAAAAAAGUUAUGCUUAAAUUAUUGUAGUAGAAGAAAUUAUUACAAAUAUAUGGUAGUUUUUGCCACCUAGGAGAGAGGAGAUAGGAGAGAGGAGAGAGGGUGAACGGAUAAUUUUUUUUAAAACCAAAAUCACCUUUUCAAAAAAAAUUUCAAAAGGAACUCGUCUCUUCAAGAGACGAGUUCCCUAAAAAAAUAUAUAUAUUUUUUAUAAAAAAAAUUCCCAAAUUAAAAAAACAAAAAAAAACAAUUCUUCAAGAACUCGUCUCUUGAAGAGACGAGUUCCAUGAAUAUAUAUAUAUAUAUAUAUAUAUAUAUAUAUAUAUAUAUAUAUAUAUUAAAAAAAAAUUCCCAAAUUAAAAAAAAAAAAAAUUCCUCAAGGGAACUCGUCUAUUCAAGAGACGAGUUCCAUAAAAAAUUCCUCAGGAACUCGUCUCUUUUCCAUGAAAAAAACAAUUCCUUAAGAGAACUCGUCACUUCUUUUUUAAAAUUCCCAAAUUUUUUUUUUUUUUUAGAAAAAAAAAAACAAUUCCUCAAUGGAACUCGUCUCUUGAGUUCCCAUGAAAAUAAAAUUUUUUUUUUUAAAUUCCCAAAUUAUUAAAAAAAAACAACUCCUCAAGGGAACUCGUCCCUUCAAGAAACGAGUUCCCAUGGGAAAAAAAAAUGUAUAUUUUUUUUUAAAAAAUUCCCAAAAAAAAAAAAAAAAAUUCCUCAAGGAAACUCGUCUCUUGAAGAGAUGAGUUCCCAUGGAAAAAAAAAAAUUUUAAAUUUUUUUUUUUUUUAAAUAUUCCCAAAUUUAAAAAAAAAAAUUUUAAAAAUUUCCUUAAGGAACUCGUCUCUUCAAGAGACGAGUUCCAUGAAAUUUUUUAUUUUUUUAUUUUUAAAUUCCCAAAUUAUUAAAAAAAAAAAAAAAGCAAUUCCUCAAGGGAACUCGUCUCUUGAAAAGACGAGUUCCCAUGGAAAAAAAAAUGUAUAUAAUGGAAAAAAAAAAAAUUUAAAUUUUUUUUUUAAAAAUAUUUCCAAAUUUUAAAAAAAUAAAUAAAAAAUAAAAAAAAUUCCUUAAGGAACUCGUCUCUUCAAGAGACGAGUUCCAUGAAAUUUUUUAAUUUUUUUUCUUAAAUUCCCAAAUUAUUAAAAAAAAAAAAAAAAAAUUCAAUUCCUCAAGGGAACUCGUCUCUUGAAGAGACAAAUUCCCAUGGAAAAAAAAAUAUAUAUAUUUUUUUUAAAAAUUCCCAAAUAAAAAAAAAAAAUUCCUCAAGGGAACUCGUCUCUUGAAGAGACAAGUUCCCAUGGAAAAAAAAAAUUUUAAAUUUUUUUUUAAAAUAUUCCCAAAUUAAAAAAAAUAAAUAAAAAAUAAAAAAAUUUCCUUAAGGAACUCGUCUCUUCAAGAGACGAGUUCCAUGAAAUUUUUUAAUUUUUUUUCUUAAAUUCCCAAAUUAUUAAAAAAAAAAAAAAAAAAAAAAAGGCAAUUCCUCAAGGGAACUCGUCUCUUGAAGAGACAAAUUCCCAUGGAAAAAAAUAUAUAUAUUUUUUUAAAAAAAAUUCCCAAAUAAAAAAAAAAAUUCCUCAAGGGAACUCGUCUCUUGAAGAGACAAAUUCUCAUGGAAAAAAAAAUAUAUAUAUUUUUUUAAAAAAUUCCCAAAUAAAAAAAAAAUUCCUCAAGGGAACUCGUCUCUUGAAGAGACAAGUUCCCAUGGAAAAAAAAAAUUUUAAAUUUUUUUUUUUAAAUAUUCCCAAAUUAAAAAUAAAUAAAUAAAAAAUAAAAAAAUUUCCUUAAGGAACUCGUCUCUUCAAGAGACGAAAAGGAGAGACGAGUUCCCAUGGAAAAAAAAUGUAUAUUUUUUUUUAAAAAAAUUCCCUAAUAAAAAAAGAAAAAAAAUUCCUCAAGGGAACUCAUCUCUUGAAGAGACGAGUUCCAAUGGAAAAAAAAAAAAUUUAAUUUUUUUUUUAAAUAUUCCCAAAUUUAAAAUAAAUAAAUAAAAAAUAAAAAUUCCUUAAGGAACUCGUCUCUUCAAGAGACGAGUUCCAUGAAAUUUUUUAAUUUUUUUUUUAAAAUUCCCAAAUUAUUAAAAAAAAAAAAAAAAAAAAAAAAAGGCAAUUCCUCAAGGGAACUCGUCUCUUCAAGAGACGAGUUCCCAUGGAAAAAAAAAUUCCCAAAUUUAAAAAAAAAAAUCCUCAAGGAACUCGUCUCUUCAAGAGACGAGUUCCAUGAAAUUUUUUCCUCAAGAGAACUCGUCUCUUCAUGGAAAAAAAAAUUUAAAAACAAAAAGAUUUAAAAAAGAGACGAGGAAUUGUUUUUUUUUUUUUUUAGGAAUUUUUUUUUCCAUGGGAACUCGUCUCUUGAAGAGAAGAGUUCCCUUGAGGAAUUUUCUUUUCUUUUUCUUUUUUUAAUUUGGGAAUUUUUUUAAAAAAAAUAUUUUUUUUCCAUGGGAAGUUCCCUCGAGGAAUUGUUUUUUUUUUUUUUUUUUUUUUAUAUGAUUUGGGAAUUUUUUAAAUAUAUAUAUAUAUAUAUAUAUAUUUUCAUAGAACUCGUCUCUUGAAGAGACGAGUUCUUGAGGAAUUGUUAUUUUUUUUUUUUUAAUUUGGGAAUUUUUUUUUUAAAAAUAUAUAUAUUUUUUUUAGGGAACUCGUCUCUUGAAGAGAUGAGUUCCCUUAAGGAAUUUUUUUUUCAUGGAACUCGUCUCUUCAAGAGACGAGUUCCUAUUGAAAUUUUUGUGAAAUUUGAAAAGAUGAUUUUGGUUUAAAAAAAAAUUAUCCGUUCACCCUCUCUCCUCUCUCCUAUCUCCUCUCUCCUAGAUGGCAAAAACUACCAUAUAUUUGUAAUAACUUCUUCUACUAUAAUAAUUUAAGCAUAACUUUUUUAAAUUACCGUACUAUUGAGAAAAGUCCGAAAAAGACGGGUAUAAAUAUAUCAUAACAAACAAAAAGGUGGUAGAUGUGUGUUUUAAAGCAGUUGAUUUCAAGUUAUGUCUAUAUUCAAAGAUAUUUUAUGUAGCUUAUGUUGACAUUUAAGGAUAUUUUAUAUAAUAUUAAUAUAAGGAAAAGUUGUUUGUUUGAUUUUGUUUCUUUUUCUACCAUAGAUCCGACCUAGAUCCUGAUCCUUGUCUUAUUGGGAUCCCAACAUAUGAUUUGAUCUCGAAUUAUAAUUACAGAACAAUAACACCAUGGUAGCUACUGUGUUCCCUUGCUACAUAGAAUAGAAGCUUCUAUACAACACUACCCACUUUUUACCCCCACAGAAACCAUAGUCGCUGCUUUAUCUAGCUAAAUGCAUUUUAUUAAAUACUUUUAUAAAUGGAAUUAUAUUCGUUCUUGGAUCUCCAAGGAUAGAAGAUGGAAGGAUUAUAAGGAAGAGUAUGUUUAAUUGUAAUUUUUUUAGUAAUAUAUUUUUAUUUUUCAUUUUUGAGAAUGAUAGUAAAAAUGAAGUGAAAUAAAGGUACCAAUUUUUUUUUUUUCCAUUUCUAAAUUUAUUUAACAUAAUUUUAAUACUCACAAUUCAAUCGUAUCUUAUAUUAAUAAUAUUGAUUUCUCACAUCAAAACAUUGAAAAAUUGUCUAAACUUAUCAAAAAAACACUAAAAGGAAUUUCUACUUAAUGUUUUAUAAUUGUCAAUUUAAAAAAAAAAAAAAAGGGAGCCAAUGAAACGCGGAUAAAAUGGGAGAAAGCAUGUGGCUGGCCUUUAAAUUUUAUAUUUUAUUUUACUUCUUUGAUUUAAUUAUUAAUUGUAUGUGGAUAUAGAAUAGAAUGAAUUAGAUUCUAUUUUGUAUGGUCAAAACUGCACCACUUCAAUCAAAGUGGUAGAUGCAUGAAGGUCAAAACCCUAGCAGCUUUGUCGUAGGAGUUAAAAAGGAGUAGAUGGAGCUGAUAGAUUAGAACAGUUCCACAAAAUUACAGACAUGCAUUGCCAUUCUACCCAUGGGGCAACGUUGGCUUUGUGAAGUUCUAGCGUUGUCUAUGAUUAUUUGCAUCAAGUCACCAAAUCCUUCUUCGCACCUUCGAGGAGUUUUGCCCAUAAUACAAAUUAAUGGCCAAAAAAUUCCUUGAUUUUAGGACACGAAAUAUACACAAGGAAUCUCACAACCACAUAUGUGUGUAUGACAUAAUAGGUAAUUGGUCAAGUUUUCUCUCAUAUUUGGAUUAGUUAAUUAACUUGAUUUCCAUCAUAAGGACCUAACUAGGGGCAUUUCAAAUAUAAAUCAAUAUCAAAUAUUAAUGUUCAUAAAGACCGGUUAUCUACCAUAUCAAAGUGGUAGACAUAUCUUAAAACCUUACCACCCUUGUCAAGAUACUUGGCUUAAUAUCCUCCAAGCUUUGUCAUAGGAAUUAAAACAAUAAGUGGAAGUAUAUCAUAACAUAACAAUUAUUUGCACAGAGAUGAGUAGUCUCUUUCAACUUAGGUUCACAUUCAAAAACUUGAUAUCUCACGUAUAGAGAUUCGAAAGUGGUGGAAACUUAACAUAAAAAAAUCAUUAAAUUUUUUUCUUUUUAUUAUUGUAUAAUCAUCAAUGUAUUUUUCUACUUUUAGAAACAAAAAUAGAACUAGAAUUACCGAAGAUAUUAAAUAUUUUUUUAAAGUUACAAAAUGUAAUUAAAAAUUUGUUUAUACAUUCUACUUCUAAAAAUAGUAUAAAUUGAUGUAUGAAUAUAUAUAUUUCUUCUCAUUUUUCCUUGUUGGUAUUUUCUUCCUUUUUUCUAUUUGAUUGGUCUGUUGGAUGGAUAUCACUAAUUAUUAUUUAUUUCUUAAGUGGUAAUUGGUCUAGUUUUCUCUCAUAUUUGGAUUACCUAAUUAACUUGAUUUCCAUCAUAAGGACCCAACUAGUGGCAUUUCAAAUAUAAAUCAAUAUCAAAUAUUAAUGUUGAUAAAAAUGGGUUAUCUUGAACAUUAAUAUCAAAUAGUAAUGUUGAUAAAGACUAUUUUAUCUACCACAUCAAAGUGGUAGACAUAUUUUAAAACCUUACCACAUUUGUCAAGAUACUUGGCUUAAUAUCCUCCAAGCUUUGUCAUAGGAAUUAAAACAAUAAGUGGAAGUAUAUCAUAACAUAACAAUUAUUUGCACAGAGAUGAGUAGUCUCUUUCAACUUAGGUUCACAUUCAAAAACUUGAUAUCUCACUUAUAGAGAUUCGAAAGUGGUGGAAACUUAUCAUAAAAAAAUCAUUAAAUUUUUUUCUUUUUAUUAUUGUAGAAUCAUAAAUGUAUUUUUCUAUUUUUAAAAACAAAAAUAGAACUAGAAUUAAGGAAGAUAUUAAAUAUUUUUUAAAGUUACAAAAUGUAAUUAAAAAUUUGUUUGUACAUUCUACUUCUAAAAAUAGUACAAAUAGAUGUAUGAAUACAUAUUUCUUCUCAUUUUUCCUUGUUGGUAAUUUUUUCCUAUUUUCUAUUUGAUUGGUUUAUUAGAUGGAUUUCACUAAUUAUUAUUUAUUUCUUAAGUGGUAAUUGGACCAGUUUUCUCUCAUAUUUGGAUUAGCUAAUUAAUUUGAUUUCCAUCAUAAGGACCCAACUAUUGGCAUUUCAAAUAUAAAUCAAUAUCAAAUAUUAAUAUUGAUAAAAAUUGGUUAUCUACCACAUCAAUACCAAAUAUUAAUAUUGAUAAAGACUAUUUAUCUACCACAUCAAUGGUAGACAUAUCUUAAAAUCUUACCACCUUUGUCGAGAUACUUGGGUUAAUAUCCUCCAAGCUUUGUCAUAGCAAUUAAAACUGCAAGUGGAAGUAUAUUAUAACACAACAAUUAUUUGUGUAAAGAUGAGUAAUCCCUUUCAACUUUGAUUCACAAUUAUUUGUCAUGCCUUAGAGUGUGUUUUGGGGUGUGAUAGAGGGCAACAAGAUGGAUGAAUGCUUUUUUAAAGAAUUAUUUGAUUAAAAAGAAUUAAAUGAUUUCAAAUUUGUAAAUCUAACCUCUUUUUUUUUUUUUAACUUGAUAAUUAAUUAAUUUUCUUUUGAUAUAAAUCCUCUUGAACCUUUUCAUUAUUUACAUGUAAUAAAAAAAAUUUAUAAAAUAAAGAUAAGGAUAUUUUUAUCAAAAUGGAUAGUUAAAAAAAAAUGGAGAUUUAAAUUUAUAAAUGGGGGAUUAUUUCAUCUUUUAAUCAAAUGACCUUUUUUCAAUUAUUUUAUUUCUAUUGUAAAAGGCUCCAUAAUUUGUAAUUUUUAUAAUAAAAAAUAAUUUCCUUAUAUUCUAAAAAAGUGUGAAAUGAUUGACUUUUAGGUCAUUUAAAAUUUAUGUGGCUAUUCAUAAAAGUAUUUAAUGUAAUAUUAUCUAAUUUAUUUUUAUUUAAGUUUUAUCAUUUCUUUUCAAUAUUCAAACAUAUACAACACUCUUAAAUUGCGACAAGGAUUUAUGAUAAUAUUAUUUUAUGUUAAAUUAUAUAUACUUAUCUUUUAUAUCGAUUAAUAUAAAAAAUAAUUUUUUCUCAAUAAGGAUAAAUAUUUCAUUAACUUGUUGUGAAUCUACAUCUUUCUCGUGCGUUCCCACUUGACAGGGUUCCCAUUCGAUGGAAAAACACAUUGUAUUAUAGAAAAUUGUCUUUUUGAAAAAAUUGGAGUCACCACUUAUUUUUGUUCAUUUUUAAAGAAAAAACAAAAUAAGAGAAAAAACACCAUAUGACUCUUUUUUAAUUUUAUAUUAAAACUGUGCAAAUUAUCUCAAUUCAAUAAAAAAAAAUUCAAAUUUAUUGUUAAAAAAGGUUUCAAAUUUAUUUUUUAAAAAUAUUAGAAAAUAUUUUAUUCUUAUUUUGUUAAUAAGAGUUUUUCAAUUUUUUUUUUAAAAAGGACCACUUAGUUUCAAUUUUAUUAUUUUUAAAAAAGAUUAUAUAUUUUUAUGAAAAAGAUGAUUUUGUAGCUUUAAAAGAAGUUUUAAAAUUUAUUUUAAAAAGUUUCACUGUUUUAUUUAAAAUAAAAAAUUGUCAUUCUACUUAAAAAAUAAAAAAAAUAAAAAAUGUAGUUUUAUUUUAAAAACUAUUUUACAAUUUUUAUUUUAAAAAAGGAUUUUUCAGUUUUUAUUUAAAGAAAAAGAAGGAUUUUGCCCUUUCUAUUUUAGAAAAAUGAUUUGCAGUUUUUUUAUUGGAAAUAAAUACCUUAUAUAUUUUUUUUUCAAAAAAAAACUUUGAAAAAAAAAAAAAGAAAAAAGAUUUUUACAGUUUUUAUUUAAUAAAGGUUAUAUUCUAUUAAAAAAAGAUUUUAGAUGUUAUUUUAUAUGCAAACUUGGUGAUAAAAAAUGUAAAAGAAUAAAAUGAAUUUGAAACUAUGCAAAAAGUGUAUAAAAGGGAUAUAAACAACAAAUAACCCAAAAUAAAAUAUAUAAAUAAAUAAAUAUAAAAUGGAAUAAAUAAGAAUAUUUAUAGAACUGAAAAUGAAACAGAAAUAAAAUAUACAGAAAGAGCCUCCUCAAAAUGUCGUCCACUGCCUCCUCUAAAAUCCUAGGGUCUGUGCCCUUUUGUAGGCCUUCAAGCUUGGUCUUCAUAUGCCCUUCCAUGUGGUGGACAUCUAAGCUCUAAGCGAAAAGUAAGCAGAGGGAGGUAGUAAAGUUGGCCCAUCUCCAAAAUCAAAACAAGGCCGAAAUGAGAAUGAUUAAAAAAAGAGAAAAGGGGGAUCAAACCAAUAUAUACAAGCCCAAAACGAACAAAGCCCAAACCCAACAGAUAAAUUAAACUAGGCUCAAAGGCCACAAACACAUCUCAGAGCAAUGAUUGAAGCCUGAAAUAAAAUCCAAGAACCCCAAUACCCACAAACAUGAAUCAAUAAAUAAACCCAAAUCAAAGCCCACAAAUAGCCCAAGUUCUCAAAACUAACACUUUGAAGAUUGAAAGCAAGGGUUUUGCUUUAUGCUCCUGAAGAAUCCUUAAGGUAAAAAGCGAAGUGCAGCAUGGAAGUAUGAUAGCAUGGGCAAUCCGUGUGGAUGGCGGCGCGGGGUUUGGGUUGUGGCCAUAAAUAGUGCAAUGGUCGACAGUUGUGCCAACGAGGGAGGCGCGUGGCCUCGUCGAAGAUGGGGGUAGUGGAGGCCAUGGAAGUGUGGGUCUCGGUGGCUGGAACGGAUCAAGUCGAUAGCGGCGGGCUAUAAUGGUGGAGAGGGGGCGAUAUGGUGGCUGUGAGGUACACGACUGGUGUGAAGGUGGCAAGAAGGGUGUGGAGAGAAGGGGGAUCGAGAGAGAGAGAGAGAGAGGGAGGGAUGUUAGAGAGAGAAUAAAAAAAGAUAGAGAGAGGGAGAGGUGUCAGUCCGGUGUCUGCUGGAGUGGUGCGAUGGCGGCGACUUGUCAAAGUGGGGUCACCAGACGAAGAUGGCUACGGUGCCGAUAGGGUAUGAUGGUAUGAGUGUGAAAAUGGGUACAAGAGGGAGUGGGAGAGAGAUGGAGGUAUUGGCCGACAGUAGUGCCACAAUUGUGUCGGUGAUGAGACUGGCAACGGUGAGGCCAUGGUGGCGAGGGGUGUGGUGCAGGGUUCAAAGUAUCGGCCGAGUCGUAUCCGCCUCGACACCUGUCGCGACGAGACCGAUACCAAAUACAGUAUAAUGCACGAACUCGGCUAGGAAUCGGUAAAACUCGGCUGACUCGUCUGAGUUUUCGAGUUAACUCGGUUAGGUUACAGAGAAUUUUCAAAUUUUAUUUCCAAUCACAAUAAAACAUCAGAACAUUUUCAUAUAAAAAAAAAAUCAAAGAUUGCCCUUUCAAAAGCAAGCACAUAUUCUGAAAUUUUAAACCAUCAAUGAGAAGAUCAAAGAAGACGAAGAAGAAAUAAUCCAACCCGUGACCCGUUUGGAAAUAAGUGGAGAAACCACCGAAGGAUGAGGGCAUGAUUUAGGAUUUACUUACCUGAUUUUCCUCAAAAUCGAGAAUUACCAGAGGGUGGAGCUUUGGUGUUGACGGUGGUGACUCGUCAAGUGGACUGGAUCUUUCACCGGCGACGUCGACGAGACAACCCCUUCACAGUCAAAUUGCUUCCCCUCCCGUGUUGGGUCUUGCACGGUUGCAAAUUUGCAAUUGCAGGUGGUGUUGUGGGUCUUGACGGCAAUUUCUGGGGACGGGAUGAUUGAAUGCGUUUGUCCAAGCAAAUAUUAGGGCUACGCUCAUUUGGCUAAUUAUGGGCUGAGCAUGGGCCAGCCCAUUUUUUAACUAUUAGCUGUAACUGGGCCGUUCUCUGAUUUAUGUCAUAAAUCUCUUCAUCUUCAUCAAAUUUUAUAACUUGGAGGUUUUUAUUUCACACUCCAUUUAAUAAAGUUUAAGUAAGUUUCAAGUUUCACAAAUUUAAUUUUUAAAAAUUAUAUAUUCUAUAUAUAUAUAUAUAUAUAUAUAUAUAUAUCUUCUUCCCUUUUCUUUUUUUAAGUACAAAUUAUUUAUCCUUUUUAUUUUCAUUUUUAUUUUUCAUCAUCUUUCUUUUUACAAAUUAAGUAAAAUGUGUUUCAAUUAUAUAUUAAAAAUGUUAUUUUUUUAAAUUUAUUCUAAAUAAAAUAUUAUUAACAAUUAUUUUUGUAAAGUGUUAUUAUUUAUUUUUAACAAAAGAAUUAAUUACACUUUCAUAAAGAUAUCAUUAUCCAUACAAUGUAUAAUAAGCAAAUUAAUCGUAUGUCAUUUAAUAAAGUUUAAGUCGGUUUCAAGUUUCACUAAUUUAAUUUUAAAAAAUUAAAUUAGAAGUUAUUGAAAAUGACAAAUAAUUUUGAGCUAAAUGUGAAAAAAAAAAAUUGUUUUAUUAAUUUUUUUCAACUUAUUCAAUUAUAUCUAUUUUUUUUAAUUUAUAUAACAUUUUUUAUAAUUUUUUGAAAUUUCUAAUUAUCUUAUUUUGCGUAUCGCCCGAUACCGAACCGAGAUGUCGAGACCGAUAUGCCUCGUGGCCCUCCGAGUCAAUGACCGAUACCGCGACUUUGAACCAUGGUGUGGUGGGGAUAAGGGUAGGUAUGGGAGAAAGUACAUAAAAAAGGAAAAGGAAAAAGAAGAAGAGAAAGACAAGAAAGGGAAAAUUUUGGGGGCCAGGGGGAGGUUGUGAAGAAAGGAAACGAGAAAAAGGAUGUGAUUUUGGAAGUCAAGGGUCAGGAUUUAAUCUUCCUAUUAGGUAUUCGAAUGAGCCUGAAAAGAAAAGAUCCAACAAAUGUGAAAAAGAAAUAUGCUUGAAAUAAAUGUUAGAGAAGGGCCUGGAGCAAAUUUUGGGUCUGGCCGAGGAUAAUGAUUUUUUUUCCUUCUCUUGCUGCCUUGUUUAGUUAAGGGUCCAUAUGUCUAUCAUCUUCAGUUGCAAUCUGGCUAGAAUUGGAAAUCAUCAGUGCUUCAGCAAUCAGCAGUACCCUCUUCUACAGUCCACACCCAUGUUAAAACUCAAGCCCUUAGAAAAAUCAUUAGUCCAUUUCUGUAUAUAUAUGUACAAUGUCCCUCAGAGCAAGUCAAACGAAGUCAUCCAGAUAUUGUAUACGUCUCUUUUAAGGUUACUUCCUUUACUGACAAUAGUUGUAGAUUGUUUAAUGGACAGUGCAUAUGACUAUUUGUUUGUAGAUGGAUCAAUUGCUUAUAAUGAUUGCCUAGAGAUAACGGCUAAGUGUUUGGUUCUAAUUCGAUUAUGCUCUUUUCUUCUAUGUUCAAAAGUUGUACUCUUAUGUGUUGGGAUUUCAAUAUUGUAAUAUAUUAAUUGAAGAAUACAAAAACAAAAAUAAAAUAUCUAUACACAAAGAUAUAUGAUAUUUUAAUAUGAUUCAUCAACCAACAAUACUUAUUUUCAUGGAUGAUGAAUAAUAUUCUAUUAUACAAUAGAGAAUAUUAUAGAAUAUAAAAAUAAAUACAAUUAUUGUGCCUUAAAACAUUCCAUGUUUUCUCAUUCUUUAUGGCUAUGUUUGGUUUCCGAAAAAUGCGAGAGAAAGAAAAUUGGGAGGAAAAAUGGAAGGAAAUAAAAAACUAAGGAAAGAAAUAUAAAUUUUUUCACUUGUUUGGUUAUCUAUGGAAAAUUCAAGGGAAAAAAAAAAAGAAUUCAUUUUCUUUUAUUUGGUUAACCACGAAAAAAAAGUCAAGGAAAAAUGAAAGGAAAAUAAAACCAACAAUUUGUCUUAGAUGAUUAUCAAUAUAAACUAGGGUUUCUUAUAAAUUUAUCAUUAUUACAAGUGUUGAUCCAUUUUUCACUUCAUAUAAUACCUCAUUGACUUCAAGAUACAUGAGAUUUUAAUAUGAUUCAUCGACUAACAAUGCUUAUUUUCAUGGAUGAUAAAUAAUAUUUUAUUAUACAACAGAGAAUAUUAUAGAAGAUAGAAACAAAUAUAAUUAUUGUGUUUCAAAACAUCUCAUGUUUCCCUAUAAUUUAUGUCUCUAUCCUAAACCACGAGCCUUUUUGUUCCAUUGGGUAUCUUCUACUUUUUUGCACAUUUAUGCCCUGAACUACAAGCCCUCUUACUUAUCAUUUAUUUUUCGUUCUUCUUUACAUCUUAAUCUAAGUCAUGAUAAGAAAAAUGGUUCGCUUGAAAAUCAAUCUCAACCUCUAUCAAAUCCUUCGUGAUAGGGUCUCUAUAUUUCAAUAAUAUGUACAUUUAAUCUCCUUUAUUUGUUUUGGUAACCAACCAUGUAUAGUUCCCUUUUUUGAGGGGUUAAUUUGGUAAGCCUAGGUUGUAUAUUGUAUAUGUAUUUCUUACCUUAAACAAUAGAACGACUAUCUUUGACUCUUAAAGCCUAUGUGGACUUUAUCAUAUCUCUCUUAUAACUUUUUUCUCUAAUGUUAAUUCUGUCUUUAUUUUGAAUCUAUUCAAUCAUUUCAAAACCAUAUCCAAAUAUCCCCAUCAAAUCUAAAAUUACUUUGGUCUCGCAAUAGUGAGUAGAAAAAGGAUAAAUAAAGACUAUUCUCAUUCAAUAAAUAGAACAAAUUAAAAACCCUUUCUUUUCUUUUUCUUUUUACCAUUUCUUAUUAUUUUUAGACAUUAAAAUGAAAUUUUACAGUUCUUAAUUUAAAUUUCAUUGUGAGCUCGUGUGACUCUUUUUAUUUAUCAGUGGAAUGCCCUUUUGUGACACAAACCAUAUCCAACCACGUAGUGUGUGCUGGUCUGUUUUCAUCUUCAAACAUCUAAUUCCUUCCUCGGCCCCGUCACCACAUAUUUACCUCAAUAGCCUCCAAAAUAUCCACGACUAUCCACUUGGAAAUGUGAUUUCGUUUUUCCUUUUUUUUUUUGCUCAUCAUGGUGGUCCAAUUAUGUCCAUGGUCAUGGUGCUUGUGAUCCUAUAUAGACAUAUUCUUGGGCGCAGCGAAGUCGAUUACCAUGAGCCCAAGGUAAUCGUUGAUAUUAGGAAUGUUUCGUCCCUCCCGAUAUUGACUCCUCCCGUCAUUGCAGUUUUGAGAAUCGAUUCUCACUGUAAAAAGCAUUUGAAAGUAGCUCCUUCGAAAAGGCUCGUUAUCAGGCCCAAAAUAACCAUCCCAACUCAAAGUAAUCACAAGAUUUUGAUGGAACGAUUUCUUGUCCUGCUUCCAUCAAAGGCAAGUUAGCAACUUCCUUCCAGUACAUAAACCAAAGGGGUUCAAUUAUUCAAACAGGUUCCAUUCAUUCAAGUUACACAAUCCUCUGACUUUCAACUGUUUAAUUAAAGAAACUAAUGAAGCUUACUAUUAAUUGAAUAUAUGAAGCGAUUAGAUUAAGAUAAUUUUGGUAUGCUUAAAAUUAUAAAUAAAUUGCAUUAAAACAUGGAUUUUACUCUCUUACUAUUACUAAUACAAUCAAUUUUAAGGUGACAAUGCCUUUUUUUUUUUUUGGUUAAUUUCAUUGAUCUUUCUUGAAGUUUGAGUUCUCAUUUAUAUUUUCAUUUAUUGCUCCUUUAAUUCAAAAUAAGGAAAGUAUGUCAAACUAAUGAAAAUGGAGUUUAAUAAAAUAUGGAGAUAUUUGAUUAAAAUAGUCAAAAUAAGAAUAAUUAUCUUUUGGAACAAAAACAUCCUCCAUCAAAUUAUAUUAAAAUAUUUUUUAUUAAAUAACGUAAGAAAUAUUUUCAUCCAGUUUAGAUUAUAUUGACAAUAUUAAACACAAAGUUUUUUUUUUUUUUGCUUUUUCAAAGUAAGAAAUAUUUUGAACUUUUAGACUUAGAUAUUUUUAAAAUAUAGAACGAGGUACUAGAAACAUGAGAAAAGCUCGGAGGGAUGACAAGGCCACAAAAAUGUCACACCAAAAAAAUAAGCAAGAUUAAUCUAUUUAUUUAUUUAUUUUGUAUAUGUAUUUCUUACCUUAAACAAUAGAAGGACUAUCUUUGACUCUUAAAGCCUAUGUGGACUUUAUCAUAUCUCUCUUAUAACUUUUUUCUCUAAUGUUAAUUCUAUUUUUAUUUUAAAUCUAUUCAAUCAUUUUAAAACCAUAUCCAAAUAUCCCCAUCAAAUCUAAAAUUACUUUGGUCUCGCAAUAGUGAGUAGAAAAAGGAUAAAUAAAGACUAUUCUCAUUCAAUAAAUAGAACAAAUUAAAAACCCUUUCUUUUCUUUUUCUUUUUACCAUUUCUUAUUAUUUUUAGACAUUAAAAUGAAAUUUUACAGUUCUUAAUUUAAAUUUCAUUGUGAGCUCGUGUGACUCUUUUUAUUCAUCAGUGGAAUGCCCUUUUGUGACACAAAUCAUAUCCAACCACGUAGUGUGUGCUGGUCUGUUUUCAUCUUCAAACAUCUAAUUCCUUCCUCGGCCCCAUCACCACAUAUUUACCUCAAUAGCCUCCAAAACAUCCACGACUAUCCACGACUGGUGUGAAGAAAUGGAGAGAAGGGGGGUCGAGAGAGAGAGAGAGAGAGAGAGAGAGAGAGAGAGAGAGGGAGAGGGAGGGAGGGAGGGAUGUUAGAGAGAGAAUAAAAAAGAUAAGAGAGAGGGAGAGGUGUCAGUCCGGUGUCUGCCGGAGUGGUGCGAUGGCGGCGGCUGGUCGAAAUGUGAAAAAGAAAUAUGCUUGAAAUAAAUGUUAGAGAAGGGCCUGCAGCAAAUUUUGGGUCUACACUCGUCUUACGUGGAGUUUGCUUUUUGUUUCAAAUCGGAAUAAACUUGAACUUGAACUUAAACUUAAAUAAAGAUUAAUAUCAUCAAGUAUUUAAACUGUUUAUUUUUCUACUGAUGUAAUAUGGAAAACAGUGUUCUCCAUAGGGGUUUGUUGGACGUCAAGAUCACAGGGUUUUUAGGUCUGGCAGAGGAUACUGAUUUUUUCCCUCUCUUGGUGCCUUGUAUAGUCAAGGGUCCAUAUGUCUAUCAUCUUCAGUUGCAAUCUAGCUAGAAUUGGAAAUCAUCAGUGCUUCAGCAAUCAGCAAUACCCUUUUCUACAGUCCACACCCAUGUUAAAACUCAAGCCCUUAGAAAAAUCAUUAGUCCGUUUCUGCAUAUAUAUGUACAAUGUCCCUCAGAGCAAGUCAAACGAAGUCAUCCAAAUAUUGUACAUGUCUCUUUUAAGGUUACUUCCUUUACUGACAAUAGUUGUAGAUUGUUUAGUGGACAGUGCAUAUGACUUUUGUUUCUAGAUGGAUCAAUUACUUAUAAUGAUUGCCUAGAGAUAACGGUCAAGUGUUUGGUUCUAAUUCGAUUAUGCUCUUUUCUUCAAUGUUCAAAAUACUUAAUUCAAAGGUGCAUAGAUAAAGAUACACAGAAUGUUGUUUCUUUUUCCACCCUCGUGUCCUAAAUGGGACUUUCUUUGGAUUGUGGAUAUGGGAGUAUGCUCUUAGAGCAUUCACCACUGUGGGAUCCUUUUUUAUUGUACAUAUCAUGAGUGCAUCAUUUAGGGAGUAGGAUUGAGGCAUGCCUUGAUUUAAUUAGCUCUUAUGUUAUCUGUUGAGUUGUUUUUCUAGUAUUGCUAUCAUCAACGAAAGAGUGCUCUUGAACUACAUUUUUGUUUUUCUAGGAUUUGCAUAUAUACUGUUCAUACCAUAAAACAUAUUUUUUUAAUAUUAAUUUUUUCUAACAUUGGUAUUAGACCCAAGUUGUACUCUUAUGUGUUGGGAUUUCAAUACUGUAAUAUAUUAAUUGAAGAAUAUAAAAAAUAAAAAUAAAAUAUUUAUAUACAAAGAUAUAUGAGAUUUUAAUAUGAUUCAUUAACCAACAAUGCUUAUUUUCAUGGAUGAUAGAUAAUAUUCUAUUAUACAAUAGAAAAUAUUAUAAAAGAUAGAAACAAAUACAAUUAUUACGUCUCAAAACAUCUCAUAUUUUCCCACUAUUUAUGUUUUUAUCCUAAACCAUGAGCCUUUUUGUUCCACUAUGUAUCUCCUACUUUUCUUCACAUUUAUGCCUUGAACUACAAGCCCUCUUACUUAUCAUUUAUUUUUCGUUGUUCUUUACAUCUUUAUCUGAGUCAUGAUAAGAAAAAUUGUUCGCUUGAAAAUCAAUCUCAAUCUUUAUCGAAUCCUUUGUUAUCAAGUCUCUAUAUUUCAAUAAUACAUACAUUUAAUCUCUUUUAUUUGUUUUGGUAACCAACCAUGUAUAGUUUCCUUUUUUGAGGGGUUAAUUUGAUAAGUCUGUAACGAUAACUAGGUUAUAUACUGUGUAUAUAUAUUUCUUACCUUGAACAAUAAAACGAUUAUCAAAGCCUAUGUCAACUUUAUCAUAUAUCUCUUAUAACUUUUUUCUCUUCUAUUAAUUCUGUCUUUAUUUUGAAUCUAUUCAAUCAUUUCAAAACCAUAUCCAAAUAUCCCCAUCAAAUCUAGAAUUACUUUGGUCUGGCAAUAGUGAGUAGAAAAAGGAUAAAUAAAGGCUAUUCUUAUUCAAUAAAUAGAACAAAUUAAAAACCCUUUCUUUUCUUUUUCUUUUUACCAUUUCUUAUUAUUUUUAGACAUUAAAAUGAAAUUUUACCGUUCUUAAUUUAAAUUUCAUUGUGAGCUUGUGUGACUCUUUUUAUUCAUCAGUGGAAUGCCCUUUUGUGACACAAACCAUAUCCAACCACGUAGCGUGUGUUGGUCUGUUUUCAUCUUCAAACAUCUAAUUCCUUCCUUGGCCCCCUGUCACCACAUAUUUACCUCAAUAGCCUCCAAAAUAUCCACAACUGUCCACUUGGAAAUGUGAUUGGUUUUUCCUUUUUUUUUUUUUUUGCUCAUCAUGGUGGUCCAAUUAUGUCCAUGGUCAUGGUGCUUGUGGUCCUAUAUAGAGAUAUUCUUAGGCGCAACGACGUCGAUUACCAUGAGCCCAAGGUAAUCGCUGAUAUUAGGAAUGUUUCGUCCCUCCCGAUACUGACUCCUCCCAUCAUUGCAGUUUUGAGAAUCGAUUCUCACUGUAAAAGGCAUUUGAAAGCAGCUCCUUGGAAAAGGCUCGUUAUGAGGCCCAAAAUAACCAUCCCAACUCAAAGUGAUCACAAGAUUUUGAUGGAACGAUUUCUUGUCCUGCUUCCAUCAAAGGCAAGUUGGCAACUUCCUUCUAGUACAUAAACCAAAGGGGUUCAAUUAUUCAAACAGGUUCCAUUCAUUCAAGUUUCACAAUCCUCUGACUUUCAGCUGUUUAAUUAAAGAAACUAAUGAAGCUUACUAUUAAUUGAAUAUAUGAAGCGAUUAGAUUAAGAUAAUUUUGGUAUGCUUAAAAUUAUAAAUAAAUUGCAUUAAAACAUGGAUUUUACUCUCUUACUACUACUAAUACAAUCAAUUUUAAGGUGAUAAUGGCUUUUUUUUUUUUGUUAAUUUCAUUGACAUUUCUUGAAGUUUGAGUUAUCAUUUAUAUUUUCAUUUAUUUCUCCUCUAAUUCAAAAUAAGGGAGGUAUGUCAAACUAAUGAAAAUGGAGUUUAAUAAAAUAUGGAGAUAUUUGAUUAAAAUAGUCAAAAUAAGAAUAAUUAUCUUUUUGGACAAAAAUAUCCUCCAUCAAAUUAUAUUAAAAUAUUUUUUAUUAAAUAAGAAAUAUUUUCAUCCAGUUUAGAUUAUAUUGACAAUAUUAAACACGAAGUUGUUUUUUUUUUUUUGGCUUUUUCAAAGUAUUUGAACUUUUUGACUUAGAUAUUUUUAAAAUAUAGAACGAUAGAAACAUGAGAAAAGGUCGGAGGGAUGAAAUGCCCCCAAAAAUGUCACACCAAAAAAAUAAGCAAGAUUAAUUAAUUAAUUUAUUUAUUUUUCUUUAAGGGUCUUCUGGUUGAUUUGCUAAUUAUGGGGGGUGGAAAUAGCGGCAGAAAGGGUGAUGAUGGUGCCAUUGCAAUUGCGAUUACUGGUUUAUGCCUCUUCUGAAAGAGCAGUGAAGAUAAUCAUUGGUGAGAGUGAUGGGGACUGACGGCGGCGGAGCUCUCAAACAGCGGUGGCGGCCGUGGCAUUAUGCUGCUUGAAGAUUGGUGUUGAUUCUUGAUGUUUCAAACUCGUAGCCUUUAAUAAUGCUAUUACACCAUCAAUCAUUUAAUCCAAAAUGUUUAAUACUUAAGGUUGUGAUAAAUAUUACAUCUCAGGCCCAAGCCCACUAAAGAUGGUUUUUGCAUCAAUGAGCCCUGAUUUCUAAGCUUUCCACAAAAUGUUUUAGAUUAGUUUUGCCUGAAGCACCAUACUCCAUAGAUUCCACUGCCAAUCCUUUCCAUUUUUUAGCAUUUCUUCUCAUCGCAUCCCCUUUCUCUCCACCUUCCAUCACCAUCUCCAAACAUUUUUUGAUCUCUCAUUAGGUGAUCUUAAACAUUUAUGAUUAUGAAAUUUAUGGUCAUUAUAAUUUUUUCAAUUGAAUUUGAUAUAUGUCAUUUGCAGUUAAGGGUAUGUUGGUUGAUCAUGAUAUAGGCAUAUGGAAGACUCAAGAAUUGGAGAGAGAUUGAUAGCAUGUCUUCAAAUCAAAUGAUAAAAGAACAAAUAAAGAGUUGAAAGAAAUUGUGGAUUACAAAUUUUAGGGUUCAAAACAACGGGAAUUGUAGAUGUACAAUAAUUGGGUGAGCUAAAAAAUAGACCUAAACCAACACAACCAAUCCAAUUACCGAAGUUUCAUUCCUCCUAAAAGUAAAUGUCCAAGAAAAAAUUCCCUAAUUCUUGCUUGUUCAUUGAUUUUUUUUCUUUUAUUUUCUAGCUAUCAUUGAAAACAGGAUAUGUUUGUAUUCUUUUUCUUUCACCUUUCGUAAAAAAAAUCCUCCUAUUGUCAACUUUUAAAAAAAAAAAAAUUAAGAUUAUAUAUAUAUUUUAAUAAAAAAUGAUAAUACAAAGAAACAGAACAAGAUAAAGAUGGAGGAUGUUUAAAGGACCAAAGGAAAAGUUUCUCAUUUAUCUUCUCUCGAGGGUCUCUAAAGGUACCAAAUAAAAAUUAUCUCAUUUAUCUUCUCUCUGUUUUUAAAAAUUUUAAAUUAUAUAAAUAUCCUUGAAGUUAAGGUAGGAAUGUUACAUGCAUAGAGUUUGUACUCCAUUUAUUUAUUUUCCCCCAGAAGUUUAGUAAAACCUCUCACAAUAUUUUAAACAAAUGAACUAGGCUUUGACUUGGUUUAAUUGAACAUUGUUUAUGCGGGAGUUUUCUAUAAAAUUUUGAUGAAAAUUUUUAAUAAAAGAGAUUAUUUGAUAUUUGAGCAUUGAUUAGGGUAAUAUUGUUUUAAAAAUAUUUAGGGACUAAAUUGACAUGCCAGUAAAAAUAUAAAAAAUGAUUUUUACAAUAUGCUCUAAAUUAAAUAAAUGAAUUUGAAACUCCUCCCUAUCCUUUUUCCUUUAACUUCCAAAACCAUAUGUAACUGCUUUCAUUUAUCUCCUUAUCCUUUUUAAUAAAUGAAUGAUUAGAAUAAAAAACCAGACCAAUAUAUAUAAGCCCAAAAGAAACAAAGCCCAAACCCAACAAAUAAAACAAACUAGGCCCAAAAUCAAAUAUACAAAGCCCAAACCCAAAACAAAUAUGAUAGCCCAAGGCUACAAAUACAUCUAAGAGCAAUUCAAAAUAAUAUCCAAGAACCCCAAUACCCAUAAACAUGAAUCAAUUAGGGAGAAUUGUGUUUUAGGCCCAGUGGGGCCCAAAAAUUAACAUUUGGUCCAUCAAUCAUGCAUAUUUAAGCCAAAGACCCAAAUAAAGAAUGAAAAUUAAGAUGAAGGAUAUUGUCUUUCAUUAAUUCCUAAAAUACCCUUAUCCCUUAUGUGAGUGUGAAUUUCAAUUUUUUUUAUGUUUUUUUUUUUUUGCUUUUCCAUUCCCUAUUAAGUAUUACUCAUUUCUAACUUUUUUUUUUCUUUUUAUUCCAAUAUAUAUUUCUAUUUUAUGUCAAAUAAAAAAUAAUAAUGUUUUUUUAUUUUUCAUUUUUAAAGAUAUUGAAUCUUUUUGCUCUUAUUAAAAACAAUGAUAAAAAUUUUGGGAUUUUUCAUCCAAAUAUUUUUUAUUUUUUUGUAUUUAUCUUUUAGUUUAUUUUUUAUUUUUUAUUUUAAAUUUAUAUUACCCUUUCAUUUAUAUUUUUCUCUUAUUUUUAAUUAUUUUUUAUAUUUUCUACAUUAACCAUAUUUUAAAAAAAAUUUAAAAUUGACUAUCACUUCACUUUAUUAUAUAUAUAUAUAUAUAUAUAUAUAUAUAUAUAUAUAUAUAUAUAUAUAUACUUUUUAGCUUUUUAAUUUUUAAUGUUUUUAUUUUAAAAUUUUUAAAAAGAUAAAUUUAUUGAAAAAAAUAACUAAGAUAUGAAGUUCUAAUAUUAUAUUAAUAAUUCUUCUUAUCUAGAUAGACUAAUGCAAAGUAUUUUGACUCACAACAAGAAAAUUGUCAAUACAAUUUUUAAGUUAAGCUUUAAAAAUUAAAUUUUAAAUAAAAUAUAUUAUAUAAAAUUUUAUCUAAAAAUUAUUGAAAGUGGUAUUUAAUUUUUUUUUUUUUUGACUUUCAAACUUAUCUAAUUUUUUUACUUGAAAGGUAAUAGAACAUGUUUACAAAAAAAAAAAAAAAAAAAUUAUUUUUUCAUUUUUUAAAUAAAUGAGUAUAAAUAUAUUAAAAGAAUUAAAGAUAAUCUUAGUAAAAAAAUUGAUAAAUAUGAUUAUAAUUUUAAAUAUAGAUUAAUUUGGAUAAAAUUUCACAAAAAAAAAAUAGUGAAAAGAAAGAACAUUGCUAAAACUACAAAAACAAAAUAUGCAAUUACAAAAUUUUGAUGAUGAAAUUUCAAAAUUAAAUUUGAAACAAUUCUUGAGUAAGAGAAUUUGAGUGGGGAAAAAAUCUUUAAGUGGAAAAAAAUAGGAAAGUUUCUCACUUGAAAUCCUUAACAAAAAGUAGUCUUGUAUACCCUUAUACAAUUAGUAAAUUUGCCUUGUACAAUUAGUGUAAUACCCUUGUACAAUAACUCAAAUUUCAUAGAUCAUUUCAUGAAUAUCUGACAAUAGGUCGGUUAACCAUGUUUGCAUUGGUUUGGUUUUAAAAAAGAAGAAAAAUUGUUGUAGAAUUUUGUUUUACAAUCAUCAUAAGUGAGGUACCUAUUCAAAUAAUCAUAUACAAGUUAGAUAAAGCGCAUGAGAUGAAUGUAUGCUUAACCAAUGUGUGUAAGGAAUGUCAUUUAUCAUCGGUUAGGGGAAAUAAACAAACAAGUUUUUCAAAACCACUUAAAAUCUUUUACAAAUAAUAGUCUUGUACACCCUUGUACAGUUAGUAUAUUUUCCAUGUACACUUAGUGUAAAUACCUUGUACAGUGACUCAAAUUCCAUAUACCUGCUACUCAAUGUAUAACCAUAGGUAGAUUAACCAUGUUUUCAUUGGUUUGUUUCAAAAAAUAGUGGAAGAUGGAAAAACAAAAUUUUCUUUCAAACAUCAUUAGUGGGAUAAGUAUUUGAAUAAUCAUGCGCGAGUUAAAUAAAAUACAUAAGAUGAAUGUGUAAUAGAGGAAUGUGUACCUUAAGAGUGUGCAAUCCUUAGAUGACAAGACAAAAAAAAAAAGUUGUCCAAAAUUGAUUAAAAUCUUUCAAUUCUUUGAACUAUGCCCUCAAAAUAUUCAAAAAUUUUCCAUUCCAAAAUAUUUUAAAAAGUGUAAAUAGGGUAAUUUGCCCAAUUAAAUUCUUCAAAAUAUUCAAAAUUUCUCCGUUCCAAAAUUACCUAAUUGCUCUCCACACCAAUCCUAAAUAUUUUUUAAUAAAGAUUUAAAUAUUUAAAAUAAUUAAAAUAAAUACUUUCUUAUUAAAGCAAUUUUUUCAAAGUAAUAAGAUAAAAAUCAUGAAAUCUUCAAAACUAUAAUUACAACAAAUAUUUUUAAUUUUAAAACUAAUUUCAUAAUUUAAAUUAAUGAUUUAAAAAAAUAAAAAUGUUAUAAAUAAUUUUUUUUAUUUUUAAUUCCAUUUAAAUGUGAUUUUUUUUAAUCUCUAUUUAUAACAAAGAAAUUAUGUUUAUAAAAGAAAAAUAGUAAAAAUGUAUAUUUCAUUUAGUUUACUUAUAAUGAACAAUUCAAACAUUAUUGAUUUUAAUUUUAUUUCAUAUGUGUUAAUUUUUGUAGGGAAUGUCUUAAUAAAAUAGUUUGGUAAAAAAAAGAAAAAAAAACUAUCAAUAAUCGUCUUAAUAUCAAAUUCAAGUUGUUUAAAAAUCAUACAAAACCUAUCAGAAGCCUUGUACACUUAGCACAUUUCUCUUGUACAAUUAGUGUAAUACCCUUAUACAAUGUCACAAAUUUCAUAUUUGUCAUAACUUAUAUGUUCAUGUAGGUGUAUUAAUCAUAUUUUCAAUUGUUUGGUUAAGAAAAUGGUAGAUGACUUAGGAUCAAAUUUUUUCCCAAAUAUCAUUAUUGGAGAAAAUAUUAGAAUUUUCAUAUGAGAGUUAAAUAAAAUAUAUGACAUAGGCAUACAAUUCUUGGGUGACAAAGAAAAAUAAAAAAGUGGUUUAGAAUAAAUUUUUCUUUUUCUUAUUUUAAUAAAUUUUCAAUUAAUUCAAAUCAUUAAAAAAAAUCCUUCAUAAACUAAUUUGUAGCAUUUCAUAUAACUUAUUACUAUAAAAGUCAUGUUCAAAAAGUUAUUAAAAUAAGGAAGGAAGAAGAUUAAAAAAAAAAAAUUGAACUUUUUAUUUUAUAAUAGUAAAAAAAAAACUUUAAAAUACUUUUUAAUAUAAAAAAAUUAAAAUAGUGAAUAUAUUUAUUUUAAAUGGUAUUUUAAUCAUUAAAUUAUUUAUUUUUAAAAUGUAAAUAAUAAAAAUAAAUGUAAAAGAUAAUUUUUAUGUAUUUAAAUUAAUAUUUUUUUAGAAAGUAUUUUCCAAAAUAGUCUUUGAAUCAUUAAUAUAAUUUUUUUAUAUUUAUAAUUUUAAAAUAAAAAAUAAUGUUAAAUUUUCAAUUAUUUACAAGAGUUCUUUUUAUAAAAAAAAUGGUUAAAUAAAAAUAGUGGCAAGUAGUAGAAUAAAGACAAAAAUGAGUCAAGUGGGUAUUUUUGUCAAUUACUAUCCCAUAUCCUUAUUAUCAAUUAUGGGUGGUUGGAGGACCAAAUGUUAAUUUUUGGGCCCAGUUGGGCCCAAAACACAAUUCUCCCUAAAUAAAUCUAAAUCAAAGCCUACUAUGGACUAGCCUUUUUCACUCGAUGAAUCCUUACUCAAAAAUGGCGAGACUUACUAUUUAGUGAGAAACUGAUUUUUAUCAUAUAUAUAUAUAUAUAAUUGUAGUUGUCACUUAUUUUUGUUUAUUUAUCGAAAGAAAAACAAAAUAAAAAAUAAAACUCUAAAAAUAACUUCUUAUUUGGAAAAACAUAUUUUUGAAAACCAAGUCCAAGUUUGAGGGUCAGGUUACCUAUUGGGAAGUCACCAUAAGGUAGCAUCCUUCUAAUCCCUAAAAUAGGUCUCUACUAAUCAAAUUGAGAUUACUAUGACAAUUGGUCAAUUAAUCAUGAAUACUAAGAAGCUAAGCCUAUAUCAAAGCAAAGUAUAGCAAAAGGCUACUCAAACAAGGCAUGCAUAUCAAAGAAUCGAAUAAAUGAGAAGGAAAUGAAAAAUGAACCAAGUGUUUUCAUAAAACAAUUGGGUUAGCUCACAAAUAAUAAUAAAUAAGGAACCAUAAGCUAGGCCUCAUAAUGAAUGUAACAUAUGCAUAUCUCAACUCAUGAAGUAAAGAAAUGAUAAGGUAUGAACAAGAGGAAAUAAGAUACAAUAAAAUAUGCUGAAAAAUUCAAACGUGACUAACAAGUUUACACUCACAAAGAUUAGUCUAAAUAAAAUACCAAAUGAGAAAUUUUGAUCCCAAGAAAGGUUUAACUAAUCCAUAUAAUAUGUCUAUAAUGUAAAUCAAGAAUAAUAAUAAAAAAAAAACACUUAUAAAUAUUUGCAAGAGGAUUGAAUUAUCAAAAUCAUGCAAAAUGUCAUUAGUAGAGCAUAACCGGGAUAUUUUCAAAAUAAAUCUUAAAUAAAUAUCUAGAGGUGUUAUUUCAUCAAAAUAAAAAAUGGACAAUAUCUUAAAUGUCUAUAUCACAAUAUAAAAAUCCAAAUUAUUUAAUUAUGUGUCAAGUAAUACCAUAUUAAAUCACACUAAAGAUACUUCAGAGAACAUUCAACAUAUGAUCAUAAUAGAGAUAUUUACAUAAUAAAUCCUAAAAAAUAUAUAUAAAAAUGGAAUUUCAUCAUAAAAAAAUUUGAAUAAUAUUUCCUGUGUCUAGAUUACAACCCAAAAGGCCAAAUUAAUUAAUUAUGCAUCAUUCAAUACUAACUUUCAUUUUACUUUUACUUUUACUACCAAAUGCAUAAGCUAAAUACCAUCCCAAAUAAAAGUAAAGAAAUAAAACACACUCAAAUUGCAAUGGAUCGAAGUCAUAGAAGGUAUGAUUAUAAAAGAAGAUGGAAAACAACUCUUAAGAGGAAUGGUGAUAAGCUUUUUAAAAGCAUGUAUCAUGGGGGAAAAAUGAAAUAUUGAAUUAAUAAAAUUUGAUUCAAAGUGAAGAUAACUAGAAAAUAUGUCAAAUUCCUAAUUGAUACAUAUUAUAUUUUUAAAGAAUAUUAUAUAAAAUAUUUCCUUAAGUUGAUAUGUUAUUAUAAUAUUAGAUUUUUUUUAUAAAAUAAAGAAAAUUAUUAUAAAUAUUUUAAUAAAUAUUAUAGGUCAUCAAAUGAGAAAGUUACAAGAUGAAGACCAAUAUAAUAUAUUUUAUGACCAAUAAUUAUAUCUAAUUUCUAUCUUUUAUAGUAUUUUUUUAAAGUAUAGAUAAAAUAUUCUAUUUCAUUUGUAGAUUGACACGAUUGGUCUAAUUAGGUAAAAACCCUAUGUAACUUUGCACAUAGAUUGUUUGUUUAAUUUCGUAUUUCGAUAUUAAUAUGUUUGUAUUAAAACUUUACUGAUAUAGUACCGGUCAUCAGUGCAACCACCAUUUCUCUCAUGACAAAAAUAGUGAGGAAAAAGACUUGGGAUAUGUGUUUGUAAAUGAACUCCUUUGCAUGGUGGAGUGCAUAGAAAGGUUGAGGCAUACAAUAAAUGUAGAUGUGGAGAGCAUCAUGGCGAGGAGUAAUGGGCACAACAAAUACUUUAAAUGUUGUCAUGUGGAUUUCUUUGACAUAAACUAUUUUAAUGACACAACAAUUAUAAGUGAAUGUUUAUAAAUUUUACUUUUUGAUUGAUUUAAUUAUAUGUGGGUAUAAUUUUAAAUACCUAUUAUUAAUUAAAAGGGUAGUUCCAACUACCUACUACUCUCUAUUUUGGCAUAGUACAAUGGAUUUAAUGCUAUUUUGUACAAGUAUUAAUCUAUAAAACUAAAGCCAAGACAACAUAAAAAAUAUUUUGUAAAAAAAGUUUCAAUCAAAGUGGUAGAUGUUUGUGUCUUAAAGCCCAACCAACUUUGUUGUCAGAGUUAAAAGUCCUGUCAAUUUUGUUGUUGGAGUUAAAAGCCCUACCAACUUUGUUGUUGGAGUUAAAAGCCCAAUCAACUUUGUUGUCUGAGUUAAAAUGAGUAGUUGGAAGUAGAUCAUAACUAACAUAAUUACUUAUGUCGAGUAAGGAUGAAAAUAUUGGUAAUCACAUAUAUAAUAAUAUUUUAAUUUUACAGAUGUAUUGAAAAUAUAUCGGUGACACAAAAUAUUGGUGGACCUAAAAUUGAUUAGAAUUUAUAGAAAUAUAUAUAUAAAAAAAAAAUCUUAGAAAUGAAACUAGAAAUAUGAUAGACAUUUUAAAGUUGUUUUGUUGAAAAAAUUGAUAUUUGUAUAAUAUAAUUUAUCAUAUUUGAUAAUUACAUUGUAUACGUCAAUAAAAAAAUAUAAAUUUUAUAAGUAUAUAUUUAUUAUUAAAUUAUAUCAAAUAUUAUUGGAUAAUAAUAUUGUGAUAUUUGAUUAUAAUAUGUCUAAUUUUAAAAUAUAUUUAAUAUUAAAAUUAUAAUCCAUUUAAUUCAAUUGUAUUAAAUGAUAUAAAAUAAAUGAUGAUAUAUGUAUAAUUUUUUUGAAUGAAUAUAAAAACAAAUAAAAUUUAGUUUUUAAGGUAUAAAUUAGCCAAAAAUUUCAUUAUAUGCAUAUAUUUAUUAUUCAAUUAUAAAGAUGACAUUCCAAAUUAUUUUAUUUUAUUUAUAAUUAAUGAAUCAGUUUUUUGAAUUUCAAAUUAUUCUUAAAAAUUACAAGAUGUAUUAAAGAAAUAUAUAUAUAUAUAUAUAUAUAUAUAUAUAUUCAAGUUUUAAAUUAUUUUUUAACAUUAUUAAACUUAUUAAUAAGGUCUUACUUCGUUUGAAAUUCAUUUUCUCUAAUACAAAAAUCAGAAGAAUAAUUUUCUAUUUUACUUUGUUUUAAAAAAUUGUUUUUAAAGAAUAACAACCAAAUAGUGAUAUAAAUUUUUUUAAAACAAUUUUUUUAAAAAAUCACACGCCCAUAUAGGUUUUUAUUAUUUGGAAAAAAUCAAGGAUAUUUUUAAAAUGAAUAUAAAAAAUUAUUUCAAACUAUGUACAAUGUGACAUUUUUUUUAAAUAAAUAUAAAAAUAAAAAAUUAUUUUAAACCAUAAGUAUGGAUAUCAUUGAAAAUUUAUUUAUUUUUUCAUUUUUAUUCCCAUUUUUACUUAAAAUUCAAAUGGAAACAAAUUAUCUUUUUUAUCUUACAUUUCUAUAUGCAUUCAAAUAAAAUAAUUAAAAUUAUCAAAUUUAUUCCUAUUUAAAAAAAUAAAAAUAAAAAUGAAAUAUUUAUUCUCAUAUUCGUAUCAAACUUGCUCUAAUAUAUAAAAUAACUGGCAAGGGGAUAGAAGAAGCUGCCGAGGAUACAACUAAAGGUGAGAAUUGGGAGUCCAAAGGAAUGUGGCAGUACAGCAUACAGGCCCGUCAUGAAUGCUACCACCAUUGCUUCCAUCCCAAACAUGGUGAGAUAAGAGGCACAUAAAAACAAGAGUAGCCAUAUCGUCCUACUAAGUUCAACUACCAGUGCCAUAAGAAAAUAAAAGAAUACAGCAGAUACCGAGAGCAUCAGGGCUAUGGUAUCCGACACAACAAAUGUUUGAAAGAUGCUUUCUUUGUUAAGAUUGCCAUCCCAUCUGUGUCGCUGUAACCACCGGGCCAGGUGAAGCCUGCCGCAAAGGCUACUGUGCCCCAUGAAAAUUUAUUCCGAGAAGAAAUAAAAUUGUCAGAAAAGUUCAACUUUCUUUUGUUCCUUUCCAUCUUAUCCACCGUUUUGUCCAAUAUGAAUUCUACAUCAUUAACUCCGAAAGAAGCAAGCAGGUGGAGGGGUGUGUCUCCUUGAGCAUCUUUCUCAUUUACAAGUCCUCUCACUCUUAAUCCAUCCUUUAUUAAUAACUCACUACCAAAACGAGAAGCGUGCUUCUUCAUCAUGGCGAAGUGAAAAACAUUAUUGCCAUUUUCAUCAACCUGCUCACAACAAUCUGGAGCGUGUGACAGCAGCUACUUUACUAUGUCCAUACAGCCAUAGUAACUUGCAAUGUGAAGGGCUGUUCUGUUGCUAUUUUUUAUUCCAAGGUAGAUUACAGACUUGUCUUGUGAUGAUCCGUCUAGUAAUUGCUUGGUAAUUGCGGCAUCACGUAUGUAUGCAGCACAAUGAAGCGGAGACCAGCCAUUUUCAUCCACUUCUUUGAUUAGCAUUGGCUUCCAUUCUAGUAUCUUCUUUGUCAUUGCUGAUCAAAUAAAUAAAUGUAGAAAGAGAGGUCAAGGAAUGUUAAAGAAAAUUAAUUAUAAAAUGAAUAACCUAAUGCAUUACUAUAGACCCUUAUAUGCGCUACCUUGGUGACGGCAGAGUACAGCGGCAUGCAAAACUGUUCUACCCUCGAUGCCUUUGUGAUCUGAUGAAGGGCUGGUGUUUAUGAUUAUUUUCACCAAGUCCCCAUAUCCUUUCUCGGCAGCCAUGUAAAGAGGAGUGUAGCCUAUACUGUUAGCACCAUAGAUGAAGUGAGGGUCUGCCUCAAUCAAAAACUUGACCACUUUUGAGUGAUGAUACCGCACCGCCUCAUGCAAGGCUGUGUCUUUCCCCUUAUUGGUCAUCCUCAGCAUCGCUUUGUCUGUUCCGACCCCACUUUCGAUCUCUAAGUGAAGUGCUUUUGCAUCAAGGAGAGCUUCCACAACCGCCCUAUGGCCUUCUCUCGCAGCAAGGUGAAGUGGAGUGGAGUGUCGCCUUUCAGAUUGAGCUGCUGCAGUAGAGGUGAACAUGAAUGAAAUUCAAGGAUCCACUCUACGCAUGCCAGCUGACCGAACUGGGCUGCAAUGUGGAGGACAGUGUUCCUUUUUGGGGUUAGUUGGGGUUGAAGAUGAGCAAAUUCCGAGUACUUCCCUUUGAGGAAACUGAUUCACCUCUAUACAAAGUCUUGUACAAAUCAGCAUCCAUGUGGGGGAUCUCAGUUUGGCUAACAGCUGCAAUCUGGUUCGGCAUCUCAGUUUGCCUUGAAAAGGUUACCGAGUUAAGGUUCUUCGAUUCUGUAAUUUGAUUGGAGCUGGACUGAUCCAUUAUUGGUGUUGGAGGAACAAAGUAAUAAUCAACUCUUCACAGUCUAUCUAUCCAUCUAUCUAUAUAUAUAUAUAUAUUUAUAUUUAUAUUUUGUGAGCAAUUCCCUUCAAGCUUUGACCUUAAUUGAAAGAUAUUUUAUGCCCUAUCCCUUCAAGCUUUUGCCCUUAAUUGAGAGAUAUUUUAUGUAGAGCAUAUGUGGUAAGGGCUUUUGUAAGUUGUUUGCCCGCAUAUAUUUUUCUCUUUCUUUCUUAUGAGGUUUUUCUGUCUUUUCUGACAGCUCCCGUUUUUAUUUACUUGGUGAGAUUUUUAUGAAAGGGUUGUGAAGCCACUGCAAAACGGGUAGACUACUUUAGGCAACAGCAAUAGAAGAUGCUCGUGGAAAAUGAUGAAGAAAAGCUUAUCCCUAGGAACUUAAUUUUGAAAAAUAAUGUAUAUUUUUGGUGGUUUAAGCAGGUAAUAAUAAAUCCUCUCAAGAAAGACAUUAUAAUAUUUAAUGAAUUUGAAAUAAUAUAUCAUUUUGGAUUAUUAUAAAUAUUUAUGGUUAUGGAAUUUAUAAUCAUUAUAAUUCUUUCAAUGGAAUUUGACAUAUGUCAUUUAUGGCUAAGAGUGUGUUAGUUGAUCAUAAUAUAGGUGGAUGAAAGACUCAAGAAUUGGAGAUUGAUAGCUACUACCUUGUUGAAUCGUGGACAUCAAUUUAUAAAGGCCUUGCAUGAAAUGAAUAAUAGGUUAUAAACACGAGAAAUUAAUUAAUUAAGGUUAUUGGUGGUUUAAGCAAGUAAUAAUAGAUACUCUUAAUAGAUACCAUAAUAUAUCAUGAGUUUAAGAUAAUAUCUCUCAUUAAGUGAUCUUAAACAUUUAUGAUUAUGAAAUUUAUGGUCAUUAUAAUUUUUUCAAUUGAAUUUGAUAUAUGUCAUUUGCGGUUAAGGGUAUGUUGGUUGGUCAUGAUAUAGGCAUAUGGAAGACUCAAGAAUUGGAGAGAGAUUGAUAGCAUGUCUUCAAAUCAAAUGAUAAAAGAAAAAACUAAAGAUUUGAAAGAAAUUGUGGAUUACAAAGUUAUCGAUUUUUUAAUUUGUAAAAAGUUAUAAUUUACAAAAAAAGAAAAGAAAAAAUUCUAUUAUGAAAGGGUCCAUAUAUAUAAAAUAUUUAUAAAAUAUAAUUUCGAUAUAUUCUAAAAAAUUUUAAAAUGAUUGACCUUUGGGUCAUUUAAAAUUUGUGUGCCUAUUCAUAGAAGUAUUUAAUGAAAUAUUGCUUAAUUUAUUGAAAUCUAAAUUGUAUCAUUAAUGUGGACACAUGUACAAUAGCCAUUAAUUAUAAUAAAAUGACAUAACUAAAUAAAAUAUAAGAUGAUGAUUUUAAAGACUUAGGCAUGGUAUCUGAUAAGAGUUAAUACUUGAUACAUAAUUAUUAUACGUGACUUUAAGUAAACUUAUGUUUAAACCAUCAAUUUAAAACUUAUUAUAAAGUUAUAUUAUCAAAUUAACACAUUUACCUUCAUCAAUACUAAAAAUGGGAUUAAGAAACACAAAAAUAAAGAGACAUAUUAAUGUUAUUUUAGGUUGAAUUAUAUAUACUUAUUUAUUAUUUAGUUAUUUAAAAAUAAAUUUAUUACUUCACAUUAAUAAUAAUAAAUACUUCAUUAAGUCAUCUUUAUUUUUUUAAUUAUUAUUUUUAAAUGGUAAAUUAAUUUACUUUUAUAUUUUAAAAUCUAUAAAAUUAAUUAUUAUAUUUCUUUUUAUUUUAUUCAUUUAAGAUAAAAAAAAAUAGUUAAAAUUAAUAAUUUGAAAAAGGAAUAGCAAUGUAAUAAAUUUCCAAACAUCAAAAUUAAUUAACAUAAUAAAAAAUUUCCAUUUUGAGUAAUAGCUCAUGAGAAAAUUUUAUAUUACAAUUUCUUAAGAAUUAAGAGAAACUAUAAUUAAAAACAAAGUCCAUUCAAACUAAAUAAAUCAAAAUUUUAAAUUUAUUUUUAAGACAACAAUUAUCAAAGUUUUGAAAAUAAAAAUAAAUUGAAUUAAAUAAUAUAGAAAGAAAAAAUAAAUAAAUAACUAAACAAAUAGAUGUAAUGUAUGAUAUUAAUGGGUAAUUAAUUAUUCAUGGGUGGCACCCAUUUUAGGGCUUACAUCAUAUGCAUCUUCUUAAGGAUUAUAUUUCAAGUCAUGCUUUCAGAUAGAGUGAUAUUUAAAAUGGAUUAUUAAGAGUCCAUUUGGCUGUGAUUUUAAAAUUUUUAUCAUUCAAAUGGUAAAAAAGUUAAAAACAUUUUCUAUAAUCACUAUCAUACAUAUUAGCUCAAGGGUUCUCCUAUUUAGGUUUUGAUGAUAACAAAAUAUAGUUAAAUUACUAAUUGGUUUGAAUUGUAAAGAAUCUCAUGUAUUAAUUUAGAAAUUCAUCAAAUGACCUAAUGGAUACAAAAUCAAGACAUUUGGAAAACCUUUAAUCAUAGGAAAUAAAUGUAAGAUGAAUACAUGAGUGCGUUUUACACAUGAUUUCAUGCAUAUUUGGAAAACUCAAUUUAUUCUUUAAAGUUACAAUUUCAUUAAAACCCGAGUUUUCUCAAAUGUACCUUAGGCAAAACAUUUCAAAAUUGGCAUAUUAAUUUACCUAAAGACCUUGCCUAAGUGUUAGAAGAGAAAAUAACAGAAAAAUAUAGGUUUUCGAAGCCAAAAUGUUGAAUCGGUCAAGGCACUGGGCCAAAUGGCUCAAUUGACUAGGGUAUCAAUUGACUGGUUCCCCUUGCCCAGUUGAGAUCCAGUCGAGGAGUGUUACAAACACUCUCUCUCUCCUAGUAGCCUUUCCUUCCUGGUCGAGGUAUCAUUUUUCCCGAUCGACCUCUGAUCGAGGUCUAGUCGAAAUUCGAUCGAAGAAACGGUAACCUGCCACAUCAUUAAAUGCUCCAAUGGCUAGUGAUCCGGUUGACCCCCGCUCGAUCGGUUGAGGCUGCUUUUUAUUUUUCUUGGCUCCUGAGGUUAAAAACCUAUAAAUAGAGAGCUCCACUUUAUUUAUGAGUAAGAGAACAUCUGCAUUUAUUUGUCUACCCACUUGUUCUUGCCUUCAAAGCUCUUAUUUCUUUCUUGGUGCAUUAAAUCUUCACUUGCAUAUCCUUUAGUGCACCUUUGUGAUUCAUCCUAGCUCUGAUUUGUAUUUGAGCUAUCAUUGAACUAGGUUGAGGGAUUCUUUCUUGUAAAAUUGACUGUUAAAACCUUCAAGUGAGUUGAAUCUUGAAGAGAUUGUGUAAGAGCCCAUUAAAGCUGGAAUCUAAGUGUAAAGGAGAUUAGAAGUUUGGUUGAAGUUGUAAGUUAGUNNNNNNNNNNNNNNNNNNNNNNNNNNNNNNNNNNNNNNNNNNNNNNNNNNNNNNNNNNNNNNNNNNNNNNNNNNNNNNNNNNNNNNNNNNNNNNNNNNNGAAUGACGUAGCAGAAAGUGUCNACCACUAUAAAUCUGAGUUUAAUUUCUCUAACUCUAUCUCUUUAUAUUUGCUUCUAUUGUGCUUGAAUUUGUUGUGCUAAAAAAGAAUUUAAAAAACCCAAUUCACCUCCCCUCUUGGGUGUUUUUCUUAUUUAAGUUUAGCUUUUAUUUUCUUAAUUGGUAUUAGAUCUAGGCCUCUUGUUUAAGACUUAAUCGUCUAAAAGGAAAUGGUUAUUCCGUCAAACUCAUCUCACAUUGAAAGUUUUGCAAAAAAUAAAGCUCCAUUUUUUACGGGAACUGACUAUCCCUAUUGGAAAACUAAAAUGACUUAAUAUUUACAAUCAACCGAUUUAGAUGUAUGGGACGUCAUUGAAGAUGGCCCAACUUUUCUUUCAAAACUAGUUGAUGGAGUUAUGGUUCAAAAACCCAAGCAAGAAUGGAAUAAGCUUGAUAGAAGAAACUUUCGAUUAAAUGCUAAGGUCGUUUUCACUUUACAAUGCUAAAGAAUCGAAUGGAUAAAAAUGAAUAUAAUAGAAUAUGUCAAUGCAAAUCGGCUAAAGAAAUUUGGAGAUUGCUGGAAAUAACUCAUGAAGGAACAAAUCAAGUGAAAAAGUCAAAAAUCAAUUUACUUGUUCAUAGUUAUGAAUUUUUUUUAUGAAAGAAAAUGAAACUAUUGUUGAGAUGAUCACUAGGUUCACUAACAUUGUCAAUGGUCUUGAAAUAUUGGGAAAGACCUACAAGGAAUCCGAAAAGGUGAUGAAGAUCUUAAGGUCACUCCCAUCAAAGUGGCAUACAAAGGUCACCGCAAUUCAAGAAGCCAAAGACUUGACCAAGCUACCUAUGGAGGAGCUCAUAGGGUCAUUAAUGACAUAUGAGAUCAAUUUGGCAAAGAAGCUACAAGAAGGUGAAGACAAAAAGAAAAAAAGCAUAGCUCUCAAAGCUACAACUGAGGAAGAAGAAGAAGUUGAAGAAGAAAAACAAAGUGAAGAACAUGAUGAUUUAGCCCUCAUAACAAGAAAUCUCAACAAAUACAUGAAGGGUGAAAGGUUUAGAGGAAGAAAGUUCACCUCUAAAAGAGACCUUUCUAAAAAGGAAUCUUCAUCUCAUGGUGACAAGGAGAAAUGAGAAGAGAAAAGAGAUUUGGUGUGUUUCAAAUGUAAGAAACCGGAACACAUUAAAUAAGAUUGUUCUCUCUACAAAAGUGAAGCCAAAAGGAGAAUGAAGAAGGCAAUGAUGGCCACUUGGAGUGAAAGUGAAGAAUCCUCCAAAGAAUAAAAGGAGAAAAAAGUGGCAAACAUGUGCUUCAUGGCAAUAGAUGAACUUGAUGAGGUAAACUCUAACUUUAGUGAUGAAGAUAUGCAUGAUGUUUUUGAAUAAUUGUAUGAGGAUUUUGAAAAACUUAGUUUGAAAAAUAUUUCUCUUAAAACAAAAAUUCAACAACUUGAAAAAGAACUUGGAGAAAUAAAAGAAAAAUUUUCAAAUGUUGAAAUUUAUAAAACUCAUCUUGAAAAAAAAAAUGAGAUUUUGAGAAAGAAAAAUAAAUGGUUGACCUCCUCUCUUUCAAUAUUUUCUUGUAGACAAAAAUAUUUUGAAAUGAUUCUAGCUAGCCAAAAAUGUGUUUUUGACAAACAAUGGGUAGGAUUCAAAUCUUCAAAAAAUCAAAAGUAUUUUAAAAACUAUUUUGUAAAAGAAUCCACAAGUGCAAGUCCUUCCACUACUUGCGACUUUUGUGGAAGAGGAGGGCACAUUAGUAGUACAUGUCCUUUAAGAAAUGGUUCUCAAAAUUAUUCAAAUGCAAAAGCUAAAAAGGUUUGGAAUGAAAAAUCCAAGGCCACUAAUCCUCAAGGACCCAAAAAGACAUGGGUACCUAAAUCAACUUGAGUUUUAUAUUGUAGGGUUCAAAGAAUGAUAAGUGGUUCUUAGAUAAUGAAUGCUCAAGACACAUGACCGGAGAUGAAUCCAAGUUUGAUUUCCUUACAAAGAAAAAUGGAGGAUAUGUUAACUUUGGAGACAAUGCAAAGGGAAGAAUCAUUGGUUAAGGCAACAUUGGUAAUAACACAUCCUCUCUUAUUGAAAGUGUUUUAUUAGUAGAUGGUUUAAAACAUAACCUUUUAAGCAUUAGUCAACUUUGUGACAAAGGUUUUAAAGUGAUUUUUGAAACAUCUUAUUGCAUCAUCAAGGAUAUUCAAAAUGAUAAAACCAUCUUCAUGGGCCAUAGAUGUGAUAAUGUUUACGCUAUAAAUAUUUCAAAAUAUGAUGGCCAUGAUAGAUGCUUUUAAAACAUGCAUGAUCAAAGUUGGUUGUGGCAUAGGAGGUUUGGACAUGCUAACAUGGACCUCGUUUCCCAACUCAACAAAGAUGAACUUGUUAGAGGCCUUUCCAAAAUAAAUUUUCAAAAAGACACAGUUUGUGAAGCUUGUCAAAUGGGAAAGCAAAUAAAAAACUCUUUCAAAAACAAAAACUUCAUUUCCACAUCUAGGCCACUUGAGUUGUUGCAUAUGAAUUUAUUUGGUCCCUCUAGGACACCAAGUCUUGGAGGAAAGUCUUAUGCAUAUGUUAUUGUGGAUGACUUCUCGAGAUACACAUGGGUCUUAUUUUUAGGUAAAAAGAAUGAAGCCUUUUAUGAAUUUUCAAAGUUUUGCAAUAAGGUUCAAAAUGAAAAAGGUUUUACAAUUACUUGUAUAAGAAGUGAUCAUGGGAGAGAAUUUGAAAAUAUUGAUUUUGAAUAGUAUUGUAAUGAGCAUGGAAUUAACCACAAUUUUUCGACUCUUAGAACUCCUCAACAAAAUGGGGUAGUUAAAAGAAAAAAUAGAACUCUUCAAGAAAUGGCUAGAACCAUGCUAAAUGAAAACAAUUUGCCAAAUGUUUUUGGGUCGAAGUGGUUAACACUUUUUGUUAUGUUUUAAAUCGGAUGUUGGAAUUAACCACAAUUUUUCGGCUCCUAGAACUCCUCAACAAAAUGGGGUAGUUGAAAGAAAAAAUAGAACUCUUCAAGAAAUGGAUAGAACCAUGCUAAAUGAAAACAAUUUACCAAAAUAUUUUUGGAUCGAAACGAUUAACACUUUUUGUUAUGUAUUAAAUAGAAUAUUAUUGAGGCCCAUUCUUAAGAAAACUCCCUAUGAGCUUUGGAAAAACAAGAAACCCAACAUUAGCUAUUUCAAAGUCUUUGGGUACAAAUGUUUUAUAUUAAACACCAAAGACAAUCUUGGAAAAUUUGAUGCAAAAUCGGAUGUUGGAAUUUUCCUUGGUUACUCAACUUAAAGUAAAGCUUUUAGAGUUUUUAACAAAAGAACCAUGGUUGUAGAGGAGUUCAUCCAUGUUAUUUUUUAUGAAUCUAACAAUUCUCUCCAAGAAAGAGAGAGUUUUGAUGAUAUUUAGGUUUGGAGACCUCCAUGGGAAGAUUGCAAAUUGAAAAUAGAAGGCAAGAAGAAGUAAUUGGAGAGGAUCCCAAGAAAGAAGAAUCACCAUUGGCACUACCCCCUCCGUAACAAGUGAAAGGUGAAUCAAUCCAAGACCUUCCUAAAGAUUGGAAGUUUGUCAUCAAUCACCCAUAAGAUCAAAUUAUAGGUAAUCCAUCUAGUGGGGUAAGAACUAGAUCAUCUCUUAGAAACAUUUGCAAUAAUCUUGCUUUUAUCUCUCAAAUUGAGCCUAAAAAUAUAAAUGAUACUUUAGAUGAUGAAAAUUGGAUGAUUGUUAUGCAAGAAGGGUUAAAUCAAUUUGAAAGAAGUGAAGUAUGAGAAUUAGUACCAAGACCUUCAAAUCAAACUGUUAUUGGAACUAAAUGGGUCUUUAGAAAUAAAAUGAAUGAAAAUGACAUAAUUGUUAGAAAUAAAGCAAGAUUGGUAGCCCAAGGUUUUAAUCAAGAAGAAGGGAUAGAUUAUGAAGAAACCUUUGCCCCCGUAGCUAGGUUGGAAGCCAUUAGAAUGUUACUUGCCUUUGCAUGUUUUAAAGAAUUUGUUUUAUAUCAAAUGGAUGUGAAAAGUGCUUUUUAAAAUGGCUUUAUAAAUGAAGAAGUAUAUGUUGAACAAUCACCCGAUUUUCAAAGUUUUAACUUUCCUAACCAUGUUUUUAAACUUAAGAAGACACUUUAUGGUUUGAAACAGACACCUAGAGCAUGGUAUGAAAGAUUGAGUAAAUUUCUUUUGAAAAAAUGUUUUUAAAUGGGAAAAAUUAACACAACUCUUUUCAUAAAAACCAAAGAAAAUGAAAUGCUCUUAGUUCAAAUAUAUGUUAAUGAUAUUAUUUUUGGUACUACUAAUGUCUCUCUUUGUGAAGAAUUUUCUAAGUGCAUGCAUAGUGAGUUUGAAAUGAGCAUGAUGGGAGAACUCAACUUCUUCCUUGGACUUCAAAUCAAGUAACUAAAGAAAGGAACCUUCAUCAAUCAAGCAAAGUAUAUAAGAGAUCUUCUCAAAAGGUUCAACAUGGAAGAAGCCAAAAUAAUGAAGACUCCAAUGAGUUCAUCCAUCAAGCUUGAUAAGAAUGAAAAAGGUAAAUCCAUUGACUCUACCAUGUAUAAAGGCAUGAUAGGUUCUUUGCUAUAUUUGACCGCUAGUAGACCCGACAUUAUGUAUAGUGUUUGCUUAUGUCCUAUAUUUCAAUCUUGUCCUAAAGAAUCUCACUUAAGUGCCCUAAAAAGAAUUCUCAGAUAUUUGAAAGGAACAAUGGACAUAGGCUUAUGGUAUCCUAAGAGUGAUAACUUUGAAUUAAUUGGUUUUUCGGAUGCCCAUUUUUUCGAUUAUUACUUUUUGAUUGAUCUAAUUAUGUGUGGAUAUAAUUUUAAAUGCCUAUUAUUAAUUAAAAGGUAGUUCCAACUACCUACUAUUCUCUAUUUUGACAUAGUACAAUGGAUUCAAUGCCAUUUUGUAUGAGUAUUAAUCUAUGAAAUUAAAGUGAAGGCGUAAAAGAUAAUUUUAAGAUUUUUUUCUUAGCAUAAAGGAAAGUUCUCUGUCCAAAUACGAUUUGGAUUUUCUCUUUCUUUCUGACAUAGAUAAGAGCAGUCUAUAAAAGUGUCAAAAUUAGACUAAUCUGUUCUUAGUUUAGGGAUAAUAUCUGAACCCACACUACAUAUUUUCUACAACAAUAGUGGCUCGCAUCAAGGCCUGGCAGAGGAUGAAAUUUGUAGAUGGGUUAGGCAGGGGGCCCAAUGUGAUUGGGUCGUAUUUAGGGCGGGCCAGGCCUGAUCUAAGUGUGAAUGCUAUUAUAUGGAUUUUGAAAGGCCAAGGCUGAGCCCAGCCCCCAAAUGUGCAGGCUUGGUAGAUCAACCUGGUUAAGCAAAAGCAAGAUGAGUUUGGAAUCCGACGGGGAAAAGGGCAGCAAUGGUAGGGCCCACUUUCCUUUGAAACCUUGUUCAGUCGUCCGUCCCCACUCCUUUGAUUGCGUACGACAAACCACCCAUGGGCUUGCGUUUUUAUUUUUAUUUAUUAGUUCAUUUUUUUUAUAUCUUUAAUUUGUUUCUUAAUUAAUUCAAAUGUUUUAAUAAAGUUUACAAGAUCCACUAAUGGAACAUCAUGACACACUUUCAUGUAAAUUAAUAAUUUCACUCCCAUAAAGAAAAUGAGAUCUUGCCCAUUGCAAAUAAAUCAAUUAGCAUAAAUAUAUCAUUAUUAAUUAAUUUUUUAUAUUAUUAAUUACAUUUAAAAUAGAAAAAAUACAUCAUCUAUUUCUAAGUAUAAUGCAUUACUAUUUGAUAUCAUAAAUUUUAUCUUCAUAAAAUCCAAUAAUUAAUAUUUACCAAUUUAUGACAUUUUGAUCAUAUAAUUUAUCAAUUAUUGAAAUCAAACAUAUUUAAAAAUAUUUACAAAGUAAUCCUUUGUUUGAAAAAAUUUAAAAUGAUGUAUAAAAUUUUCAAAAUGAAACAUUUUUAUUUUUUAUAAAGUGUGAAUGUAAAAAUUAUUUAUAUAUUUAUAAUAUCAAUUAGUUAAAUAAAAUACUCAACUUUAAAAAACAAAACCAAUUAUUAUUAUCUUCUAUUGAAUUUUUUUAUUUUUAUCAUUUUUUCAUUAAUCGAGAGGAGUUACAAAAAAAAUUCAAUUAAAAAAACCCAACUUUUAAACAUGUUUUUAUUUUAUUUUUUUUCUUAACUUAACCAAAUAUAUUUUUUAGGUUUUUAAGAACAAAAUUGUUUCUUAAAAUUCAGUUUUUAAACGUAAUUUUAUUUUUAAAAAUAUAAAAAACUAUUCUUAAAAACUAUUUUCCAAAACAAUUUUUUCUAAUUAGGUUUUUGCAAUAGUGAUGAAGGACAACGCAGUUGAAGGAUCCCUUUGACUUGGGCCGCAACAUGGAUUACUGUGUUCUUUUUUGGGGUUAGUUGGACUUGAAUAUCAUAUUGCUCUAAGUACAUGGGUGUCACCUGUUAAGAUAUGGACUCACAUAUCUAACAAUAGUUCGUGAUUAUGCUAUUCACCCUUAUAUGUGUAUUUGUUUUUUGUUCGUUCUAAGUAUGGGCCAUCUCAUGUGUAGAGCCCAAUACUAUAUGUGUCUCAAAUGAUGGACCUAAGACACAUAUGGCCCAAUCUUAGUUUACCCGAAAUGGUCUCUAAGGCAGGAGGGUAUAUAAAGGGUAAGUGUCAAGUCUUAAAGAACACAUCUUUUGAAAUAAAAAAAAUGACAGUACCCAUUCUCUCAAGCUCCCAUCGUUAGAGAGAAAACUAGAAAGAGGUGGUGCCCACCAUAGCCUUAGAAGAUCCAUACCGUCUUCAAAUGCACAAUGGACUCAGGUUAGUUUGGAUUGUAGCAUUCCGCAAAACAUUUCAGGCAUAAUUUCUUUGUAUGAUUUAACAUGAGAUUCCUGGUAGAGUACAAUUGAAUCAUUAAGAAAUGACAUAUUAGGGCAAUAACAAUUGUACUGGUUUUGUUUUUCUAUUCAAAUGGACUCAGACGUCAUACCAGGCGUCAUUUGUAGCGCCAUUGGAAGUGUGUUUCAUGCACUUCAGGCGCAUUUUGAGGCACCCGCCCAGACGCCGUCCCAGGCGGCGUUCAGACACCGUUCAGGGUGCCACUUUGGCGCAGUUCAGGGUGCCACUUUGGCGCAGUUCAGGGCGUUGCUCUAGGCGACGUUUUUAGGACACCAUUUCAGGCGCUCUAGACCAUAUCUCCAAGUCACGACAUUGCGCCGAUUUUUUUGGGGUUGCCGGGUACGCCGUUGUUGCUGGCGUUCCAGGUGCCGUUUCAGCGCCGUGGGUGACGUUGUUUCUUAACGACGCUGUUACAGCGUCUUUCCUGUGUAGGCGUUGGCUGCAACUGCAAAGAGAGGCGCAUUGGAGCGCCAUUGGAGGCACGUUGGAGUGCCAUUGGAGGUGCGUUGGCCUUGCGCCGCUGCUGCAGGCGUCACUAGAGGACUGUUGUCGGUGCUGUGGCUGCAAACGAACCAAGGUCGUUUGGGGCUGCAGCAAACCCUAAAAAAAAAAAAAAAGGAAGGAAAAACCACCAAUAGGGCUCGAACCCACGACCACAAGAUUGAAAACCUUGUGCUCGACCAACUAGGCUAUGGGACUCUUAUGUUCAUUUAUGAAUUUUGUACUAUAAUAAAAUUAAGGUUUUGAUGAAUUGUUGUACUCUUUUACUAGAAUUUAUUAUUUCUUGUUACGUUUAUGUUUAACAUUUCAAAAUGAAUAGGUUAUCUAUAUAUUUGUUACCAAAGUGACUUAUAUUAUAUAAUUUUAUUCAUUUUGAAGUACAAGACAUGUUAUUAUUGUAUAAAAUAAUCGACCCAAAGGAAGAUUAUUUUUUAUAUGAUAAUAAAUAAAGAAGUCAUAAAUAUGUGACAUAUAAUGUUUAUCCUGCAUUCGAUAUGUUAGUCCAAAGACAGACAUAUUGUUUUCAAUUUUAUUGUCAAUAUUUAUGAAUUAAUUUUGAAUAAUAAUACCAAUUACAAGUUAAUAUUUAUUGUCCAAAAACAGAAUAUUAAUGUUUGUGCUAGGUAUCUUGUAUAAUGUUAUUUUUCAUGUAUGUAUGAUGCUUAUGUGAUUGAUUGUGAGCUUUAUUAUUAUGAAUUCAACAUAUUCUAUAUUUGCAAAUGUCAAUAACAUUCCUGUGCUUAAUGGCACAAACUUCAAGAAAUGGAAGGAGCAUGUUAUAAUUGUGAUCGGGUGCAUGGAUUUAGACUUUGCAUUAAGAGAGGAUCGCCCUUCAGAUCUUACUAGUGCUAGCACUGCUGAGCAAAGGUCUACUAUGGAAAAAUGGGAACAAUCCAAUCGCAUGAGUCUAAUGAUAAUGAAGCACUCAAUUCCAUAAGCUAUAAGGGGUGCAAUACCUGAGGAAACCCAAGCCAAGGCAUUCUUAGACCAAAUAGUAAACUGAUUCGCUGCAAACGAAAAGGUUGAGACAAGCACUAUUCUUAGUAAGCUUGUCUCUAUGCAGUACAAAGGGAAAGAGAAUAUAAGGGAGUACAUUAUGGAAAUGUCUAAUCUUGUGACGACACUCAAGGCCCUAAAGUUAGAGUUGUCAGAAGACAUACUCGUGCACUUGGUCUUGAUCUCUCUACCUACACAAUUCAGUCCAUUCAAAAUCAGUUACAACACACAAAAGGAAAAAAUGGAUUUUGAAUGAGCUUAUUGCUCAAUGUGUACAAGAGGAGGAGAGAUUGAAACAAGAAAAGAUAGAAAGUGCUCACUUGGCUUCCACAUCUCAGGGAUUUGGUACUAGUAAGAAAAGAAAUAAGAACAAUAAAGGAAAACAAACUACAGUUUCUGGGACAUCAAAGCAAAAUGAGCAAAAAAAACAAGAUAAGGAGAUCACUUGUUUCUUUUACAAGAAGGCUGGUCAUAUGAAGACAUGUACAAAAUACGCUACUUGGCAUGAAAAGAAAGGUACACUUCUCAACUUUGUUUGUUCAAAAAUAAAUUUAAGCAUAGUGCCUACUGACACUUGGGGGAUAGAUACGGGUGCAACUACUCACAUAAGUGUCACUAUGCAGGGUUGCCUAAGGAGCCGAAUGCCAACUGACUAUGAAAGAUACAUCUAUGUGGGAAAUGGCAACAAGGCUGCAGUCAAGGCUAUUGGUAUUUUCAAAUUACAGUUAGACUCUGGAUGUAUUUUGGAUUUGGAAGAGACUUUUGUAGUACCGUCAUUUAGACAGAAUUUAAUUUCUGUUUCAUGUUUGGACAAAUUUGGAUAUUGUUAUUCAUUUAGAAAUGGAAUGUUUAGUCUUUAUCUAAAUUCAAAUAUUAUUGGUACAGGUAGUCUAACAGACAAACUAUAUAAAUUGAACAUAAAGGCCACUAAUGGAAAUGAAACCUUGCAUUCAAGUAAUUAUGGCAUUAAGCGAAAAUUAACGAAUGAGAAUUCAUCAAUGUUAUGGCACAGGCGUUUGGGUCAUAUUUCAAAUCAACGAAUUCAAAAGCUUGUGUUAGAAGGAAUUCUUAAUCCACUUGAUUUCUCAGACUUUCAAGUCUGUAUAGAGUGCAUUAAGGGAAAACAAACAAAUAUGAGGAAAAAGAAUGCCAAUAGGUGUAGUGACAUCUUGGAAUUGAUACAUACAAACAUUUGUGGUCCAUUUCCUACCCCUUCUUGGAAUGGACAACAAUAUUUUAUCACUUUCAUUGACGAUUACUCGCGCUAUGGCUAUCUUUAUUUGAUUCAUGAGAAGUCUCAGUCAUUGGAUGUGUUCAAGAAUUUCAAAGCUAAAGUUGAGAACCAACUAAGCAAGAAAAUAAAAGUCGUUAGAUCUGACCAUGGAGAACAUUAUGGUAGAUAUGACGGAUCCGGAGAACAACGUCCAGGGCCAUUCACCAAAUAUUUGAUAGAGUGUGGUAUCGUUCCUCAGUACACCAUGUUAGGGACUCCAAGCCAAAAUGGUGUAGCAGAGAGGCCAAACCGUACUCUUAAGGAUAUGGUAAGAAGUAUGAUCAGUCAUUCCACCUUUCCAGAAUCACUUUGAGGAGAAGCCAUCAAAAUUGCAAUUUACAUUUUGAAUAGAGUACCAAGCAAAGCAGUAGCCAAAACCCCAUAUGAGUUAUGGACUAGCAAGAAACCUAGUAUUAGGAACUUGCAUGUCUGGGGUUGUCCAACUGAAGCUAGGUCUUACAAGCCAAAUGAAAAGAAAUUGGACUCCAAAACAGUGAGCUGCUACUUUGUAGGGUAUUCUGAAAGGUCGAGAGGUUACAAAUUUUAUGACCCCUCAACUAGAUCCUUCUUUGAAACGGGCAAUGCUAAGUUCAUUGAGGAUGUUGAGUUAAGUGGGAGAGAGCCAUUAAGAAAGGUGAUCUUUGAAGAUGAAUAUGUUAAUAUUCCUAUUAUUACGACUAGACAAGGUCAUAUUAUGUUUGAUGACACUAUUGAAAAUGUACAGUCGAUAACAGGGAUUCAAGACACCUGAGAUUCCUCCUACUCAAGUUAUGGAACUGAUUCAAGUUCAUCAAGAGGUAACUCAACAACCUCAAGAACCUCAAGUACAAGUUCCACUGAGGAGAUCCACUAGAGAAAGGAAAAGUACAAUUUUAGAUGAUUAUGCUGUAUAUCUCCAAGAACAUGAGUUUGACAUGGGUCUAGAAGACGAUCCAAUUUCAGUUAGUCAAGUCAAACAAAGUUCUGACUCUGAAAAGUGGAUAGAAGCCAUGAAGGAUGAGAUGAAAUCAAUGAAAGACAAUGGUGUUUGGGACCUAGUAGAGUUGCCUGAGGGUGUAAAAUCGAUUGGUUGUAAAUGGAUUUUUAAGACCAAGUGGGAUUCAAAAGGCAACAUUGUUAGGUAUAAGGCACGCCUAGUUGCAAAAGUUUUCACUCAAAAGGAAGACAUUGAUUAUAAGGAGACCUUUUCACCAGUUUCAUCAAAGGACUCCUUUAGAAUCAUCAUGACACUUGUAGCUCAUUAUGAUUUAGAGCUUCAUCAAAUGGACGUUAAAACUGUGUUUCUUAAUGGUAACAUUAAUGAGACAAUAUACAUGGUGCAACCGAAGAACUUUGAGUCUAAUAAUUCAAAGCAACUUGUAUGCAAAUUAAAAAAGUCCAUAUAUGGUUUAAAGCAAGCAUCCCGACAAUGGUACCGAAAUUUUGAUCAGGUGAUUACUUCAUUUGGUUUUAAAGAGAACACCAUUGAUCAAUGCAUAUACCUCAAGUUCAGUGGGAGCAAAUUCAUUAUCUUGGUUUUAUAUGUUGAUGAUAUUCUACUUGCAAGCAGUGAUGUGGGACUUUUGCAUGAAACCAAGCGAUUUUUGUCUAGUAAAUUUGACAUGAAGGAUCUUGGUAAUGCAUCUUUGGUGCUAGGUAUACAGAUCCAUAGGGAUCGUUCAAGAGGUAUACUUGGGUUAUCACAAAAGGCUUACAUCGAUAAGGUGUUGAGUAGAUUUGGCAUGAGCAAUUGUGCACCAGAAGACACGUCUGUAGCAAAAGGUGAUAAAUUCAGUUUACACCAAUGUCCAAAAAAUGAACUUGAGAAGAAGGAUAAGGUGUUGAGUAGAUUUGGCAUGAGCAAUUGUGCACCAGAAGACACGUCUGUAGCAAAAGGCGAUAAAUUCAGUUUGCACCAAUGUCCAAAAAAUGAACUUGAGAAGAAGGAUAUGGAAAGAUUUCCCUAUGCCUUGGCAGUAGGAAGUCUCAUGUAUGCACAAGUUUGUACGCGUCCGGAUAUUGCGUACAUUGUUGGAAUGUUAGGUAGAUAUUUAAGUAACCCAGGUAUGGAUCAUUGGAAAAAAGCAAAACGGGUUAUGCGGUAUUUACAAAGAACUAAAGAUUACAUGCUCACAUACCGUAGAUCAAGUCACUUAGAGAUCGUGGGAUAUUCAUACUCCAAUUUCGCAGGAUGUCUUGAUAGUAGGAAAUCCACUUCAGGCUACAUCUUCAUGUUAACUGGAGGAGCAGUUUCAUGGAAAAGUGUUAAACAAACACUUAUUGCUUCUUCCACCAUGGAGACAGAAUUCAUAGCCUGCUACGAAGCAUCAAACCAUGGGAUAUGGCUGCAGAAUUUUAUCACUCAGUUAUGAAUCGUUGAGGGGAUUGAGAAACCAUUGAGAAUCAACUGUGAUAAUAAGGCCGCAGAAUUAUAUUCUAAGAACAACCAAAGUUUGUCAAAGUCCAAACACAUUGACAUCAAGUUCUUGGUUGUGAAAGAAAGAGUUCAGAGUCUUCAAGUAUCGAUUGAACACAUAAGCACAAACUCCAUGAUUGCGGAUCCGCUCACUAAGGGUUUGCCACCCAAAGUAUAUCAUGAGCACGUUGCACAUAUGGGUGUUGUACACAUUGAUGAUGUGCCAGAAUAGUGGGAGUUUGUGUUUAUUUUCUUGAUGUGAUAUUAUGUUGUGUUAUCUGUACAGAUCUUGAUUUUAAAGACUAUUGUAUUUGAAUUCUCUGAAUUGAAAUGAUGACUUUCAGAAGCAGUUUAGUAUCAAGUAUUGAAAGUGGUAUUUGACUAUUUUUAGUCAUAAAGUAGGACCAAUAGGAAAUAGAUAUAUUAAAGAUCAUAUUCUAUGUAAUUUCCAUGCUACACAUCCAUACUUGAUCCAUGUUGCUAAUUUUGUAUAUGUUGUGAUUGAUGAUGGGUCUAGUUAUAAUUAUAAUUAACGAAGGCCGUUUUAAUCCUAUGUUAGCAUAAUUAAUAGACCGGAUUGCUAAGGAUAUUAAGAUAGAAUAGCAAGAUGAGCUCAAUAAAGUACUAUCAUGAACAUUGUUUUGUAAUAUAUGUGGUCCAAGUGGGAGAUUGUUAAGAUAUGGACUCACAUAUCUAACAAUAGUUCGUGAUUAUGCUAUUCACCCUUAUAUGUGUAUUUGUUUUCUGUUCAUUCUAAGUAUGGGUCAUCUCAUGUGUAGAGCCCGAUACCAUAUGUGUCUCAAAUGAUGGGCUUGAGACACAUAUGACCCAAUCUUAGUUUACCUGGAAUGGUCCCUAAGGCAGGAGGGUAUAUAAAGGGUAAGUGUCAAUUCUUAAAGAACACAUCUUUUGAAAUAAAAAAAAUGACAGUACCCGUUCUCUCAAGCUCCCAUCGUCAGAGAGAAAACUAGAAAGAGGUGGUGCCCUCCAUAGCCUUAGAAGAUCCAUACUGUCUUCAAACGCACAAUGGACUCAGGUUAGUUUGGAUUGUAGCAUUCCACAAAACCUUUCAAGCAUAAUUUCUUUGUAUGAUUUAACAUGAGAUUCCUGGUAGAGUUUCUUUUGUGUUAAUAAUGGUUAGGAAUUACAUCAUCGUCUGCUGUAGCCACGUACACUGUAGGAUUCAUGAAUGUGAUGUGGGUCAGGCUACCAUCUUCAACUGCAGCCUAGUUGGUGAUUUUCCUAGCAUCUUCAGCUCCAACCCGAUUGGACUCUCUGCUCAAGUUAAGGAUGGAAGUAGUGGGAUCAACCAUUGUUGUUUGAUUAGCAGUAUCUAUUCUAUAUUUUGCACCAAGGAUGGGAAACAAGUUGAUCAAUUGUUUAAUGGAAUGGGUGGCUCUUAGCUCAACCUUGGGAGAAGUUGAUACUUCUUAUAGCCUGCAGGCCAAAAUGUUGGACUGAUGACAAUUUCCCAUCUCAUUGGAUGGAUCCAUAUGCAUAAACAGUGCAAAGAAAUAUUUGGUCACAUUUUCAAUUUUUAACAAUCCCUUGUAUGAUCAAAGAAGUUCAUUGAAUUUUACCCAAGAAAAUAUAAGCAUUAUUCUAAUUAUGUAUUUUAUUUUCAUAAAUAUUAAAUAUAUUUGGUAGCUUCAUUGUUCUUAAAAAUUAUAAAUAGAAAAUUAUUUUUUCUAAUUGUGUUAAAAAUAAUAAAUACAAUAUUAAUUUUUAUAAUUAUUAUAUGUUAUAUUUUUUAUGAUUUCUUCAGUGGAUUUCAGUGACUUUUAAUGUCGAUAAGCAAGACAUACAUGAUGUUGGUUUAGUUGUAAAAAAACAAGAUGUGGUGAGUUUUGCGUGUUAAUUUUGUAAACUGAAAUGUGGAAACAGUUGGUUUCUUUCCAUUUAUGUUUUAAUUUUUCUUAAUUCAUGUUUGUGUUCUUAUUCUUUUUUUUUUUUUCAAUUUUUAAUUUAAAUAUAGGUAUGGAAUCAUAAAUGCCCAUCUCUUAAAAGUAAUCUACAAUAAAAUGUACAUCAAAUAAAUUUAAGUGAUGAUUAAGAAUAAGGGCAUGAAACUUAGGAAAGGGCUAAAAUAUAAGUUGUAAUUGCUUUUGAAAAUAAUUUUUUAAAACAGUUUUGAAAAUUGUUAUCCAAUGCCUAAUAGAAUAAAAAUUUGUUUGAAAACUUGAAAUAUUUUUAAUCUAUUUUUAAUGUUUUUAAAAAUAAUUUUUUAUUUGUAAUCAUUCUACUUAUUUAUAUAAUUAUUUUUAAAACAUUCAUAAGAAAAUAAGUGAAAACAAUUAAAAUAUGUUAUUUAAAAAUACCAUAUUUUAAAUUUUUAAAAACAUAAAACAUAGAACAAUUUUCUAGUAGUCAAAUAUAUUUUCUUUUUUUUUUCUUUUUUUUUUCCUUUUUUUUUUUUUAAAAAAAAACCUAUUCUCAAAAACAAUUAUCAAAUAAGACCAUAUAUUUUUUUUUACCUUCAUUAUCUAAUAACAUUGCAAUUGUUUUAUAAAUUAUGUUUUAUCCUAAGUUUAGCAAAUAAAAAAAUCUAUAUGUGUUUCUAAAAUGAUUUACAAUAUUAAGUAAAAAUAAUAUAAUAUUUUUUGAAAUUAUAAAAUUAGUUAAAAUUUUAUUUCAUUUUUAAUAUAUUCAUAUUUAAAUAUUAUACAUAUUUCAUUUAAUAAAGUUUAAAAUAUUAAUAUAUUUAUAUUUAUAAUUGAUAAUAUCAAAGAUAAAAAAUAAAUAUUAUUAAUUUUUAAUUUAUCUAUACAUAUAUUUUUUAAAAUUAUUGUUUUUAAUUUUAAUAUAUUUAUAAUGUUACUGGUUCCAUCGCGAUUUGAACAUCAAUUCAAUCAUUAAAUUGUCAAUUAUAAUUUUUUUGGUUCAAUAACAGGUUUGAUGCUAAAAACAUUGUGAGAAACCUUUAGGGAGUUGUCAUUUCGCAUAACCAGCUAACUAGAACCAUCCCUGUUGACCUGGGCUUGUUGAUGCCAAACUUAGUUAAGCUUGAUUUUUUGAUCAACUGGCUCAUUGGAUCACUUCUGAAUUCCCUCAUUUAUAUUCUGCAUGAAAAGCUUGACCCAUCUAGACAUAGUGAUGACAGGAACCCCCCACAAUUAGCAUGAAUUCACAUUUAAAUAUUACACAUAUUUCAUUUAAUAAAGUUUAAAAUAUUAAUAUAUUUAUAUUUAUAAUUGAUAAUAUCAAAGAUAAAAAAUAAAUAUUAUUAAUUUUUAAUUUAUCUAUAUAUAUAUAUAUUUUUUAAAAUUAUUAUUUUUAAUUUUAAUAUAUUUAUAAUGUUACUGGUUCCAUCGCGAUUUGAACAUCAAUUCAAUCAUUAAACUGUCAAUUAUAACUUUUUUGGUUCAAUAACAAGGUUUGAUGCUAAAAACAUUGUGAGAAACCUUUAGGGACUUGUCCUUUCGCAUAACCAGCUAACUAAAACCAUCCAUGUCGAUCUGGGCUUGUUGAUGCCAAACUUAGUUAAGCUUGAUUUUUUGAUCAACUGGCUCAUUGGAUCACUUCUGAAUUCCCUCAUAUAUUCUGCAUGAAAAGCUUGACCCAUCUAGACAUAGUGAUGACAGCUAUUGAACCCCCCACAAUUAGCAUGAAUUCUUUCUUGGGUCUCAUUUUUCUUGAUUUUAGCCUCUUUGUUGCUUCUAAAUGCCAACAACUGACCUCUGUUUAUGACUUUUUAUGAAAUAUAACUUCCCCUUCUAUUUUAUAUCUUUAGAACAACAGUCACAGGCAGCUUCUUCACUCUCAAAACUUGUUGCCUUGGCAUACCUCAAUUUCUCUAAUAACAAUUUUGAAAUAUGCCAUGCUAUAUUUGUGACAUAGUAGGCCUUGCCUUUAUCAAUUUCUCUGGCAACAGAUUCACUGGCUAUGCACCAGAGAUUUGCAUGAAAGACCGACAGUGCUCACACUCCUACCUUUAUAUCUUCUUGGCAGGGCUACAUAGUUGUGAGGGCUCUGACGCAAGCAGCCAAGCCUCUGUUUGAGCUAUUGUACCACUUUCAUAUUCCUAGUUCUGCUCAUUUUCCUUCUCACACGGAGGAUGCAGAGGCAAAAAACUGUAGUUGUUGACAAGGGAAAGGGCAAGCUGGUGAAAGUAGUUGAGUCAGAAUCCGUUGAUGAGCUGCUGGGCAAGAAGAUAAAAGGGACAACUAGCACUAACUUUGCAACAUUUGAGUGCUCUUUGCUGCGGAUGAAACCUUUAGAUAUCUUAUCAGUGACUGACAACAUCAGCAAGACUUAUAUUAUUGGUGACGGUGGGCUUGGUACAAUGUAAUUAUAAAGCCUUACUACCAGAGGGAUGAACAAUUGCUGUCAGAAGGCUCAACAGAAGACGUUUGCCUAGUGACUGGGAAUUCUUACCUGAAAUGGGGACAGUUGGAAAGGUUAAGCGUGAAAACCUAGUUCAACUUCUUGGUUGCUGCAUCCUUCAGGAUGAGAGAUUUUUAGCAUACGAGUGUAUGGAGAAUGGAAGUCUUGACGUGUGGUUGAGGAAUAGAGCAGUUGCAGUUGAGGCCCUGGACUGGCCCACCAGUUUCAAGAUCUGUUUGGGAUCUUCCAGGGGGGCUCGCCUUUCUGCGUCAUGAUUUUUUUCUUCACAUUAUUCACAGAGACAUCAACCCUAGUAAUAUUUUUUUAACAAUAAAUUUGAGCCAUGGGUGGCAAUCUGGUUGGCUGGGUGGAAUGGAUGGUUGCAAAUGGGAGGGAAGAUGAUGUGCUGAAUCCGUACUUUUCAACUAUUAAAAAGUGGAAGAAUCAAAUGUUAGGUGAGCUUUCAAUUGCAUGAUUGUGCACAUUUGAUGACUCAUGGAAGCGGCGUGCCAUGCUUGAGGUGGUGAAGCUGUUAAUGGAGAUUAAGCUGGUAGCUCACUGAAACUGUAUGUGACUGCAAGUCCAAAAAUUCUACAAUAGCAUAUGUUUUCGACUUAUGAUUGAGAAACACAUGUAAAUAAGUGACUAGAGUAGAAGGAUAGAAAUGUGCUAUGAUAUUCAAUAUUAUCUUUUGAACUCUGCAGACCAGUUGGGAUACGCAUUUUCCUCAAAUGGGACUGCAACUUUUCUCUUAUGUUAACAAGAUGCUAAGUUUGAGAAUUGGCUGUGCGUUUUUAGUUUUCGUGUUUGGAAACCACAAGCAUCCAUUGCAACCAGAGACCAGUUCCAAUUAAAGCAUUAAUAUCUACAGCAACAAAGUUAGAUUUAAUCCAAGGGAGACAAAUGAAGAUUAUGUUGUAAUACUCAAGAAACUUCUCUUCAUUUUUAUUUGCCUGGGAAGGAGUUGACCUUAGCUCCAAGCCUUUAGGAUGUUGGAGACAUUAGGUGAAGGGGAGAUGAAAUUAAGUGGAAGGGUGUCCACAUGUCCAGAGGAGUAUUGUUGUUAUAUUAUUACAUGCCUUUAAUGCCCUAGCACUAUAGAGGUUGGAUAUCGCCGUCCUUGGAAUGAGGUUGAAGGCCUCAACAUGCCUUUUGAUGGGAUAAAUACAAACAAUGUACAACAAGAUUUUAUCCUCUCUUGUGAGAACCUAAUAAGAAUCAAUCAAAUAAAGCAACAAGAAUUCACCCAAUCAAUAAAUACAUGAACACCAACAAUGUUUAGCAUGGAAAACCUUCUUCAAUGUGAGAAGUAAAAACCACGGGACCCUUAGGCCACUUAAAAACUCCACUAAUAUAAUCAAUGGGUUACAUAAUUCUCUCUAGAUAAAACUAGAGGCAUACAUCAACCAUAUCUUAAGACAAAUUAAUCUUGGCAAUUUCAACAACUUUGCAUAAAGACAAUGGAGAAAUCUCACCAAACACAGCCACUGUUCUUGGAUUGAAAUAUAAUUGUUCCAAACUCCAAAUCCAAUCUCCACCGUUCAGAAUGAAUAUUAAUGAGUUCUGAACGUGCUCACCAAAAAUCAGUUUAAUCGAACCAUGGAUUAAACAAAGGCUCUGUUCUCAUACUGAAAGACGACCGUUUGGAACUCUAAAUCUGAUCUCCACCGUUUAGAUUGAAGAUUAAUGAGUCACGAACCUCUCUUCCAAAUUUCAGGUUGAUCGACCCACAGAAGAAGCGGGAUUAGACCUUUGAUGAAAUCUGUACAGUGAAGAAAAACUGAGUUUUUCUCUCUAACUUCAAAAAUAGUGGUUCUCCAUUUCUCUCUCUUUUCUCCUUCUACCUUCGAUGGCUACAAAAAAAUUAGAAGAAGAAUAAGAAGAAGAAGGGGGAUUCUUCUUCUAAUCAUUUUAUAUAAAGGCCUAAGAGGCCUUAAAUUUUGGGCUCUUAAUUUGGGCCUUCCACAUGAAGAAAAACCCAACAAAUCUCCCAAUUUUCGAUUAUGUGGAGAGAUUCACCAUCCCGACGAUUGAACAACAAACUUCAAGCUUCUCUCUUAGUAAAGACUUCGUUAACAUAUCUGAGCCAUUAUGAUCGGUAUGUAUCUUCUCAAGUUCAAACAAGUUGUCAUUGAGAACAUCUCUCAUCCAAUGAUACCUCACAUCAAUGUGCUUCGAUCUUGCAUGAAAGGUAGAAUUCUUACUAAGGUGAAUGACGCUUUGAUUAUCACAGUAUACCACAUAGUGUUGCUGCUUAAACCCGAGCUCAUGUAUGAAACGCUUCAUCCACAACAAUUCUUUAUAUGUUUCUACUACUACAAUGUACUUUGCCUUUGUUAUGGAAAGUAAAACACAUUUUUGUAGUCUUGAUUGUCAAGACACAGCACCUCCUGAGAAUGUUAUCAAAUAGCCUGAAGUAGACCUUCUAUUAUAUACAUCCCCUGCCAUGUUUGAAUCAGUGUAGCCAACAAGUACUGAUUUACCACUUCCAAAAGUGAGUUUCAACUUGGAAGUGCCUCACAAAUAUCUCAUAAUCCACUUGACUGCCUCCCAAUGUAGUCUUCUUGGAUUAGAUAGAAAGCGUCUAACAACACCAACUACAUAAGCUAUGUCUAGUCUAGUACAUACCAUGACAUACAUCAAACUUCCUACUACUGAGGCAUACAGAACUUUUAUCAUGUCUUCCUUCUCCUUAUCUGUAGAAGGGUUAUGCCUAUUGUUUAGCUUAAAGUGACUAGCUAGAGGAGAACUAACAACUUUAGCUUUGCUCAUGUUAAAUCUUUCAAGGACCUUUUCAAUAUAUUGCUCCUGUGACAUAUACAACUUCUUGGAUGCUCUAUCUCGCUCAAUUCUAAUACCAAGAAUUUUCUUUGCUGGCCCAAAAUCCUUCAUGGAAAAGGAUUUGCUUAACUACUUCUUCAACUUAUCAAUUUCUGAAACAUUUCUGCCAACAAUCAAGAUAUCAUCAACAUAGAGCAACAAUAUAACAAAAUCAUCAUCAGAGAACUUCUGCACAAAUACAUAAUGGUCAGAAGUAGUUUUUCGGUAGCCUUGCUCUCCCAUAAUUGAUUCAAACUUCUUACACCACACUGCCUCGGUGCCUAGUUCAAGCCAUAAAGACUUUUCUUCAACUUACACACAUAACCCUCUUUUCCUUUUAUUGUGAAACCCUCUGGUUGUUCCAUAUAAAUUUCUUUGUCUAAAUCACCAUGGAGAAAUGUAGUCUUAACAUCCAUCUACUCAAUCUCCAAAUCAAGACUAGCUACCAAACCCAAAACUAUACGAAUAAACGACAUCUUAACAACAGGAGAAAAAAUCUCAUCAAAAUCACUACCUUUCUUUUGAUUGAACCCUUUGACAACCAAUCUAUCUUUGUAACGUGGUUGUGAAGUGUAGUCUUCUUNNNNNNNNNNNNNNNNNNNNNNNNNNNNNNNNNNNNNNNNNNNNNNNNNNNNNNNNNNNNNNNNNNNNNNNNNNNNNNNNNNNNNNNNNNNNNNNNNNNNGACCAUUUCAACCAGUGUCCUAUUCAUUCUCUUAGGUAAUCCAUUCAACUGAGGAGUCUUAAGAGGUGUCUUUUGAUGUUGAAUACCAUGUUGUCUACAAUACUCAUCAAAAGGACCAUAAUACUCACCCCCAUUAUCAGUUUGGAUGCAUUUCAAUUUUUCACCAGAUUGUCUCUCAACAAGAGCAUGAAACUGCUUAAACACCUUUAACACUUGGUCUUUUGUUUUCAAGGUAUACACCCAAAUCUUUCUUGAAUGAUCAUCUAUAAAAGUCACAAAAUAUAAAGAUCCAUCAAGUGUUUUUGUUUUCAUAGGACCACACACAUCAAAAUACACUAAAUCAAGCAUACCUAGCUUCCUUAUAUGGCAAUGUGUUUUGAAUGCAACUCUGGUCUGCUUUCCUGCUAAGCAAUGAGCACACCUUUAAUUUUCAAAGAUCCCUUCUUCAUAUCAGAAAGAAGAUUUUUCUUAACCAAAAUCAUCAAGCCCUUCUCACUCAUGUGAUCGAGUUUGUUGUGCCAAAGCUCAAUUGUGCCAUCAUCAUUCACUGCAUUGAUACUGGAAUCAAUUACCCUUGCCUGCAUCAAAUACAAUGAGGAAUACUUCUUUCUUUUUGCUACCACCAUAGAACCUCUAGUCAGCUUCCAUUGACUAUCAAGAAAGGUGUUGUAUAACCCUUCAUCAUCAAGUUUACCUAUGGAGAUUAAAUUCAUGCGAAUAUCCGGAAUGUGUUUGACAUUCUUCAAAAUCAACAUAGUACCAUUACUAGUCUCCAAACGCACAUCUCUCAUACCGAUGGCUUUAGCUAAGUCAUCAUUACCCAUCCUAACACUUCCAAAAUCAUCGGAUGUGUAGGAUGUAAAGAAAUCUUUCCGAGGUAUAGCAUGAUUGAGGCACCGUUAUUAAUCACCCAACUGGUCUCUUAGCAAGCAAAAUUAACAACAUCACUUUCAUAAACAAUAAGGAAAUUUGAAGUGGUAGUGGCAACUCGAUCAUCUUCACCACCAUUGUCAUUCUUCUUGUCAUUCACUUUCCCUUGUUUCAUAUCUCUCUUCAAUUGGCGACAAUACUUAUAUGCCCUUUCAAAUGGCAAUAGUGACACUUAACAUUAGCAAACUUAUUAGUCUUGCUUUUGCUUUUAUCUCUGUUCUUCGGACCUCAACUCUUACUCCUCCCUCUCUUUUCAGUAACUAGGACAUCUGACCGUGAAGAAGAACCCUGUGACUUUUUUCUCACCUCUUCAUUCAAAACACAACUCUUAACCAAAUCCAUAUUCAUAGUACCAUUUGGGGCUGAGUUAGACAAAGAAGUUCUAAAUGUCUCCUACGAGUCCGACAAUGUACCAAGAAGCCACAACCCUUGCACCUCUUCCUCAAACUUGAUAUUCAUUCCAACCAACUGAUUAAUAAUACCUUGGAAUGUAUUUAAGUGAUCUGUCAUAGGAGUUCCAUCUUGAUACUUCAAGCUAAUCAUCUUCUUGAUCAGAAACAAUUUAUUGUUACUAGUUUUUUUAGCAUAUAACUGUUUGAGCUUGUUCCAUAGACUCUGUGCAUGUUUCUCCUCACUAACAUAAUUGAGAACAUUAUCAUCUAUCCAUUGUCUGAUAUAACCACAAACUUGCAAAUGAAGUAAAUUCCAUUCUGCAUCAGUUUUAUUUUCUGGCUUUUCAGAAGCAAACACAGACAAAUAAUAAUCCUUCACAUACAAUAAGUCUUCCAUAUUUCCUUUCCAAACAUGAUAAUUAGAGUCAUUCAGAGUAAUCAUUCUACUUGUAUUGCUUUCCAUUGUUCUACACAAAGCACAAAUUAUCUUGAACCAAUGCUUUGAUACCACUUUGAUGAGAUAAACACAAACAAUGCACAACCAGAUUUUAUCCCCUCUUGUGAGAACCUAAUAGGAAUCAAUCAAAUAGAGCAACAAGAAUUCACCCAAUCAACAAGUAUAUGAAUACCAACAAUUUUUAGCGUGACAACCUUCUCNAUGUGAGAAGUAAAAANNNNNNNNNNNNNNNNNNNNNNNNNNNNNNNNNNNNNNNNNNNNNNNNNNNNNNNNNNNNNNNNNNNNNNNNNNNNNNNNNNNNNNNNNNNNNNNNNNNNNNNNNNNNNNNNNNNNNNNNNNNNNNNNNNNNNNNNNNNNNNNNNNNNNNNNNNNNNNNNNNNNNNNNNNNNNNNNNNNNNNNNNNNNNNNNNNNNNNNNNNNNNNNNGUUCUCAGACUGAAAUAUAACUAUUCCAAACUCCAAAUCCAAUCUCAACCGUUCAGAAUGAAGAUCAAUGAGUUUUGAGCGUGGUCAUAAAAAAUCAGCUCAAUCGAACCAUGGAUUAACCUUAAUCAGAGCUCAUGAUCAAAACUAUCCGGAUAUAAAACUCACCAAAAUAGAGGCUUUGUUCUCGGACUGAAAGACGACCGUCCGGAACUCCAAAUCCGAUCUCCACCAUUCAGAUUGAAGAUCAAUAAGUUAUGAACCUCUCCUCCAAAUUUCAGGUCGAUCGACCCACAGAAUAAGUGAGAUCGGACUUUUGAUGAAAUCUGGACAGUGAAGAAAAACUGAGUUUUUCUCUCUAACUUCAAAAAUAGUGGUUCUCCCUUUCUCUUUCUUUUCUCAUUCUACUCUCUCUUUCUUCUACCUCCGGUGGCUGCAAAAAAAUUAAAAGAAGAAAUAUAUGAACACCAAGUAUAUGAACACCAACAAUUUUUAGCGUGACAAACCUUCUCCAAUGUGAGAAAUAAAAACCACGGGACCUUUAGGCCACUUAAAAACUCCAUUAACAUAAUCAAUGAGUUACACAAUUCUCUCUAGAUAAAAUUAGAGGCAUACAUCAACCAUAUCUCAAGACAAAUUAAUCUUGGCAAUUUUAACAACUUUGCAUAAAGACAAUGGAGAAAUCUCACCAAACACAGCCAUUGUUCUCAGACUGAAAUAUAACUAUUCCAAACUCCAAAUCCAAUCUCAACCGUUUAGAAUGAAGAUCAAUGAGUUUUGAGCGUGGUCAUAAAAAAUCAGCUCAAUCGAACCAUGGAUUAACCUUAAUCAGAGCUCAUGAUCAAAACUAUCCGGAUAUAAAACUCACCAAAAUAGAGGCUUUGUUCUCGGACUGAAAGACGACCGUCCGAAACUCCAAAUCCGAUCUCCACCAUUCAGAUUGAAGAUCAAUAAGUUACGAACCUCUCCUCCAAAUUUCAAGUCGAUCGACCCACAGAAGAAGUGAGAUCGGACUUUUGAUGAAAUCUGGACAAUGAAGAAAAACUGAGUUUUUCUCUCUAACUUCAAAAAUAGUGGUUCUCCCUUUCUCUUUCUUUUCUCAUUCUACUCUCUCUUUCUUCUACCUCCGGUGGUUGCAAAAAAAUUAAAAGAAGAAAUAUAUGAACACCAAGUAUAUGAACACCAACAAUUUUUAGCGCGGCAAACCUUCUCCAAUGUGAGAAAUAAAAACCACGGGACCUUUAGGCCACUUAAAAACUCCAUUAACAUAAUCAAUGAGUUACACAAUUCUCUCUAGAUAAAAUUGGAGGCAUACAUCAACUAUAUCUCAAGACAAAUCAAUCUUGGCAAUUUCAACAACUUUGCAUAAAGACAAUGGAGAAAUCUCACCAAACAUGGUCAUUGUUCUCAAACUGAAAUAUAACUAUUCCAAACUCCAAAUCCAAUUUCCACCGUUCAGAAUGAAGAUCAAUGAGUUCUGAACGUGGUCAUAAAAAAUCAGCUCAAUCGAACCAUAGAUUAACCUUAAUCAGAGCUCAUGAUCAAAACUGUCCGGAUAUAAAACUCACCAAAAUAGAGGCUUUGUUCUCGGACUGAAAGACGACCGUCCGGAACUCCAAAUCCGAUCUCCACCAUUCAGAUUGAAGAUCAAUAAGUUACGAACCUCUCCUCCCAAUUUCAGGUCGAUCGACCCACAGAAGAAGUGAGAUCAGACUUUUGAUGAAAUUUGGACAGUGAAGAAAAACUGAGUUUUUCUCUCUAACUUCAAAAAUAGUGGUUCUCCCUUUCUCUUUCUUUUCUCAUUCUACUCUCUCUUUCUUCUACCUCCGGUGGCUGCAAAAAAAUUAAAAGAAGAAAUAUAUGAACACCAAGUAUAUGAACACCAACAAUUUUUAGCGUGGUAAACCUUCUCCAAUGUGAGAAAUAAAAACCACGGGACCUUUAGGCCACUUAAAAACUCCAUUAACAUAAUCAAUGAGUUACACAAUUCUCUCUAGAUAAAAUUGGAGGCAUACAUCAACCAUAUCUCAAGACAAAUUAAUCUUGGCAAUUUCAACAACUUUGCAUAAAAACAAUGGAGAAAUCUCACCAAACAUGGUCAUUGUUCUCGAACUGAAAUAUAACUAUUCCAAACUUCAAAUCCAAUUUCCACCGUUCAGAAUGAAGAUCAAUGAGUUAUGAACGUGGUCAUAAAAAAUCAGCUCAAUCGAACCAUAGAUUAACCUUAAUCAGAGCUCAUGAUCAAAACUGUCCGGAUAUAAAACUCACCAAAAUAGAGGCUUUGUUCUCAGACUGAAAGACGACCGUCCGGAACUCCAAAUCCGAUCUCCACCAUUAGAUUGAAGAUCAAUAAGUUACGAACCUCUCCUCCAAAUUUCAGGUCGAUUGACCCACAGAAGAAGUGAGUUCGGACUUUUGAUGAAAUCUGGACAGUGAAGAAAAACUGAGUUUUUCUCUCUAACUUCAAAAAUAGUGGUUUUCCCUUUCUCUUUCUUUUCUCAUUCUACUCUCUUUUUCUUCUACCUCCGGUGGCUACAAAAAAAUUAAAAGAAGAAAAAAAAGAAGAGGGAUUCUUCUUUUAACCCUUUUAUAUAAAGGCCUAAGAGACCUUAAAUUUUUUGCUCUUAAUUUGGGCUUUCUACAUCAGGAAAAACCCAACACCUUUGCACUGUUAGAUGCCAUUUUUUUUAAUAGGCAAAUAAGAAUUUAUUAGAAGUGCCAAGAAAGAAAGGAGGUGGGGGGUGGGGGGAGGGGAUGUGGUGGGCUUCACUUGUAAAAGGUUGAUGCUCCUUUUGGCAAUUUCAAUGUUAUUUUCUUUUCUUUCAGACGAGUAAGGGAAAAACUGCAAAAAACUUUUACAUUCAAGUUUGCAGGGCUUAGUCCUAUUUUUCUUAUGUGGUUGUAAUUUGUUCAUCUGAUUUUUCUACUACCUUAUUUUUUUUUUUUUUUGAUGGUUUUUGCUAUUUGAGUCGCUUGGUUAACUUCUUGAGCCUUUUUAAAAAAGGAUGAGGAGGGAAUGUUGUUCAUAUAUAGUUUUACCUUCACAUCUAUUAUGUUCUUUUGAUAUCAUAGGAAUGGCCAAAUCCUACACUUUAGAAAAACCUCACGGGAGCCGACACAACUUACACUCGUUGCUUCCCAAACCAAAGCAGUUCUACCACCAGUCAAAUUGACAAAAAGAGCUGGCAACCAACACCUUGUAAUAUAAGUCUAUUUAUGUGUGUAUAUAUAUAUAUAUAUAUACCACCGAUGAAUAUUAUUAGUGGGUAUUUCCAAAUCUUUAGGGAUUGCACAGAAUUAAGCAAACCUUUCAAGCACAACACAUAAUGUUCUAUUCCUAAUCACUCCCCUUUAGGGUGUGUUUGGUACUCUGAAAAUGAGGAGUGCGAAUCAACAUCUUAUUUCUUUUCUCUUUCAUUUCCAUAUUUGGAUAAUCUAUAAAUGAUGAUGAGAAUGAAAUCAAAAGUGAUUUCAAUGGAAAUAAAAUAUCACUUAUAAAUGGGAUUUCAAUUCAUUUAAACUAUGAGGUAUUUUGAUUCUUUAGUGCAAGUUCUUCUUAAAAAUACUUUUCAAAAAUUAAAAAACUAAGACUUUUUUAGAUAAGUUAUUUUUAAAAAUAAUUUUUUAUUUUAAUUUUGUAAAAAGCACAAAUUAUAAAUUCAAUUUAUAUAAUGCAAACUAAAUUUAAUUCGUGAUUUAUUAAAAAUAAAAAAGAAAUUUUAAUUAAAAAUAAAUAGUUUUUAAUAAAAUAUGAAUAUUAACAGUGUAAUAAAAUUAUAAAUUAUAUUUUUAAUAAAUAUUAUAAAAAAUGUAGAUAUUAACAUUCAUUGAUUUAUUUUUUUGAAAAUAAAUAAUAAUAAUUCAAAAUUAGUAACUUCUAAUGCCAUUUAAAAAACUUCAUGGGUAGAGUAAUGUUGUUCUAUGGCAUCAAGCUUUCUGCUCUCGAAAGCUACAAAGUGCACCAGUACCCCACCUAAAGUUCUGUUAGAAGCAUUCGUCUACACCUCAAAAGGAAGCUUCAGGUGCAGGAGUCUCAACACUAGCCCCAUUGUAAUCAUGUUUUUCAAGCAUUGGACAGCUUUCUUGCAAUCCGACUCCCAAUAAAGAAAAUUAGGUAAACCAAGGAAGGAAUAUGGAUAUUGAGAUCUUAUAAAAACAAAAUUAAUUUAUUUUGUUAAAAAUAAAGAAAAAUUAUUCAAAAUUAAUAAUUUCUAAUAAUAUUCUAUUUUGAAUGAAUAUAAAAACAAAUAAAAUUUAGUUUUUUAAAAUAUAAAUAAACCAAAAUUUUUAUUAUAUGCAUACAUUUAUUACUCAAUUACAAAGAUAACAUUCUGAAUUAUUUUAUUUAAUUUAUAAUUAAUUAAUUUGUUUUCUGAAUUUCAAAUUAUUAUUAAAAAUUACAAGAUUUGUUAAAGAAUCUAAAACAUUAAUUGCGUUUGUUAUUUUUUAUAGUCAUUAUAUAUAUAUAUAUAUAUAUAUAUAUAUAUAUAUAUAUAUAUAUAUAUAUAUAUAUAUUAAGUUUUAAAUUAUUUUUUAAAAUCAUUAAACUUAUUAAUAAAUUAAUACUGUAACGACCCGCACCCAACCGUGUAGAUAUUGUCCGCUUUGGGCCCAAGGGGACCCUCACGGCUUUAAAACGCGUCUACUUGGUUAAGAGGAGUCUCUACAUAUAUAGCGUCAGGAACAUUCUCCCCUAUCCGAUGUGGGACAUCACAAACACCCCCCCAUGCAGACACAACGUCCUCGUUGUGUCUCAUGGGAUUGCGGGGUCAAACAGACAAACACUCCUUACGGAGCCAAACAAACCCCCACAUCAGGGUCGGGGAUCGGCUCUGAUACCAUUUGUAACGACCCGCACCCAACCGUGUAGAUAUUGUCCGCUUUGGGCCCAAGGGGGCCCUCACGGCUUUAAAACGCGUCUACUUGGUUAAGAGGAGUCUCUACAUAUAUAGCGCCAGGAACAUUCUCCCCUAUCCGAUGUGGGUGAUUAAAGAAGACAUAAGAGUUAUGCUGAUCAGUGUAGGAGAGAUUUGGAGUUUGAGGUGGGUGAUCAUGUGUUCUUGAAAGUUUCACCUAUGAAGUCUGUGAUGAGAUUUGGGAGAAAAGGAAAACUUAGUCCUCGUUUUGUGGGUCCGUUUGAAAUAUUAGAAAGAGUAGUCACUUUGGCAUAUAAAGUAGCCUUGCCCCCAAGCCUAUCUAAGGUUCAUAAUGUUUUCCAUGUUUCAACCUUGAGGAAGUAUAUUUAUGAUCCCUCUCAUGUUGUGGAGUUGGAGCCUAUUCAAAUUUCUGAGGACUUGAACUAUGAAGAGGUACCCGUUCAAAUUGUGGAUGUGAUGGAUAAGGUACUGCGACAUGCUGUUGUCAAAUUGGUAAAGGUUCAAUGGAGCAACCAUAGUGUUCGUGAAGCCACUCGGGAGUUAGAAGAAGAGAUGAGAGAAAAGCAUCCUCAAUUAUUUCAAGACUCAGGUAUGUCAAGUUUAGAGGACUAAACUUUUGUUAAGGAGGGGAGGAUGUAAUGCCCAAGCAUUUUCUUUUAAGGGUAAUUUAGGAAAUUGUUAUUAAUAAUUAAAUUAGUUAAUUAAUUAAUUUAAAUAAAAAAAAAAAGAAGAGGGGUAAAAGAGUAAUUUUACGAAUAAAUACCCUAUGUAUAAAUUAGAAAUUUUAUUUUUUCCCUUCUUUUCUAAAUAGAGUUCCUGUUCGCAGAAUUUCAGAGAACGUAAGGUUGGAGUCAGAUUUCAGGGUUGAAGAAUAGAUCUCUAUAGGUAAAAUUCUAACCCCUAGUUUAAUAUUUUAGAUUCAUUGAUUAAUUUCAAACACAUUAGAUAUAUUUUUUGGAAAACCCUAAAUCUAGAUUAGGGUUAGAUUAUUUUUUUAAUUCGUUUUAAUAUCAAAUAGUGAAAAUUUAAUAUUUUGAUUUUAGUAUUGGAAGUUGGGAGAUCUUACGUUUUAUUAGAAAAAAAAAAAAAUUCCUUGGAAUAUUUCGAUUUUAGGUUAGGGUUAAUUAAAAAAAAAAAAAAAAAGGAGAACGCGUGUGCACAGCAUUGGAAGGAAGGAAAAUAAAAAAAAAUAAAAAAAAAUUUGGGCGUGUGCCCGGAUGGAAGCAUACUUAUAUUAUAUAUAUAUAUAAUGAUUCAUUAUUAUGAUGAUGGCAAUGGAAAAAAAAAAAAUUGCUUUGUUUUACUUGUUUGGUGUGUACCCCCAGACAAGUAAGAGAUUUAGCAAAAUAUAUAAUAAUAUAUUUUUGUAAUAAUGAUUUAGCCUCAAAUUAGAUAAUUAUUAAAAUAAUGAUAUUUAAUUUUAGAUUAAUAAAUAAGAUAAUAGUAAUAAUGGUAUUUUUGUAAUGAAUAGAAAAAGAGAUUUAGCAAUAUGUAUAUAUAUAUAUAUAUAUAUAGAAUUUUAUAAUGAAAUAAAGUUAUAAUUUAAUUAAAUUAGUAAUAUGUUAUUAGAAACAAAUUGGGAAUUUAUUAGUUUUAUUUAAAUAAGGAAUAGAUUAGUUAAAUUAUAAAUAAAUAGUAAUAAUUGUUUCUCUUAUGUUAUAUCAGGUGAAGAGUAGAUUAUUAUUUUUCAGAAUUAUUCUUCUCCCAAGCUUUCAAGGACUUCCUUUGAGGUAAGGGAAGUUAAUGUAAUAUUUAUAAAAUUAAAUUAUUUUAUAUGUUAUUUUGAAUUGUGGAAAAUAAAAUGAUAUUUUGUUACCAUGCAUAGAUCAAAUUGUUUUGCACUAAAUGUUAUGUUGAAAUAUUUUGUUUUAUUUAUGACACAAAAUAUGGAGAUGUUAUGUUGUGUAAAUUUGAAUACUUGAACAAAAAACAUCACUCUGGUUUAUUUGGCCCUUGUCAACGGGAUAUAAUAGUUGACUAUUCGGCCCUGUCAACGGGAUAUAAUAGUUGACCUUUAUAUUUCAUGGUGGGAAUGUAAUUGAUUUGGACCCCAGCCUCUAGGGUUUGGUUAGAGGUUACUAGUACUAAUAGUGUUUGGUUCCGUCCACCAGGAACAAUUUGAGGCUAGCCACCCAUUUGAAAAGUCCCACCUAACUGGGCAUUUGAUAUUUGAUAAUCAGAGUAAUGAAAAAAAUUGAAUGGAUUUGAUUGAGUCUGAUGUGAAAGUGUUUGAAUUUGAUAUGAAAUUGGUUGGUUGAAUUUUGAAUAUAUUGGCAUUUUUGAAACUCUAAUAUUUGAUGAAAAAAAAAUAAAAUUGAUAUCUCCUAUUUGAAAUGAAAAUAUUUGAUCCAUGAACUGCAUUAAUAUUUCUUAUUGGGCUGUGAGCUCAUUCCCAAUUGUUGAAAAUUUUUCAGGUACUCUUAGUUCGGGUGAGGAGUGAUGGCUAGGCUGAGGAAUGGUCAUCAUUAGGAUUUGACUUAGGAUUUUAUGUUGGAUUUUGUUUAACUAUUAGUUAUGUUAUUUUGGAUCAUUUGGUAUUUGGAAGUUAUUUGGAAAUUGAAUUUUGAGGAUUUUAGAUUUUGUUUCCGCUACUCUGAGCAGGUAUUUGGUAAUUGGUAACAUCCAGUUACAAUAUGACUGUUUGGGUCAGAUUAUACUUUAAGCCUUCGGGUUUGAGGUGUGAAAUGACCAUCACGCCCUUGGAGUGGGUCUUGGGGCGUGACAGAGUGGUAUCAAAGCCGAUCCCCGACCCCGGUGUGGGGGUUUGUUUGGCUUUGUCUGUUUGGCCCCGCAAUCCCAUGGGACACAACGAGGACGUUGUGUCUGCAUGGGGGGGGGGGGGUAUUUGUGAUGUUCCACAUCGGAUAGAGGAGCAAGUUCCUGGCGCUAUAUAUGUAGAGGCUCCUCUUAACCAAGUAGACGCGUUUUAAAGCCGUGAGGGCCCCCUUGGGCCCAAAACGGACAAUAUCUACAUGAUUGGGUGCGGGUCGUUACAAAUGGUAUCAGAGCCGAUCCCCGACCCCGGUGUGGGGGUUUGUUUGGCUCCGUAAGGAGUGUUUGUCUGUUUGACCCCGCAAUCCCAUAGGACACAACGAGGACGUUGUGUCUGCAUGGGGGGUGUUUGUAAUGUCCCACAUCGGAUAGGGGAGAAAGUUCCUGACGCUAUAUAUGUAGAGACUCUUCUUAACCAAGUAGACGCGUUUUAAAGCCGUGAGGGCCCCCUUGGGCCCAAAGCGGACAAUAUCUACACGGUUGGGUGCGGGUCGUUACAAAUGGUAUCAGAGCCGAUCCCCGACCCCGGUGUGGGGGUUUGUUUGGCUUUGUCUGUUUGGCCCACAAUCCCAUGGGACACAACGAGGACGUUGUGUCUGCAUGGGGGGGUAUUUGUGAUGUUCCACAUCGGAUAGAGGAGCAAGUUCCUGGCGCUAUAUAUGUAGAGGCUCCUCUUAACCAAGUAGACGCGUUUUAAAGCUGUGAGGGCCCCCUUGGGCCCAAAGCGGACAAUAUCUACAUGGUUGGGUGUGGGUCGUUACAAAUACAAAGUCUAACUUCAUUUUAAAUUCAUUUUCUGUAAUAAAAACAAAUUAAAAGAACAUUUCUCUAUUUUGAUUUAUUUUUAAAAAUUAUUUUUCAAGAAUAACAACUAAAUAAUGGUAUAAAUUUUUAAAAACAAUUUUGUUUUCAAAUCACAUGCCUAAAUAGGUUUUUAUUAUUUAGCAAAAAAAAAAAAAAAAACUCUCAAGGAUUUUCUUUAAAAUGAAAAUAAAAAAUUAUUUCAAAUUUUGUUCAAUGUGAGAUUUUUUUUAAAAUAAAUAUAAAAAUAAAAAAUUAUUUUAAACCAUGAGAAAGAAUAUCAUUGAAAAUUUUGUUUAAUUUUUCAUUUGUAUUCCCAUUUUUACUUAGAAUUGAAAUGGAACUAAAUUAUCAUUUUUAUCUUAUAUUUCUAUAUGGAUCCAAAUAAAAGAAUUAAGAUUAUCAAAUUUAUUUUUAUUUAAGAGAAAAUAAGAAUGAAGACACAAUAUUUAUUCUCAUAUUUUUAGUUUCCACCGCCCAAGACGCAUGCUCUCACGUCCAACAUGUGAAGCAUAGAGAUAGAAGAGGCUGCUGAAGAUGCAAUGAAAAGUGAGAAUUGGCAAUCCAAAGGAAUGUGGCAGCACAGCAUACAGCCCCGUCGUGAAUGCUACCACCAUUGCUCCCAUCCCAAGCAGGGUGAGAUAAGAGGCAUACGAAAACAAGUGUAGCCACGUUCUCAUAUUGAGGUCAUAAAACAGUGCAUGUUGGAAUGCCAUACUAAAAAAUAUGAAUACGGCACUUACCGAGAACGUCAGGGCUAUGGUAUCCGACACAACAAAUGCUUUGAAAGAUGCUUUCUUUGUUAAGAUUGCCAUCCCAUCUGUGUCUCUGUAACCACCAGGCAAGGUGAAGCCUGCCGCAAAGGUUACUGUUGCCGUAAGUGUUGCCACUAUCAAAUGGGUUUCACUUGCCUUUUUCGCGGAAGAGAUGAUUUUAUCCUCCUCCUUAUCAUCAUCAUCUAUUUUGCCACCAUAUUUGCUGUCAUCCUUUCUGAUGACGUGCUGCAAACUGGAAGGUCUAAAAGGCAGUCUUAAAUAUUUCUUAAAUCCUUCAAAUCGGUCAUCUACUUGUGCCUGCUGCAAACUGGAAGGUCUAAAAGGCCGUCUAAGAUAUUCCUUAAUUCUCUCACGUAGGUGAUAUAACUGCGGAGAUUCUAAUGCAAGGAGCUGAAAUUUGAUCAAAGUAAAAUUCCUAUUAGAGCAAAACAGAAAAUUACAUGUAUAUAAUGCAUGAGAAGAUCAAAUAAAUGGAUGAUUGACAAAUGGGAUAAAGUAAUAGAAAAUUUAGUUAAAAAGCCUUACCGUGCCCCAUGAAAAUUUAUUCCGAGAAGAAAAACGGUUGUCAGAAAAGUUUAACUUUUCUUUGUUCCGUUCCAUCUUAUCCACCGUUUUGUCCAAUAUGAAAUCUACAUCAUUAACUCCGAAAGAAGCAAGCAGGUGGAGGGGUGUGUCUCCUUGAGCAUCUUUCUCAUUUACAAGUCCUCUCACUCUUAAUCCAUCCUUUAUUAAUAACUCACUACCAAAAUGAGAAGGGUGCUUCUUCAUCAUGGCAAAGUGAAAAACAUUAUUGCCAUUCUCAUCAACCUGCUCACAACAAUCUGGAGCGUGUGACAGCAGCAACUCUACUAUGUCCAUACAGCCAUUGUAACUUGCAAUGUGAAGGGCUGUUCUGUUGCUAUCUUUUAUUCCAAGGUAGAUUACAGACUUGUCUUGUGAUGAUCCGUCUAGUAAUUGCUUGGUAAUUGCGGCAUCAAGCAUGUAUGCAGCACAAUGAAGCGGAGACCAGCCAUUUUCAUCCACUUCUUUGAUUAGCUUUGGCUUCCAUCCUAGUAUCUUCUUUGUCAUUGCUGAUCAAAUAAAUAAAAGAAGAAAUAGAGAGCUCAAGGAAUAUUAAAGAAAAUUAAUUAUAAAAUGAAUAACCUAAUGCAUUAAUAUAGGCCCUUAUAUGCACUACCUUGGUGACGGCAGAGUACAGCAGCAUGCAAAGCUGUUCUACCCUCGAUGCCUCUGUGAUUUGGUGAAGGGCGGGUGAGGUCUAUGAUUAUUUCCACCAAGUCCCCAUAUCCUCUCUCGGCAGCCAUGUAAAGAGGAGUGUAGCCUGUACUGUUAGCACCAUAGAUGAAGUGAGGGUCUGCCUCAAUCAAUAACUUCACCACUUUUGAGUGAUGAUACCGCACCGCCUCAUGCAAGGCUGUGUCUUUCUCCUUAUUGGUCAUCCUCAACAUCGCCUCGUCUGUUCCAACCCCACUUUCGAUCUCUUGGUGAAGUGUUUUUGCGGCGUCAAGGAGAGCUUUCACAACCCCCCUAUGGCCUUCUCUCGCAGCAAGGUGAAGUGGAGUGUCGCCUUUCAGAUUGGGCUGCUGCAGUAGAGGUGAACAUGAAUGAAAGUGAAGGAUCCACUCUACGCAUGCCAGCUGACCGAACUGGGCUGCAAUGUGGAGGACAGUGUUCCUUUUUGGGGUUAGUUGGGGUUGAAGAUGAGCAAAUUCCGAGUACUUCCCCUUGAGGAAACUGAUAUCACCUCUAUACAAAGCCUUGUACAAAUCAGCAUCCAUGUGGGGGAUCUCAGUUUGGCUAACAGCUGCAAUCUGGUUCGGCAUCUCAGUUUGGCUUGAAAAGGUUUCCGAGUUAAGGUUCUGCGAUUCUGUGAUUUGAUUGGAGCUGGACUGAUCCAUUUUUGGUGUUGGAGGAACAAAGUAAUAAUCAACUCUUCACAUUCUAUCUAUCCAUCUAUCUAUAUAUAUAUAUAUAUUUAUAUUUUGUGAGCAAUUCCCUUCAAGCUUUUGUCCUUAAUUGAAAGAUAUUUUAUGUAGAGCAUAUGUAAGUUGUUUGCCCGUAUAUAUUUUUUUUGUUUUUGUAUAAAAUAUUUCUUUUUUAUUAUUUUUAAUAAUUAUACAAUUUUUUAAAAUAAUUAUAAAAAAGUAAUAAAAAAAAAGUGAUAACAACAUAAAAUAAUUAAAAGUUAUCGGUUGAAACACUUUAUUAUGUUUUUAAGGAUAAAAAAUUGUUUUUCACUUUUUUGUUAUUACACAUGUUUUUCUUUUCUUUUUUUUAAUUUUUUAUGAAAAAAAAAUAAGUUAUGAAACAAGACUUUAACUUCCACAUCAUGUUCUCCUCAACCGUCAUUAUUAAUUAACUUAUAAAUUAAUUUUGCUUAUUAAUUCCAUAAGAUCAAAAUUUAUUUUAAAAUUUUAAUAUUAAAAUUGAAUGGAAUAUGAUCAUUUAGUAUCUCAAAAAUUUGUCACUGACAAACUACAAGUAAUUUUUAUCUUAUCAACUUAUGAACUCAUACCAAUAGAGAGUUAGAGCUAUUUUGCAUAUACCAACAGAUAAAAAAAAGCUAAAUAGUCAAAUUUGUACAUCUAGUCAUUAAUUAAAAUUAUUUUUGUUUUUGUAUAAAAUAUUUCUUUUUUAUUAUUUUUAAUAAUUAUAUGAUUUUUUAAAAUAAUUAUAAAAAAGUAAUAAAAAAAAAGUGAUAACAACAUAAAAUAAUUAAAAGUUAUCGGUUGAAACACUUUAUUAUGUUUUUAAGGAUAAAAAAUUGUUUUUCACUUUUUUGUUAUUACACAUUUUUUUCUAUUUUUUUUAAUUUUUUAUGAAAAAAAAAAAUAGUUAUGAAACAAGACUUUAACUUCCACAUCAUGUUCUCCUCAACCGGCAUUAUUAAUCAACUUAUAAAUUAAUUUUGCUUAUUAAUUCCAUAAGAUCAAAAUUUAUUUUAAAAUUUUAAUAUUAUAAUUGAAUGGAAUAUGAUUAUUUAGUAUCUCAAAAAUUUGUCACUGACAAACUACAGGUAAUUUUUAUCUUAUCAACUUAUGAACUCAGACCAAUAGAAAGUUAGAGCUAUUUUCCAUAUACCAACAAAUAAAAAAAGCUAAAUAGUCAAAUUUGAAUAACACAAUUUUUCUCACUUAUCGAUGGGUAUGCUGGAAUACUAAAAUAUUUCAUACAAUUCAUAUUAACCAUUUUUCAUCGCUUGUAGCCACAACUUACCACAUAAAAGAAUGUAUAAAAAUUAUGGUAACUAUAAUGAAAAGAAGAACACUACUAUUUAUUAUUUAUUAAUAUUAAAUAACAUUAAUUAUUAUAAAUAUUUUAUUUAGUACUCAUACUUUUAGGUUUAAUUUGAAGAUGAUAAUUAUCAGGUUAGUUUUUCAAUUCUAGGUUUUAUUGAAAUUUUCUAUUAUCCAUAAUAUGUUAUAUGAAAUAUAAGUAUUAAUGAAUGGUAUGUGACCAUGUGACAACGUCAGAGUAUAUAAUGUUUCUUCUUUGUUUUAGUCUGCCACUCAAUGGAUUCGUCUAUAGUGUGUUCUUUGUUUGGUCUGCCACUCCAUGAUUCCCGUAAAUUGCGGAAGAAAAGCGAAUCAUUGCAUGUGCAAGUAUUUUACCGAAUGGUUUGUGAUAAUAUACAUCACGUGAAUUGUGAAAGAAAAGUGUCUUUUCUCCCUUCGAUUGCAUUCACUGAACAGCAUAUGACCACUCAGAGCAAAAGCAAGAUGAGUUUGGAAUCCGACGGGGAAAAGGGCAGCAAUGGUAGGGCCCACUUCCCUUUGAAACCUUGUUCAGUCGUCCGUCCCCACCCCUUUGAUUGCGUAGGACAAACCCCCACCAUAACACCAUGUGGGUUGCCCCCUCUUUCGACAUCAUUCCAUGAAAACAAUGCCGUUCUAUGAACGGAGCGGAGGAUUGCUUGCACAUGGCACUUAUUUGAUUUUUUGAUUUGAACAGCCAAAGGUAUUGCUAACAUUAUUAAAAAUAGUACUUAUUUGCUAAAAGGUAUGUAAAAUCUGAAUUAUUUUUAGAUAAAUGUAUUCAAUUUGAAAAUUUUAAAUUUGGCACGCCAUGCACCUCCAAAUACACAAGCUGACAAAAGAUAUGAAAGGUUGUCGGUUGUUUAAUAUAUAACUUGUCUCUUGUUUUUAACUUGGAUGUCAGUAGGAAUAGUCCAUUAUUAUCUUUAUUCGGUGAAAACAUGGCACGCCAUGCACCUCCAAAUACACAAGCUGACAAGAGAUAUGAAAGAUUGUCGGUUUUUUAAUAUAUAAAAAGUUAUAAUUUACAAAAUUUAUGAAAGGGUCCACAUAUAUAGAAUAUUUAUAAAAUAUGAUUUCGAUAUAUUCUAAAAAAUUGUAAAAUGAUUGACCUUUGGGUCAUUUAAAAUUUGUGUGCCUAUUCAUAGAAGUAUUUAAUGAAAUAUUUAAUUAUUAUAAAAUGACAUAAUUAAAUAAAAUAUAAGAUGAUGAUCUUAAAGACUUAAGCUUGGUAUCUAAUAAGAGUUAAUACUUGAUACAUAAUUAUUAUACGUGACUUUAAGUUAACUUAUGUUUAAACCAUCAAUUUAAAACUUAUUAUAAAGUUAUAUUGUUAAAUUAACACAUUUACCUUCAUCAAUACUUAAAAAAUGGGGGAGAGAAACACAAAAAGUAAAGAGACAUAUUAAUGUUAUUUUAGGUUGAAUUAUAUAUACUUAUUUAUUAUUUAGUUAUUAAGAAAUAAAUUUAUUACUUCACAUUAAUAAUAAUAAAUUCUUCAUUAAGUCAUCUUUAUUAAUGUUUGAGUGUUGUUAAGUAUGAACUUAUAUUUUUUUAAUUAUUAUUUUUAAAUGGUAAAUUAAUUUACUUUUAUAUUUUAAAAUCUAUAAAAUUAAUUAUUAUAUUUCUUUUUAUUUUAUGCAUUUAAGAUAAAAAUAGUUAAAAUUAAUGAUUUGAAAAAGGAAUAGCAAUGUAAUAUAUUUCCAAACAUCAAAAUUUAUUAACAUAAUAAAAAAUUUCUAUUUCAAGUAAUAGCUCAUGAGAAAAUUUUAUAUUAAAAUUCUUAAGAAAUAAGAGAAAAUAUAACUUAAAAAAAAAUCCAUUUGAACUAAAAUAAAUCAUUUUUUUAUUUAUUUUUAAGACAACAGUUAUCAAAACUUUAAAAAUAAUAAAAAUAAAUUUAAAAAUAAAUUGAAGUAAAUAAUAUAGAAAUAAAAUAAAUAAAUAAAUGAAUAGAUGUGAUGUAUGAUAUUAAUGGGUAAUUAAUUAUUCAUGGCACCCAUUUCAGGGCUUACAACAUAGGUAUCUUCUUAAGGAUUAUUUUUCAAGUCAUCCUUUCAAAUAGAGCGAUAUUUAAAAUGAAUGUCCGUUUAGUUAUGAUUUUAAAAAAUGUUUCUAAUUUUUCUAAUAAUUCAAAAAAAUUUAUCAUUUAAGUAAUAAAAAGAUUAGAAACUUUUUCUAUGGUUACUAUCAAGAUUAAUAUCAAACACAUUCUAAAAGAAAUGGUAUUAAAAUGAGUUAAUAUUUAUUAUUUACUUAUAAUAAUAUAAUAAUGGAUUUUAAAUUCAAGAACAGCAAUAAAGAGGGGACCUGUGAGUAUCCUGUUUAAUGUUGAAUAUUUUAUUAAUUAAUUAAUCUCUUUAGUCGUAUCAACAAUAAAAAGCAUGUUAAAAUAAUGGAAUAAGUUUUUCUAUCCUGUCAAUUUAUAUAUAACUUUGAAGAACUCAUCUUAGAACUAGAAAAUGAUUAUUUUAACAAAAUGGUACAGACAAAAUUGUGGGCCUACCCUCAAGAUUCCUUUCAUAUUUCAAACUUGUAAAACUUGUUUAUGGAGGAGUUGGUGGUGGUGGGAAUACUUUAAAAUUUUUAUUCAUUUUUUUUUUUGGCACUAGGGUGGACAAAUUUAAGCAAGUGUUUAAAUCUUGGUGAUGACAAGAUGGAUGAAUGCAUUUUUGAAAAAUUAUUUGAUUAAAAAAGAAUGAAAUGAUUUCAAAUUUGUAUUAUUGGUGUAAUACCAACCAAACUUGUGUUCGUCUACCAUUUUUGGAGUCAGAUGGACAUCUUCCCUACACAAAAGGAUGUCUGGAUAAGGUGAUUCGGACAUGCCCAUCCGAAACUUAAGUCAAAAAAUAAUAAGGACGAGUCUAGUUAUUUCGAAUGACUUUGUACAUGCGUUCCUUUUUCAUGCUUCUUGAGGGGUUUUUAUAAAGCAAAUGACACCAUUGUUAUAGCGCUGAUGGAUGUCAGAUGGAAUGGACAGACCACGCCGAUUGAGAUUUUUGAACAAAUUAACCAACACAGUCGGAGAUUUUAGGUAUUGAGCAUAUGGAUAAUCACACCCAGUGUUUGAGUAAGACAACAUUUACGUCUAAAAGUCAAUGAAUACUAAUUGCUACACGCAAUUAGCGACAUUGAAAAAUGUAAAUGCAGAGUCAACUACAUGGUCCGAGACUCUUACUCGACAGCCAGCAAAUGACAUCAGUCAACGAAUUUUGUUUGGUAUGAUUGCCCAAUUCGUAUAGAAAUGAUGGCGUUAACUCUCUUGCUAAGGCUCGAUUUCUGCCUUGAUAACAAUCAUCAUCAUAAAAAAGACAUGAAUGCACCAUCAAUGCUAUAGCAAUGGUGCCAUCUGCUUUAUAAAAACCCCUUAAGAAGCAUAAAAAAUGUACACGUGUAUAGAGUCAUUCAAAAUAAUUAAACAUAUUCUUAUUAUUUUUUGACUUAAGCUUCGAGGGAUGUGCCUGAACCACCUAUUCAGACAUCCUUUUGUGCAGGGAAGAAGCCCGUUUGACUCUAGAGAAGUUAGACGAACACAAGUCUAGUUGGUACUACAUCAAUAUGUAUAUCUAAUUUCUUGUCUUUAUAACCUAAUAAUCCUCUUUAACCUUUUCAUUAUUUAUAUAUAUAUAUAUAAUAUUUUUUUCUAAACGGAUAGUUAAAAAAAUAUAGAAAGUUAAAUUUAUAAAUUGAGAAUUAUUUCAUCCUUUAAUCAAAUGACUUUUUUUCAAUUACUUAUUUCUAUUGUAAAGGGUUGGAAUCAUUUGUAAUGUUUAUAUUAAAAUUUGUGUGCCUAUUUCAUAGAAGUAUUUAAUGAAAUAUUUAAUUAUUGUAAAAUGAUCGACAUAAUUAAAUAAAAUAUAAGAUGAUGAUUUUAAAGACUUAAGCUUGGUAUCUAAUAAGGGUUAAUACUUGAUACAUAAUUAUUAUAUGUGACUUUAAGUUAAAUUAUGCUUAAACCAUCAAUUUAAAACUUAUUAUAAAGUUAUAUUAUUGAAUUAACAUAUUUACCUUCAUCAAUACUAAAAAAUGGGGGAGAGAAACACAAAAAUAAAGAGACAUAUUAAUGUUAUUUUAGAUUGAAUUAUAUAUACUUAUUUAUUAUUUAGUUAUUUAAAAAUAAAUUUAUUACUUCACAUUAAUAAUAAUAAAUACUUCAUUAAGUCAUCUUUAUUAAUGUUUGAGUGUUGUUAAGUACGAACUUAUAUUUUUUUAAUUAUUAUUUUUAAAUGGUAAAUUAAUUUACUUUUAUAUUUUAAAAUCUAAAAAAUUAAUUAUUAUAUUUCUUUUUUAAAAAUAGAUAAAAUUAAUAAUUUGAAAAAGGAAUAGCAAUGUAAUAUAUUUCCAAACAUCAAAAUUUAUUAACAUAAUAAAAAAAUUUCUAUUUUGAGUAAUAGCUCAUGAGAAAAUUUUAUAUUAAAAUUUCUUAAGAAAUAAGAGAAAAUAUAACUAAAAACAAAAUCCAUUUCUAACUAAAAUAAAUCAAUUUUUUUAUAUUUAUUUUUAAGACAAUAAUUAUCAAAGUUAUAAAUGUGAUGAAUGAUAUUAAUGGAUGAUUAAUUAUUCAUAGGUCGCACCCAUUUCAGGGCUUACAUCAUAUGCAUCUUCUUAAGGAUUAUAUUUCGAGUCAUUUCAAACAUAGUGAUAUUUAAAAUGGAUGAUUAAGAGCUCGUUUAACUAUUUUUUAAAAAAUUUUAUCAUUCAAGUGGCAAAAAAUUAAAAAUGUUUUAUAUAACCGCUGUCAAACGCAUUUUAAAACAAAUGGUAUUAAAAUAAUAUUUAUUAUUUACUUAUAAUAGUAUAAUAAUGGAUUUCAAAUUCAAGAACAGUGUUCAAGAGGGAACACGUGAGUAUCCUAUUUAAUGUUGAAUAUUUUAUUAAUUAAUUAAUCUCUUUAGUUGUAUCAACAAUAAGAAGCAUAUUAAAAUAAUGGAAUAAGCUUUUUAUCCUAUCAAAUUAUAUAUAACUUUGAAGAACUCAUCUUAAAACUACAAAAUGAUUGUUUUAACAAAAUGGUACAGACAAAAUUGUGGGCCUACCCUCAAGAUUCCUUUCAUAUUUUCAACUUGUAAAACUUGUUUAUUGAGGAGUUGGUGGUGGUGGUGGGACAAAUUUGGAAUCAUUUGUAAUGUUUGUAUUCUAAAAAAAAAGGGAAAUGAUUGGCUAUUAAGUCAUUUAAAAUUUAUGUGGCUAUUCAUCAAAGUAUUUAAUUUGAUAUUACUUACUCUUUUUUUAUUUAAGUUUUAUCAUUACUUUUGAAUGUUCAAUUGAGUCAAGUAUUUAUAAUAAUCUUAUUUUAUGUUAAAUUAUAUGUACUUAUCUUUUUUAUUGAUUAAUAUAAAAAAAUAUUUCUUUUCUCAAUAAAGAUAAAUAUUUCAUUAACUUAUCUGGACCAACAUCUCUCUCGUGCGUUUCCAAUAGGACUGGUGCGUUGCCAACCGGCAAAAUAUUUCUUUUUUAUUUUUCAUCUACAAAACUUUAUACAAAAGAUAUCAUAUCAUGUACGAGGAAAAAAAUAAAAAGAGAAAAGAGAAAAUUAUGAUAUAAUUAUAUACACAUCUCUUAAUAUGAUAUAUUUGUUUGACUUAAUGACAUAGUGCUUUAAUAAUUUAAACCAUGUCAAGUCCACAUUUAUUUUAGAUUUAAAAGGGUAUUUGAAUAUUUUUCAAAUUAUUAAGUUAUAAUACAUUAUUCAAUUAAAAAUUAAUUAUCAGUAUUAGUUAAAAGAUGAUCAUGUUAUAAAAUAAUAUAUUUAGACAAUAUUUAUGUAUUGUCCAUAAAAUAGAUAAAAUAUUCAAAUAAUUGUCUAUAACCUUUAAGAUAUAUAUAUAUAUAUAUAUAUAUAUAUAUAUAUAUAUAUAUAUAUAUAUAUAUAUAUAUAUAUAUAUAUAUAUAUAUAUGUUGGAUAAAAAAUAAUAAUAAUAUUUUUUAAGGUGUUUAAAAAAUAGUUAUUAUACAUUUUGUAAGUUUUUUAAAAAAAAGUUUAUGAGGUGUUUAAAGAAUAUUUACUUUAAAAAUAUAGUAAUAAUAAUUUUUAACCAUUGAUUUCUAAUAUUCAAUUUAUUAGGCAUUGUUUUUUGGAAGAAAAAUAAUUGAUAGAAAUAUAAAGGAAUUAAUUUACAUGUCCCACUAAUUAAUAUGUGAGAGAAAGGUAAGGUGAAUGAUGAGAGAGAGGGAAAAAGAGAAUGAGAGAGAGUAGGAAGUUAGUUAUUUUCUUUUUCUAUUUUAUAGUUAAGGGUAUUUUAAAAAUUUUUGAAAAGUAAUGUCCUUUAACUCAAUUUUCACUCAUCCAUUUUGAGAUUAAAUACAAGGGAUAUGAGGACUUUGGGCCAAUUUUCAAGUCAAGCGGGUAUAAAACUCAAUUCUCCCAUUAAAGAAAGCGACACUAGUAUAAAACGAUAAAAAAGAGGAAAGUGACUUAGGACCACAGCUUUGUGGGGGCAUUCGCACCCUCUGUUCCCUUUGCUGUAGUAAUAUAAGACGCAGAGGCGGUGGAUUAUGGUGUUGUGAAAGAUUUGAGAGAGGUGGAGACGGCUGUAGAGCUUAAGCACACCCAUGGAUCCAUCCACUUCCACUUCCACCCAUGCUUUAGAAUUACAGAGCCUUAACUCAGUUUCUAGUGCGAACCAGGAGGAUGUCACAUACAUGCCUCCUAAAAUUUACAGGGCUGCAGCACAAGGCUCCACCGAUAUUAUCCGCAGGACAAUGCCCAGAGUUGUCCAAUAUUUAACACCCAAUAAGAACACUAUCCUCCACAUUGCAGCCCAAUUCGGUCAACCGAAGUGCGUUGAAUUCAUCAUUCGACAUUACAGUGGGGAUUCAUCCCCACUGCAGUGGCCCAUCUGAAAGGGGACUCCCCCCUCCACCUUGCAGCGAGAGAAGGGCAUCUAGAGGUCGUGAAGGCUAUUAUUCAUGCUGCGAAAACAGUUUCCGAAAGAGAUAUUGAGAGUGGGAUUGGAGUGGACAAGGCCAUGCUGAGGAUGACCAACAAUGAGCAUGACACAGCCUUGCAUGAGGCAGUCCGGUAUCAUCAUCUGGAGGUCGUGAAGUGGUUGAACGAGGAAGAUCCCGAGUUUACAUAUGGUGCUAACUUUUCUGGUGGGACUCCUCUAUACAUGGCUGCUGAGAGAGGGUUUACAGACUUGGUGAAAAUAAUCAUAGAGAACACUAAUCGCAAUCGACUGGCUCACACUGGCCCCAUGGGUAGAACAGCUUUGCACGCAGCUGUGAUUUGCCGUGACCCAAGUAGGCAUAUUCUUUUCCUGAAUCUACCAUAUUUCCUAUGUGGUUUGUUUAUUAAUAUUACUGGUAUAACAUAUAUAGUGUUGAAUAGCAAGUUUUAACCUGGCUAAACUAUGGGGUUACAAUAUCUUCAUAACUUCUAAUCUUUCUCAAAAAAUAUUUUGAUAUAUUUGUUUUGAGUAUAUAUAUAUAUGCUUGGUGGUUGAUUGUUUCAGCUGUUUAAAUGUUAUAUUCCAAAUAGUUCAGUUACUUUUUAACCUGACAUGCAUGAUUAAAUAUGGGAAAAUGGGGAAGACUAAAGGAAACUUGUUUCUUAAUUUCUUAUACUCUUCUAAUUUGUUUCUUUCUUUUCAUUUUAUGUAUGUGUUGAUCAGUAAUGGUAAAAGAAAUUCUGAAAUGGAAGCCAGAUCUAACAAAAGAAGUGGAUGAAAACGGGUGGUCUCCACUCCACUGCGCUGCAUACUUGGGUUAUGUUCCAAUAGCGAGACAAUUGCUUCAUAAAUCUGAUAGGUCUGUAGUCUACCUAAGGGUAAAAAAUGAUGACAACAAGACAGCUCUUCAUAUUGCGGCCACCCGUGGAAACAGGAUCACAGCAAAACUGCUGGUGUCAUACUAUCCAGAUUGUUGUGAGCAAGUGGAUAUUAAUGGCAAUAAUGCUCUUCACUUAUUCAUGAUGCAAAAAAGAUUUUUCAUCAGAAGCUUGUUGAAUAUUCGCUGGAUGAAUGUGGGAGCACUUAUAAAUGAGAAGAAUGUUGAAGGACAAACACCUCUCCAUCUGCUUGCCCAUUCCCAGGCGAGAUCUGAUUGCACUUUCAUAAGAGACAAGAAAGUAGAUAAGAUGGCACUUAAUAGCCAAAACUUGACUGCUGUGGACGUAAUUUUACUGGCUGAGGAUUUAUUUGGACAAAAGGUAAGCCUGUCUGUCUAACUUUAUUAAUUUCCCAAAUAGCAAGGAAUUGGUGGACUAGUAAUAUACUAUAAUGAUAUUUAGAAUGGUAAAUUGAUUAGAUAAUUAAUUAAUCCAAGCAAAAAAUGGUGGCAUACAUCAUAUGAUUUACUCUAUUAAUUGAAGCCAAGCUACUGUAUACUCUGUUUUCUUUGAUUAAAUUUCAGGAUCUUAUCAUACGAAGACUGAAACGUGCCAAAGCUAGAAUCGGGCCUUUGUUGUGGCAGAAGGCUAUGAACAAAGACGAGGAUAAGAGCCAAAGCAAACGUAAUAAAGGUUUAGACACCUCUUUCUUAAAGAAAGCAAGUGAUAGCCAUUUGCUGGUGGCCGCACUUGUCGCCACUGUAUCCUUCGCAGCAGGUUUCACGCUACCCGGCGGUUAUAAGGAUAGUGACGGCAUGGCCAAGUUAAGCAACAAGCCUGGUUUUAAAGCAUUUGUUGUGUCAGAUUCCCUGGCCUUGGUGCUCUCUGUGACUGCUGUAUUGUGUCAUUUCUAUAAUGCAUUGGAGAAGAAAAAGGUCCACGUCACAUAUUUUCUAAGGUGGGCCUAUUGGUUCACCAAAUUGGGUGUAGGAGCAAUGGUGGUAGCAUUCUUUACCGGCUUGUACAGCGUACUGCCCCGUCACUCAGGGAUUGCCAUUUUUGUUUUGAUCAUCUGCAUCUGCUGUUCAGUUUUGAGCAUAACCUCUGGUAGGCCGAGAGUAAGAAAAUAUUUUUAGUUAAUUUUGAUUUUUUUUUAAAAUUAGAAUUUAUUAGGUUGAGUGAGAUUUUGUUUAUAUAUAUAUUAUUUGGAGUAAAAGAUCAUGUAGUAGUUAAAUAAGAUUAAUAAAAGUUAAUAAUUUUCUCUUGAUUUUCCUCUAGUUGGUUGUCUCUUUUUAUGUAAUUCAAUCCUUUCACUCCUAUGAAUUCGUAUCAGAAAAUUUAAGGGCUGAAACAAAAGGGUACACCAAUACCCUCUGGCGAAAUGCCUACAAACAACCUUAAUAUAUAACACCAAUACCCUCUGGCGAAAUGCCUACAAACAACCUUAAUAUAUAACACCUUGCAGCGAGAGAAGGGCUCGUAGAGAUCAUGAAGGCUCUUAGCGGUGCUGGAAAAGAACUUCUCAUAGAUAUUGAAAGUGGCACAUCAAUAUAUCCCGAUGUGGUUAACCAAUCAAUUAUCAAAGCAACAAGGGGUUUAACCAAAAAAAACAAAAGGCACAAACAAUCUCACAUGCUAAUGACUAUGGAGGAAAAAUAAUCUCGCAUAUUCUUUUCCUCAAUCUACAAUAUUCCUAUAUGAUUGACUUAUUAACAUUAGAAGUAUAACAUAUAGAGUGUUGAAUAACAAUUUUUAACCUAGCUAAACAAUGGGGUUAACCAAGUCAAAAGAAUAAUAAUAAAUGACAUCUUUGCUAUUCUCUUUUGAAGCCCUUCUCUCCGGAUCGAAUCUACCGUUCCUUUGAAUUAAACUUUUGAUCUUUCACAAAAACUAUUUUGAUAUAUUUGUUUGAGUAUAUAUGCUUGAUGGUUGAUUGUUUCAGUUGUUUGGAUGAAUUGUUUGAAUAGUUUAAAUGUUGUAUUCCAAGUAGUUAAUCUAGUUCCUUUUAAGCUGGCAUGCAUGAUCAAAUAUGACCGUUGAAAAUAGGGAGAAAAAUAAAAACAAGAAAAUUAAAAACAACUUAGAGAGUGUUUGAUUUUUUGGCUUUUUGCUGAAAACGAUUUGUUUUAAGAAUUUAAGUUGUUUGUUUUUCUACUUUUUUGACUUAUUAUAAACUUUUUAUUGAAUAAAAAAGCCUAAAUAAAAAAAAAAUAACAUAUUGGUUUUCUUUUUUUCUUUUUAAUAUUUAAUAAAAAUAAAAUACUAUAAAAACAAACAAUUCAAUAUUUAACACUAUUAAGUAUUAAGGUUCUAUUUAGAAUUAAGUAAAAAAACAAACACCACCUUAGUUUCUUAAUUUCUAAAACUCUUCUAUUUUUUUUUUCUUUUCAUUUUGUGGAUGUGUUGAUCAGAAAUGGUAAAAGAAAUCCUAAAAUGGAAGCCAAAUCUAACCAAAGAAGUGGAUGAAAAUGGGUGGUCUCGACUUUACUGUGCUGCAUAUUUAGGUUAUGUUUCAAAAGUGAGGCAAUUACUGGAUGAAUCUGAUAGGUUUGUAGUCUACUAAGGGUAAAAAAUGAUGACAACAAUGAAUGUGGGAGCACUUACAAAUGAGAAGAAUGUUGAAGGACGUCAAACACCUCUCCAUCUGCUUACCCAUUCCCAGCUGAGAUUUCCUUCUUUCAUAAGGAACAAGAAAGUAGAUAAGAUGACACUUAACAACCAAAACUUGACUGCUUUAGACGUAAUUUCAUCGACCGAGGAUUUAUUUGGACGAAAGGAAUGCCUGUUUAACUCUCGGUUAAUUUCCCAUUUGACUGAAAUUGAACUAGCCUUUUUAUCACGUUCUGCUACACAUUUGCUUUACAACUAAAUGCUCUUUAUAUAGAGCUAAUAAGCAACGGGUAAACAGAAUAUGCAAAAAAUUCCACUAUCUUCUAAAGACUAGAACAAUCUGAAAACCAGGCACUCUAAAUAAAAAUAUUAAGUAAAUGCUUCCAACAAUAUAUAUUAUAAGGUGCGUUGAAGCUGAGCUACUUCAAAUGACUUGGAGUAUGUAAGAGUAAAAUUAUUAAUAUUGUAUCGUCUAUAUAUUUUCUCUAAAAUGAUUUGACUGAUUAAACUUCAUUUUUGUAUUGUAUGACACCUGAAACGGGCCAAAGCCAUGAGUUUUGGGGGAAAAUAGCUUUUUUAUAGAAAAAAAAAAUAUAGGGUGUGGUCUAUUUGUAAAACUUAUAUUCAAAUUAACCCAUUUAUUGUCACAUAAGAGUCAUGUCAUAAUUUUUUUUUUUUUCCAAAAUUUAAGUUAAAACCUCAAUUGCUAAUCGAGGUUUCAAUUAAAUUUUUUUUUUCUUACUUCAAAAUUUAAUUAAAAAAUAUUAAAUUAUAAAUUAUUGUUGAAAUUAAAAAUAUAUACUUUAAUAAUAAAAAUUUUAUAUAUUUAAAUUUAAAGAUCUAGUAUUAUUUCAAUAAAGAUAAAUUGAUAAAUAUAAUAAUAAAUGAAUAUUUUAAUUAUCAAUAAAUUAAUAAUAUUAAAAUAACAAAGUUAUAUAACAUAUAAAUAAGAUAUAAAAUUUUAUAAUUUAUUAAUUUAAUUUAAUUUAUUUUUAAGAUAUAAAAUUAUAUGAUUUAUUAAUUUAAGUGAUAUCACAUGUAGUAUCUGCUACAAUUAGGAAGAGACUUUUUUUUCUCACUAUAUAAAUGUUUAGUAUGUAUUUUUUGUGACUUUGAUAGAACUACUAAAAAUUACAUUUUAUAGAAAACUUUUUUUAAUUAAUUUCAUUAACUAAUUUUGAAAUAUAUUUUCAAUGCAUAUAUGUUAUGUGUACAAAUAAUAGUCUUUAUAUAUAUAUAUAUAUAUAUAUAUAUAUAUAUAUAUAUAUAUAUAUAUAUAUAUAAUUAUAAACAUAUGCUUUAAAAUAAUAAAAAAUCAAUAUAUGGAAACUUAAGAGUAUAUUAUUAUUUCAAUAAAGAUAAAUUUGUCAAAAUACAAAUAAAUUAAUAUCUUAAAAAUACAACAAAUUAAAUAUCUUAAAUUAAUAAAUCAUAUAAUAUUAUAUUUUAUUUAUAUGUCAUAUAACUUUAUUAUUUUAAAAUUAUUAAUUUAUUGAUAAAUAAAAUAUUUGAUUUAUUAUUAUAUUUAUCAAUUUAUCUUUAUUGAAGUAAUAUUAGAUCUUUAUGUUUAAAUAUAUAAAUUUUUAUUAUUAAAGUAUAUAUUUUUAAUUUCAAUAAUAAUUUAUAAUUUAAUAUUUUAAAGUAGAAAAAAAAAUUAAUUGAACCCUCAAUUGAUAAUUGAAGGUUCAGUUUAAAAAUGAAGUAUUAGUUGUCAAUUGCGACUUUAGUUCAAAAAUAAAGGCUCAAUUGAUAAUUGAGGUUUCAACUUAAAUUUGAAAAAAAAAUUAUAUAUAUAUUGUGACAUAUCUUCUAUGUGAUAAUGAGGUUAUACCUUGUAAUUUUUAUUUUUAUUUUUUAUAAGGGGGUUAUUUUGCCCCAAAACUCGAAAGCUAGAGUCAGGCCUUUGUUGUGGCAGAAGACUAUGAGCAAAGACAAGGACCAGAAGACAACGUAUCUUUCUUAAAGAAAGCAAGUGAUAGCCAUGUGCUAGUGGCUGCACUCGUAGCCACCUAUCCUUCGCUGCAGGUUUUACACUGCUCGGCGGGUAUAUCAUGAUAGUGACGACACGACCAUUUUAAGCAAAAAGCCAGCUUUUCAAUCGUUUGUUGUGUCAGAUUCCAUGGCCUGGUGCGAGUUUAAGUUCAAAAUAAUCCAUUGGUAGAAAAAAAUGGCAAGAAUAGUACCCAUCUCAAAAUAUUUAUCAAAUUAAUCUUUUUGCAUCCACAUAAGCAUCUACAUGGAUUUUUUUUUUAAGUGUGUAAAACCACUGUUGAGGCCUCGCGUCCCUGGUGAUCCACGUAGUUGCCAAAUGGAUGGACGCACGAUCUCAACCAAUGUAGAUUCUUGAUUCAAUCGUACCUGCAAAAGGCGUCCGAACAAGGUGUCCGGACGCACCCUCCGAUGGUUUUGUUAGCCAUGGUAAGAGAGAUAAAUCAGUUGGCCUUUUUCUAGGUAUCGCCAGCUUACCUUCCUCUUUGUGUGAAGGUUCAUAUAUAUAGUAUCAGAAGUUUUGUUUCCCUCUUUAAUGGUAGGGAGAUAUUUUGGCUUGUCAUGAUGACACUAGGUGGUGGUAGGGCCAUCAUCACCCUACGGGCAGCUGACAGAGAUCGUGGGAGGCACUGCGACUGUCAAAGAUCGUGGGAAGUGAUCGUGGGAAGUGACUUGCCGUCACUUCAUUCUUAUCCUUUCACUCUGUAGGUGGCGAAACGUGGGCCAUGGCAGGCUGUUGUGAUGACGUGCAAGACUUGCUUACUUCAGUCAAUGAUUCGGACAAACAUGUCCGGAUAGUAUAUGUCGGUCGUCCGGAUGCGAUGUGGCGGUCGUCCGGAUGUUAUGCUUGUGAGUGUCAUGUGCCUCUCCUUGAGGGAGUCCGGAUAGGAGAAGCGUGCCACGUGUCAUUAGGGGGAGGGGUCCCUACAAUGCCCCCCUUUUUUAACUUGCCGAUUUUGCCCGAGUAAAAUGGGCGGGUUAAAAAAUAAUUGUUUUUUGAAACUGAGGUUACUUUUUCGCGUUCAUUGGGUCACGUGGCGAGCGGGGGCGAAGAGAGAGAAUAGCAUUUAUGAUAAGCCGCCGUCUCUGGGUAUUCCCAAGCAGCGUGUUAUUUCAAAUGAUGGCGUAGCUGAGCAUUUGGGAUACCGAGGGGCUGUCUCCCUAUAAAUAGUAGUCUGAGCCCUCACUUUGCAUUUUUCUGUCUGUGUUUUUCUCUUGUUUAGCUUUUUUUCUUCUACCUUCUGUGUAACUCCGUUUUUGAGUGAAGCUCUAGGGUUUUCUGUCGGCAAUAUUCGCGUCGUGACGGUGACUACAUUGCGGUUUUCAACCCUAUUUUUCCCGUUUUCACUCGGUACGUUCGCUUUUCUUGUCUUUUCCUUGCUGUGUUUUGUUUUGUUGGUUGUUUGCAAGUUGCUUGCGACUGGGUGUUGAUAUUGGUUUCUAGGGCUUUUUCGGGGGGUUUUUGACUGUUUUUCUGGGUGUGUUUAGGAUUUUUGUUGCCCCUCUGUAUUUUUUGUGGGUUGGCGGUUUUUCUUUGGGGUAGAGUCAAGGGUUUGGGAUGGGUAUGCUGGUGAUGUGAGGUUUUUCUGAGAGUUUCUGUCGUUUAGGGUUGUGGGGUCGGUUUGCUGUGUUUUGACUGUUGGUACUUCUUCCAUGCAGAUUUUUCUUCAGGCUUAGGCUAAAAAAUGUCUGCAAACAAGGAAGCUACCUCAUCUGGCCCGUCCGGAGAUGCUCAUGCUGAGAAAUCUGUUGAUAAGUUGAAUGUGGGGGAGUUUCGCGAACUCUUCUGUAUCCCAAAUGGUGUGCUCGUGGAACUUAUGGACGGAGAGGUCGUGUCAACUGAGAAGUCGGAGGACCAUGCCAUCGUGUUCACCAAGGAGCAGUUCAAUGUUGGGCUCCGGUUCCCUCUCCCGUCGCUGUUCAAGAAAUUCCUUCACUUUACUCAGAUUCCUCUAGCUUGCAUCCACCCCAAUAUGGUCCGGGUGCUGAUGGGAUGCAACACUCUAAGCAUGUUGUUCAACAUAGACCUCUCGCUGCUAGAGGUGCUUUUCGUCUACUCCCUUAAGAAGGGUAAAAAUGACAUUUUUAGCAUGGUUGCCCACCUGCCCUCUCUUCAACUAGUGACUGAGCUGCCGUAUUUGACGAAGGGAGGAGCGAAGGGACAUGUGUUGGUUCGGGGUGCCUGGGCGGGGCUACUGGAGCAUUCGGAGAGGUCAUUUUCCCCGAACCAUUCGUUGGUGCUUCCGGGUAAGUCAGCUUGCGGGGUUUGUCCGGCAUUUGUCUUGUUGUUUUUCUUGCUGGGGUUUAUCAGAUGGCUUAAUAUCUUUGGUUGCUGAUAAUGCAAGUCCGGACAGGAGGGGCCGCGUAGUCGAGUGGGUAGAAAAAGCGUCGUUCGCUCGACUGAACAAGUUAUUUGAGAUUAUUGUCGCUGAGAGGCAUUAUGAGACGCUGCUCACUGCGCGGAACUUGUUGGCUGUUGUCCGGGAGUCCCAAGCGUACGUCAUCAAUAUUCUCCCAAGGAAGCUGCCAAAUAAGGUAGUGCCUGAGGAGCAUUACGUUCUGAAAUACCUCAAUUUCUGUAAGGAGGUGCAAAAGGUCGACGCUCAGAAACUCCAAGCACUCCUUGACGAUCGGGAGGGGAGGAGGAAAGAGGGAACUUUACGGAAGGCUCCUGGUAAAAAACGCUCCGCACCCUCUCUUCCUGCUGGCGCCCCAACGAAAAAGAAGAACAAGAAGAAGCUGGUUCUUAAUAAGGGAAAAGAAAUAAAACUUUCAACUCCUCCGAAGGAGUUUGUAAUUCCCCCUUCAACUUAUGUGAAGGAAGUAACAAUAAGAGAGCCGGAACACCCCGUCCCGCCCUCUAUUUCAAGCGGCUCCGGACGUCUUACGGGUCUAAACCACUCAAGGCCUUCAUUGUUAGCGGCUGGGCGUCUGGCCCUUCUGGCUGAGGAGACAACUUCAAUAAAUCAGCCCGGCUCUCCCCAUCCGGAUGCAGAUGCAGCUGGGGCUUCUUGUGCUGCCGCAUCGCCUCUUUCGGCACCCCCAAUAGAAAAAAUGGGGGCAGAAAGUCAAGGUUUACCUCCUUGCGGGCCAAGCCCCCUUGCCCUUGUACCGGUGAAGGGGCCAGCUACAAAGAGGUCGCAUUCGGCGCGUGACUUAAAGUGUGACCUCAUCGGGCGGCUUCAGGAUCGUUUUCUGGAAACCAUCGAAGUCAGCUGCUCGUCCGCCUAGGAGGAUCAUCCGGAGGGUAGUGAGACGGAGAUGGCAGAAGAGAACCCAACUGCCCCGAUGCUGGUCCCGGAUGAGGGUUCACCAGGAGAGACCUAGCCGACCGAAAAUGAGGGGGCCCCAGACCAGGAGGAGGAGUCACUUUCUAAUGCUUUAUCAGGGGAGAGUCCCAUUGAUGAUGCGGCUUGCAUCUCUGCUAGCUCUUUCAGCUACGCGGAGUUGGAAGAGAAGCUGAAACGGAUUCCACCUGGCUCAGAUGUUGCUAUGCCUUCAGCAAAAAUGUUCGAAGCAGUGGAAAUGGUAUAGUUUGCUUUCUUGAUUUUUUUUCUCGCGAUACUGAAGUGUUUGUGGCAUGGUUUGUAACUUUGUUCUUUUUGUUUGUGUGUUUUUCUGCAGCUGGUGAGCGGUCUUCGCGACAUGGCCCAACAACAUGACCUGUUUUCUAACCUACUGCGGACCGCUGAUUAUAUGAAGGCCUUCGCCUCUCAACGCAAAAACAGUGAAGAGGAGCUGCGCUUGAGACUGGAGCAGGCCGAAGCCAGUUUAUCCGCUGCUCGAGAGGACAGCGAGGCUCUCCGGGUAGAGCUUGCUGAGGCAAAGAGCCGAGAGGAAUCUGUGGACGCCCACCUGCAUGAGGCGGAAGACGAGAUGGCCCUUCUGAGGGGGGAGGUGAGGCAACUCCGGACGGAAGUAUCGAUCGAGAAAAAGCAGAGAGAGGAUUUGCAGCUGCGUUUAUCAGCUCAAAAAGAAGAGCUGGAGGUUGAGUUUGCUGCAGAAAGGGAGGAACUUGAAGCGGAGUACCAGAAGCAAGUAGAUGAAAUGUACUUCUUCGGCUAUCGCUGCUGUAUGAAGAAACAUGGUAUCAAGCGGGACGUCCCUUCAAUUCCCCCGGGUGAGGAGGAGAAGCUGCGCGGCAAGCCUGCUCAAUGAGAGCUUUUCUUUUUGUAAUUUUUUUUACUGCUAUCUUCUCUCUGUAUUUUGUAGUCCGGAGAACUCUUUGUAUAUAAUUUUUGCAAGUAUUCAAUAAAACAUACUUUUUCCCAGAUUGCACUUCUAUUUCUUUCAUUGGUAGUACUGCUUUAAAUUGGACACAUUCCAUGGUCUGAGUAAUGGGGUUCCGUCUAGCUUUUGUAGAUGAUAAGCUCCACUCCCACUUGCCUUAGAUACUAUAUAGGGGCCUUCUCAGUUGGCUUGAAAUUUUCCUACUCCUAUCUCAGUAGUAUUUUCAAAAACUUUUCUAAGGACCAGCGUACCAUUUUUAAAGCUUCUAGGCCUUACUUUGUGAUUGUAAUGAGCUGAUGCCCUUUGUUGAUAGUCUACCAUCCAGAUGGAUGCGGUUUCCCUUACUUCGUCUGCCCAGUCCAAGUUUUGUCCUAAUUCCGCAUUUGCAUCAUCCUGUUUUCCUGCCUCAGUCCGAAUAGUGGGUAGCCCUAUUUCAGUAGGAAUGAUUGCGUCCAUACCGUAUGCGAGGGCGAAGGGAGUGUUUCCUGUCAGACGUCCGGGUGUGGUUCGAUAAGCCCAUAGAACGCUGGGUAACUCCUCCACCCAUUUUCCUUUGGCUUGCUCGAGCCUUUUCUUUAGGGCAGUGAUUAGAAUCUUGUUUGUGGCCUCUGCUUGCCCGUUACUUUGAGGAUAACGCGGUGUGGAGUAUGAAUUCCGGAUGUUUAGUUCUGAACAGAAAUUCCGGAAUGCGAUGCUAUCAAACUGUGGACCGUUGUCGGCUACAAUGGUUUGGGGAUUCCGAAGCGGCAAAUGAUGUUUUUCCAUACGAAUUUGGUGACAUCUUUGUCUUUGAUGCUAGCAUACGCUUCAGCUUCCACCCAUUUACUGAAGUAAUCCGUGGCAACAAGUAGGAAUUUCUUCUGGGUGGGUGCGGUUGGGAGGGGUCCCACUAUGUCCAUGCCCCACUGUGCGAAGGGUCAGGGGCCUAAAAUUGGUUUCAGUGUUUCCAACGGCACAUGUGGUAUGGGGGCAUGCCUUUGACAUUUGUCGCAUUUUUUGACAUAGUCUGCCGCGUCCUUUUUCAUUGUGGGCCAAUAAUAUCCUUGCGAAUGGGCCCUGUGCACUAGAGAUUGUCCUCUAGAAUGAUUUCCACAUACUCCCUCGUGCAAUUCAGCUAAUACAUAUAGGGUCUCUGAAUGAUUUAGGCACCGGAGAUAGGGGUCUGUGAAGGACCGCUUGUAUAAGUGCCCCCCAAUCAAGGUGAAACGGGCGGCUUGCACUCGGAUCUUAUGUGCCUGUUUGGGAUCCUCGGGCAGAGUGCCUGUCCGGAGGUACCCUAUAAUGUCGUUCGUCCACUCUUGGCCGUCUACUUGUUUUGCCGCAAUGGUGUUGCAAGUGGACGCUUCCACGACGGAAGGGUUGGUUUGCACAUGUAUAGGCAACAAUAUGGCUUCUUUGAUGGGGAGGGAGGCAGCUAUGCCUGCCAAGGCGUCGGCGCGCCCAUUUUCAGUUCGUCUGAUUUUUUCGAUCGUCCACUCGGUGAAUCGUUGUAAGGUGUCCCUUACUUUAGUUAGAUAUUGCGUCAUGCGCGCAUCUUUAGCUUCGUAUUCCCUCUAAACAUGCCUUACUAUGAGUUGCGAAUCACUAUAGACCCGGAGCUUGGAGACGGAUAGAGCCAGAGCAAGGUCCAAUCCGGAUAAGAUGGCCUCAUACUCCGCUUCAUUGUUGGAGGCGGGGAAUCUGAGCCGGAUGGCUUGCUUCAGAUGUUCCCUUGUCGGGGACUAUAGCAGAAGCCCGACUCCGGACCCUGAUGAUCGUGAGGCUCCAUCGACUCACAAAGUCCACCAUUCUUCUUCGCUUGGUUCCUUGCGUUGGAUAGGCUUUCGGGCGUAUUUCAGCACGAAGUCAGCCAUCACUUGGCCUUUCAUGGAUUAUCUAGGUUGGAAUUCGAUUCCAAAUUCGCUUAAUUCUAUGGCCCAUUGAAGCAUUCUUCCGGUUAAGUCUGGCUUGUGUAGAAUGUUGCGAAGGGGUUGGUCAGUUAGCACGACCACCGGGUGGGCUUGGAAAUAGGGGCGGAGCUUCUGGGCAACACUUCGAAGGGCUAAGGCCGUUAGCUCCAUUUUUGAAUACCUGAUUUCUACGUCCGCCAACGCUCUACUGACGUAGUAGAUAGGUUUCUGCUCCUUGGGUGAGGGGCAGUGGAAUAGAACAGCGCUGAUUGUCCACUCCGAUACAGCCAGAUACAUGUACAAUUUUUCUUUAGGGAUGAGGCUGCUCAGGAUGGGCAGCUGCAUAAGGCAGUGUUUAAUUUUUUCAAAAGCGUUUUGACAGCUGUCCGUCCAUCCGUUUGCUCCAGCUUUUCGUAUUGCUAAGAAGAAGGGUCGCAGUUCAUCAGUGAAGCGUGCUAUAAAACGCCCUAGUGCGACAAGCUUGCCUGUGAGGCGUUGUAACUCCUUCUUGCUCCUGAGGGGAGGUGUUUCUAUGACUGCCUUGACUUGAUCCGGGCAAACCUCUAUCCCUCUUUGGCUGACCAUAAAUCCCAGGAAUUUGCUAGCACUUACGCCAAAGGCGCAUUUAGAAGGAUUCAACUUCAUGUCAUACUUCCUCAAGAGGUAAAAAAACUUCUUGCAAGUGGAGGACAUGUUCCUCUCGGGUUUUGUUUUUAACCAUGAUAUCAUCAAUAUAUACUUCUACUGUGUGGCCUAUCAGAGGUUUGAAGAUCUUUGUCAUCAGUCUCUGAUAAGUGGCGCCAGCGUUUUUGAGUCCGAACGGCAUGACUCUAUAGCAAUAGAGGUCGUGUGGCGUUAUGAAUGCUGUUUUUUCUUCGUCAGUCGGGGACAUGGGGAUUUGGUGAUAUCCGGAGAAGGCGUCCAAGAAAGAGAGCAUCCCUUGCCCAGUAGUGGAAUCCACAAUUUGAUCUAUCCGCGGCAAAGGGAAACUGUCUUUUGGGCAUGCAUUAUUGAGGUUGGUGUAGUCGACGCACACCCGCCAUUUGCCUUCUUUUUUGGGUACCACCACUACAUUUGCCAACCAGUCCGGGUAAUCUACUUCUCUGAUGAAUCCGGCUUCUAGCAAUUUGUCAAUCUCAUUCCGGAUAAUUUUUUGUCUGUCCGGGUGAAAACGCCUAACCUUCUGUCGGAUGGGUCUGGCUGUUGGCAAGACGUUAAGCCUGUGAGAGGUAAUAGAGGGAUGAAUUCCCUUCAUAUCAGAAUGUGCCCAUGCGAAGACGUCAUGGUUUCGUCUGAGGGCGUUCUACAUGUUCUGGGUCUCUUCUGGUGUCAUGAGGGAACUGAUGUUAGUAAGGUGAAUACCUUCUCUCGAAAUUUGGAUUGUUUGCAAGGGAUCCGCUGCCGGGGGAUCUUUGUCCGCCAGACCCAAUAAUUGCUAUUGGUCACGUGCAUGGCUGGACUCAGGGAGGGAUGCAUCCUCCUGGCUGGUCCCUGCUUCUCGUGCUAUCUGGUAGCAUUGGCGAGCGGCUAACUGGCUGCCAUAUUUGUCAAUUUGCCCGUCGUUGGUAAGGAAACUCACCAUUUGAUGAUAUGUAGAGGGGAUGGCUUUCAUGUAGUGUAGCCAUGUGCGCCCCAAGAUGACAUUGAAGGGCGAUAAAUCUUGUACCACCGAAAAUUGUACGUUGAGAGUGACUGGGCCAGCUUGGACCGGCAGUACAAUGUCUCCCAAGGAAGUAGUUGACGACCCGUUGAAUCCGGACAGGAUUCGCCUAGGGUUUUCAAGGCCCGUGAGAUUGUGCCCCAUGUGGCUAACGACCGAUGCUUGCACAAGAUCGGUCGAGCUGCCCGGGUCAACUAGAAUGCAUCUCACGUCAAAAUCUCCUAUCUCUAGGGAUAGGAUGAGGGCGUCGCGGUGUGGCUGUAGUGUCCAAGUGGGGUCUAUUGGUGGGAAAAUGAUUGUCCCAUCUAUGGGGCGAGGGCCCCCUCCAAUUAGUCCAGGCCGGAUGGAGUUGAUACGCUCGCGUACUGAUGCAGCCCGCAACAACUUUUGUCUCUUUCGUUUGGAGUCAUACUCCUCGUCAGAUGGGCCUCCGUUAAUAUAAUUUAUAAUGGCCUUGGGGGCGGCUGGGGCCCUGGGGGCUCCAGAGUUGUGAUUUUGGGAAGUGUCUCUUCCUUCGGCAUCUAAGCGGAGGUAUUGCUUUAAAUGUCUCACCUUGAUGAGCCUUUCGACCAAAUAAUGGAGGCACCUGCAUGUCUCUGUUGUGUGACCAUAUUCCUUAUGGAAGGCACAUCUUUUGCUAUGAUCUCUUUUGGAUGGGUCCGUUCCGAGGGGUCUAGGCCACCUGAAGUUGGACAAGCCUUGGAUCAUAGGGAGAAGUUUCUCAUAUGAUAUGGAAAGAGGCGUGAGGGGCGGCCUUUCCGGGCGACUUGGCCCUUCCUACCUUCGGUCGGACGGCCUUGGCCAGUCCGGAAGUUUGGCACCUCUUUCCGUGCCACUUCUAGAUGCCUGUCCAGCAACCAAGACUUGUUGGGUGGCUGCUCGUACGUCAUCUUCGAGCAUUGAGUAUUUGUUUGCACGUCUGAACAAGUCGUCCAUCGUUGUAGGAGGCCUGGACAGAUACUUCGCUUGAAGAUCUGUAGGACAGCAUCCAUGCUGUAAGCCUCUACCUGAAGUACGGCUUGACCAAACCGCUUCACGAACUCCCUUAAGGAUUCAUUAUCUUGCAUUUUUAUGUUUUGCAGAGUGCUGAUGUUCUGCGUAUGUCGAGCGGAGCAUAAGUAUUGUCCCACGAAAGCUUCGGACAGGUCCCUGAAAUUGUCAACAGAGUUGAGAGGUAGGCGAUGAAACCAUGAGAGGGCCUGCCCUUAUAGGCUGGUAGGGAAUACUUUGCACAGCAAUGCGUCGUUGCCAAUAUCGAGCGUCAUGAGCUGUCGAUAAUGCAUGAUAUGGUCGAAGGGGUCGUUGGACCCAUCGUAUGUGGAAAAUUUUGGUACGAGGAAUCCCCUUGGGGGCUCGUAAUGAAUGAUAUGAGAGCAGAAAGGCGUGGAGAGCAUGUCGUCCAGCCUUUUGCUGAUGGAGCCAAUGGGUGGCUCGUUUGGGAGGUUUCUCCCAACUUGUCGUACCGCUAGGUGCGGGUGAACGUUCCGCACCAUGGGGGUGACCAUAGGGUCACGGUGCAAGAGCACGUUCUGCACCAUGAGGGUGACCAUAGGGUCAGGGUGCGCUGCCCAGGUUGUGGCUACUAGUGGCCUUGGUCUCCCAAGCUCUUGUGGACCUAGUCUUGCUCGCAUUGAAUUUGACAACUGGGAUUUUCUAUCACGUUGUCUUUUUGCGGAAAAAUGAGUAGAGUCCGAGCUUUCCUCACGGGGAGCUCGAGGCAUGGGCGUGUGUGGCUCAUGUGGCCUCACGUUGUAUGUUUCUGGGAUAGCUCCCGCUGUCCCAGGAUAUAUUGACUCUGGUUCUGGCCUUGAGUUUACUACCUAGCCUCUUGAAUGUUGACGACAGGGAGGCCCCCAUGUUGAAGCCUGGAUGCGUAGUACCGCGUUUUCUUCUCUUAAUCUUUCUGUCUCCUGGAGGAGAGCUUUCAGUUGUCGUUUGCUUGCCAACUGUCUUCUUUCGAUGGCUCAGCGCCAUUCAGAAUUAUCUUCCUCUCCCCUACUAGAUGAACGGCUUCGGGAAGAUGUGGUCAUCUUUGCUAGUGACUGAAUCAGUGAUAUUUUCCCACAGACGGCGCCAAUGUUGAGGCCUCGCAUCCCUGGUGAUCCACGUAGUUGCCAAAUUGAUGGACGCACGAUCUCAACCAAUGUAGAUUCUUGAUUCAAUCGUACCUACAAAAGGAGUCCGAACAGGGUGUCCGGACGCACCCUCCGAUGGUUUUGUUAGCCAUGGUAAGAGAGAUAAAUCAGUUGGCCUUUUUCUAGGUAUCGCAAGUUUACCUUCCUCUUUGUGUGAAGGUUCAUAUAUAUAGUAUCAGAAGCUUUGUUUCCCUCUUUAAUGGUAGGGAGAUAUUUUGGCUUGUCAUGAUGACACUAGGUGGUAGCAGGGCCAUCAUCACCCUACGGGCAGCUGACAGAGAUCGUGGGAGGCGUUGCGACUGUCAGAGAUCGUGGGAAGUGACUUGUCGUCACUUCAUUCUUGUCCUUUCACUCUACAGGUGGCAGAACGUGGGCCAUGGCAGACUGUUGUGACGUGCAAGACUUGCUUACUUUAGUCAAUGAUCCGGACAAACAUGUCCAGAUAGUAUAUGUCGGUCGUCCGAAUGCGAUGUGGCGGUCAUCCAGAUGUUAUGCUCGUGAGUGUCGUGUGUCUCUCCUUGAGGGAGUCCGGAUAGGAGAAGCGCGCCACGUAUACUCUUGGGGAAAUCCGGAUGAGGGUAAUCCGAAUGAGAAUGCGUGUCACGUGUCAUUAGGGGGAGGGGUCCCUACAACCACCGUUGGUGACUGUGGUUUUAAAAGUUUUAUAAAUAUCCUUAAAACCAUAGUCUGUAACUGUGGUUUUACAAUUUUCCUUAGAACCACAGUUAGUAACUGUGGUUUCAAAAUUAUUUUUAGUUCAUUCAUGUUUUAAUAGUAUUAUGAUUUUAAUAUUAUUUUUAAAAUAUUUUUUUUAUCAUAAUAACCAUAAACCACCGUUAUUAAGGAGUAACCUAAAAUCAUAAUUACUAAUAUUAAUUUUUAUAUGAAAAUAUAAAAUUUUAAAAUAAUAUAAAUAAUUUAUUUAAUUAUUUUAAAAUUUAAAAAUAAUAUAAAAAAAUAAUUUUCUUUAAUUCAUAUGUGAUAAAAUUCAUAAAACAAAUAAAUAUUUUAUUUACCAUAAAUAUAUAAAUUUUUAUGGGAAUGCAGACAAAAUUAUUUUCUCAAAAUUUCAAGGAAAAUAUGAAAAAAUAAAGAUAAUAUAUAUAUAAUUUUAAAACAGUCGUAAAGAAAAAAUUUAUUAAGGAUAAUUUGUAAAAAAAAAAAAGUAACUUUAAACGAAAAUUGUAAGAAAUUUUGAAAAUAUCCUUAAAAAUCACUGUCAUAGACUGUGGUUUUACAAAAAAUUUUAAAACCACAAUUACUAACUGUGGGGUUUCACAAAUAUCUUUAAGGGGAACUCAUGUAACCAUACAUCAACUAAAAAAAUAUGAGAUUUUAAAACUUUGCUUUUUUAUUUUUAAUUUUAGUGUAAAUUAUGGAUGUACCAAAAUUCCUUAACGAUGUACCAGAUUUUCUUAAAGUUCUUUUGGAGUGAGAAAAAUUUCUUACAAUUUUCCAUUGUUAGUUUUAAAUUAUUUUUAUUUACAAAUUAUCCUUAAUAAAUUUUUUCUUUACGACUGUUUUAAAAUUAUAUAUAUAUUAUCUUUAUCUUUUCAUAUUUUCCUUAAAAUUUUGAGAAAAUAAUUUCGCCUGCAUUUCUAUAAAAAUUUAUAUAUUUAUGGUAAAUAAAAUAUUUAUUUUGUUUUAUGAAUUUUAUCACUUAUGAAUUAAAGAAAAUUAUUUUUUCAUAUUAUUUUUAAAUUUUAAAAUAACUAAAUAAAUUAUUUAUAUUAUUUUAAAAUUUUAUAUUUUCAUAUAAAAAUUAAUGCCAAUAAUUAUGAUUUUAGGUUAUUCCUUAAUAAAAGUGGUUUUAUGGUUAUUAUAGUAAAAAAUAUUUUAAAAAUAAUAUUAAAAUCAUAAUAUCAUUAAAACAUAAAUGGAUUAAAAAUAAUUUCUGAAACUUGUAAAACCAUAGUCACCAACGAUGGUUCUAAGGAAAAUUGUAAAACCACAGUCACAAACUGUGGUUUUAAGGAUAUUUUUUAAACUUUUAAAACCAUAGUCACCAACGAUGGUUUUACACACUUAAAAAAAAAUUCAUAUAGAUGCUUACGUGGAUGCAGAAAGAUUAGUUUGACAAAUAUUUUGAGAUGGGUACUAUUCUUGCCAUUUUUUUCUACCAAUGGACUAUAUUGGACUUAAACUCGCCUGGUGCUCUCACAAACAGUUGCAAGUCAUAGCAUUGCUAAUUAAGGUGGACGUACUGGCUCACAAAGUUGGCUGUGGGAGCAAUGGUGGUAGCAUUCUUGACCGGCUCGUACACUGUACUGCCCCAUCACGGGCAUUGCAACUUUUAUGUUGAUCAUCUGCACCUGUUGUAUAUCUUUCAUCUUAUGCACUAAUGAAAGCCAAAAUGAAAAGAAUAUUGCCCAAGCAGAAUCUUUUUGGAAAGUAAAUUUGAUUUUUGGAAAGUUCCUCAAAAUUAGGAUUUAUUUUUUUAUUUUUUAAAAUAAAUAGAAUAUUUUUAAAAAGUAUUGUUGAGCUCACUCAUUGCAAGUAAACUUGCUUGUCCAUUUUCCUCUUUUCCUUUGGAUUGGUCGGGAAAAAAAGCUGUAUGUUGUCUAUUUACUGAGUAAGAAUAUUUGAAGUAUUCACUAAAUGAGAAUUUAUUAAAUGAAUAAUUAUAAUGAUUAUUAGUCAAGAAUGUGAGACAGCCAAAAAGUGGAGUUAUUUUGCGUGGUAUAAAUAAGGGAGAUGGCUUUGAAGAUGAGGAUCUAACAACCCAACAAGAAAAAAAAAACACACAUAUAUUAAUUUGAUAGAAAGACCAUUCAUUUAGGUUCCUUCUCAUCAUGUUCUCCUUGAUUGUCGCUAGUGCUCAACUUCUUAAUUAAUUUUAUUUACUAAUUCUGUAAUAUUAAAACUAAUUUUUAAAUUUUAAUAUUAAGAUUGAAUAGAAUAUAAAUAUUUAGUAUCUCAAAAAACCUACCACAUUGACAACUUGUGAUCAAGUCGGACCAAUUGAAAGAUAAAAGGAACAAACACAAAAGUAAAUGGUCAAAUUUGUACACCUAACUAACAAUUAAAUUAAAAUAAUAAUCAAUGUCUAACUAAAUUAAUAAGAUAAUAAAAAAAGGUGUCAAUGAGUCAUUAGUAAAAUAAUAAUCAAUUUCUUCAUCUAGCAGCAAUAUAAUAAAUGAAUCUAAUAAAAGGAAAACAAAUAAUUAGUCGUGUUUCCACAAAGAAUGACAAAGUUUGAUAUAAUUAACUAAUAUGAUUCAAACUCAACACAUUUUUUAUUGAUUUGGAUUAAGUAUAAUUAUAUUUGGAUUAAAUUCAUAUCAACCUCUAUAAAUUUUGAAAUAGCAAUUCAUCCACAUAUACUGUUCCACUCAUUUGAAAAACUUUGAAUUAAGUUCAUCACAAUAAAUAUCAUUUAAGCCCAACUCUUCAAGAAGUGGAAGGCAUAGAAAGCUUUAGCCAAAAUUUGUCAUAUUAUCCAUGACACCUCCCAAACUCUUCGCAUUUCAAUGGUGGGACUCACAAGGUUGCUUUCGUCAUUCCAACUUGUGACUUGUUUAUUGAGAGGUUGGUGGUGGUGGGAAUGAUUUUAAUUUAUAAAAUAUGAUUUCCAUAUAUUCUAAAAAUUUGUAAAAUGAUUGACCUUUGUGUCAUUUAAAAUUUGUGCACCUAUUCAUCAAAUUAAGUAUUUAAUGAAAUAUUACUUAAUUUAUUUAAAUAUAUAUUUUAUAAUUAAUUUUGAAUGCAAUUAGACAAUGAUUUAAGACUUAAGUAGUAUUUAAUAAAAAUUAAUACUUAAUACAUAAUUAUUUAACAUUUAACCGUCAACUUAAAACUUAUUAUCAAUUAUUAUUUUAAGAAUUAGAAGUAUUUAUAAAAAAUUUAUAUAUAUAUAUAUAUAUAUACUAUUAAAUUAAUAUAUUUAUUUUCAUUGGUACUAAAUAAUGAGAUUAUAAGAGAAAAAAAGAAAGAAAUAUCUCAAGGUUCCUUUCAUUUUUCAACUUGUAAAACUUGUUUAUCGAGGAGUUGGUGGUGGUGGGAAUGAUUUAAAAUUUUUACUUAAUUUUUUAUUUGCCUCUAGGAUGGACAAAUUUAAACAUCAUAAUUAUUUAGACCAAAGCAAUUGUUUAAAUGUACAGAAAAGACAGUUGUGAUAUGAUUGACCUCUGGAUCAUUUUAAAAUUAAUUUAUGCACCUAUUCGUUAAAGUACGUAAAAGUAUCAUAAACAUUAAAAUAAGUUGUUUUUAGGACGUUAGGUCAUUUAAAAUUAAUUUACGCGCCUAUUCGUCAAAGUACUUUAAAGUAUCAUAAACCUUAAAAUAAGUUGCUUUUAGGAUGGUCGGUCAUUUAAAAUUAAUUUACGCAUAAAUAAGUUGCUUUUAGGAUUGUAGGUCAUUUAAAAUUAAUUUACGCGCAAAUAAGUUGCUUUUAGGAUUGUAGGUCAUUUAAAAUUAAUUAACGCACCUAUUCGUCAAAGUACCUAAAGGUGUCAUAAAUCUUAAAAUAAUUUGCUUUUAGGACGGCGGGUGAACCUUAAAAUAAGUUGCUUUUAGGAUUGUGGGGUCAUUUAAAAUUAAUUUAUGCGCCUAUUAGUCAAAGUACCUAUUGGUAUCAUAAACCUUAAAAUAAGUUGCUUUUGGGAUUAAGAUAAGGCAAACAACUGACCACAUUUGCUCAUGCACGAGAACAUUAUAUAUAUUUGGAUGUUAGGUGCAUGAUGUUAUGAUAGAAAAGAAAAGAUAAGUUAAAUCAACAUGAAGACCAUUCAUUAUAGAAUUCAUUGCAUCAAAGACAUACUUGAUUGUAAUUUAUAUUACUUACCCCUCUAGUAAUUUUUAUCUUAUUAGAUAUAGAGAUAAAUGUGUAAAGGCUUAUAUGAUCAAAAGAGCUACUAUGUCUUAUUUAUUUGGACCUUAUAGAAGUAAUCAGUUGUCACAUUUUCAAUUGGUAAAAUGGAGUUUAACAACACCAUAUGUCUGUUAUGUAAUUUGAUUAAAAAAAUUGAUCGAAAAAACUUAAUUUGUCAUAAGAAGUAAUAGAAAUUUUUCUUAAUAACAAAUCAACAAUCACAUUUUUUAAAGAAUCUAAUAUUUUAUGAAUGAAGUAAUUACGUUAACAAAAAAAUAUCAUUUGUAUUGUGAAAAAAGAAAUACAAUUAAAAUUUAUAAAGUAUUAUAAUCAAUUAGAAAGACACUUAAAUUUGAAAAUUUUAGAAGACAAAAAAUGUUACUAAUUUGAGUUAUAAAUUAAUCAAGUUUAAGGGGGUAAAUUAAAAUGUAAAGUUGAAUUUGAUAAAUUUUCAAAAAUAGAUUUUUAUUUUAUUUAAUAUGAAUAUGUAUAAAUUAAUAGAAGGAUGUUUAAGAGUUCAACAAGAGUGAGAGAAUAAUUUUGGCUAAAUUUUCUCCUAUUAGUUAUCUCCCUUGGUAGAAUUAUCUUGAAGUACUAGUACUGUAUAGUGUCAUGCACGACAUGGAGACUCUUGGUCCAAUAGGCAUACAAAUGAAUCAUUGCAUUUGAAAAAACGAAACAAAUAUAAAACGAUAAAAAAGAGGAAAGUGACUUGGGACCACAGCCUUGUGGAGGCAUUCGCACCUGUUCCCUUUGCUGUUGAUAUAAGACGCAGAGGCGGUGGAUUGUGGUAUCGUGAAAGAUUUGAGAGAGGUGGAGACGGCUGUAGAGCUUUAGCACACCAAUGGAUCCAUCCACAUCCACUUCCACUUCCACUUCUACUUCCAGCCAUGCUUUAGAAUUACAGAACCUUAACUCAGUUUCUAGUGGGAACCAGGAGGAUUUCACAUGCAUGGCUCCUGAAAUUUACAGGGCUGCUGCAGAAGGCGACACCAAUAUCCUCGAGGGAAUGCCUAGCGCUGACCUUCGAGUCCAAUUAACACCCAAUAAGAACACCGUCCUCCACAUUGCAGCGCAGUUGGGUCAACUGAAGUGCGUUGCAUGGAUCAUUCAGCACUACUCAGUGGAUUCGUCCCUACUGCAGUGCCCCAAUCUGAAAGGGGACUCCCCCCUCCACCUUGCAGCGAGAGAAGGGCAUCUAGAGGUCGUGAAGGCUCUUAUCCGUGCUGCAGAAACAGUUUCCGAAAGGGAUUCUGAGAGUGGGAUUGGAGCAGAUAAGGCCAUCCUGAGGAUGACCAACAAUGAGAAUGACACAGCGUUGCAUGAGGCAGUCCGGUAUCAUCAUCCUGAGGUGGUGAAGUUGUUGAUCGAGGAAGAUCCCGAGUUUACAUAUGGUGCAAACCUUUCUGGUGGGACUCCUCUAUACAUGGCUGCUGAGAGAGGGUUUAGAGACUUGGUGAAAAUAAUCAUAGAGAAUACUACUCUCAUUCCACCGGCUCACACUGGCCCCAUGAGGAGAACAGCUUUGCAUGCAGCUGUGGUUUGCCAUGACCCAAGUACGCAUAUUCUUUUCAUCAAUCUACAAUAUUCCUAUGUGAUUGACUUAUUAACAUUACAAGGAUAACAUAUAGAGUGUUGAAUAACAAUUUUUAACAAUGGGGUUAACCAAGUCAAAAGAAUAAUAAUAAAUGACAUCCUUACCGUUUUCUUUCGAAGCCCUUCUCUCCAGAUUGAAUCUACCGUUUCUUCAAAUUAAACUUUUGAUCUUUCACAAAAAAUAUUUUGAUAUAUUUGUUUAUAUAUGCUUGAUGGUUGAUUGUUUCAGUUGUUUGGAUGAAUUGUUUGAAUAAAAUUUUAAAUGUUGAUCUAGUUCCUUUUAAGCCGACAUGUACGCAUGAUUAAAUGUUGAUCUAGUUCCUUUUAUUUUAUAUGUGUUGAACAGAAAUGGUAGAAGAAAUUCUGAAAUGGAAGCCGGAUCUAACAACAGAAGCAGAUGAAAACGGGUGGUCUCCACUUCACUGCGCUGCAUACUUGGAUUAUGUUUCAAUAAUGAGGCAAUUACUUGAUAAAUCUGACAAGUCUGUAGUCUACUUAAGGGUAAAAAACGAUGACAACAAGACAGCUCUUCAUAUUGCGGCCACUCGUGGAAACAAGCGCACAGCAAAACUGUUGGUGUCACGCUAUCCAGAUUGUUGUGAGCAAGUGGAUAUCAAUGGAAAUAAUGCUCUUCACUUAUUCAUGAUGCAAAGAAGAUUUUUCAUAAGCUUGUUAAAGAUUCCUUGGAUGAAUGUGGGAGCACUUAUAAAUGAGAAGAAUGCUGAAGGACAAACACCUCUCCAUCUGCUUGCCCAUUCCCAACUGAGAUAUCGUCCAGCUUACAUAAAGAACAAGAAAGUAGAUAAGAUGAUACUUAACAGCCAAAACUUGACUGCUAUGGACGUAAUUUCAUCGGCUGAGGAUUUAUAUGGACACAAGGUAAGCCUAUCUAACUCUCAAUUAAUUUUCCAAAUAGCUAGUAAUUGGUGCACAUACAAGUAUGCUAAGUAUAUAUGUCGAAUUAUAAUAUAAUUAGUACUAUUACUAAAUUGAUACUUAGAAUGGUAAAACCAUCAAUUAUAUUACUAAGUCAAAUGAAAUGGUAGUACAUGUUUAGUAUUCAAUAAAAAAGGCAAAGCAAGAGACAACAAGAUUUGACUAAAAUUGAACUAGCCUUUUUAUCACGUUCUACUACACAUUUGCUUUACAACUAGAUGCUCUUUAUGUAGAGCAAAUAAGCAACAGAUAAGUAGGAAUAUGCAACAAACUUCAUUAUCUUCUAAAGACUAGGACAAUCUGAAAACCAGGCACUAUAAAUAAAAAUAUUAAGUAAAUACUUCCAACAGUACAUUAUCAGGCGCAUUGAAGCCAAGCUACUUCAAAUGAUUUGGAGUAUGUAAAAGUAAAAUCAUUAAUAUUGUAUCCUCUAUAUAUAUAUUUUCUAUAAAAUGAUUUGACUGAUUAAAUUUCAGGCUGUUAUUGUACGGCACCUGAAAUGGGCCAAAGCCAGAGUCGGGCCUUUGUUGCGGCAGAAGACUAUGAGCAAAGACAAGGACAACAAAGACGAGGAUAACAACGAAAGAAAACGUAAUAAAGGUUUAGACGUAUCUUUCUUAAAGAAAGCAAGCAAUAGUCAUUUGCUAGUUGCCACACUCGUAGCCACUGUAUCCUUCGGAGCAGGUUUUACAUUGCCCGGUGGGUAUAAUAAUAGUGACGGCACAGCCAUUUUAAGAAAAAAGAUAGCUUUUCAAGCAUUUGUUGCGUUUGAUUUCUUAGCCCUGUUGUCGUCUGUGACUGCUAUAUUGUCUCAUUUUUAUGGUGCACUGAAUCACAAAAAGGCGCAGCUCGCAUCAUCACUAAGCUUGGCCUAUUGGUUCACCCAGUUGGGUAUAGGAGCAAUGAUAGUAGCAUUCAUGAGCGGCGUGUACACCAUGGAUCCACAUCACUCAGGGAUGACCUUUUCUAUUUAUAUCAUCUUCAUCUGCGUUUCGAUUUUCAUCUUAUUCACUGUGGUACGCCAAAUUCAACGUUAAGAAUGCCCGAGCAAGAUUAUGUUGGAAAGUACGUCUGAUUUUGGUAACUUCUUUAAAAUUAGGAUUUAAUUUUUUAUUUCAAAAAAAGUUAAUAAAAUAUUUUCAGUUUGAGUGAGAUUUUGUUUUUAUAUUUAAGUAAUUCAUUUUUCUAUAUUUUAUCAUUCAGAGUUUCUAUUUUGUUAUAUGUAAGGUUGUGUGAUAUUCAACUCAUUUGUCACAAUAAUAUUUUUCUUUUAUUUAGAAGAGAAAAUAUAAGAUCUUGGAAGUAUCCUGGUCCCAUUGAUGACAAGUGGGACCAAUAAUUCGAUCGGGGUAGUUGCUAAACCAUACCACAUAGUUAUAGGUUUGCCUGCCAUCCACACCAAAAUAAAUGGAGUUUUCCAAAAAAAACUUGUUAGGGAAGGAAGACCUCCUAGGGAUAAGAGACAUAAGGCUAAAGAGAAAGCCAAAAAAAGAUGGUGGGCCGCAUUAAAGGCUUUUGUGUUAGCAAAAUCUCUUUCUAUAAAAUGAACUAAUUUCUUACAGGAUGUUGUUCUAAAAUUGUGAUACAUAAAAAUCUUGGGGAGGAUUGAUUGAGGAUGAGGAAAUAAUUGAAAGAAAAUUUUGAAGAAUAUUGUGAUGGGAUGAAGUGGCAAAACAAGAUAGAAAUUUGAUAGUUAUCACAAAAUGCUAUGGUUCUUACAUAUGAUUUCUUAAUUUAUUUAGAAGUAAUUCACGGGAGGAAGAGAAAGGUUGGGAUUCCAACAGGCGUCUAUUAUUGAAUUCACUCGACCCGAUAGUACCCAUUUUGGGAACGUUCGGACAGUAUAAAUUUACCAAUACUUUUCGCUCAGGAUCUGUUGGUAAUUUUCUCUUGAUUUUUCUCUGUUGGUUAUCACUUCUCAUGUAAUCCAAUCCUUUCACUCCAGUGAAUCGAUGUGAUAUCACAUAUAUGGCUGGUAGAAUUUAAGGGUUGUCGCAAAUCAAUUAUCAAAAGAACUUCACAUAGAUAUUGAAAGUGGUAUGUCAAUAUCUUGAUGUGAUUAACCAAAUCAAUUAUCAAAGCAACAAAGGGGUUAACCAAAUCAAACAAAAGGCCCAAACAAUCACACAUGCUAAUGACUAUGGAGGAAAACCUUAAGGUUAACCAUCUCCAUGACUGUAAGAAUCUUUUAUUUGUAGAGCAUUGGUACCAAGGACAACUGUUUGGCACCAAGGAAAGUUGUUUGUCCAUUUUCCUUUGUCUGUUGUCUAUUCACUUAAUUUUCUUUUUUUCUUUCUCUUUUUUGUGUGGGGGUGAAGUGAAGUACUUGUCCAUUUAGCGUGAAUAUCUAGACAAGCCUUUUCCAUGAUGAGAUAAGGAAAUGGGUGGAAAAUAGUUACACAACUUGGCAUAGCAAUGUUUAAAGUAAUUUUAAGAUCAAGUUUAAAUUUAGUACCUAAAUGCUCUUUUUUUUAUAUAUAAAAAAGAAAAUGGAAGUGGAUAUCAUCCCUAGCCAAUUGUUAUAUGUCGAAUUGGUUUUUCUAUUAAAAUUUUCUAUGAAAUUGAUGAAAAAAACUCAUGUGAAAAGUGUACACACUUUAGCAUGAAAUUGUAUAUAAUACAUUACAAUUUGUCCAAAUUUUUUGUGUGUUGAUCAUAUGUUUUCCAUCCAUUUCUAAUAAAAGAAAAAAAAUUAUAAAAGAAAAAAAGAAAAAAGAAAAAACUCACAUUUAACAAUAGUUUAGGGUUAAUAUUGUAACAAGAAAAUUAAGAGCUAGAUUGAGACAUAAGUGUGAAUUCUCAUCACACAAAAAUGUAGACCAAAACUUGUACUUAAUUGUUGGAGGAUGGAGUGUAUAGUUGACCUAGGAUUUAUGUAUAUUGAUAUUCCUCUUUAUUCUCUUAGGAUGAAGGUUGAUAUGUUUCUUGACUAGAGAUGUUAAUGGCAUGAUAUGCAAGAUUUUUAUUCUUGGCAUGCCCCCUUAACCUGGCAUGAGCAUGGACACUUAAUUUGCUUUUAAAUGAUUGAAAGGUGUCCUUAGCUAAUGGUUUUGUAAAAAUGUCAAUAGGUUGAUUUAAGGAUGCAAUAUAUCGUGCAACAAGAUUACCUAAUGUAACUCUUUACCUUACGAAAUGAUAGUCGAGUUCAAUGUGCUUUGACCACACAUGAAACAUCAAGUUAACUGACAUAUAAAGUGCACUAAUAUUGUCAUAAAACAGUUAUGGCAGUUGUGAUAAUGCAACUCCAAUGCCAUAGAGGAGGAAGGUUAAACAUGUUAUUUUAGCUAUUCUAGAGGCCAUGGACUAAUAUUUGGCUUCACAACUAGAUUGGGAUACGGUGGGAUGUUGUUUUUUUUUUUUUUUUUUUGGACACCAAUAAAUGCAAUUCACACCAAGGAAUGCACAAAGCUCAAUGGUACUUCUGUUGGUAUCUUAAAUCUAAAUAACGGAAGUAAUACCAAUUUUAAAAAAUUGAUAUUUAGGGUUAAAGUACUAACCUUUAGGUUUGGAUGUUUCUCAACCUUAAAUUCCAAUUGUUGAAGAAUCAAAUUGAUAUCUUCGGAAGUCUUGUAGACCCAUAAUCUUCCACCCGAUGGCUCUUCCUUGAUUUUGGCACACUUUCGGUGAAAAAGAAGAGAAAGUAGAAGAUAUGACUCUCUCUCUCUCUCUCUCUCUCUCUCUGAAGGUAGAAGACAACUCUAUAGAAACAUUCUAAUCCCUAAAUGGAUAUUUAUAGGGUUCUUCAUUGGGCUAAAGUGACUUAAGUCCACUAAAGGCUUAGGUCACUUAAUCUAGCCCAAAAUGGGUCCUAAUUAAUUAUUUAACCUAACAAGACCUACUAAUUAAUCAAUUAACCCAAUCAAGAUGUCUUGCUCAUUUACCAUUAUGCAACCUUACAUAAUUACCAAAAUACCCUUAUGCACAAAAGUGAACCUAGAGUGAAUCUAACCCUCAUAAAUCGUGUCAACAAGGUAUAUAAGAUUGAGCGAUGACUACUAGGACCCAUAAGACAGUAUCGACUCCCUCAUAAUACAAUUCUAAAACUGAUUCAAUAUCCCACUAUAACAAAAUCAACUACACUCUAGUACUUUAAGCAAAUAACACUAAUACACUAAGAGUUCGAGUAUGUGGCUUAUUGUGCAUUACAUUCAUCUCCCCAUGAACAUAUGUUCGUAGUCUAACAAGCUAAAUGCUAUCAGCCUUUCAAGACUACCUAUACUAUCCUUGAGUUACAAAUCCUCCUAUUGUGUAUUCAAUUGACAUAUCUUGACCCUCAAAAAGCCUAUGUCAAGUUUCAUUUAAGAAACUACUAUGAUCAUAGUUUACAUGAACACACCUUCUUAGGAUCACCCAAAUAGACACUUUAUCUCAAAUUCAUGAAAGUGAGAAUACCUAUUGCUAACAGUUUCCAUCAAUAGCAACUCAAUCCAUAGGGAAUAUAUGAUUAGCUUACGAUCUCAUCCAUAAGGCAAAGUCACUACUAACUUUAGCUCAAACUCAGUAUUCUCUCAAGGUUGAGAGACAACACAAUGAAGCAACAUGAUGAAGUCAUGACCACUUGAUAUGCUUAAGUCAUGACUCACCAUAGGUCCUGUUCAAUGUGUAGUAACCAUACACACCAAUGUACUCACCAUGGGAAACCCAUCUUGAUAGCCAAAAAUACUCAUCCUUCCAAGUAUGAGGUAGUACACUACAACCUCAAAUGGAUUGCCUAAGUCCACAAACCGGUUGUGAACAAAUCAUCUACUUACCACCUAUGACUUGGAUCUUCCGUGCAACUGAUAAUGCAUCUAAGUCAUAUACAAUGCAAAAAAUGCUAAGCGAGAAUUCUUCUAAGGUGUAAUGCAUGGAAUAAGGAUAAAUAAAAGUUAACUUUUAAUGACUCUAUCCUAACAUUCUUCCACUAGCCCAUAAACCAUAAUGCUAUUAAAGCAUAUUGGAUACUGAUUAUCUAAAACCUAUGUUAUCCCUAUGAUCAACAAAGACUCUCCUUGUCAAUGUCUUGAUGAAAGGAUCCACAAGGUUCUCCACAAAAGGUAUCUUGUCAACCAUCAUGUCACCCUUCUAUACUAACUCAACAGUUUGGAAUACAAGUACAUAAUCCCUUGUUCUAUAAAGAUACUUGAUUAUAUGCUUAACAAAGCGUAAUUUUCAUUUUCUUGUAAUCUCCAAGGGCUUUAAACCCAAGAAUAUAUUGUGUUCCUCCUAUAUUUCCAUUUAGAACUAAGUAAAUAAACUAAUCUUAAUUUAUUUAUGAUAAUAUCUCUACAUCAUUUCCAAUGAGUAGAUUGUUAUUUACCCACAAGAUCUUAAAAUACCAUCAUGUUUCCCUGCACUUUCUUAUACAUAUUUGUUAUGAAAUUAUCGGGUUACAUCAUACAAAUGCUAAUAUCAAGAUAAUCAUUUUCGUUCACCAUAUAAGAAUUAUAAAAUUAAUUUUCUUAAAUUUGGCCAAAUAUUAAGGGGUAUACAACAUAUUUGAUUUUUUCUAAUGUGAAGAAUAGUUCUCAAAGAAAAAAAAAAUCAUAUAAAGGGUCACCAAUUCCAAUUAUGUGCUAGGAUAAUACUAUUGGUUGCAAACAGAUGAGUUGUAGAAAAAAAAAAGUAACAAGCUAAGUAAAACAAAUAUUUUUUUCCUUUUGGAGUACAAAAGUUUUUUUUUUUUCCUUCAACUUGCCUAAUCCUCUAGCAAAAUCACAUAUAUCUUGUUUUUUUCCAUUAUAGUGUAAGACAUUAAGGGUCUGUUUGGGAACGUUUUCAAAAAUUAUUUUUAAAAAAUAGUUUUAUCAUGUUUUCUAGAACAAAAGUUUAUUUGAGAAUUUGAAAUGUUUUUAACUUAUUGUCAAUGUUUCCAAAUAUUUUUUUUAAAAAAUUUAUUAAUGAUGCUUCAUUUUCAAUUGUUAUUCAUAUUUGUCCCUUUUUUAAAAAACAACUAAAAAUAACUAAAAUACGUUUUGAGAAAACACCUUAAUUUCUAUUUUUAAAAAUAAUUUUUUUCUAAUUAUCAAACAUAUUUUCUUUUUUUUUUUUCCUUAAAAAAUAGAAAAACAGUUUUGAGAAUAAACAACAAACCAGCUCACCAUAAUACUUUUCUUAGAAAGUAACUUGUUGCAAUCAAACACCUUUUGCCAAAAUAAACCCGUUCUCCAAAAUAAUAAAUUACAUUCUAACAAAUACACCAUGUCAACAUAUUGAUAAUGGUAAAAUCAUUCAUUCAUAUUUUAUAAUCUCAUUAGAAUUAAUUGACUGUAAAAAUAAAAAUAAAAAUGGUAUAAUGAAAUGGUAAGUGGCUGCUAAUUAAUAUCUGUUGUAGUAAUACUAAAGCCUAAAUUACCUAGUAAUUCUGGUUGAAAAAAAAAAAACCAAAUAUAAGAUCAUUAAGGCUUCUAAUAUCUAGGUUGUCAUCUUUUGGGAUCAGCAUUAAUGUGUUUAGUUAUUUAAAUUAAAAAGAUUAAUUGUUUAAUGAAACUAACAAAAACCUUAAUCUAAAAUAUAUAAAGAUAAAAAUAUAAAUGAAGUUUUCUAAAAUAUGAAAACUUCUAAUUCAUUUUAAAAUAGAUAAAAAUUUAUAUGAAUUUUUAAAAUACUAUAACUCAUUAUUAAAGUUCUUCUAAUGUUUUUAUUCAUUUUUAAUGGAAAUAUAUAUUUAUAAUGUUGGUAUAAAUGAGUUUGUAAAGUAGAAGAGAUUAAAAAAUUAAAAAGGAAAAAAAAAACGGUGCACAUGAUCUAAAGAUGAGUGAAUUUGUAACAUUAAAAAAUUAAAAAGAAAAGAAAAGAAAAAGAUACAUUUGGGAACAUGGAUAAAAAAAAUUAAAAAUAAUACUUGAGAGGUAGAUGUAGCAAUAGAUAUAAGUUUAUAAAGUAUAUCCACAGCAUACUUAGGGAGCUACUAUUUUUGGGCACUUGGGGAUGAUUAUUUUGGGUUUUGGGCCUAUGAGUCAUAUACUUCAAAGUUCAAAGUAAUGUCACCAAAUGUUAUUAUUAUUAUUAUUAUUUUCAAAAUUGGGCCUUUUAAUUGUAAUACUUAACAAUAAUCACCAAAUUCACUACAUAUAGACAUGCAAGAAGAGUUUCAUGAAAGUUAGGAAUAACAUCAAAGUAAGAGUGAGUUUGAGACAGGUGUUGUAACACCCGGACAUUUUCUUUUAAGGGUAAUUUAGGAAAUUAUUAUUACUAAUUAAAUUAAUUAAUUAAUUAAUUUAAUAAAGUGGAAGAGGGGUAAAAGUAUAAUUUUACGAAUAAAUACCCUAGGUAUAAAUUAGAAAUUUUAUUCUUUCCCUUCUUUUCUGAAUAGAGUUCCUGUUCGCAGAAUUCCAGAGAACGUAAGGUUGGAGUCAGAUUUCAGGGUUGAAGAACAAAUCUCUAUAGGUAAGAUUCUAACCCCUAGUUUAAUAUUUUAGAUUCAUUAGUUAAUUUCAAACACAUUAGAUAUAUUUUUUUUGGAAAACCCCAAAUCUAGAUUAGGGUUAGAUUAUUUUUUUUAAUUCGUUUUAAUAUCAAAUAGUGAAAAUUUAAUAUUUUGAUUUUAGUAUUGGAAUUUGGGAGAUCUUAAGUUUUAUUAGAAAAAAAAAAAUUGCUUGGAAUAUUUUGAUUUUAGGUUAGGGUUAAUUAAAAAAAAAUAAAAAAAUAAUAAUAAUAAAAAAAUAAAAAUGAGGAAGAACGCGUGUGCACUGGAAGGAAGGAAGGAAGGAAAAAAAAAAAAAUGGGGGCAUGCGUACUGUGCUACUGGAAGCAUUAAAAAAAAAGAAAAAAAAAAAAAAGAAAAAGUGUGUGCGUGUGCCAGCCUGCAUGUAUAUGUGUAUAUAUAUAUAUAUAUAUAUAUAUAUAUAUAUAUAUAUAUAUAUAUAUAUAUAUAUAUAUAUAUAUAAUGAAUCAUCAUUAGACAAAAAAAAAAAAAAAAAAACUUUGCUUUUUGGUGUGUACCCGAGGAAUGGUUGGGUGGAAAAACCUUACUUUUUGGUGUGUACCCGAGGGAUGGUUAGGUGGCUUUUGAAUUGAUUAAUUAAAAUAAUAAUAUUUAGUUUUAGAUUUAUAAUUAAGAUAAUAGUAAUAAUAGAUUUAGCAAUAUAUAUAUAUAUAUAUAUAUAUAUAGAGUUUUAUAAUGAAAUAAAAUUGUAAUUUAAUUAAAUUAGUAGUGUGUUAUUAGAAACAAAUUGGGAAUUUAUUAGUUUUAUUUAAAUAAGGAAUAGAUUAGUUAAAUUAUAAAUAAAUAGUAUUAAUUGUUUCUCUUAUAUUAUAUUAGGUGAAGAGUAGAUUAUAUCUUUUUCAGAAUUAUUCUUCUCCCAAGCUUUCAAGGACUUCUUUUGAGGUAAGGGAAGUUAAUGCAAUAUUUAUAAAAUUAAAUUAUUUUAUAUGUUAUUUUGAAUUGUGGAAAAUAAAAUUAUAUUUUGUUACCAUGCAUGGAUCAAAUUGUUUUGCACUAAAUAUUAUGUUGGAAUAUUUUGUUUUAUUUAUGAUACAAAAUAUGGAGAUAUUAUGUUGUGUAAAUUUGAAUACUUGAACAAAAACAUCACUCUGGUUUAUUUGGCCCUUGUCAACCGGAUAUAAUAGUUGACUAUUCGGCCCUGUCAACGGGAUAUAAUAGUUGACCUUUACAUUUCAUGGUGGGAAUGUAAUUGAUUUGAACCCCAGCCUCUAGGGGUUUGGUUAGAGGUUACUAGUACUAGUAGUGUUUGGUUCCGUCCACCAGAAACAAUUUGAGGCUAGCCACCCAUUUGAAAAGUCCCACCUAACUGGGCAUUUGAUAUUUGAUAACCAGAGUAAUGAAAAAUUGAAUGGAUUUGAUUGAGUCUGAUGUGAAAGUGUUUGAAUUUGAUGUGAAAUUGGUUGGUUGAAUUUUGAAUAUAUUGGUAUUUUUGAAACUCUAAUAUUUGAAAAAAAAAAAUUGAUAUCUCCUAUUUGAAAUGAAAAUAUUUGAUCCAUGAAUUGCAUUAAUAUUCCUUAUUGGGCCGUGAGCUCAUUCCCAGUUGUUGAAAAUUUUUCAGGUACUCUUAGUUCGGGUGAGGAGUGAUGGCUAGGCUGAGGAAUGGUCAUCAUUAGGAUUUGACUUAGGAUUUUAUGUUGGAUUUUGUUUAACUAUUAGUUAUGUUAUUUUGGAUCAUUUGGUAUUUGGAAGUUAUUUGGAAAUUGAAUUUUGAGGAUUUUAGAUUUUGUUUCCGCUACUCUGAGCAGAUAUUUGGUAAUUGGUAACAUCCAGUUACAAUAUGACCAUUUGGGUCAGAUUAUACUUUAAGCCUUCGGGUUUGAGGUGUGAAAUGACCGUCACGCCCUUGGAGUGGGUCUUGGGGCGUGACAGNNNNNNNNNNNNNNNNNNNNNNNNNNNNNNNNNNNNNNNNNNNNNNNNNNNNNNNNNNNNNNNNNNNNNNNNNNNNNNNNNNNNNNNNNNNNNNNNNNNNUUUUUCAGGUACUCUUAGUUCGGGUGAGGAGUGAUGGCUAGGCUGAGGAAUGGUCAUCAUUAGGAUUUGACUUAGGAUUUUAUGUUGGAUUUUGUUUAACUAUUAGUUAUGUUAUUUUGGAUCAUUUGGUAUUUGGAAGUUAUUUGGAAAUUGAAUUUUGAGGAUUUUAGAUUUUGUUUCCGCUACUCUGAGCAGAUAUUUGGUAAUUGGUAACAUCCAGUUACAAUAUGACCAUUUGGGUCAGAUUAUACUUUAAGCCUUCGGGUUUGAGGUGUGAAAUGACCGUCACGCCCUUGGAGUGGGUCUUGGGGCGUGACAGAGUGGUAUCAGAGCACUAGGUUGUGAUCUUGAUGGGAACUUGUUUAGUGUACCUUUGGGAAUAGAUGAGUGACGUAUUAGUUUAAGUUUCAACUUCAUCUAGUCUGAUUCCUUUUAUUCCUUACAAUUCUGACUUGCUUAUUUGACUUCUUAGUGACUAAUUUAGUUACACCUAUUGCUUUAUAGGACACCAUGCCACCAAGGAGACCUGCAUCUUCCCAAAACAGUCAGGCUAAUGAUGAUGUACCUCCAAUUGAGGGUUUGCCUCCCGUGAGUGCAGAAGGGAUCUAUAGGUAUCUUGGGACACUAGCUGGUUUAGUUGAACGCCAAGCUCGAGCUGUUGGGACUAAUGUUCAGGGACAGUCUUCAUCUUUUAGGGGUAGCUCUUUUGAUGACUUCAAGAAAUUGGGUCCUCCUUACUUUUCUGGUGCUACAGAUCCCACAGAGGCAGAGGCUUGGAUCCUUAAGAUGGAGAAAUUCUUUGGUGUCAUAGAUUGCUCUGAGGAGCAAAAAGCCUCUUAUGCAGCUUUUAUGUUAGAUAAAGAGGCAGAUCAUUGGUGGCGUAUGACUAGGAGACUUUUGGAGGAUCAGGGGCCCAUAACAUGGAGACAAUUUAGGGAGGCUUUCUACAAGAAGUAUUUCCCUGACAGUGUUAGACGGCAGAAGGUGGGAGAGUUUAUUCGUUUGGAACAGGGGGAUAUGACUGUGGCUCAGUAUGAGGCCAAAUUUACAGAGUUAUCACGUUUUUCCCCACAGUUGAUUGCUAUAGAGGAGGAAAAGGCAUUAAAGUUUCAGGAUGGAUUGAAGCCUUAUUUGAAGAACAAGAUAUCUAUUCUGAAGCUUGGUGUCUAUUCAGAGGUUGUUGAUAGAGCCCUUAUAGCAGAGAAAGAUAAUGAAGAGCUUCAUCAGUAUAGGGAACAGCAAAGGAAGCGAAAUAGGAGUGAUGGUGCUCAUGGUAAUCAAGCACAGCGAAGGUCUACAUCAGGAAGAAAUCAGAAUAAAGGGAAGGCAGCGUAGAAUUUAGAUGGGGCUUGUCCUACUUGUGGUAAGAAGCAUGGGGGUAGGCCAUGCUAUAGAGAGACUGGAGCUUGCUUUGGUUGUGGGAAGUAAGGACAUUUGAUCAGAGAUUGUCCAGAGAAUAGGAAGUUUAUCAUUGGGAAGCCUAAAGAGGAAAAUAAGGAGGAUAAACAGAAACCCAAAGCCCAAGGACGGGUGUUUGCUAUGACUCAUCGAGAUGCUCAGGCCACUUCUGAUGUGGUGACAGGUACUCUCCGAAUCCACACCUUAUUUGCUAGAGUCUUGAUUGAUCCUGGAUCAACACAUUCUUUUGUUUCAGUAUCUUUUGCUGGUUUGUUGGGUUUGCCUGUUGCUAGCAUGGACUUUAAUUUGAUUGUUGCUACUCCUGUGGGAGAUUCUGUUGUGGCUAGUAGAAUGCUUAGAAAUUGUAUUGUGAUGAUUGGUUAUAGGGAAAUGCCAGUUGAUUUAGUACUCCUUGACCUUCAGGAUUUUGAUGUGAUUUUGGGGAUGGAUUGGUUAGCUUCCUACCAUGCCUCUGUUGAUUGUUUUGAGAAAAGGGUGACGUUUAGUAUUCCUGGUCAGCCUAAUUUUAGCUUUGAAGGGAAGCAGGUGGACAGACCACUGCGUAUGAUCUCAGCCUUGCGAGCUAGUAGCUUGCUUAAGAAGGGUUGCCAAGGAUUUUUGGCUAGUGUGGUGAGUAAUGAAAGUGAUUUGAAGUUGGAAGACAUACCCAUAGUAAGGGAGUAUCCUGAUGUCUUUCCAGAGGAUUUGCCUGGCUUGCCACCAGAGAGAGAGGUGGAGUUCACUAUCGAUUUGGUACCAGGAACAGGUCCUAUGUCUAAGGCCCCAUACAGGAUNNNNNNNNNNNNNNNNNNNNNNNNNNNNNNNNNNNNNNNNNNNNNNNNNNNNNNNNNNNNNNNNNNNNNNNNNNNNNNNNNNNNNNNNNNNNNNNNNNNNGCGUGAUAUUGCACAAUUUGUGGCUCAGUGUUUAGUGUGUCAACAGGUGAAGGCUGAACAUCAGCGACCAGCAGGGUCUUUACAGCCACUUGCUAUUCCUGAGUGGAAGUGGGAGCAUAUUACCAUGGAUUUUGUGAUAGGAUUGCCAAGAACCUUAGGGGGGUAAUAAUGCUAUUUGGGUGAUUGUUGAUCGGUUGACAAAGUCUGCUCACUUUUUGCCUAUGAAAGUCAACUUUUCUUUAGAUCGUUUAGCUUCUCUUUAUGUGAAGGAGAUUGUGAGAAUGCAUGGAGUACCAGUUUCUAUAGUGUCUGACAGAGAUCCUCGUUUCACUUCUAGAUUCUGGCAUAGUCUACAAAAAGCUUUGGGCACUAAGUUGAGUUUUAGUACUGCUUUCCAUCCUCAAACUGAUGGCCAAUCAGAAAGGGUAAUUCAGGUUUUGGAAGACUUGUUGAGAGCUUGUAUUUUGGACCUGCAAGGUAAUUGGGAUGAUCAUUUACCUUUAGUAGAGUUUGCCUAUAACAAUAGUUUUCAAGCUAGCAUUGGGAUGACACCUUUUGAGGCAUUGUAUGGUAGGAAAUGUCGAUCUCCUAUCUGUUGGAAUGAUGUUGGAGAAAGGAAACUUUUGGGCCCUGAACUUGUGCAGUUGACUGUUGAAAAAGUUGCUUUGAUUAAAGAGAGAUUAAAAGCAGCUCAAAGUAGACAUAAGAGUUAUGCUGAUCAUCGUAGGCGAGAUUUGGAGUUUGAGGUGGGUGAUCAUGUGUUCUUGAAAGUUUCACCUAUGAAGUCUGUGAUGAGAUUUGGGAGAAAAGGAAAACUUAGUCCUCGUUUUGUGGGUCCGUUUGAAAUAUUAGAAAGAGUAGGCACUUUGGCAUAUAAAGUAGCCUUGCCCCCAAGCCUGUCUAAGGUUCAUAAUGUGUUUCAUGUUUCGACUCUAAUUAAGGAAGUAUAUUUAUGAUCCUUCUCAUGUUGUGGAGUUGGAGCCUAUUCAAAUUUUUGAGGACUUGACCUAUGAAGAGGUACCCGUUCAAAUUGUGGAUGUGAUGGAUAAGGUACUACGACAUGCUGUUGUCAAGUUGGUAAAGGUCCAGUGGAGCAAUCAUAGUAUCCGAGAGGCCACUUGGGAGUUAGAAGAAGAGAUGAGAGAAAAGCAUCCUCAAUUAUUUCAAGACUUAGGUAUGUCAAGUUUAGAGGACUAAACUUUUGUUAAGGAGGGGAGGAUGUAACACCCGGGCAUUUUCUUUUAAGGGUAAUUUAGGAAAUUGUUAUUACUAAUUAAAUUAAUUAAUUAAUUAAUUUAAUAAAGUGGAAGAGGGGUAAAAGUGUAAUUUUACGAAUAAAUACCCUAGGUAUAAAUUAGAAAUUUUAUUCUUUCCCUUCUUUUCUGAAUAGAGUUCCUGUUCGCAGAAUUCCAGAGAACGUAAGGUUGGAGUCAGAUUUCAGGGUUGAAGAACAAAUCUCUAUAGGUAAGAUUCUAACCCCUAGUUUAAUAUUUUAGAUUCAUUAGUUAAUUUCAAAUACAUUAGAUAUUUUUUUUUUUGGAAAACCCCAAAUCUAUAUUAGGGUUAGAUUAUUUUUUUUAAUUCGUUUUAAUAUCAAAUAGUGAAAAUUUAAUAUUUUUAUUUUAGUAUUGGAAUCUGGGAGAUCUUAAGUUUUAUUAGAAAAAAAAAAAAAUUGCUUGGAAUAUUUUGAUUUUAGGUUAGGGUUAAUUAAAAAUAAUAAUAAUAAUAAUAAUAAUAAUAAUAAUAAUAAUAAAAAGGAGGAAGAACGCGUGUGCACUGGAAGGAAGGAAGGAAGGAAAAAAAAAAAAAUGGGGGCAUGCGUACUGUGCUACUGGAAGCAUUAAAAAAAAAAGAAAAAAAAAAAAAAGAAAAAGUGUGUGCGUGUGCCAGCCUGCAUGUAUAUGUGUGUAUAUAUAUAUAUAUAUAUAUAAUGAAUCAUCAUUAGACAAAAAAAAAAAAAAAACUUUGCUUUUUGGUGUGUACCCGAGGAAUGGUUGGGUGGAAAAACCUUACUUUUUGGUGUGUACCCGAGGGAUGGUUAGGUGGCUUUUGAAUUGAUUAAUUAAAAUAAUAAUAUUUAGUUUUAGAUUUAUAAUUAAGAUAAUAGUAAUAAUAGAUUUAGCAAUAUAUAUAUAUAUAUAUAUAUAUAUAUAUAUAUAUAUAUAUAUAUAUAGAGUUUUAUAAUGAAAUAAAAUUGUAAUUUAAUUAAAUUAGUAGUGUGUUAUUAGAAACAAAUUGGGAAUUUAUUAGUUUUAUUUAAAUAAGGAAUAGAUUAGUUAAAUUAUAAAUAAAUAGUAUUAAUUGUUUCUCUUAUAUUAUAUUAGGUGAAGAGUAGAUUAUAUCUUUUUCAGAAUUAUUCUUCUCCCAAGCUUUCAAGGACUUCUUUUGAGGUAAGGGAAGUUAAUGCAAUAUUUAUAAAAUUAAAUUAUUUUAUAUGUUAUUUUGAAUUGUGGAAAAUAAAAUUAUAUUUUGUUACCAUGCAUGGAUCAAAUUGUUUUGCACUAAAUAUUAUGUUGGAAUAUUUUGUUUUAUUUAUGAUACAAAAUAUGGAGAUAUUAUGUUGUGUAAAUUUGAAUACUUGAACAAAAACAUCACUCUGGUUUAUUUGGCCCUUGUUAACGGGAUAUAAUAGUUGACUAUUCGGCCCUGUCAACGGGAUAUAAUAGUUGACCUUUACAUUUCAUGGUGGGAAUGUAAUUGAUUUGAACCCCAGCCUCUAGGGGUUUGGUUAGAGGUUACUAGUACUAGUAGUGUUUGGUUCCGUCCACCAGGAACAAUUUGAGGCUAGCCACCCAUUUGAAAAGUCCCACCUAACUGGGCAUUUGAUAUUUGAUAACCAGAGUAAUGAAAAAUUGAAUGGAUUUGAUUGAGUAUGAUGUGAAAGUGUUUGAAUUUGAUGUGAAAUUGGUUGGUUGAAUUUUGAAUAUAUUGGUAUUUUUGAAACUCUAAUAUUUGAAAAAAAAAAAAAUUGAUAUCUCCUAUUUGAAAUGAAAAUAUUUGAUCCAUGAAUUGCAUUAAUAUUCCUUAUUGGGCCGUGAGCUCAUUCCCAGUUGUUGAAAAUUUUUCAGGUACUCUUAGUUCGGGUGAGGAGUGAUGGCUAGGCUGAGGAAUGGUCAUCAUUAGGAUUUGACUUAGGAUUUUAUGUUGGAUUUUGUUUAACUAUUAGUUAUGUUAUUUUGGAUCAUUUGGUAUUUGGAAGUUAUUUGGAAAUUGAAUUUUGAGGAUUUUAGAUUUUGUUUCCGCUACUCUGAGCAGAUAUUUGGUAAUUAGUAACAUCCAGUUACAAUGUGACCAUUUGGGUCAGAUUAUACUUUAAGCUUUCGGGUUUGAGGUGUGAAAUGACCGUCACGCCCUUGGAGUGGGUCUUGGGGCGUGACAGGUGUACCCCAUUUCGACUUCAUCCCCUUUAUGUAAACCUAUUCUCAUCCUCAUUUUAAUAAAAGAUUAAAAUGGGGUAAGACAAAAUGGGUAUGAAAUUUUUCUAUAUCCAACCCCUUUAUUUUUAAUUUUUUAUUUUAAAAAUCCUAAUUAUAUUAAAAAUAAUAUAUUUGAUGAAUGAAUAAAUAAUAUAAAUUUUUAUAACUCAUUUUUAUUUGAGAAGUAGAUUAUUAUUAUUUUUUUUUGAAAAUGAGAAAAUAAAAAUUUUAUAAAAUUAUACACGAGGUAAGACAAGGCAAUUGUUGUAAUCAUAGGGUUUAAAAAAAAAAAAAUCUCAAAGUUAAACCUCAUCCGCUUAAUUUCAUCCCAAACUCAUUUUAUUUUUGACAAGGUGAGGCUAAUACCCUAAAAUUCUCAGCUCCAUUGACAUUCCAAAUGGAUGUGGAGACAUAAAAGAUAAUAGGGUUCUAUGCUACUACAACAAAAGUAAUUUCGAACGAAACUAUUGUUAAAAAUACUCCAAAUUAACCAGUGCUAUAUAACUUUAGACAUUAAUUUUUAUGGUACUUUUACCCAUAAUUUUACACAAUGAUUUCAAAUACUAUUUGCAAUAGGCUUAUUGAUCUAAAGCCAUCUUCCAAAAGCAAUAUAAACUCUGAGCUGAUUAAUGAAAAUAGAAAUUCAAGGAAAAUUCUCCAAAUAUGUCCAAAUAUCACCAUGAUCCGAAGAUAUUUUGUAUAGAAUACUAGUUUAGAUGAUUAAAGAUAGUUUGUAUAAAACAUUGGUCUCCAUUUUGAAAGAUAUAUAUUUUGUACAAAGAGAAUUGGUGCUUGUUGGCUUCUUCUUUUUGUUUUUGUUUCUUCUUUUCUUGACUCCUUGAGGGGUCCAUGAUGGAAAAGCUUCCAAAUUCAUUUUUGUCCAUGAUCUCCUGGUCCAAAAUAUUAAUCAAAUAUAAUAUGUCCAACAAGAUUAGCGGAUAUGUUUAACCACAUCCACAUCCACAUCCACAUCCAAGGUAAGUUAGUAGAUUCUUCAUUGCACUGUAAAGAACUCAAUUGAAAGAGAAAACACAUCCAAAUCUUGAGCACUAAAAUAUUUCCUAUUUUCCGAUUUGCCUUAAAUUAUGAGCUUUGUUCCAUCCCAUAUCUCCCACCUUUUCUCAUUAUCUCAUAAAGCAAGACCUAAAAUAUUUAUGAAAUAUUUCUAUCACAUUUACUCAUCUAUAAGGAAACAUAUUUCUAUAAUAAAACAUAUUUUUAUAAAUAAAUAUGAAUAUAUAAAAUAUUUUAUACAAUAUUAAUCUUUAUUAAAGCAAUAUAUAUAUACUAAAAAAGAAUUUAAGACAAUUUUUAGUAAUUUCCAUGCCUUGAUUCAAAUUUCAUCAAAUCAGUUUUUCAUCUUAAGGUGAUAUAUAGUACAUCAAGUUAACUAAAGUGGCUUCAUCCUUUUCCAACACAAAAAAAAAAAAAAAAAAAAAAAAAAAUCCAAAAGAGAUAAAAAUUGAAUAGGAGUGUUUGGCUUGAAAAAAGGAAAUAGAAUGGAAGCAAAAAGUAACAAAAAAACUAUAUAUAAAAAGGAAUCUUAUUUUAUUGUAUAUAAAAGUUGAAGAAAAGAAAAUCAAAUCAUGAGAACCAAAUUUUCCAAACCUUUAAUUAAAAAGAAAAGAAGAAGAAGAAGAAGAAAACCUUUUAAGAUUUUUCUUUUUUCUUUUUUUUCUUUUCUUUUCCCUAUUAUAAAAACAUAAGAAAUCAGUUUAAAAAAAAAAAGUCAUUUUCAAGGUACUUUCAGAACCAAACAUAGUGUAGAAGUUAACAAAGAUAAAUUUAAAGUUUAAUAGCUUUAAAUUAUUUCACAUUCUCAUAAGCGACCAUAGGACAAAAAACUUCCCGUCACUAUUGACCUAUGAAAUACUUAGAAUCUUCAAGAUAGAUUAUAAUAGUUCAGUUGCAAUCUGAUGAUUUUUCCAGUAAUUGAUUGGAUUAAUUAAUAGUUCACUAGCUAUAAUAAUUCAGUUCAUUGGAUUAAUUAAUAGUUCCAUAGUUAUAAUUGUGAUUAUAUGAAUACUACUUACAAGGAGCUGAAUAGUUGUAUUAGGCUUAAUGAAUGGGUUAUUUUCCAUACUUUUUGUUGUUGGGUACCGGCAUUUCCUCUAAAGCCAAACAAAGUAUUUUAUUGUCUACGAAUUCAUGUGGUAAUAUUGUGGUUAAGGGUUUAAGAUUUAUUUAUUUUGUUUGAUUAUUGAGAUAUAUUUAAUUCACUUCAUAAAAUAGACCCUAAAAGUGGGGAGAUUCUUUUUCGUUUUCUUUUUCCUUUCCUUCUCUAAUAUGCUACUCUGAUCAUCACUUUUUGAUUAUAGAGACUGAGAUCAUCGAAUGGCUCAACAAGAAGACUCAGUUGUCUGCUGCAUUUGUUAAAAGAUGGAACAUUAGAACUCUGGAAUCUGGUAGUGGAAAUAGAAGUCAUUACCUGUUUGUUUGUCCGGACAGAUUUGUAGGUUUAGAUCUUGAGAACUUAUGUCAAUGUGGUUUAAAUAUCAAGGGUUAGAUCAAAUCUGUAUCUGAACUUGUAAUUUUUGCUGCUUGGAUGUGGAUAUGAACUUGUUGGUCCAAACAACUGGUCAGACAACUUUAGGACUAGUUACAUCCAUAUCUCACAGGAAUAGAGGAAAAAACUUUUAACAUUAUAUUAAUAUAAACUCUUCUUAAUUUUAUGAACACGUUUUAAAAUCAUAAGAGUCCCUUUAGGCUUAGUGUGGAUGAUAUCCAUACGGUUGGGAGUGAGCCAAUAAAUGGUAUUAAAACCAAUUAAUAUUCGAUCCAAAUAUGGGGGUUUAUUUGAUCUUUUGUAGAAAGGUGUACAUCUAUUUGGCAUGAUAAGUAUAGAAGGUGAUUGUGAUAUCCCACUUUUGAUGAGGGAAAAAAUUUCUUAUGCACUAUACUCCUCUUAAUUUUAUAAACAUGCUUUAAAGUUAAAAAUGUGAGAUAGCAAGGAACUAAAGUUAUUUUGCAUAGUAUAAAUAAGUAUUAAUAUGAGAAUAAAUUAGAAACAAUUAUCAAGUGUUGUCAAUAACAAAAUCCUUUUUAAAAAUCCAAGUAGGAAAAAAUGUUUUCUUAAUUUAUUCUCAUAUAAUGCAAUAAUUUCUAAAGUAUUCUUCAUAUUUUAAAUUAUUUGUUAUAAUACUCGACAAAAAUAAUUUAACAAAAUAUCUUAAAACACUUUAAAUUCGUUUUGAAAUAUAACUUAUUUUACAAAAAAAAAAAUGUUAAACAAACUCUUUUCAAUAAAAAAAAAUUGUUAAACAUAUUUUGUGAUGUCUUACGUCGAAUAGAGGAGAAAGCUCCUAGUAUUAUAUAAGUAUGAACUCCUUUUAAUCCUAUAAACAUAUUUUAAAGUUGUGAGGGCCCCUUUGGACUUAAAGCGAACGAUAUCUACAUAGUUGAGUGCAGAUCGUUACAAAUUAGUCCAUUUUUGUCUCAUAUUUAAAUUAGCUAAUUAACUUGAUUUCCAUUAUAAGGACCCAACUAGUGGCAUUUCAAAUAUAAAUCAAUAUCAAAUAUUAAUAUUGAUAAAGGCAAGGUAUCUACUAUAUCAAAGUGGUAGAAGUAUCUUAAUGUCUUAUCACCUUUGUCAAGAUGCAUGUAUUGGCUUUACCACCUUAUUAAGAUGUAUGUGUUAAUAUCCUUAAGGCUUUAUCAUACAAAUGAAAACAACAAGUGGAAAUAUGUUAUAACACAACAAUUGUUUUUCUAACAACAAUUGUUUUUUUGGAAAUGAGUGGUCCCUUUCAACUUAGGUUCAUAAUCAUAGAUAUUUUGUAUAGCUUAUGUCUAUUUUCAGAGAUAUUUUAUGUACAAUAUUGGUUGUAAUAUAUAUAUAUAUAUAUAUAUAUGGAGUCAGAAAAUACACAAGAUAUUUAACACAAGAAAUUUAAAGAGAAGGAACCAAAAACUUGUUAGUUCAUAAGCUUAAAACCAUCCAUGAUAGGAGGUACAAGAAGAUAAAAUGAAAAACAAAACUUAAUUAAAAACCAUCCAUAUUAGAGGUAAUCAAAACAUACUUAUAUUAUACAUAAGGAGAUGAAUAUCUUACAAUGGAAGAGGGGAGGAAAGCUUUGAGAAAAGCUUGAAGGCUUGAAGGCUUACAUGAUGAGAGAGAAAGAAGAGAAAAGAAAGAGCAUAAGGAAGGGAAAAUUACAGCCAAAUUUUUUCAUGCUUACAAAUGAGGAUCAAGCCUCCUUAAAUAGCUAAAAGGAAUCUUAAAAUAGUAAAAAGUAGCUGAUAGGGUACUAUUUGCUUUUGGCCAUAGUGGUGAAUAGUAAACCCGUGCUUGAAUAGUAAAAGUGAACAGUAAAAAAGGAACUGUAGCACUUUAGACUUCUUGACCUGGAAUCUUGCUUUCGGCUGACAGCUGGUAGGCUAGAUUAUAGACUGUGUAUUCACAUGCUGGGAAUAAAGCUGAAAACGACUUGGAAAGAGUAAACUUGUCUUGUUGCUGAAGAAUCACGAGAAAAAUGCUUAGGGUAGAGUAUAAUCCUUCCGAUGUUCAUCCAGAAGCUUAACAUCACCCGUAACAGUCUUUAUAGAUGGAGGAUCAAUUUCUUACUGUAGAAGAUUUGUUGAAGAGGAUCUGCAGCAACAAGAAAUCUCAUACCUUUUGGAUAUGCUUUAAAAUCUCUACUAAUGACUCUUGCUCUCCAAUGCUUGAUAUGCUUAAUAAGGGGUUCUGCACAAAUGUUAGAGAACUAUAAAGGGCAAGAAAUCUUGGUAGGCCUUCUGUUUUGGUAAUGGAAAGAAGCAAUGUGUUGUGCUGGUAGAAGAUUCCCAUUAGAGGACCACUCAGGAGCCUUGCUGAUGAUAAUGGCAUCAGCAAACUUUUUAUUCAUCUUAAAACCUUGAGUUAAACCAAAAACCAUCUUUCUUCCAAACUUUGAAGCUUGACAUGGAUCCGAGCAAAUGAUUUGGUGGACUAAUCCAUAAUCCAGAAGUAAUUCUGGAGUUAAGAUCAAAUCCUGGUCUUUAAAAGGAAGGAUGAUUGGCAGGUAAUAUUGCAAAUCAUGACAUACCCGACUGAUUGUGAAAUUUCUAUUGCAAUUGCAAGACAUCUCCUUAAGGCCUUGUUGAUAUUGAAUAGGAUCUUUGAUAGUUCUGCAAAGUUUAGAGUCAUCAAAUUCCCUAUCCAUGACCAAACUUAAACUUGGGAUCCGAAUACCAAUAGUAGCGAAUAGGUAGAUGUGAAGAUCCUGGAGGUAUGCUGAGAUGAAGACUUGCUUUUCUUCAGCAGUUGCUUUGGCUUUUUCAAAGAUUAAGAGACGUAGAUCCUGUUUAAGGGGAUACAACAUUUCUUUCCUAUGAAAAAACAUCCUUAUCUUAAGGUAGUUCCACUCAUCCUCACUCAACUUUUUUACUUCAUCCACCAGUGGGGUGGACUGCUUAUUCUCAUCAAUUUCCAGUGGGGAAACUAAGGCUAGGGCAUUUAACAUGAGCUGAUGAAAGUCAACUAAUUCUAGUUUUCUUUCCAAAGUCUGACAUUUUUCCUGUAGAUUAGUGAUACAAUUAAUAUAAUAAGAUAAAGGGUUAAGAUGGAUUUGUGGACAAGGAAUCUUCCACAGAAGGUGGAGAAUCCAAACUUGAAUCUUUUUCCCUACAAGGGGAAGCUGAAGGAAAAGGAUGUUUGGAGUAGCUGCAAGAACCUGCAACAUCAAAAUGAUCAUAAUAGAGUGACAUGAAUUUCUCAGGAAGAACUGGAUGGGCUUUCUUAAUAUUUGAAGAUUUUUUAUUUAGUUUAAGAGGUUGUUUCUCUUUUUUGGGGGCCAUGUUCUUGUGAAUCCUGCUAAAAAUUCAUGAAUUAGGAAAUCAGGGAUUGAGUUAUUUUCUCCUUUAAUAUACUCAAUUUGAAAAUCAAAAUUGCUUAAAAUAGCUUGCCAUCUAGCAAAAAUAUGCUUAAAAGCUAUAUUCUUAACUCUUUUUGUAAAACUGAUUUUGCAGAUAAGCAAUCAACUCUUAAUAAAAAUUCUUGAUUUAAAAGAUCAUCUUGAAAUUUUGAAAUGCAUAAGACAAUGCUUAAAAUUUCUUUUUUAAUGGUGCUAUAGUUGAGUUGGGUACUAUUCCAAGUUCCAGAAGUAUACCUAACCAACUUUUCUUGGGUAUCAAUUUUCUGCUUAAGAAUACCACCAUAUCCCAUAUCUGAGGCAUCAGUCUCAACAAUCUUAAAGGCUAUUGGGUCAGCUAGGGCAAGACACGAUAGGGUCUUAACUCUAGAUUUGACAAUCUUGACAAUCUUGGUAUUGUAGACCCUCAAUUUUGUCCAUUUAGCACAUGUCUUUAAACUCGCUUUCGGUGCUCCACAAUAGUUCCUUGGUGGCCCAUUACUACUCGUACAACUUACCUUUUUCUGAGUCACCCCGGAGAUUUUGGUUGAGGGAUUAUCUGGCUCCUUAUUGUGACCUUUGGCAACCCUAAUUUAGACUUAGACUUUUCAUUCACUUAGGAUAGUUUUAGAUACACUUGGCCCAUUAGACACCACCCUAGGCCCACUUAGGCCCAUUUAGGCACACUUGGCACAUUAAGACUUUUUAGCGUGACGUGUAUAACUUGCAUGUUUGCAUGGCUUGUGGGGCUCAGUUUUUUGUUUAUUUUUAUUUUUAUUUUUAGUUUUAGUUUUAAGAUUAUCAACCACUCGUUUAUUAUUUAUUUAUUUAUUUUUAUUUGUUAUCUCCCUCUUUAUAUUAUUUUUCCUUAACUUAUUUAUUUAUUAUUGUUUUACUGUUUCUAAUUUGUUUAUUUAUUUAGUUAUUCAUUCAAUUAUUCACUUUCAAAAAUUUCAUGCUUUUGCAAGGAAACUUACCAUUGGAGUUUAAGGAAAGUGGGGCUCUCCAUGGAAGGAUUUUUGGAGGGGAAUUUGAAAUUGGGAAGAUUGCUUUUGAAGGAGGAGAUUGAAAAAAAGGAAAAGAAGAAAAGAAGGGAAAGAGGAGAAUUUUCCUUUUCAGGAACAAAUUUAGGAUUUGAGAGGUGAUAUAUAUAUAUAUAUGUGAGAGAGGAUGUUGAAAAAGAAGGAGGGAAUUCUGAGGAUUUUGGGAGAAAGCACAGAGGAGCAAAAAAAAAAAUCUAGGUAUGUUUCUCGUUACUUUUGGAAUUCUCACCCAUAUCCGAUUUUUUUUUUUUUUUUUUUUUUAUGUUUAAUAUACUGUUCUUUGGUGUGGACGGAAAGAGCCACAAUUUGUUUUGUUGAUAUUGGUUAUUUGCUUGUUUGCUUCGAAUCUGUUCCUGAUCAUCCUCCCACUGAUUCGAGCCCGUUGAAUGAAAUUUGAAAUGGGGCUUUCAUGGGUUCCUUAAUUUUACCUUUUUUUUUGUGUUGUUUUCAUUCUUCACACUCUGUUUUCUCGGUUGUAUCCCUCUGUUCUCCAUGAGAAAUUUUGAGUGCAUAAUCUUAUGAGCUUCACCAAAUGAUAAUGCCUGCUGAAACUUUGAUACCAAAGCUUGGAAUGCUUUACACCGAUUGAGACACGGAUUACCAGAAAAGUGGUGAAUACGUGGUCUGAGUUUCUUCAGCUUUGGGUCUCGCUGAUACUUCAUAAUUGGAGCUUAUUUUAUGAAUCUGGGUUAAUCGUGCGAGGAGUGUGUGGAAACGUGAUGAGUAACCAGAUGGCAUGCUGAAUUUUACGAAGAGAAUACCCCAUUGUUUGUGAACUUUGUUUAAAGUGGUCCUAUCAGAAUGACUUACGAUAUGCAGCCUCAUCAACCCUAGAAAAUUGGUGCAAGACCUUCAGCUAUGAAAAAGAUCACUAAGACAUCUAGGUAGCAGUCAACAUUGUCAGUGAAUAUCAUCCAGUUGAUGCAAGACAGAAUAUCAAGUCCAAAGAUACAAAUGUUCUCUUACAGUUUGAUUAGAAGGGAUCUCAUUCAGUAGCUUGUUUGCCUGCUUAGUUCCUCUUGGGUCGUACCUGCUUUCCAUUUGUGUUUCUCUCUUUCUCUUCGUGGAGGCCAUGGGGUCAGAAUUUAGAAUCCAUUGGGUUUGGAGAGAUUGCAAGAGAAAGGUGAGGUCAGUUCCAUGUGGAGGCUAAGAGGGAGGGGCCCAAUAGAUUAAAUGGUUAUCUUUCAGAAUUGGUUGCUGCCUCAUUUUCGUCCUUUGGUUCCAUGCUGAGAAGAUAGGGCAUUAUUGAACCAGUUCUCUUUUUUGUAAAUAUGGGUACAGAUUCACUCAUCCUCCUUAAAGAUCAGAACCAGACUCAGAACCAGAGCUCGUUUUAGCACUGAGGAUGUCUCUUGAUGAUAACCACGACUCUGUGGUUUUAGCUUGUGCCAAAGUUGUUCUGUGCAUACUAAGUUGUGAUACGAACGAGUAUUUCUUUGAUGCCUCAGAGAGACUAGCAACUUGCAAGAAAGUUGUAUGUACUGCUCCUGGUGUUUCGAAGUAGACCAGAGAUUGAGUUUGGUUUCCUUCACGAUGGAUUUUGGAAAUACAACACCAAACCUUGUAAUAUUUUUCCUUUAAGUGAGGAUAUCAUGGAUACCAAGAGUGAAGAAAAACUCACCAUUCAAGAUGAUAUUGUUGUUGCUGAACAAGAUUUUUGCUGCAGGUGUGAUUAGGAUGGGAAUCCUUCUCAGAAUUCAUUAUCUGUUAGAGACCGAUCCUACAGUAGCUUUGGAAGAAUGCAUGAUAUCUACACCUAUUGCAAUAGCAAAGAAUUCCCCGACAUGUGCAAAUGCAAUCAUAAAGUGUGAAAGGCUUGUUCACACGCUUAUUGGCAGAUUUGCUGAAAAGGAUAAGAUAGGAGUCUAUCCUUUUAAGAUAAAGCCAGUCACUCUCUUGAAGGUGUUGGCUCAAUCUGAUCAGAAGAAUUGUAUAGAAUUCAUAAAGAGUGGGAUUUUCCAGGAUGCAUCUUCGAAUUUGUGUCAAUGUCCAUUGUCCCUCGAUCAGUGGAUGAAAUCAGGGAAAGAAAACUGUAAACAUGCGUCAGCUUCGAUGGUUGAACAACUACGCUUUUGGAAGAAGCAUACGUCGUUCUGGAGUCUUUGGCUAGAAGACUUUCAAAUUGUAGUUCACAGAAGCAUAUAUCAGAGCUUGUGGAUGAUGACAAAGAGAUCUGGUCAUAGAGCCAUACGAGUCCUAUAGUCAGUAUAGCUUUGAAGUGGAUAGCUUUCAAAACCAAUCCAGACAUUUCUAGACUCUUUGACCAACAAAGAGGGAUUGAGAGCGAUUCUGUUCACAAAGAUUCGGAAAUGAGACCCCUGCUAUGGGUGAUUUCAGCUGCCAUGCACAUGCUUUCUACUGUGCCCAAAAGUGUGACCUUAGAAAAUACCAUCAGCUUGCCCGAAAGUGGCAGACUCCUGACAAGACUGCCUGAAUUUGUCUCCAAAAUUGGAUUAGAAAUAAUUAAUAAUUCGUUUUUGAGCUUCCCAGGUGUGAAUGACAAAGAAUAUGGAAUUAAUUCUUCAGCAGGUUGCUCUUUCAUUGAAGAAUUGUGUCAUUUGAGACGUCAUGGUGAUUAUGAAAUAUCCUUAGAUUCUACUUGUUUCCUUCAUGGACUACUCCAGCAGGUUGUUUCCCUUAAUAAUUUGAUCCAACUGGCUAAGACUGAGUAACAAACUCCAUGUUUCCAAGGACAGAGUUUUGCAAAGAAGGGAAAAGGGAUUACCCUCUGUUGUCUACAAUAUUCUCAGCUGUGAGAGAGCAAAGCAUGAAGUGAGAAUGGCUGUAAUGUUUGUGAAGCAAGAGCUACCCAUCCGUGAACCAUAAAGGGCUCCAAGAAACUCAAAGAGAAAAAUUCAGCAAUGGGUGAAGGAGGAAAAUCGUGAUGAUGAUGAUCCAGAUUAUGUGGAUUCCCCUUCAAGGAGAGGCGAACCUUUAGUUAAGAAAACGAAGGUAACUCAAGAAGUCAAGAGUUCCCAAGCUAGAAGGCCUUCAACCUUGCGGUGGAACCCCCCAAAUAAGGAAAGAGACACUGAAGAUGAGUUAGUAAUGACUGAAUGGGAAGAAAGCGAAGCAAUGGUUCUGAUGAAGAUCAAAUCAAGGAAACGUAAAACCGAAAAUCUUGAUGCUGUUACGAUGAAAAAGAUAGGCUCAAGUGACAGAGAAGAGAAAAUAUUUAAGUCCGUGAACUCUAUGAAUCCUUCAUCACCUUCGUUGACUUCAACCUCAUCGGAUUCUGCCUUGGGUAGUGAUGGAAAUAGCAGCUGUAGCUCCAGGAGAUGUUAACAAUGACUAAGAAAGGCAAUGGAGGAGAUUGUUUGAAGUGCCAUCAGUGCAUGAGAAGCGAUAGAAGAAUUGUUGUUCCCUGCACCAAAUGUAAAUCAAAAUUAUAUUGCCUACAGUGUGCAUCAAGCAAUGGUAUCCCAACAUGUCAGAAACAAAAAUUGCAGAGCUAUGCCCGUUUUGUCGUAGAAAUUGCAACUGUAACCUGUGCCUGCAUUCCAGUGGGAUGGUUAAGACGGUGAAGACUGAUAUCAGUGAUGGUGAAAAGGUUCAACACCUUCUUCAUUUGAUCAAGACACUCUUUCCUUAGCUUAAACAAAUUUAUGAAGAGUAAAAGCAGGAGAUAGAAGUUGAGGCUAAUAUUCAAGGAAUACCAUCUUCUGGAAUUACAAUACCAGUGCAUUCAUGCCCCAGUGAUGAGCGUGUCUAUUACAACCAUUGUGCAACUUCAAUUAUUGACCUCCACUGAAGCUUCCCAAAGUAUUAUUAUGAGCUUUGCCUCAGCUGUUGCAAAGAGAUUCGGAAGGGAAACCUUUUAAAGACGGUGUGAUUGAGAUGGAACAGGAUUUUGCUGCUGAUACAUUCAGUGUUAGUGAAGAAUCUGAAGAUGAUGACAAUGAGGACAGUAGGGAUGGGCCACUUCUACAAUAGGGAAAGCUACAGUUUUUAAUUGGUACAGCUCGACAUGAGAGUGAUUACAACAACAUUUUGCUAGUCCCUGUUUGUAAUAAUGGUAAUCAGAAAAGCAUUCCAAUAGUAGCACCAUCUAUAAUCAAUGUUUGACUAAUAGUGGCACUAGCUCCUACAGUCAAACCUUUGUUAAUGGCAGCCCCGGAAUCAACAGUCAGCCCAUCUGAAAUGGAAAUGCUGGCUUUGACAACCCAGUCAUUCGCAAUGAAGAUGUUGCCGUGUAUAGUCAGGCCAUGCACAAUGGUGAUGUUGAUUUGGAUGAAUACUCCCUAUGGGACCUUUUGGGAGUAGCAUCAAGUGCCUCAGUGGAUAGAAGCAGCGUUCAGACAGCAGAUGGAUCACUGGUUCUGAAGCCAUCUGCACAUUAGGCAAUGACUAAGACAUAAUUUAUUGCUCAGGAGGGCUGUGAAGAACAGAAAUUCAAGCCUGACUAGAAUCAGACAUGCUCGUGCCUUCGGUUCUCUCAAAAUCUACAAUCUGUGUAGCAGAAACUGCAUUCUUGCAUUCAUUGCUUUGCUCAAUUCAGUGAUGUCCAUGACGAUCCGGUGGCGAUUCUAUCGCUGAAUUACUCUAAAAACCUAUUAUCUCUUGUGAUCAUCGAAGUGUCUCAACAGUCUUACUCAUUCCAUCUCAUGCAUUACAGUAAUUCCGCAAUCUAGGUGCGAAGCUCUUAGCAAAGAGGCUGCAUAGAGGCACAUGAUAAUAUUGGUUCAACCAGAGCAAGUGAUAAUUCAAUAAUCAUUGAAUAUAAACUCAAGACGCAGCGUUGAUCGAUUAUACUUACGACAGAACUUUAUGAUUGUCAGUGUAUAUUUGAGAGCCUAUAACGAUCAACCAGACUUCGAGAUCAGUGAACCAGAAGCAGUCUGUGUUGCCCUUCUUGGUUUUACUUCAGUUUUAGUCCACAAUCAAGGUGCUGCAGUUUUGGAUGACCAGGACACACUUAACCUUGAUGGCUCAUCCUUCAAUACAUCUGAGGUUCAGACUGAUAUAGCAGACGGAUCAAUCAUUGUACAGAAUGUUUCUGAAUCAGUGAGGCAGAAUGCACUGAAAAGAUUCGUGAAGCUUACCAACCUCUUUGGCUUUUGUGAAGAGAUAUUGACUCGUUUCCGGGACUAUUAGCUGGAUGUGCUUUGGUAAAUUUCAAAAUUCUUGAGUGACUGACCAUUUCAGAAUUUCUAUGAAUAAAAAAGAGCAAGUGACAGGCAACACAAGUUGAAGCUGCGUUCGUGAGUCAGAGGUUGCAGGACAUCAGUACUUCAGAAUUUCAGAUUGGAGUUCUUCAGAAUAAAGUCUUUGCUGGAACUCAAAAUGGUUGAAGUCAGGAUACUGUCCUUAUUAUUGACAUCAGCAAGUGAGAAGUCGGAGGUGAAACAACCAUCUGUAGAUUGAAACACUGCAUUAGACUUCAGUUUUGUCCAUGUAAAUAGUUAAAAGAAGCAAGCCAAGCAAACACCACUGGUAAUAAGAUCUCAGAAUAUGAGUCUUUCAAGCUACACCUUGAGAUGUCUCACAGAGCUAGAGACGCCAAGAAAAUGAUCUUUAGUAGAUCCUCGCUGUUGUCAAGACAAUUUUAAUGGCCACAUCAACAAUACCAAAUAGAAACGAAAGUCUACUUCAAACACAGCAGUAUUCCGAUUCAGAAACUGAAGUCUUUGCUACAACUACAUCUUUGAACAAUAGAAAUGGGUCAUAUAAAUGCUAAUCAGUGAAACUUCCUCAUGCCAGCUAUCGAUGAUCAGUUAGUACUACUGAAGAGGUAAAAGAUGAAGUUCAUGAUGAGCUACAAAACAUAGAUUCUGAGCUACAGAAAAAUCUAGGAGAAAAUUAUGAGAAAAUUGACAAAUCAGACGAGUUUGUGAGCAAAGGUUUGAAACUUAAGAACGUAUGGCAGUAAAGAAAUCCGAUUUGGAACUGGACUUAACACACACAGGAAGCGUAAGUAUGCAGAAAAUGGUUUAUUCGACCACAAGCCACAUGAAUCGAACUCUAUUAUGGCAGAUUGAGGUAAAAGUUGAAAGGCUUAAUCAAUUGAAAGCUAGCAGAAUGCAGGGAACCUCUCAAUGUAGAAAAUUGGAAAUUCCGAACCUUCUAUUCAGUAUUUAACUUCUAUUGAGGAGAAUCCAGUUGAGCUUACAAAUCAAGAUGUCUUUUAAGUUGAAGCAUUCGACAGUUGAACACUUUUGCAGUGAAUUGGUCCCUUCUAUCCAAAAUUUACCGGCUUCACUUCAUAGCAACCUUACUACACACACCUCCUCUAUUUGCUUCUUUGAUUGGGAACUUACUGUUUUAAAGUGAAUUUUUGAAUCAUUUUUCAACUAAACAUUUCCAGCUUUGAAGAAUCCAUCUCUAAAACACUUCGAGGCAUAAAAUCCAGAUUUUAACAAAUCUUUGCUGCCAUUUUCCUUCCAGCACAAGGUUUUCACUAUUUCCUUUGAUUUUCAACCAUUUUCUUGAUUUUUCUCGAUUUUCCCAAGCAUGAACAAACUUCAUGAUUCGAAACAAUGGAAUUCAUAGAAUCAACUCAUGCGAAAUUAAUUAGGGCUUUGGUGGGGGCCCAACAUUCAUGAUACUCUCUUCAAUAUUGUUUGCUUGAUAUGUUGAUUUUUGAUUCUUCUUGAUGAAAUACUUGAAUUCGCUUUAUGAUUAUUGUUGAGAUAUCCUUGUUUCCCAUAGACGUGUGGAUGCUCGCUAAUCAGGUACACUCUUCCCACCCUACAACUUUAAAAUUCUAUGAAUGUGUACGUUAUCAUGAGCCAUGACCAUGUUUGAUGCCAUACUUGAUUGUCUUGAUGCUUGUUUGAUCAUCUUUGAUAAAAUACAUAUAAUGUGUCAUAUUUCCAAACUAAUCUCUUAUGUUUUAUGAUAGCGCUUGAGAAGCCGUUCAGGUACGCACUUCGACUCUCUCUUAUGGUUGGUUUUCUUGUUAGACAUGCUAUAUUUGAAAUCACCUAAUCUACUUAGGUAUCUAUAAUUAAUCAAUUAAUUGUCAUAUUUCCCUCAAUUUAGUCAGUAGAGACCUUUAUAGGGCUUAGAGGGAUGCUACCUUUUAAAGGUGCCUUCCUAAUAAGUAACCUGAUCCUCGGACUAAGACUCAGGUUUUUCAAAGACAUGUUUUUUCAAAAAUUAUGGAGUCACUUUUUAGGGUUUUUCUUUCUUAUUUUAUUUUCCCUUUAAAAUAAAAAUAAAAUAAGUGGCGACUCUGACUUUUCUAAAAAUUGAUUUUUCACAAAUAAAAAGCGAGUCUUGCCGAUUGAGUGAGGGCGCACAUGAAAAAUGCAGGUCCACAGGUAUGAUCCUCAUUCCAAGGUACUGGAUUUUUCUUAAGUCUUUUUCUUAAAGGAGCACAAAGCUAGCUUAAAUCCUAUAUGAAAUCUAACACAUAAUUAAGGCUUCUUAAGAAACGUUGCAACUGUUUCUUGUCUUUGAUCUCAUCAGGAAACUUAUCAGCAAAUUCUAAAGACAUUUGAAUGGGAGUGAUAGUUCCUUGGUGAAUAUGAUGACCUAGGAAUCUUACCUUAAUCUAGAAAAGGUUAAUCUUGGUGAACAUGCUCUUGUGCCUUAAGUUGGAUCUAUGGGUGUUGUUGGUAUCAGAGCCAUGGGAAGGGAAGUCGGGUUUGUUUUAGGUGUGUUGAGCUAUCCUAGGAUAAGUAGCAAUGUGUCUGGGAGUACAAGCCUUGCCGGUAUUAUUUCUUAAGUAGUAAUUGGUCUACUUUUCUCUCAUCCUAUUUCGAUACAUACAAGACAUAGAGCAAAGGUAUGUCUACUAUGUGAGCAAAACAAUGGUAGACGUAGAGACUUAGUACUCCAAAAUGGAGCAGACGACCUUAGCCUUGAAGAACAUCGCUUAGAAGCUUCGCCCGUACUUCUAGGCUCAUCAAGUGACCGUACUCACAAAUCAACCACUCCGAGCUACCCUACACAAAUCGGAUUUGUCCAGACGGAUGUUGAAAUAAGCCAUUGAGUUGAGUAAAUACAAAAUCAAAUACCAGCCAAGGUUAGUAUUGAAGAAACAAGUUAUGACCAACUUUAUAACCAAACUCCCUCAAAAACUAGCACAUCCAAUUGAGUCCUUUGGAAAGCAAUGGUGGACACUUCAUGUAGAUGGAACAUCCAGAGCAUCCGAUUCCGGAGUAGGUCUAAUCUUGCAAUCACCAACUAGAAAACUAGUAAAGCAGGCUAUUCGUCUCAACUUUUCUAUCUCCAACAAUGAAGCAGAAUAUGAAGUUGUCUUAGUUAGACUAGACCUUGCCAUAACAUUGGUUGCAGCAAGGUUGGUAAUCAAGAGCGACUCUCAGCUAAUUGUCGGGUAAAUUCAAAAAGAGUACGAAGUAAAGGGUAAACGCAUGGCUCGCUAUCUCACCAUGGUAGAAGAUCGCUUGAAAAAGCUAGACAAGUGGGUUGUUAGACGGGUACCUAGGAAAGAGAACUUGAAGGCAGACGCACUGGCCGAAAUAACUAUCACUCUUCCUAUAAGAGAGGCAUUAAUGUUGUCUGUCCACGUGUCCCUUUCAAGCUCAAGACCCCUUUUCCGUGUAGAACAAGUAUGUAACCCAUCUGAGAUCAUUCCAUCCAGGCCAAGAUAAGUUCUGUCUGGCACCAGAAGUGAGAGGAUUCCCUUCUCCCAUAAGGCUAGAUGAAAUUGACAGCUUGGACUCUUAGACGGGAAGGUCUGUCCAGUCAAGUCUUUAAGACUUCUGCCAUACGUGAUCAACCACGCUUGACAUUUGAGCGGCCGGCAAGACUCCAUUUAGCCUACAAGUCUAUGUCAAUUAGUUGUUGCACACAAUCCUAGGUGUUGACAGGCUAAAUGGAAAGACAGCUACACAAUCCAAGAUCUUGGAAAGUCAGUAGAUGGCACCUGCCAGCCACCCUUAACUGAGAUGAUUGUCCAGCCGCCCUGAAGACAAUCAUCAUUACAGAAAAGGUCAGAGUGCAUACUCAACACUACAGUGGCGGUGUCAUCGUCUCUAUAUAAACCUCUCAAAAAGCACGAACAAGGUACGCACGCGAGCACAAAUGCUCACUCUCUCCCACAAAAUAGUUAAAGUUACUCUUGUAUGACUUAAGCUUCAGAGGGACAUGCCCGGACCACCCGUUUGGAUAUCCUUUUGUGUAGGAAAGAAGCCCGUUUGACUCCAGUACAGCUGGACAAAUUCUUCGAGAGACACAAAGUAGGAGCGAAGUUCGUUUGACUUCAGCAAAGCUAGACAAACCUGACACUAGUUGGCUUGACCUCAACAUGGAGUAUAUUAAAAAGGUGAGGCAUACAAUAAAUGUAGAUGUGGAGAGCGUCAUGACCAAAGUAAUGGGCACAACAAAUACUUUAAAAGUUGUCAUGUGGAUUUAUUUCACAUAAACUAUUUUAAUAGCGCAAUAAUUAUAACGAUCUUUUAUAAAUUUUACUUUUUGAUUGAUUUAAUUAUAUGUGGGCAUAAUUUUAAAUACCUAUUAUUAAUUAAAGGGGUAAUUCCAACCAAGAUUUGAAAUAUCCAUAAAUACGUAUAUAUUUCUACUUAGAUUUUACAGAUAUAUUAAAAAUAUUAAUGAAAAUUUGGUGAAUAUUUUGACAAAAAUAUCAAUAAGGCAAAAAUUAUGCAAAAUUUAUGGAAAUAUUUGAAGAAACUCCGAAAAAAAUAAUAAAAUAAAUAAAAAUACACAUGUUAAGUUAUUUUUUUAAGUGUAAUUGGUAUAGGUAUGGUUAAAGAGAAAAAUAUUGGUAAGUAAGAAUAUAUCGAUAUUAAUAAUUUAUUAUUUAUCUAGUAAAAUUAAUUUUAAUUUAAAAAAUUUUAGAACUUAAUUAUUAUUUUAUAUUUUAGCAUAUUUUUGAAUAAAUUUGUAUUUUUAAUAUUUUAAAAUAAAAACCUUCAAAAUUAAAUAAAAUUAAAAUGAUAAAUAUAAAAAAUUUAAAAGUGAAGUGAUAGUAAUUUGUUAAAAUAUGAUUAAUGAGAUAAAUGAUAAUACAUUUAAUAUUAAAAAUAUAAUUUAUUUAAUUCAAAUGCAUUCAAUAAUGUAAAAUAAAUGAUGAUGCAUAUAUGACUUUUUAAUAUUUAAUUAUCAUAUAAAUUAUAUUAAAAAAUAUUUGUUAAGAAAAUUAUAAUGAUGAUUUUUAUACAUUUAUUAAUUAAUUAAAUAAAAAUUAAAAUAAAAUAAUUAAAUUUUUUUAAUUUAUUUUUUAAUAAUGAACUUUAACAUAUUUAUUAUCAUCAUAUAUUAAUGAGUUGGGACUUAGACCAAUGGCAAUCAAGCUUAAAUCUAAGUCUUUUGACCUAGGUUUGAAAAAAUUCAAAUCAUGUAGGGAGAAAAUCGCCCAAAAAAAUUGCAAUUUUUUUUAUUUCGGCAAUUUUUUUCAAUCUCCUCUUCCUGUCGUCAGGUCGGGCGUCGCCCCACGCUCGAUUUUUCGCUGAUAAAUCACCUCCAAAACAAUAUAUCGUUGAUAGUUUGACGAUUUUGCCGAAAUUCUUGUCAAUCGAUAAUCGGUGCCUGUUAUCAUUUCGGGCACCAUCAAUAUUCGAUAUUUUGUUGAUAUCUCGACAAAAAAAAAAAAAAAAAAAAACCAACAUUUCAAUCCUUGGCUCCAACUACCUACUACUCUAUAUUUUGUACAAGUAUUAAUCUAUGAAACUAAAGUCAAGACAACAUAAAAGAUAUUUUGUAAAAGAAAUUUCAAUUGAAGUGGUAGAUGUUUCUGUGUUAAACCCCUACCAACUUUGUUGUUAGAGUGAAAAGCCCCACCAACUUUGUUGUCAAAGUUAAAAGGAGUAGAUGGAACUUGGAAGUAGAUCAUAACUAACACAAUUGUUUAUGUGGAGUAAAGAUGAAAAUAUAGGUAAUCAUGAAUAUAUCGAUAUUUCGAUUUUACGAAUAUAUCAAAUAUAUUAACAAAUAUUUUGAUACAAAAUAUCAAUGGACCUAAAAUUGAUUAGAACUUAUAGAAAUAUAGGAAAAAACUUUUAGAAAUGAAAUUAGAAGUAUAAUAGAUAUUUUAAAGUUGUUUUAUUGAAGAAAUUAACAUAUGUAUGAUAUAAUUUAUUAUAUUUGAUAAUAAUAUUGUAUGUGUUGAUAAAAAAAUAUAAAUUUUAUAAGUGUACAUUUAUUAUUAAUCCUGGGGACGUCACCCCCAAGGGCCAAAUAAACAAAUGGCCCCUCAUAAGACUUUGCGCUGUCCGGCCCAACCCGGACACCAGAGCAAAAAAGGCCGACGUUUAUGUUGGGACGUCAUUUGUUUGUUUGGCCCUGGGCAGCCGCAUGGGCCGGAUACCAGAGUGGCCUCCCCAGGAUUCAAACCCAAGUCCAAGACUUAAGGACGAUAAGGUUNNNNNNNNNNNNNNNNNNNNNNNNNNNNNNNNNNNNNNNNNNNNNNNNNNNNNNNNNNNNNNNNNNNNNNNNNNNNNNNNNNNNNNNNNNNNNNNNNNNNNNNNNNNNNNNNNNNNNNNNNNNNNNNNNNNNNNNNNNNNNNNNNNNNNNNNNNNNNNNNNNNNNNNNNNNNNNNNNNNNNNNNNNNNNNNNNNNNNNNNNNNNNNNNNNNNNNNNNNNNNNNNNNNNNNNNNNNNNNNNNNNNNNNNNNNNNNNNNNNNNNNNNNNNNNNNNNNNNNNNNNNNNNNNNNNNNNNNNNNNNNNNNNNNNNNNNNNNNNNNNNNNNNNNNNNNNNNNNNNNNNNNNNNNNNNNNNNNNNNNNNNNNNNNNNNNNNNNNNNNNNNNNNNNNNNNNNNNNNNNNNNNNNNNNNNNNNNNNNNNNNNNNNNNNNNNNNNNNNNNNNNNNNNNNNNNNNNNNNNNNNNNNNNNNNNNNNNNNNNNNNNNNNNNNNNNNNNNNNNNGAAUCCUGGGGAAGUCACCCCCAAGGGCCAAAUUAACAAAUGGCCCCAUAAGACUUUGCGCUGUCCGGCCCAACCCGGACACCAGAGCAAAAAGGCCGACGUUUUUGUUGGGACGUCAUUUGUUUGUUUGGCCCUGGUCAGCCGCAUGGGCCGGAUACCAGAGUGGCCUCCCCAGGAUUCGAACCCAAGUCCAAGACUUAAGGACGAUAAGGUUGCCCUCCUGGUACCAUCUGUGCUCAACACAAAGGACAGAUUAAGAAUUCCGAAAGGACAUUGACACAUUUUUUUUUUAUUGCUUGGUUGUCUCUAUGCAAUUGUUGAUCAACUUGCACUGCCUUGAUGACGAAGCUCUACACAUGAGGAUAAACAUUGAAAGAAAACAGAAGGUUGAAAUGAUUUAUGGUGUCUUUUAUUACAGCAAAUCUAAAACUUGGCCAACCUCUGAGAAACUAAAGAGGCUUGGAAGAUAUGGCUUCUUAAGAAAUUAAUUUAUGCCUGAAAAUCCAAAGGGAACUUAAUGGUUUUUCCUUUUAUUGUUCCUUUUUCAAAGCACAAGCUAGAACAUAGAAAAUGAUUAUCACCUGAAUGGUACCUCCCUCCAUCUUCCUCAAUUACAUUAAUUUUCACUGCACUCAUUUGUGGAUCACUUCCCAAGGCCUUGGGAAGCCAUGCAAUGUUAAAGAACCUUUUUUCCAUGACCAACAUAGAAUAUCAUAAUUUUCUCUUACAUGCAAACAUAACGGUUUUGUCGUGUCCUAUGAUAUUGUGAGACUAGAUAUACGCACACNNNNNNNNNNNNNNNNNNNNNNNNNNNNNNNNNNNNNNNNNNNNNNNNNNNNNNNNNNNNNNNNNNNNNNNNNNNNNNNNNNNNNNNNNNNNNNNNNNNNAUUUUUGACAUUCCAUAAUUUCUACGUUCUUGAGCCAAAUUUAGAAAAUAAAUCAUUCUUGGACAACCUCGAUCCUGUGGGGUUUGGUUUUGGAAGCCAAAAGUCCCAUCUUUGUUGCUCUUUAGGGCUUUUGUAAAUGGAGAGGGAGAGAUUUGAGGAUGCCUGCAAGGUUGUAGUACAAGCUACAAAUGACGUAUCGAUCAUGCAAUUUUUAGUUGGUGACUCACCAUCCAUGCAUGGGCCGUGGUUUUAUUUUUAUUUAUCUAGGCUUUGGUUCACAAAGUAUUAAGAAAAAAAAAUAUUAUAAAAAAUGAUUUUUCAUAUUUGAUUUCACCAUUAAAAAUAUAUAAAAAAAAAUCAAAUAUAAUUAAAAUUAAUUAAAAAUUUACACAUUUUAAAUUCAUUUAAUUUUUAUAUCAUGAAGAAAAAUAAAUAAAAUAAAUUUAAAAAAAUUAUGGACCCCACAUUUUGCUCGAUGUGUUUCUACUCGAUGGUAAAACUUGUUUUUUUAUUUUAUUUAUUUUGCGAAAAUUAUGAUUUUUAGAAAAGACUUAGAGUUGCCACUUAUUUUUGUUUUAGUUUUUAAAAGGAAAACAAAAUAAGAAACAAAAAUACUAAGUAUGACUCCUUACGUGGAAAAACGGGUCUGUGAAAAAUUGAGUCGAGUCCAGGGUUGAGGUUACUUAUUGGGAAGGUACAAUAAAAAGAUCGAAAGCACCCAUCUAAGUCCCUAAAAACGGGUCUCUACUAAAUAAGGUGAGGUAAAUGUGACAAUUGAUAAGGAAAUCAAUGGAUACCAGUGAAAUAAUCAAAUAAUAAAGUGAAAUCAUGCAUCAGAAUAAGCGAAGUGGAAAUGAGAUCAUACCUUAACAGCAAUUAAUAGUGCGCUAUCAUGGAAACAAGGUUAGCUCAAGUAUAAAAUCAUUACAUACAUAUCAAAAAGCAAGACAAAAAUCAAACAAUAUUCAUUAAACAUAACAAUUGACAAUCAAAAGAGAAAACUCCUAUGUAGGGCCCCCACCAAAGCCCGAUUUAUCUUGUAUGAAUUAGUAUCACAAAUUCCAUUAUUUUGGAAUUAUGAAAAAAAUUCAUUCUUGCUUAUUUAAAACUAAGAGAAACAAAAAAUUAUUUGAAAAUAGAAGAAAAUUUGUACAAAUGCAUACCAAAAUGAGAAUGAUAACAGACUUAUUAAAAUUAGGAUUUUUGGCGACCUAAAACUCUAAUAAAGGUUGGAAAGUUGUAGAAUUAAAACUGUUCGAGAUAAAACUAGAGUUUUGAAAUUUAUUUGAAAAUUGAACUCUCGAAAAUUAUUUGAAAAUUGGAGUCUUGAAGAUUAAAUCUAAGAAUUGGAAUUUUGGAAAUUAAAUUUGCAAGAAAUUGGAAUUUUGAAAAUUAUUUGAAAAUCGGAGUUUUAAAAAUUAAAUAUGAAUUUGGAGUUUUGGAAAUUAAAUUUGAAAGAAAUUGGAGUUUCGAAAAUAAAUUGAGAACUGGAGUUUUGGAAAUUAGAAUCUUAGAAAUCAUUUGGAGAUGAUAUUUUAAAAAAUAAAUAAAUAAAAUAAUAAUAAUAAUAAUAAUAAUAAUAAUAAGCAAGUGUGAAAAUUGGUAUUUUGGAAAUUGAAAAUUAAAUUUGAAAAUUGGAAUUUUGAAGAAUUAUUUAAAGAUGAAAAUUUUAAAAUAAUAAUAAUAAUAAAUAAAUAAAUAAAUAAAGGGAAUAAUAAUAAAUAAUAACGAAAAUAAUUAUUAUUAAAUAAAUGUGAAAAUUGAAAUUUUGGAAAUUGGAAAUUAAAUUAGGAAAUCGGGAUUUUGAAGAAUUAUUUAAAAUGGAAUUUUAAAAAUAAAUAAAUAAUAAUAAUAAAGAAGAUGAUAAUUGUUAAAUAAAUAAAUGUGAAAAUUGAAAUUUGGGAAAUUGAGAAUCAAAUUUGGAAAUCGGAAUUUUGAAGAAUUAUUUAAAGAUGGAAUUUUAAAAAAAAUAAUUAAAUAAAUAAAAUAAUAAUAACGAAAAUAAUAAUGAUUAAAUAAAUAAAUAUGAAAAUUGGAAUUUUGGAAAUCGAAAUUUUGAAGAAUUAUUUAAAAAUGGAAUUUUUAAAAAAUAAAUAAAUAAAAUAAAAUAAUAACAAAAAUAAUAAUGAUUAAAUAAAUAAAUGUGAAAAUUAGAAUUUUGGAAAUUAUUAGAAAAUCGAAGUUUUGAAAAUUAAAUUUUGAAAAUUGGAAUUUUGAUGAAUUAUUUUAUAAUGGAAUUUUAAAAAUAAAAUAAAAUAAAAAAUAAAACGAAAAUAAAAAUAAAGAUGCAUGUCUAGUGGAAAAUGGUAGGAAUUCAUUUAUUAAAAUUCUCAAUUCAAAGAGAUGAUGGCCCAUUGGUGAGCCAUGAUAAUGUUGUGCUUCCAAGCAUUCUUACACCUAGCAAACAUGAAAAAAUUAACCCAAGAUGCACUUCUUACCCAUCAGCCACCUAAGUUGGAGCCCAUAAAAUCCAAAAAACUGCAAUGGAGAAAUGAAUGCAAGGUUGUGCACGUGCCAAUAACCAUAUCCUUCUAUCACAAGAAAUACGUGUGUAGAAGGACAUUCUACAGUCCUUAAAAACUACUAUUCGUGGAGUUUCGACCCAACAUUUGGUGAUAUAAAUGAUAGUUAUCAUUGCCAAGAUCCCAUUUGCUACGGAAGGAACAACCACACUUUUCUUCGCAUCACUACCAAGGAGCCAAUUUGCAAGCACUUGGCUUCCAAUAAAAGAUGCAGACUCAAAUAAUGUCAUUAACCAGAAAGUAUCAAUCAAAAAAUAUAACGUCUAUACCCAAGCUUAUCAUGUUCAACAACCAUCCAUGUUUCAAAACUGAAUGAAAAUAUUGAAGUGGCGAGAGAUAAGUAGAUAUUUGCUACCCAAACACUAGGUUACAGGGUAAUCCUCCUCCAUAUGCCAAUCGAGAGGUGUAGAACACAAAAUGACAAAAAAGCUUUCUUUUGAUCGAUGAAAUCACAAAGCAGACCUAAGGAAACACUAAAGAAAAAGGCAACUAAAUAUCCAACACAGAGAGACACCACCAAGUUCCCUUAUGAGAAUCUCACUCCCUUCAACAUCCAUCAUGAUCGCAACAGCAAAGCCCUUCUCCUCAAGGGUAUAAAUAGGCACCGGAACAGAGAGUAAAUAGCAAGGGAACAAGCAUAAAAAAAAAAAAAAAAAAAUAGAGCAUCAAAUGAACCAAAGAAAACAUUAACCCGAGCCUCAUCUCAUAUUGAAAUCAAUGGGCUUACGUAUAGGUGAAAAAANNNNNNNNNNNNNNNNNNNNNNNNNNNNNNNNNNNNNNNNNNNNNNNNNNNNNNNNNNNNNNNNNNNNNNNNNNNNNNNNNNNNNNNNNNNNNNNNNNNNAACUCAAUGAAAAUCAAAUGCGAGAAAGAUGUGGUCCAGUAGAAGUUCCCGAAAAGACUCCCCUCCGGCGAGACUAGCUGGGUGUCAAGUUGCUUUAUUUCGUCGUUUCUACUUCAUACCAUUUGCAGUUUACUCCAGAAAACAUUUCUUCUCUCUAAAAAAAAAAUGCAUUCGUUCUCCUCCUCGUUUCUCUCAAGGCUUCCCCAUUUUGUUCUGCUUUUUUUCAUCUCCAAGCUUUUUCCAACCCUACCCGUUUCAGUGCUCCUUGCUCAAAAGAAGUCUCGUCUCAACCACCCCCAUGGCAAGGUGGUGGUCCCAACCACUCAUCCAUGCAUGGAGCUUCAUGGAAGUUGUCCCCCACUUCAAAUGAAAUGCUCUCCAACUCCUUCCAGGUGGUAAAAAAUAAAAAAAGAAUAAAGAAAGAGAAAAAAAAACUUUGGUUUAAAAAAAAAAAAAAAAAAGGUCUACAAAUAUGCCCCUCUUCGGUAGAGUUCACGAGUGUAAGAAAUAUGAACACUAGAGUGAAAAGAAAUUGUAAAUAGUGAAUGAAAUGAAGUGGACUCUACCGAAGAAAAAGAAAGACCCCUAAUGGCGCACAAGUAUAACACAAACUUGCUUAAUCCAAUAAAGGAACAAAAGAGGUUCCAAAAUCCCAAAAGAAUGGUAGCUCUCAGAGUGCCUUUAAAGCUGCACUAUGAACUUAGGCUUCCUCUAAGAUGUCUCCAGAAGUGACUUGAAGAUCAAUGUCAGAGAUGAGUAACGGUCAAACCACCUUGGGGUACAGGAAAGAAUGCGUCCAAAGGGGACUACCCUAUGCGAACUACAUGAGAACACUAAGUGUAAGGUACCCAGCAACAUGACUGAAAUAUGUGUCAUGAACUCAAAGAACUAUGUCAUGUGCAGUGGAAGGAGAAGUCUAGAAGAGCAUGAUGGACAAGCAAUAAGCACAAGGUAACAAGGUAAGGAAAAUGAUGACGAAUGUAAAAUUUGUGAAGGCAAGAUGUACAAUGCUAAUGAAUAUGAAUGCUAGGAGCUAUGACUUUAAAUGAUAAGGUUGGGGAAAAAUGACUUUUGAAUGCCAAAAUGAGGAAAAGUGGUGACUCAAAAUGUAGGAAUGAGUAUGCACAAUGGCUCUGAACGUCAAAACUAAAUAAAGAUGUUGACACUGAAUGCUAAGAUGAAGGAAUAUGAUGGCUCUGAAUGUUAAAAUGAAGACACGGUUUUGAAUGCUAAAAUGAAGAAAAUAAUGGCUCUAAAUGUCAAACUGAAGACAUGGAUCUGAAUGCCAAACUGAAGAUAUGAUGGCUCUAAAUGUCGAACUAAAACCAUGGCUCUAAACACCAAACUGUGAAGAGAUGGUGGCUUUGAACGCCAAACUAUAAUGAGAUGGUGGCUCUGAAUGCCAAGUUGUAAGGAAAUGGUGGCUUUGAACACCAAACUAAGAAAUGAUGGUGGCUCUAAAUGCCAAACUGAAAAGAGAUGGUGGCUCUAAAUUCCAAAUUGAAAAGAGAUGGUGGUUCUGAACGUCAAACUGAAGAUGAUAUGAUGACUCUGAAUGUCGAGCUAAAACCAUGGCUUUAAACGCCAAACUAUGAAGAGAUGGUGGCUCUGAAUGUCAAACUGUAAUGAGAUGGUGGCUCUGGACGCCAAGCUGUAAGGAGAUGGUGGCUCUAAACUUCAAACUGAGAAGAGAUGGUGGCUUUGAAUGCCAAAACCUAUGAAGAGAUGAUGGGAUGGCUCUGAAUGCCAAGCUAAAACAAUAGUUAUGAAUGCCAAAUAGAAAGAAAGGCUCUGAACACCAAACUGAGAAGGACGACUCUGAACGUUGUAACGGAGAAGAUAUGGCGGCUCUGAAUACCAUAACUAAGAAGGGAUGGCGGCUCUGAAUGCCAAACUGAAAAAAGAUGGUGGCUUUGAAUGCCCAAAGUGAGAAGAGAUGGUGGCUCUGAAUGCUAAAUUGUAAAGAGAUGAUGGCUCUGAACGCCAAGGUGUAAGGAAAUGGUGGUUCUGAAUGCUAGGAAUGUAGCCCUGAAUGUCGAAAAGGUGGCAACAAAUGCCCAACUGUGAUAGGAUGAUGGCUCUGAAUGCCAAACUGUGAAAGGAUAGUGACUCUGAACGCUAAACAGGAGAUGCGGCUCUGAACGCCCGAACUGAGAAUGGAUGGUGGCUCUGAACGCCAAACUGAAAACAUGGCUCUGAAGGCCAAACUGAGAAGAUGUGGCGGCUCUGAAUGCCAAACUAGAGAUGCGACUUUGAACAUCAAAUUGAAGAAGAUGAAGGCCUUGAACACCAUAACUGAGAAGGGAUAGUGACUCUGAAUGCCAAGCUGGAGAUACGGUUCUGAACGCCAAACUGAAAAAAGAUAGUGGCUCUGAACGCCCAAACUGAAGAUGCGUCUCUAAACACCAAACUGAAGAAGAUGAAGGCCCUGAACACCAUAAUUGAGAAGAGAUAGUGACUCUGAAUGCCAAGUUGGAGAUGCGACUCUAAACUCCAAACUGAAGAAGAUGAAGGCUCUGAACGCCAUAAUUGAGAAAGGAUGGUGACUCUGGACACCAAGUUGGAGAUGCAGUUCUGAACGCCAAACUGAAAAAGAGAUGGUGGAUCUGAAUGCCAAACUGAAGAUGCGACUCUAAACGCCAAACUGAAAAAGAUGAAGGCCCUGAACGCCAUAACUGAGAAGGGAUAAUGACUCUGAAUGCCAAGUUCGAGAUACGGCUCUGAAUGUCAAACUGAAGAAGAUGAAGGCUCUAAAUGCCAUAAUUGAGAAGGGAUAGUGACUUUAGACGCCAAGGUGGAAAUGCGGUUAUGAAUGCCAAACUGAUGAAGAUGAAGGCUCUAAACGCCAUAACUGAGAACUAACAUCUCUGAAUGUCAAAUUGAGAAAAACGACUCUGAACGUCGUAACUAAUAAGCGAUGAUGGCUUUGAACGUUGAGCUGUAAAGAGAUGGUGGCUCUAAAUGCCAUAAUUGAGAACUAACAUCUCUGAAUGUCAAACUGAGAAAAGAAGACUCUGAACGUCGUAAAUGAGAAGCGAUGAUGGCUCUGAACGCUGAGUUGUAAGGAGAUGGUGGCUUUGAAUGCCAAACUGAAAAUGUGGCUCUGAAUGCAAACCUGAGAAGUGAUGGUGGCUCUGAACGCCAAACUGUAAGGAGGACAACUCUAAACAUCAAACGAAGGACAACCAACGGCUCUGAACACCAAACUAAAGAUAUGGUUUUGAACACUGAGAUGAAAUUGCCACUCUGAACGUUGAACGGAAGGAAGACAUGAUGACUCCAAAUGUCGAACUAAGAACAAACAAUGGCUCUGAACGCCAAAAUGAAGAUACGGCUCUGAACGCUAAAAUGAAAGUACGGCUCUGAACGCCAAACAAAAAAAUGUGAUGGCUCUAGAUGUCAAACCAAAGACAAACAACGGCUUUGAACAUCAAACUGAGAAUAUGGCUCUGAACGCCAAACGGAAAAGAGACAUGAUGGCUCUGAAUGUCGAACUAAGGACAAACGACGACUCUGAAUGCCAAACUGAAGAUGCGACUCUGAACGUCAAAAUGAAAAUACGGCUCUGAAAGCCAAACAGAAAAGAGACAUGAUGGCUUCGAAUGUCAAACUAAGGACAAACAACGACUCUGAAUGCCAAUUUGAAGAUGUGGCUCUGAACACCAAAAUGAGAAUACGACUCUAAACGUCAAAAUGAAAACAUAACUCUGAACAUCAAACGGAAAAGAGACAUGAUGGCUCUGAAUGUCGAACUAAAGACAAACGACGGCUCUGAACGCCAAACUGAAGAUGCAACUUUGAACGUCAAAAUGAGAAUAUGACUCUGAACGUCAAAAUGAAAAUGCGACUCUGAACGUCAAACGGAAAAGAGAUGUGAUGGCUCUGACCGCUAAGCUAAAAAUGCGAGGAGAUAAUGAGGAGGAAAUAUGCCCCAGUGUAGCAUGCCGCUACAACUCUCAAUUCAUAGGAAGGGUCUGAAAGAGACUCUAUGAGUCUCAAAAGAUGCUCCACUGACGAGUCGGAACGGUCAAAUCGACUAUAAAUAUGGCCUCACAACCCAUUUAACUGAAUCACGAGACCUGAUGAUGUGUCACAAUAAGUCGGAUGCCUUUAACUCAACAAGCUCUACUGGAGGAACCCAUUGUCGUUUCAAAUGAGUGAUCCAAUAGGGAAUCUCAAGAGAAUAGUCCGCCAGGGUAACUACUACAACCUUAACACAAAAAUCUACUGAAAAGUCAUGGAUAACGUGGUAGUCAAAACCCAGAAAGUCGUGCUCCUUUGGAGGCUCAUCUCGACCAAAGUCAUCAAAACCGUGCCCAAUAAUGCAAAGAAAUAUCCCUCGUCCAAGUAAUGAAGGCUGUAACAAGUCUGUGAGAAAACAAUCAUCUCUACAGCUAAAAGAGGAAAAUAUGCCCUAGUAUAGAAACUAAGGCAUCCGGUCUAUCCUGAUAACUCGAGAAUAACUCCAUGGGGAUGUAUAAGAUAUUUGACAUGUACUUCAUUGAAAUGAUGAUAUAGGAGUCUAUGCACCUGAGGUAACUCCAUCUAAGAAUUGUGACAAUAUAAGAAAAUAUGAGCUUGACUGAAUGACUCGAGAAAGGCUCCAUUGGGUAAUCAAGACAAAAUGAAAGCAAACCAUCAGCUCUCUUUGUGAAAGCUGAUACGGAGAGGAUCACGACUAUGGUGUCCGUCACAAUAAAUGCUUUGAAAGCUGCUCUCUUUGUUAAAAUUGCCAUGCCAUUGUCAUUGUAACCUCCAGGCAAGGUGAAACCCGCAGCAAAGGUUACAGUUGCUACAAGUGCUGCCACUAUCAAAUGGUUUCACCUUUUCUUUUUAUGUUAGAGAUGCUUUUGUCUUUUCUGACGUCUUUGCUUUUACUACUAUUACUAGUACCACCACUGUCUUUAUUGAUAGCCUCCUGCCAAGUAAAGGGUCCAACAACUUCUUUCUCCCAUUCCCUCAAUUGUCUUCGAAAUUCUUCCUGAAAUUUGAUCAAAAUAAAAACAAAUAAACCUUUUUCCAUAAAAUAAAAUAAAAUAAAAAGAAGGGAAAGAAAGAAGGAAAAAAAAUGUAGUUCAUGUGUCACUGUUUUGGCUUUUUGCUCUUCCUUUUUAUAAAAAGAUUUUCUCAUCUUCCCUCAAAAUGUUUUUCCAUAAGUCUACAAUUUAAAUCCACAAGUUCUACAAAUUGCCUUCAUUAUGGUAAUUUGGUACUUAAUUUCUAUUUUAAGCAUGAUUGUCCCUAUCGAUAAUAAAAAUAGAAAAAAUGAUGAUGAUGAUGCCCGGGGUUUUUAAUUCUACCAUCGUGAUGGAGUUUUUCCAUAUCAUUACUAAUAAAAAGAUUAGGUUAGGAUCCUUACUAUGAUCAUAUAUCCUGGAUUAAGGUUAGCCCUUGAAAAAAUGUCUAGGGCGGUUAACUUAUCCUUGUUGAGCGCCAUUUUAUCCACUCUAUUGUCUUCUGAGAAAGAUGGAUCAAAAAGUUGGUAAGAAGCAAGCAGGUGGAGGGGUGUGUCUCCUUUAGCGUCUUUCUCAUUCAUAAGUCUUCUCACCCUUAACAAACUAUUGUCAUUCAAGAUAUUACGAGUAGCAUGAUAUCGCUCGCUCAUAAUGGCAGAGUGAAAAACAUUAUUUCCCUUAUCAUCCACUUGCUCGCAACAAUCUGGGGAGUGUGACAACAGCAGCUUUGCUAUAUCUUGAUGGUUACGGUUAGCUGCAAUGUGAAGUGUUGUUUUCUUGCUGUCCUUGAUUCCAAGAUAAGUUACAAAUUUAUCUGGUGAUUUGCCUAGUAAUUGCUCCACAAUUGCAGUAUGACCCAAGUAUGCAGCACAGUGAAGGGGAGACCAUCCAUUCUCAUCCACUUCUUUUGUCAGAUCUGGCUUCCAUUCCAAUAACCUCGCUGUCAUUUCUGUAAACAAACGAACCAACAAAAAACAGAGAAAACAAAUUGAAGAAAAUUAAGUGAAUCAUUGAAGUUCCCUCUAGUGAAGCAUGACUCCUAGAGGUGAUCAUGUUUUCUAACAAUAGGUUGCAUGACUAUCUAAUCACAUGGGAAUCGAGAUUCAGGGGAAGGAUCUGCUUAUGUGAUACCUUAGUCAUUGCGAAUUACAGCAGCAUGUAAAGCCGUUCUACCCAUCAUGCCACUAUGAGAUGGUGAAGUGCAAGUUCCUAUGAUUAAAUUCACCAAAUCUUCAAAACCUAUCUCGGCGGCCAUGUAAAGAAGAGUGUAGCCUGUAAUAUUAGCCCCAUAAAUAAACUCGGGGUCUUCCUCGUUCAAUGACUUCACAACCUCUGAAUGAUAAUACCUCACUGGCUCAUGCAAGGCUGUGUUUUCCAGGGUUCAAAGUAUCGGCCGAGUCCGGUACAACUCGGCCGAGUCAUAUCCGCCUCAACACCUGCCGCAACGAGACCGAUACCAGAUACAGUAUAAUGCACGAACUCGACUAGGAAUCGGUAAAACUCGGCUGACUAGUCUGAGUUUUCGAGUUAACUCGGUUAGGUUACAGAGAAUUUUCAAAUUUUAUUUCCAAUCACAAUAAAACAUCAGAACAUUUUCAUAUAAAAAAAAAUCAAAGAUUGCCCUUUCAAAAGCAAGCACAUAUUCUGAAAUUUUAAACCAUCAAUGAGAAUAUCAAAGAAGACGAAGAAGAAAUAAUCCAACCCGUGACCCGUUUGGAAAUAAGUGGAGAAACCAGCGAAGGAUGAGGGCAUGAUUUAGGAUUUACUUACCUGAUUUUCCUCAAAAUCGAGCAUUACCAGAGGGUGGAGCUUUGGUGUUGACGGUGGUGACUCGUCAAGUGGACUGGAUCUUUCACCGGCGACGUCGACGAGACAACCCCUUCACAGUCAAAUUGCUUCCCCUCCCGUGUUGGGUCUUGCACGGUUGCAAAUUUGCAAUUGCAGGUGGUGUUGUGGGUCUUGACGGCAAUUUCUGGGGACAGGAUGAUUGAAUGCGUUUGUCCAAGCAAAUAUUAGGGCUACGCUCAUUUGGCUAAUUAUGGGCUGAGCAUGGGCCAGCCCAUUUUUUAACUAUUAGCUGUAACUGGGCCGUUCUCUGAUUUAUGUCAUAAAUCUCUUCAUCUUCAUCAAAUUUUAUAACUCGGAGAUUUUUAUUUCACACUCCAUUUAAUAAAGUUUAAGUAAGUUUCAAGUUUCACAAAUUUAAUUUUUAAAAAUUAUAUAUAUAUAUAUAUAUAUAUAUAUAUAUAUAUAUAUAUCUUCUUCCCUUUUCUUUUUUUAAGUACAAAUUAUUUAUCCUUUUUAUUUUCAUUUUUAUUUUUCAUCAUCUUUCUUUUUACAAAUUAAGUAAAAUGUGUUUCAAUUAUAUAUUAAAAAUGUUAUUUUUUUAAAUUUAUUCUAAAUAAAAUAUUAUUAACAAUUAUUUUUGUAAAGUGUUAUUAUUUAUUUUUAACAAAAGAAUUAAUUACACUUUCAUAAAGAUAUCAUUAUCCAUACAAUGUAUAAUAAUCAAAUUAAUCGUAUGUCAUUUAAUAAAGUUUAAGUCGGUUUCAAGUUUCACUAAUUUAAUUUUAAAAAAUUAAAUUAGAAGUUAUUGAAAAUGACAAAUAAUUUUGAGCUAAAUGUGAAAAAAAAAAAUUGUUUUAUUAAUUUUUUUCAACUUAUUCAAUUAUAUCUAUUUUUUUAAUUUAUAUAACAUUUUCUUAUAAUUUUUUGAAAUUUCUAAUUAUCUUAUUUUGCGUAUCGCCCGAUACCGAACCGAGAUGUCGAGACCGAUAUGCCUCGUGGCCCUCCGAGUCAAUCACCGAUACCGCGACUUUGAACCAUGGUGUUUUCCUCCUCAUUUGUCAUCCUCAUAAUCGCCUUUUCUCCUCCAACCCCACUCUCGAUCUCUUGGUGAAGUCGUUUCGCAGCAUCAAUGAGUGCUUUCACGACUAUCAAAUGGCCUUCUCUCGCUACAAGGUGAAGUGGAGUGUCGCCCUUCAGAUUGGGCUUAAGCAGGAGAGACGAAGAUGAAUUCAGCCCCAGGAUAUACUGAACACAGUCCAAUUGACCGAAUUGAGCUGCAAUGUGGAGGACGGUAUUCUUAUUUGGGGUUAAUUGGACCACAAAAUGAUCUUCUGACAUUUGUUCCAAGACAUCGAUCCUGCCAUAUGCUGCGGCCUCGCACAAAGCAGCAUCCAUGCAAGUGAUCGGAGUUUGGCUGCCAUCUGCAUCUGCCGCCUGGUUCAAGAUUGGCUACCGUCUUGAGCUGCAAGCUGUUCCAGGUAAAGAGUAUGUGAUUCUGCAGUGUGGAUGGAAGUGGAAAGAUCCAUAGGUGCUUCAGCAAUCAGCACUAUCCUCCU
rnacentral:lncRNA from 1 species